AUAUAGAAAUGGAAGAUGUCAUAGAGGAUGAGAAGAAAAUUGCAAAAAAAAUUAUGAUAGUUUCACUUUGGUGCAUACAAUUAAAACCAAAUGAUCGUCCUUCCAUGAAUAAAGUAGUCGAAAUGCUUGAAGGAGAUAUUGAGAACCUUAAAAUACCUCCCAAGCCUUCUCUGUAUCCACGUGAAACUUUGGAAAGAAUCUGCUUUGACCAAACAACAAUGUCUGAGUUCAUUAGUUCUUCAAGCUAUUCCAUGGGGAUUGUCACUAAUGAUCCACUAGAUGAAAGUAUUUAAUAAUGCAUAUUAGUUGUUUAUUUACCUCAAACUUAGUGACGACUUAAACAUUAUUCAUCUAUAAUAUUUACAUUGUCUAAGUUAUUUCCUAUUGUUUUAUACUUCAAAGUUUAAAAUGAUGGUUUACCAAAUUUAAACAUUUGUUUAAAGAUUUUCGAUAUGUUAAUUAUACUAAAGUAGUUGUAGCAUCCUAAGUUUUUUUUAAUUGUUAUUUAAAACUUAAUCAAAUAUACAAGUAAAUUUAGUUAAAAUAAUAAAUUAAAUAGGUAUAUUUUCUGAUAAGUGCAUGUACUAAAUUCUACAAUAAUUGGGAUUUUGUAAGCUAGAUAAUAGUACUUUAUUGUAAGCUAGAUUAUUGGCAUAGAAAGACUGGAGGAAAGAACUUUGAAGGAUCAACCUCACAAGAUUCUAUUGCAAGUACUUUAUAAGACAAACAUAUUUUGACGAGAGUAACAAUAAUUAGCUCUAGUGGUGGAAAACAAUGUUAUGUGGAUAAUGGAUUUAAGUGCAACUUGGCACCUUACCCUGCACCAAAAUUGGUUUUACACUUAUGCACCUAUUGUUGGAGUCGAAGAUUGAGCCAAAUUAUAUUUCAUGAAUUCAACCCUCAUGACGAUCGAAGACUUUGUUUAAUGAAGAAAACUUUAUUUCAUAUAACAUUUGUGUGUAUGUGUGUAUUUUAGUCUAUUUCAUUGUAUGGUUCGUAUGCUUAUAACUAUCAACAUAAAUGAAUCAUAAGAAAUGAUCCAAGGAUAAUGAUUCAAAUUUUUUUAAAUUGUUUAAAACUUAGGUAUUAAGGCAAUUUCAAUUAAUUGAAAUUAUGUUUUAAUAUGUUAAAAUUACUUACAACCUCAAAAAGUUCUAUACAGAUAUUUAAUUUGUUAAAAACAGUUGUUUGACAUAUUCAAAACUCUUGGUUUUAAGGAUAUUAUUAUUUUAUAUGUUUAACAAAUUUAAAUCUUUUAAAAUUUUAGGAUGUCUUAUCUAUUUUGUUUUAAUAGAUUGAAAACUCAAAUUAAAAAUCAACAAAUUGAUUGGAAUUUUUAAUCCAUUAAACUUUACAAAUCAAUUUUUGAAAAGUAUUUUUUUUUUAAAAAACAUCUUUUGAAAAACUUUGAAGAUAGAGAACUUAGGUUUUUAAGAGAGGAUUUUACUCUGAGCAAAAGUUUUUAUUCUUGGCUGAAUUUUUAGAACUUAGCUGGUCCUACUUGUAUUAAUGUGUAGUUCUUCCUUGAUUCUUUUUUUUAUGUGUAGGUGAAUUGAAAUUAGAUAGUAUUUCUAAUUUUUAUAAUAACAACAAGGUGUUGUUUCACUACAAGAAAAAAAUGAUUUUAACAGGGGUUUAUUUUUACAUCACCAAGGGUUAAAACCUUCAUUAAGUCACUUACCCAAGAUUGUAGUUUCCCAACCAUCCCUGAGGAAGGUGUUCCCCGACGUUUUUUAAAACCCCAAGAAAAGUCUUUCAAAACUCCUGUUAAAUACCAUGGGUUUAAGAACCUCCGUAAAAUACCAUGGGUUUUAGGACCUCCAUAAAAUCCCACAAGUUUUGAAACAUUCGUAAAAUACCAUGUGUUUUAGAACCCCCCGUAAAAUAACAUGGAUUUUAAUACAUCCAUAAAAUACCAUGGGUUUCAAAACCUCUAUAAAAUACCAUAGAUUUUUAAACCUCUGUAAAAUACCAUGGUUUUCAAAAUUCCUGUAAAAUAUCAUGGGUUUUAAAACCCACAAAAAAUACCAGAGGUUUUGAAACUAAAAACAUUUGUUUUUUUACUCAUUUUAUCGUUAAAACAUUCAUGUGCUUCUUCAAACACAACUAUAAGAAAUGAAUAUAAGAAAUAAAUUACAAACUUUCACUUUAUAUAUAUAUAUAUAUAUAUAUUAUUCACUGGUACUAUUUACGAUAAAAGUUACUAAUAAAAUUUUUUUAUCCACAUAUCCAAACAACAAAAGAGUUCAAGAGUUAAAACCCUUUUUUCUUGUAGUUCUUGUUGGGUAUAACACUCUUGUAGGGUUCAAGAGUUCUGUUUUUGGUAUUCUUUGUGUUGUAAAGAUUUUUUCCAUAGUGAAAUCUCAAAUAGUAUGGUUGGAAAACUAGAUGUAACUCUAAUAAAAGAGUGAAACUAGUAUAAAAGUUCUUUUGUGAUCCUUUUUCUCUCUCUAUUUACGUUUUUGCAUUUAGUUCUUGAAUUGAUUCUUAUGUUUUAGAAAAAAUUAACAAAUUGAUAUUCUGAUUAGAUCUAAUUUAACCGAUUGAAUUUUAAAUUUUUUACCAGUGAACUAAAAUUUUAAUUUGUUAUCUGCAAAUAAUUUAAUCUGUUGAUUUUUUAAGAACUCCAUUCUAAACUAUAUUUUCAAGAAAUUGUUUUUAAGUUCAAUUCACAUAGCCCCCCCGAACUCGACCUAUCAUUCUAACAAUUUCAAAGCUAGUUAUUUAAAUUUAUUAAAGUUUCAGUCCUUGUUUUAUGAAAAUGGUUGAGAAUAAAUUUCUUAUGCUGAGGGUGUCUCUAUUAACAAGUCAUCCAAGUUUGGAGUUGUUAAUUAUCAAUUUCGGAAAGUUAAAAUGAAGAUCUUUAUACAAUCAAUUGAUCAGGGUAUUUGGGAUGCAGUUGUUGUUGGAUCUAUUAGUGUCUAAGUUCAAGAGGGGAGGGGUGAAUUGAGCUUAUAAAAUUUUCGCAAGAACACACAAUUUUCAGUAUAUCAGAGGCAAAAGAACAGAUUGUUUUUACAUGAAACAGAUUGAUUCUUCAGAGCAGUCUAGCACAAUUUGAAUUUGUUCAAAUUAAAAUUGUGAUCAACAGAGGGUUAUAACAGAAUCAGAUUAGUUGGAUAUUAUGAGUAUGAAGAAUACAGCUAUGCUCAUAAAUCAAUCAAAUUCAUUCAACACAAGGUUUUAAGGAGAAUGACUCUUUCUCUGAUUUUAAUGAAUAGACUAUUUGUUCACAGAUCAAUUAAAACAUCAUAUACAACUGCCUUGUUUGUGAUCAGAGAGCUUUAACAAAUCAGGAAGAACAGUUUUUAUUAAACCCAGAAUUAACAGAUUCAAUUUCAAAAGAACAGAUUUAGUUCUUGACAGAAUUAAGCAAAACCAGAAACGAGUGCAGGGAUGAGAGGAAAAAGGCAAGCAGGUUUUUAUACUGGUUCACUCAUACAGAGCUACAUCCAGUUUCACCUUACCCCAAGGUGGAAUCCACUAAAAAUAGUANNNNNNNNNNNNNNNNNNNNNNNNNNNNNNNNNNNNNNNNNNNNNNNNNNNNNNNNNNNNNNNNNNNNNNNNNNNNNNNNNNNNNNNNNNNNNNNNNNNNNNNNNNNNNNNNNNNNNNNNNNNNNNNNNNNNNNNNNNNNNNNNNNNNNNNNNNNNNNNNNNNNNNNNNNNNNNNNNNNNNNNNNNNNNNNNNNNNNNNNNNNNNNNNNNNNNNNNNNNNNNNNNNNNNNNNNNNNNNNNNNNNNNNNNNNNNNNNNNNNNNNNNNNNNNNNNNNNNNNNNNNNNNNNNNNNNNNNNNNNNNNNNNNNNNNNNNNNNNNNNNNNNNNNNNNNNNNNNNNNNNNNNNNNNNNNNNNNNNNNNNNNNNNNNNNNNNNNNNNNNNNNNNNNNNNNNNNNNNNNNNNNNNNNNNNNNNNNNNNNNNNNNNNNNNNNNNNNNNNNNNNNNNNNNNNNNNNNNNNNNNNNNNNNNNNNNNNNNNNNNNNNNNNNNNNNNNNNNNNNNNNNNNNNNNNNNNNNNNNNNNNNNNNNNNNNNNNNNNNNNNNNNNNNNNNNNNNNNNNNNNNNNNNNNNNNNNNNNNNNNNNNNNACAGAGAAACAGAUUCAUUUUUGUGCAGUAUCCUGAUUUUAGGAGAAAACUCCAAAAAGCUUUUAACCACUUCAUGUGCUUAUUCUAGGCUUGGUUAGGCAUCUAGAAUAGAUCAUGUAGCAAAAGGCAACCUUACACAUACACCAGCCUACAUACAAGAUCAUCUAAACCUAUUACAAACUUUACAACAAACUAGCUAUUUUCUACAUCAAACACAAACUAACACUAGGUAGAGAAGAGACUUCAUCCAUCUUCAACAGUUGCUAAUGGUUAUUUUGUGCCUAAGCAUGUCAUAGAUGAUGAAACAAUUGCUAAUGGUUAUUUUGUGCCUAAGCAUGUCAUAGAUGAUGAACUUCUUGAAAAUCCAUGGGUUGACUGGUUUGAAAUCGAAAAUAAAGAAAUCUCAAUAUGAGUGCACUCCAAAGAAUAUUAUAACCUCUACGUUGAAUAUGAAUUAAGUUUUUAGGGUAUCACAAUCUUCUCCGGCUAAGGAAAUGUGGGAGAUUUUGGAAGUAACUCAUAAAGGAACUUCAAAUAUAAAGAGAGCCGAAAAACAUGCUCUGAUACACAAGUAUGAACUCUUCAAAAUGUAAUAGGGAGAGGGAAUUACAUAUGUGUAGAAAUGGUUUACAUAUGUUGUAAAUCAUCUCAUUUGUUUAGGAAAGAUCUUUGAUAGAGAAUAGUUGAAUAUCAAGGUUCUGAAGUGCUUAGAUAGAAUAUGGCAACCCAAGGUCACGACUAUUUCAGAAUUAAGAGAUUUGACCACCCAAACAAUAGCUUCCUAUUUGUAAAAAUGAGAAAGCAUGAGAUUGAAAUGAACAAACUGAAUGAGCAGAAAAGUGAAGUUAAGAAGACCAAAGGAAUUACUCGAAAAUCUUGUCUUCACAAAAGUGAGGAAGAAUCCAAUGAAUGUAGUGAUACAAAAACACUUAACAUGUUGACUAGAAAGUUCAGUAAAUUCUCAAAAAAGAAAGGCAAGAAUAAGGUGCAGUGAACAAAAAGGUAUAAAUUUAGAAAAUCCUAUUGAAUUUGGUUCAUCUAACUACACCUGUUUUGGUUGUGGCAAUACAAUGUCCAAAUGUUUCAAUCAAAGAAAAAGGUUAUGAAAGGAAACAUGAAAAAGGAGGAAAGUCCAAAAGAGCAUACAUAGCUUGGUAAGACAAUGAUGAGUCAUCAUCCAACUCCACAUUUAGAUAAGAAGAAGUUAACAUAUGCUUGAUGGUUGGAUAUGAAUCUUGAACUAGUAAUGUAAGAUUGAACUCUUCUUAAAAUGAUGAAAACUAUAGUCAAUUGUUAGAUUCAUUUAAGGAAACUAAUGAGGAAGGAAAUAAAUUGGCUCUUUCAAUGAAUAGAUUAAAAGGCCUAAACAACUAUUUCAAAAACAAGGUCAACACUUUGGAAGAAAAGUUAAAGAAUACCAAGUAUGAUUUUAAAAAUUUAGAGAUCAUGUACAAAAACUCUUCUUGUAAAUGUGUUGAAUCUAGUAAAUCAGUGAAGAACUGUGAAAAUUGUGAAGUUUAAAAAAAAAAGUUCAUUAUCUUAUAAAAAAUUUAAGUAUUUUUUUAUAGGAAAAGGAAAUUUGGAAGCUCUACUAGGUUCUCAAUUUUUUAUUUUUUUUAUAAAGCUAGUUUAAGGUAUAAACCUGAAUUUCAAAAUAAGACAAAAUAAUAGAAUUUUUUUUAAAAAUUUAGUAAAACACAAUCCUCACCUCUUGUCACCUGUUUAGGUUAUUUAAGAGGUCAUACCACUAGAAACUACAACAUAAGAAAAUUUGAAAUUCCAAAUGGCUUAAUUAGGUGGGUACCAAAAAGUAAAAUUAAUAGUUCUAGACCUAAGUUAAUAAGAGGCCAAAACCUGUUCCUUCAAUCUAUUUUGCAGGAUUCAUUGACAACCAAAAACCAUCUAUGGUAUCUUGAUAGUGACUACUCAAAGAACAUGUCUUGAGACACUUCAUAAUUGAUUGAUUUGCAACUAAAACAUGAGGAAUAUGUCACUUGUGGUGACAAUAAUGAUAGAAGGAUUCUUGGCAGAGGUGAUAUUGGUGAUCAUAAUUGAAUACUUAUCAAAGAUGUGUUGUAUGUAAAAGAACAUAAGCACAACUUGUUGAGCAUUAGCCAACUUUGUGGAAAGGUUACCAAGUCAUCUUUAAGCCACAUUCGUGCCUAAUUUUCGAAGUAGGUUCAAGAAAAGUCUUUCUAGUAGGUAAAAAUUCAUAAUGUUUACAAGUUGGAUAUUACAAACACUACAUCUAAAAUUUAAUGUUUACUUCUGAAGCCCAGUUGUCCAUACAACUGGGCUGGUACAACAUCUUAUAAAUAAUGUUAUAUCCUUUAAAGGGAAGAACAUGUGUGAGGCACAAAUAUAACAAAUGAAGGCUUUCCCAAUUUUUAUGUAUAAGGGUAGGAUGAGGUAUGGAUGAGUAUUAGUUUAUUUGUAUGGUAGAAAGGAUAUAGGACAAAAAAAGAUUGCCUCAAUGUGACUUUCUUCUACUUGUCCUUUUGGUUGAAAAAGAAAUGUCCCCCUCUUCUAAGGCAUUUCAAUCAUCAUAUCAUUUACACAGUUUUUCUCCCUUUAUCUUUUCCUUUUCAUUCAUUUUUAGCGACCAAUGUUGUUUCAAUAAUUUGAAAGAAUGCAUUACUAUAUUUUUUUUCCCAAAAAGGGUGAAAAAAAUAUUUUUUUUUUUGAUAAAGAAACAUGGUCACAAAUUAUUUCAAAUCCUAGUUAUUCCCUUUUUUUCAGAAAGAUUAACUCUAAAACAAUAAAGAUAAACCCCUUAGCCAGACGAGACAAAACUCAACAAAUCUGCCACAACAUAAGAUAUUCUUGUUUUUCUAAUUCAGACAAUGAUGGAACCUACCAUAGGAUUUCAAGUGACAUGCGUAUGAAUGCUUCAAAAGAAAAGGUUGGUUGGUUGUUAAAACAUUAUACCACGAAAAAGCAUGACACACAUUUGUCAUUAUUAUCCUUUUUAUUUAUUUUUUGUUUUUAGUCCUUAUUUGCUAUUUUUGGAACAUCACAAAUUUGAUGAUUUUGCCAAGAGAACAAAUGAAUCAAUUUCUUUCUGUUAUAUUUAUUUAUUUAUUUAUUUUUACUUGAAAUAAGUUUUAUUUAUACAAAUGAAAUUUACUAUUAACCAGAACUAAUAAACUAUUUUAACCAAAUGUGUUUAGCAUUCAACUGAUCUAUCAAACUACUGAACAACCUCUAUAGACAUUCAGAUUGUCUAUUAUAAUUGCAGUUUCACAAAACACUGUUAGAAUGUUCAUAUCACAAAUAAAACGUUUAGUUUAUUUCUAUUAUCAUCAAAACUCAAACUUCACAUACGAUGCAUUGAUAAUCAAACUAUCUAGUAGAGUACAGACCAUCCAGGUUCUCAGCAUUGUAUAUGUCAUAAGACUUUACCCUUUUUAAUGAGUUAAAAUUGUGAUAUAUUUAUCACUCAAACUUUGUGUUUGUAUAAGUCAAAAGUGGCUCAUAAAAAAAUACUUAUUUAAGCUAAAAUUGACUUGUUGAAAGUAUACUUGAACAGGGUCAGACAGAAGUAGUUAGGAGUCAAAAGUGGAUUGUGAGAAUACUUAGGUUAAUCCAUCAAUGAAUUUUUUAAAGAAUAGUUGAGCAUGCUUUGCAACAAUAGUCUGCUUACUAGAACUUGACUGGUCGAUCAAGAAUUGAAUGUAGUUUUUUGAGGUAGAUAAACUAGUAUAAAAUCACUUGUCUCCUUUGUCUCUCUGUAUAUUGCAUGUUAUCUAAAUAACUAACCUAAGGAGGGUGAAAUGUUUAAACUAAGGUUACAAAACUUAAAAGUUUUCAUCUGUUGGAAAACUAAAAUUAUCAUCUGACUAUCACACUAUACUUAUGAAAAACAAAGAAAUUUUAAAGACACAAUUCAAUUUUCCCUCGUAUUUUUAUUGUUUUAAAAAAAUAUUGAAAUAUUGUUUUCAAAACUAGAGUAAUUUAUCACUUGAUAAUUUAUCCAUAGAAGUUGUGAGCAGUAGCUCACAAUUGACAUGUACUCGACCUCUUUUUAUCCACAUAAUAUAGUUUGUGUGGUAGAAACCUUCUAAUAUGAAACUUACAUUUUUCUUAUAACACAAGCAUAAAUUAUUUGAUCCUAAAAGAUAAUAAAAGAUCCAUUUUACAUCCUUUAAGUAAGACUCUUUUAGAAAUUAUUGGAAUAUUGCAGAUAGAUAAAUGUUAUGCAUAAUACCACAUUCCAAAAAGGUUUUGAUUUUGUAAAGUCAUUUAAAAAAAUUUAGGAUCUCUGUUUUGAAUAUUUCUCAAAAAAUAGCUUUAAUGCCAAUUGUUAUAAAAGGAUAAAUGACUUGUUUUAACUCAAGAAGGGGUGAAUUGAGUUUCAAAUCUUUUUCAUUGGUUCAAUUUUAAAUUAAGUUCUUGUUCAUUGUUCCACCACCGUGCACCACUUUUCUUCCACUGUUGUCACUGUUGUCGUCGCUGUCCUUCACCGUUGCCCUCCACCGCUGCCAUCACCUUGAGGUUGGUGUUCUUUUUACUUUUUAUUUAAUAUUUUUUUAGUCUAUAUGUGGCUUAUAGAUGGCGGUUCUACCUCAAUAGAAUAGACUAUGUGUUGAUAGACAACAAUUUUGAAAUCGCUGUCUAAUUGCUAAAAGAACUACGUACUGUCUUUGACCUUUUAUGUGUUAGUGUAUGUCUUUAUUAAUUAACUUCAUUUUGAGUUUGUUCAUGUUUUUUAGGUUAUCUAUAGUUCCUCUACUUUAGAAUUACUUGUUUAAAAAUGUGAAUUUAUUUUCAUCAAGUAUACUUUUCUUUAUUCUAUUUUAUAUAAACAAAAAUGCAUUCACAAUGAAUGUGAUAUUCUAACGAAAUUGACAUCAACAUUAAUAGUUUACGAGAUGUUAAACCAAUAAAAAAACAAAUAUAAGAUAAUUAGGCCAAAUUUAUGAAAAAAAUUUAUAAAUAACUAUAUUUCAAAAAGUCAAAUCUAUUCGUUAAAAAAGAUGUCGAAUAUAAGAGAAUAAUUUCACCAAAGAAAACCAUAUUUGGUAUUAAUAGUCAAAUUAGCUUUUAAAAUCUAAAAUUUCACUUAUAAACUUGCAUUUACUCCAUCUACUUCUAGGGACCUCAAAGUUGGUAUAAAAAGCUUGAACCGCUUGCAUUUACUCCAUCUACUUCUAGGGACCUCAAAGUUUGUAUAAAAAGCUUGAACCGCAACAGUGAGUGACAUUCCAACCAUAAUGAAUUACAUUUUUUUAUAUAUAUAAAAGCUUUCAUGUUAGGCAUCACUAUGCAACUUGACAUCUCAGUUAGGUUAACACCUCAAGUAACAACAAUCAUAUGCCAUUACAUGAAAAAAAUAUUUUUAAAAAAAAGGAAAAAGAAAGAAAAUUUAAAAAUAAAAUAUGGGGAAACUAGACCAAAACUCAUAUGUUAACAAAAAUGAUAGGUAGACUAUACCUAUUCAUAAAGAAUUAUAAGAACAAACUAGAUGGAAGCCUAUUAUACAAAUGAAAUUAUUCUUUGUGAAUAAAUCCUAAAUUAGCCAACUUAUUAGCAUACGCAUUCCCUUCACGAAAAAUAUGAGUAAUCCUAAACCUAAUUUUCUCACAAUAAUUAAGACAAGUAUUCCAUUGAAUACGAAGCAUCCACAGGACAUCAGUUCUAGAAGUAAACGCAACACAAACCAAGGUAGAAUCACAUUCAAGUCAUACAUUAGUAAGCUCCAUCUUUUGAGCUUCCUCCAUAGCAUGUUUAACUCCAUAAAACUUAGCAACCAUAGCAGUUUGAACUUCAAGAAACCAGAGAAAGCACCAAUAAACUCCCCCAUACUCCCAUGGAAAAUUCCUCCACAAGUAGCAAGACCAGGAUAUCCCCUAGCAACCCCAUCAAUGUUAAUUUUAACCUAGCCUAGUGAAGGGAACUCCCAUCUAACAAGAAAAGGACAAAGAACUUUACCAGUACGAGUAUGUAUAUCCCAUGGGUUGUUUGAUGGAUCAAGAAGUGUUUCCUAUUAAGAAAGUGUUUUUUAUUCCAGGCCAAAGGAAGACUUUUGCUCAGGCUUUGGGAAAUACAUGUGACAUUCCUUUUUCCCAGUUACCAACUCCUUGUAUUAUGGGAGACAUGGUUGUUGUCCGGGUUGAUGAGGAAGAUUACUUCGCUGGUCUUGAGGAUUGCAAGACCCAUCUACAUGGUUGGAUUAUUCUAUCUAAGGGGGAUAAACAUCUCACACACCUUGAUUUUACUAAAAAGUUGCAACUUGUGUGGAAGGUUAUUAGAUCGUGGAAAGCAAUCUUUCUUGGGAAGGGUUUUUAUGAGUUUGAGUUCUCUUCUUUAGAAGACAUACGGUGGGCUCUCGAGAUGGGGUUGCUAGGGGAUUGUUUGCCUGAAGAAAAAAAAACUUUGUUCCAUCUACUAUGAAGAGUACUCAAAACCCAGACUUGGGUUAGAAUCUACCAUUUGCCUUUGAAAUAUUGGAGACCAAGGGCGAUAUUUUCCAUCACCAGAGGCAUUGGAAUUCCUUUGUCUUUGGAUGAUCAUACCAUGAGAAAGAAUAGGUGUUUGUUUGCUAGAGUGUUUGUGGAUAUUGAUCUGUUGUCCCCUUUUCCCGAUCAGCUCUUGGUUGAACGUUCAGACUUUUCUUUUGUAACCGAAGUGGAAUAUGAAUGGCUCCCUCCAUUGUGCUCUUACUCUAAGAUGAUUGGGCAUGAGCUUGCUCAGUGCCACGUGAUUCAUGAUCAGGGUCAUGUUUUUGGACCACAACAUAAACCUUCUCAGAAGACAACUCCUGAUGAACAGGAAUAGAGAAAGGUCGCAGUUCCUAAACAACAUAAAGAGUAUCGGAAGAAAGAUUCGCAGUCGAAGCUCUUGGAAGGCCCUAUUGGUAAUUUGACAACUGAUGCUCCUGGAGGGGCUAAUGCGGGGUCACUCUUGGGUCACCUUUCUUAUGAUAAAACAAAUGGAGGGGAGGAUGAUAUUGUAGAUAUGCCUCAUCUCGAGGAUGUCUCAGAUCAUGAUAGGUCCUCACCCAGGCACAGGUUGUUCACUCCACUUCUAAUACAGUUAAAGUUUCAAAACCGGGGAUGGUAAGGAAUUCACCGGUUGUUAUGCAAGUCAAGGGCUCAGAGUCACAACUUGUAGUAGAUUCAGUUACGAUUCCUAUUGAUGGUCAUCAUGAGGAGGUCUCAACUACUAUGGUUGUACCAUUUCCGUCACGUCAUAUCUUUCCUCAGAAGCCUAAAUCACUUGGGGAUGCUAAAGCACUAGUUACAACUUCUAUUAAUGGUCAUCAUGUGCAAGUCUCUACUAUUAUGGUUGUACCAUCUCCGUCGCGUCAUACCUCUCCUCGGAAGGCUAAAUCACUAGCGAAUGUUAAAGCACUACUCUCAGAUAACGAUAUGUUGGUCUUGCAAAAUCACUUUUCCUCUCUUGAUGGUUUGGAAACUACAGAUGCGGGAGGUGAUCCUCAUAAUGGUACGCCAAUUACUCCGACUGUCGUUAUUGAAUUUAAUUUUGAACAUAUAACUGUUGAAAAUCAGGUAGUCUCCAAAUUUUGGGCAAAUCCUAAUGAGAUGGAGGAGCAUGCUAGCGAUAUUGGGGAGGAAAUUGUUUGCACGAAAAGAAAACCAGGGAGACCACAUAAGGAGACUGGUAAAUCCAAAAAAAAACUGCUAAGGCAGUUCUCUCUAAAACGUCGCAAUAGAGGUCUUUUCAUUUCUUUGGAAUGUUAUAGGACUGAGAAACCACAAAAUUGUGAAGAUGUUGAUUAGCUUACAUAAACUCCUUCUUGUUUUUCUUGUUGGACCUAUGAUGUCAUACACUGAUGCUUUCGAUGUCCUUUUCAAAUCUGUUAAUAUGCAUUUGGUGACUACGUCUCCUAUUGUUAAUAAAGUUUUUAAGCUUUGGUGUUUGUCGGUUCCAAAUCUUGUCCAAAAUUUCUUGGUCAAUGAUCAAUUUAUUUUUGUAACUUGCCUUCUGUAUGAUAAAUGCUUUAGCUUUACAGGUGUUUAUGGUGCCAACACAUACUUAGUUAGAUGUUUUUUUUGGAGGGAUUUUAGUUUCUUCAUAGGGCCUUGGUGUAUUCUGGGAGAUUUUAAUGUUGUGCUCUCGGCGGAUGACUGCAAAGGGGGGUGGCUCCUAAUCAGAUUUCUCGUAAUGAAUUCCUUGAUCGGAUUAAUACUAAUGAUCUUUCUUGUAGACCUUUUACUAGACCUUGUUAUACUUGGUGUAAUGGAAGGAGAGUUUUGCAUAGAAGUUAUAGAAUACUGGAUAGGGCUUUAUGUAAUGGAGUGUGUCUAAAUGAAUAAGAUUCUUGUACUUAUUAGGUUCUUGUUAAAAAUUGUUUUAACCAUUCACAUGUUCUUGCUAGUCUUGCUAGUAAUUGUUUAAGGAAGGUUAGCAAUUUUUGUUUCUUUUUCUAUGUGACUUCAGGACACUUCAUGUAUGAAGCUUAUUCAUGAUUCUUAGGCUAAUAAGGUUGUUGGUUGUCAUAUGUUUAUUUUGCAACAUAAGUUAAAAAGGUUGAAAAUUGAGCUCUGAAACUGGAAUAAAAAUUCUUUUGGUAAUGUUCAAAAUGCAGUUCUUCUUAAGUAGGGUCUCUUCCUUGGUAUUCAACAAACAUUAGAGACUACUAGUUUGUCUGAUAUUGAUGGGUUUCUCUGUCAAGAAAAGAUUGCUAAGGAGGAACUUGAUCAUGCUUUUCACUAUCAAUAUUUGUUUUGGAAAGAAAGGGCCGAGAUGUUUUGGUUUAAAGAUGGGGAUAGAAAUACUGCUUUUUUCCAUGUUGUGGUCAAGAGGAGAAAUAAUUCUAGUGGGAUUCAUCGUCUACAGAUUGAUAAUGAGGUUAUUGAGGAACCUAAACUCAUUGAGGAUCAUAUUUUGAACUUUUAUACAAAUCUUUAUGCUGAGUUUAUUUCUAAUGUUCAAGAUACAAGAAAUUUGGAAGAUUUUAUUGGUACUUAUAUUCCCAAACUAGUUUCCUGUGAGGAGAAUAUGAUGUUGAUUAAAUGUCCUGAGUUUUUGGAAAUCAAAAAUGUUCUUUUUAAUCUUAAUGGUAAUAGUGCUCCUAGUCCUGAUGGUUUUGGUGGUGUUUUCUAUCAUUCUUGUUGGGAAAUUAUUGGGAUAGGUGUUUGCAAUGUUGUUCAACAGUUUUUAAACAAAAUUGGGUUCUCCCUGUAAUGAACAAAAAUGUGGUAUCUCUUAUUCCUAAGAUUCAGGGUGUUGAAUCCAUUAAAGAUUACAAGUCAAUUGUUGUUGCUAAUUUCAAAUUUAAGAUUAUUUCCAAGAUACUGGUGGAUAGGCUUGCACUUGUGGCUGCUAGAGUCAUUUCUCCUAAUCAAUAUGGGUUUGUGCAGGGUAGACAUAUUCAUAAUUGUAUUGAUAUUGCUUCUGAAGUUAUUAACAUGUUUUCUAAAAAGGUAAGAGGAGGUAAUGUGCCUUACAAAGUUGAUAUUCAUAAAGCCUUUACCACUAUGAGUUGGAAGUUCUUAUUAUUAGUUUUGACACGCUUUGGUUUUCACCCAUCGUUUGUCAGUUGGAUUAGUACAAUUCUUCGUUCAUCUAUGCUUUCUAUCAAAAUAAAUGGCAGUUUGGUGGGUUUUUUUCUUUAUAGUAGAGGUGUUAGACAAGGUGUUUCUUUGUCUCCUUUACAUUUUUGUCUUGCAGAGGAAGUUCUUAGUAGAGGUAUCUCUAAGCUUAUGAAUGAUAAGAAGAUUCUACACAUGACUAGUCCGUAAGGUUAUCUCACUCCCUCUCAUAUUUUAUAUGUUGAUGACAUAUUUGUUUUCUGUAAGGCAAAUAAUAAGUCUCUUAGAAAUUUGAGUAUUUUUCUUAAAAUAUAUGGUGAUUUUUUGGGUCAAUAAUAUAUGUUAAUAAUUCUAAGAGUAGUUUUUUCACCAUGGAUAUUCUGCAAGAUUUUGUCACCAUAAUUCAACGUAUUCUUUUUUGUAGUCAUGGUUGUUUUCAUUUCACUUAUUUAGGAGUGUCUAUCUUAGUUUGUGCUCCAAAGUGUCGAUUUCUUCAACCUUUGGCUGAUAAAGUCAAAUUGAAUCUAGAUUGGAAAGGUAAAUCUCUUAGCAUGAUGGGUCAGAUUCAGUUGGUCAAUAGGAUGAUUACUAGAUUUUUAUCUUAUAGCUUUAAUAUGUAUAAAUGACCUGUUUCACUUCUUAAGCAAGUUGAGCAGUGGUGUCGAAAUUUUAUUUAGACUGGUAAUAUUCUGAAAAAAGGCAUAGCUACCGUUAAUUGAGUGACGAUUUGUUCACCUCUUGAGAAUAGAGGUUUGAAGAUUUUUAGCCUUCAUCAUGAAAAUAAUGUGUAUCUUCUUAAGCUUGCUUCGAACUUUGCUUAUAGCAACAUGCCUUGGUCUUUUCUCCUGAAAGUCAGGGUUCUUAAAUACGAGUUUAGAAUGGUUUAUUGAUCCUCGUCUCCUUGACCUAGAAUUAAGCAGUUUUACUCUACUAUACUUGAUAAUAUUUCUUGGACUAUUGGUACAGGUAGUUUUAUUAAUUUCUGAAAUAUGAUAAAUGGUGUUCUACUACUUCUUUAACAAAUAUUCCAGGAUUAUUUGUUGGUGCUAGCAUUCCGAAUAUACAAUCUACUUUGAAAUGGACAAAUUCAAUAGCGAUCCUAAUCAUGCAAAACUUAGCAAAAAUUAAAUUAGAAAUAGUGUUAAAAAUAGUAAAAAUACCAGUAAACUUAUCAGUUGAACCUCUAAACGUACCAACUAGAAAAACCUCAACAACCCCUAAAGAAGUAACAAACUAGCUCUAGAAAGGAUUUCAAUUUUAUUAUGCUUUUCUAUUUUAUAUAACUAGCUUCCUUGGUUGUCUAAUAAAUUUGAACUUUUAUUUUGUAAUUAGAUUUGUUCCAUCUACUAGAAAUGUUUCCAAGCUAUCAUAUAAAGUGUAUUAAGUUACAAUUCCUUAAGUAUUGGAGAACAUGGGAAUGAUAACGAAAUCCAAUAAGGAUUCAAACAACAAUAUUGCAAUUAAAAUUAAAGAGAAAAUAAAAACAUUAUAAGAUGUCUACAACACCUUCAUCUUGGGUCAUCAUCAUCCAAACAUUUUCACUUGUGGCUUCAAGUUUUCUUCAUGACCAACAAGUUUUCUUGAUUACCAAAUGAACCUUGAAUCAGACGAAAAUACUUAACAAACUAAUUUAUUCAUUUAUUUCAUUAUUGUUUCUAACACUACAAAAUACGUUUAUAGACUAGAUGUUAUAGAUUUCGUCAUCAUAUUUCAUAAAAUAAUGGACCAUAAUUUUUCUAAAAGUUAAACAUUAAUUUUGUCCGGUGUAAAUAAUUCUUGAAUCACUUCCAACUGCAAAGGUCGUCUAGUAGAACUGAGUCCCUUAGCUAUAGUGGAAGUUGUUGAUUGAAAUGGAUUAGGAGGCAUAACAAACUGGUUUUCCUCUUCAGUUUCUAAGAUAAUUAGGCCAAAUUUAUGAAAAAAAUUAUAAAUAACUAUAUUUCAAAAAGUCAAAUCUAUUCGUUAAAAAAGUUGUCGAAUAUAAGAGAAUAAUUUCACCAAAGAAAACCAUACUUGGUAUUAAUAGCCAAAUUAGCUUUUAAAAUCUAAAAUUUUACUUAUAGACUUGUAUUUACUCCAUCUACUUCUAGGGACCUCAAAAUUGGUAUAAAAAGCUUGAACCACAGUAGUGAGUGGCAUUCCAACCAUAAUGAAUUACAUUUUUUUUUAUAAAAGCUUUCAUGUUAGGCAUCACUAUACAACUUGACAUCUCAGUUAGGCUGACACAUCAAGUAAUAACAAUCAUAUGCCAUUACAUGAAAAAAGUAUUAUUAAAAAAAAGAAAAAAGAAAGAAAAUAUAAAAAAAAUGGGGAAACUAGACCAAAACCCAUAUGUUACCAAAAAUAAUACAUUGGUAAACUAUAUCAAUUCAUAAAGAAUUCUAAGAACAGACUAGAUGGAAGGCUAUUAAACAAAUGAAAUGAUUCCCUAUGAAUAAAUCCUAAAUUAGCCAACUUAUCAGCACACACAUUCCCUUAACGAAAAAAUAUGAGUAAUUCUAAACCUGAUUUUCCCACAAUAAUUAAGACAAGUAUUCCAUCGAUUACGAAGCAUCCACACAACAUUAGUUCUAGUAGUAAAUGUAGCACAAACCAAGGUAGAAUCACAUUCAAGCCAUACAUUAGUAAGCCCGUCUUUUGAGCUUCCUCCAUAGCAUGUAUAAUUCCAUAAAACUUAGUAACCAUAACAGUCUGAACUUCAAGAAACCAGAGAAAGAACCAAUAAACUCCCCAUACUCCCAUGGAAAAAUCCUCCACAAGUAGCAAGACUAGAAUAUCCCCAUCAAUGUUAAUUUUAAUCCAUCUUGGUGAAGGGAACUCCCAUCUAACAAGAAGAGGACGAAGAACUUUACCAGUACGAGUAAAGGAGGCGCCUGAGGCCCAAGCCCAAGAAGCCCAAGCCCAAGUGGAAACCCAAGCCCAACCUAUGAGCUCAACAUCCUUCAUGCCUCAAAGGAUUACUAGGAGCAAGGCCAAGGCUUUGGGAGAAGAGCAUCAUUGGAUGUCUCUUUUUGUAAUUUCUUUUGAGUAGUUUUUUUGGUAGAACAUAAAAGGAAGGUGUAGAUAUAGAUAUAAGGGGUGCUAAUGUACAAAGGUAAGUCACACCUUCCAUGUGACAUAAAAGUAAGUGUAGAUAUAGUUUUAGGAGGUGCCAAAGUAAGAAAGCAAGUCACACCUCCCAUGUGGCUUGUUUUGGCGCCGAAUUUGAAUGGUUUGUGUUUGUAAUUUUGCCUCUUCAAAUUCAUCCCUCUCACACUAUAAAUAGAGGUGCCAUGCUCAUGUAAAUGCAGAUUGGAAAAUUGAAGUAAAGUUACUCUACUCAAAUUGAGAGAGAUUUGUGUGAGACUUUUUCUCCUUCAACUAGUCUUAUCUUGUGAGUUUUGGGAGCUCCAAGUGGCAGCAUCUUGCACUUAUCUUGGAUCAAUCACCAUCCAAGUGACAUGUUCUUCCUUUCCAUGGCUUCAACCACAUAAGUCUUUCUUAUUCCAUCUCCAUUUCCAUUUCUGAAUCAUGUUUUAGUAAUUCCAAUCAAUAGUUUUGUGUUCUUUGUCUUGUUCUUUCAUUUCAAUCGGUUAAUCUUGUUCAUCUUGUGUUUCCUUUCAAUUCUGCAUUUUAAUUCUCCAUUUCAAUCGGUUCAUUUGUUGUAUAAUGUGUUUUCUAUUCAUUUUAAUGACUUGUUCUUAUCUUCUUUAAGUUUCCGCAUCCUAAUCUUGUUCUAUUGUUGAUAGUUUGUGUUUUUGACUAUUCAUUUGUGGUAUAAGGAAAUGAAACUCAUGUUCAUGAGUUUGGUUCAUCAUUUGGAAGACAGUGAACUCCAUUGAUGUUUCCUUAAGCCUCCUUAAUGUAUUGCACCUUGUCUUUUUCCAAUUCAACUGACAUCAAUGAGCUUGCUCACUGUUGCGUGAUUCAUGAUCAGGGUCGUGUUCGACCACAACAUAAACCUUCUCAGAAGACAACCCUGAUGAAUAGGAAUAAAGGAAGGUCGCGGUUUCUAAACAACAUAAAGAGUAUCGGAAGAAAGAUUCGCAGUCGAAGCUCGUGGAGGGCCCUAUUGGUAAUUUGACUACCAAUGCUCCUGGCGAGGCUAAUGCAGGGUCACUCUUGGGUCACCUUUCUUAUGAUAAAACAAAUGGAGGGGAGGAUGAUUUUUCAUAUAUGCCUCCUCUCGAGGAUGUCUUGGAUCAUGAUAGGUCCUCACCCAGGCAGGGGUUGUUCACUCCAACUUCUGAUACAAUUAGGGUUUUAGAACCUGGGAUGGUAAGGAAUUCACCGGUUGUUAUGCAAGUCAAGGGCUCAGAGUCACAACUCGUAGUAGAUUCAGUUACGACUCCUAUUGAUGGUCAUCAUGUGGAGAUCUCUGUUACUAUGGUUGUACCAUCUUCAACGCGUCAUACCUUUCCUCAGAAGCCUAAAUCACUUGGGGAUGCUAAAGCACCAGUUACGACUUCUAUUGAUGGUCAUCAUGUGGAAGUAUCUACUAUUAUGGUUGUACCAUCUCCGUCAUGUCAUACCUCUCCUUGGAAGGCUAAAUCACUUGGGGAUGCUAAAACACUACUCUCAUAUAAUGAUACGUUGGUCUUGCAAAAUCACUUUUCCUCUCUUAUGGUUUGGAAACUACAAAUGCGGGAGAUGAUCCUUUUAUUGGUACACCAAUUAUUCUGACUGCCAUUAUUGAAUUUAAUUUUGAACAUAUAACUGUUGAAAAUCAGGUAGUCUCCAAAUUUUGGGCAGAUCCUAAUGAGAUGGAGGAGCAUGCCAGCGAUACUGGGGAGGAAAUUGUUUGCACUAAAAGAAAACCAGAGAGAUCACCUAAGGGGACUGGUAAAUCCAAAAAAAAAAACUGCUAAGGCAGUUCUCUCUAAAACGUCGCAAUGAAGGUCUCUUCAUUUCUCUGGAAUGUUAUAGGACUGAGAAACCACAAAACUGUGGAGAUGUUGAUUAGUUUACUUAAACUACAUAAACCCCUUCUUGUUUUUCUUGUUGAACCUAUGAUGCCAUACAUUGAUGCUUUCGAUGUCCUUUUCAAAUCUGUUAAUAUGCAUUUGGUGAAUACGUCUCCUAUUGUUAAUAAAGUUUCUAAGCUUUGGUGUUUGUUGAUUCCAAAUCUUGUCCAAAAUUUCUUGGUCAAUGAUCAAUUUAUUUCUGUAACUUUCCUUUUGUAUGAUAAAUGUUUUAGCUUUGCAGGUGUUUAUGGUGCCAACACAUACUUAGUUAGAUGGUUUUUGUGGAGGGAUUUUAGUUUCUUCACAGGGCCUUGGUGUAUUUUGGGAGAUUUUAAUGUUGUGCUCUCGACGAAUGACUGCAAAGAGGGGUGGCUCCUAACGAGGUUUAUCGCAACUAAUUCCUUGAUUGGAUUAAUACUAAUGAUAUUUCUUGUAGAUCUUUUACUAGACCUUGUUAUACUUGGUGUAAUGGAAGGAGAGGGUUGCAUAGAAGUUAUAGAAGACUGGAUAGGGCUUUAUGUAAUGGAGUGUGUCUGGAUGAAUGUGAUUCUUGUACUUAUCAGGUUCUUAUUAAAAAUUGUUUUGACCAUUCCCAUGUUCUUGCUAGUCUUGCUAGUCUUACUAGUAAUUGUUUAAUGAAGGUUAGCAAUUUUCGUUUCUUUUCUAUGUAACUUCAGGAAACUUCAUUAUGAAGCUUAUUCAUGAUUCUUGGGCUAAUAAGGUUGUUGGUUGUCCUAUGUUUAUUUUGCAACAUAAGUUUAAAAGGUUGAAAAUUGAGCUCUGAAACUGGAAUACAAAUUCUUUUGGUAAUGUUCAAAAUGCAGUUCUUCUUAAGCAGGGCCUCCUCCUUGGUAUUCAACAAACCUUAGAGACUGUUAGUUUGUCUGAUAUUGAUGGGUUUCUCUGUCAAGAAAAGAUUGCUAAGAGGAACUUGAUCAUGUUCUUCACUGUCAAUAUUUAUUUUGGAAAGAAAGGGCCAAGAUGCUUUGGUUUAAAGAUGGAGAUAGAAAUACUAGUUUUUUACAUGUUGUGGUCAGGAGGAGAAAUAAUUCUAGUGGGAUUCAUCGUCUACGGAUUGAUAAUGAAGUUAUUGAGGAUUCUAAACUCAUUGAGGAUCAUAUUUUGGACUUUUAUACAAAUCUUUAUGCUGAGUCUAUUUCUAAUGUUCAAGAUACAAGAAAUAUGAAAGAUUUUAUUAUUACUUAUAUUCUUGAACUAGUUUCCUCCGAUGAGAAUAUGAUAUUGAUUAAAUGUCCUGAAUUUUUAGAAAUCAAGAAUGUUGUUUUUAAUUUUUAUGAUAAUAGUGCUCCUGGUCCUGAUAGUUUUGGUGGUAUUUUCUAUCAUUCUUGCUGGAAAAUUAUUGGGACAGAUGUUCGCAAUGUUGUUCAACAAUUUUUUAAAUAAAACUGGGUUCUCCCUAUAAUAAUUUGUUUGUUUUUUAUUUUUGCAAUCAGUUGCAGGAACCACAUAGAAAAGAUAAAAAAAGGAUUUGUGAUUUUUCAUUAGUCAAAGUCUGCGUUAUGGAAAAAUGAAAUCCCUUAAUUAGGCCAGUGUCAUAAUUUAUCGAUAACUAUUAUCGUACAUUUAAUUCUAUUAAUGUCAAGGUAGGUGCAUAUUAAGUGCCAAGAAUUGACUCCCCAAAGCAAUAAUGUAGUGAGAGUCACAAUCGUAUACAAGACCACCUUAUCAAAUUCUUCGAAAUUCACAGGUAUAGUGUCUGAAAUUCCUUCUAUUCACAUUGUCCUAUAUCUUCCACGCCUAAUACUGCAGAAAAGUCAAGCCAAUGACUAAUGAAUAGUCCAUGUGACAAUAACAAAAGUUUCUUCCAAGAAAUAACUGGAGUUUGUUCCAAGAAACACAUAAAGAUUAAUAAGUACUCUCUCUUUACUUUCAAUCUUUUUUUUUAAAAAAAAACUAAGGAGCUUAAGUAUAAGCAAAUUUCAACAUCCUAAACUACAGUUAUCUUUAAAAGUAAGUACAUUUUUUUAAUAUAAAUUCUAAAAUUAAUAGUUAAAAUUUUGAUGACUAAUUUAAAGACUAAUUUAUAAAUUUAUUAACAACAAAAAUUACUUUAAAUAUUAAUAAUUUUUUAAUUUAUAAAAUAGUAUCUAAUUUAAUUAAUGAUUAAUUAUUUUUUAUUUUUGAAAAUAAUUUUUAUUUAAUAAUUUUUUUAUGUAGUAAUUGAAUUCGAUAUAUGAAGAAGUUAUAUAGUAGUUAAAACUACAAGUUUGAAAAAAAUCAUAAAAUAAAAUAAAAAGAAAAAUCUAAGUCAAUGAACGUGAUAUUCUAACUAAAUUGACAUAUCAACCCUCACAAAUAUUUUACACCACGUUAAAUCAAUAAAAAGAAGAAAAAAAAACAUUUAUAAGGGUACUAGGCAAAAAUCAUGAAACAAAUUACAAAAAAUAAUAUUUCAAAAAGUCAUAUAUUCUUAGAAAAACACCAAAACAAGAGUAAAUAAUUUCACCAAAAAUCAGAUUUGGUUUAGGCAGAGUAGCUAAAAUAUCAACAUAUUUAUUUCCUUUUCGUGUAAAUAUAAGAAUUUUUAAAAUCCAAAAAUUGACUUAUAGACUUGCAUGUAUUCCACCUACUUCUAAUUUUCCAAGGAACCUCAAAGUUAGAAUAAAAAGCUUGAACCAGAGUAUGUGAGUGUCAUUUCAACAAUAAUGAAUUACAUUAUGAUUUCAUGGAAAAUUUCAUUAGCGAUCAUAAUAAUGUUAAACUUAGCAAGGAACAUUAUUAAAAAUAGAAAAAGCAUCAAUAAACUCACCAAUUUCACCAAUUGAAUCUCUAAAAGAUGUAGAAAGACCUGAACCCCGUAAGUAACAAACUAGUUCUAGAAAGAAUUUCAAUUUUAUUAUUUUUAUUUUAUUUUAUAUAACUAGCUUCCUUCCUUUCCUCAUAAAUUUGCAUUUUUAUUUUGUAAUUAGAUUUGUUUCAAAAAUUUGUAAUUAUAUUUGUUCCAAAGUGUAUUAAUGAUGGACGAGAGCCCAAGCUCACCACACAAUGAAAGCCAAGCCUCCAAGACUAGACGGUCUAGCCUAUGAUGGGGAGCGUCUAGACUCAAAAAGGAGCGUCUAGCCCAUGAUGAGGAGCGGCUACAUAAGGAGCGUCUAGGCCAUGAUGAGGAUUCCUUCUAGACCGUCUAGCUUCACAUACACAUGGGUCAAAGCUACGGUUUUGGGAAGAGAAGACCUUUGUAAUUGUUACAUAAAGGCCUAUUGGGGGUGCUUAGUAAUUAGAGUAGUGUAGAAAGCAUAUUUGUGUGAACAUUCUAGAAAGACCAUGGAGGGGGUGAGCAUAAAAACUAGACACACCCCUCCCCAUGUGCUCAUUUGUGCACCCAUGUGCCAUGUGCACCCAUGUGCUUCACAUUUACAUUUCAUUUGGCUAGCAUUAGGGUUGCAUUAUGGUCCUCCUUAGCCUAUAAAAGGAUGAGCCUACACCUUGUAUUUGGCAAGUUUAUUGUGAGUAAAGUUAUGCUGCCAUUUUGUGCCAAGCUUUGCUUCUCCCUAGAAUCCUAGGCUCUAAACUUCAAUUCCUUCAUCUUUUCCCUUGGGCUGGCCGAACCACCCAAUACCCACACUUAACAUGCACCUACAAGAUCAACACCACUCUUAGGAGGAUCUUGCUCACCUCAUCCAUUGCUUUCGCCCCUUUGCUCUACUUUGAUUCAAGAAGAACUUCAUGAAAAUGCCAUCAUUUGGUACAAUUUCUUAAACCUUUAACAACAUGGAAAUGAUACUUAAAUCUCAUAAGGAGCAGUAUUGGUUACAUUUUAAGGUAACUUGUUGAUUUUGUUAACUUAAACCAUAUUUUAUGUUAAAUUUAUAAUGUUCUCUUGUUUGGCCACUAAGGGAUCUCUCGAGAAAUGUCAAAAUCAAAUAUCUUUUAAAUAGUUUGUCAAAACUACUUUAUACUACUUCAUUUGAAAUAUCUAGACUACACCCACUUCUUAAUCAACAUGUUCCACUAAUGUAAAUUAUCACUACAAAAAUACAAGGUACUUAUUAUUUAAACCUAGUCAUUUUUUGUUAAACUACAAAUAUAGUUUGGACACAACCACUUCUAGUUAAAAAAACACAAGUAUUUUUUAAACACAAUUACUUCUAGCUAAGUAUGAAUAGUGUUUGGACCCAACCACUUCUGACUAAAACACUUCGAUAAAAAAAAGUUUGUAAUUUAAACGAUCGCAGAUAUUCGCAAAUCAAAAGAGAAUAGCGUCUUAGGACGAAUACAAGAUUGAGUACUCUUUUCUAGAUUGUUAUAAACAUAAAUAAUGUUCGUCCACUACAAGAAAACAAGUUAUUAGCUUCCAAAUACUUGCGUGGGCCAACAACGGACGCUAAUAUCGUCGGACAAAAUGGCGCAAAACCCACACAAAAUAGCAUGACACAAAAUGGAUGCACUUAUGGAUUUAAUUUUUAUUUUUUUUAAAAAAUCCAGUUUGCAGUUGCGGCCCACGCAUAUGCGUCGGCUUGCGUGUCGGCUUGCGUCGGCCACGGCCCACUCAUGUUUAUAUUUUAAGAUUUUAAAAUUAUUUAUUUAAAUUUAUUUAAUGUAUAACAUUAUAAGAAAUAUUUUAAUAUUUAAUUCUUUAUUGUAUUUAUUUUAAAAUUAUUUCUUUAAUAUUAUAAUAAAUUAUUUAAUUUAUCAAUUUUUAAUAUAAAUUAGUUAAAUUAAAUUAUUAAAUUAAUUAAGUGUUUGAUUUAAAAUUAAUUGAGUAAAAGAAAAGAUGUAUUUAAAUUAUUUAAAUGUUAUAUAAAAUAUUUUAUUAUUUUAAAGAUUAUUUAUUUUAAAUUUAUUUUAUUUCUAUAUUGUCAUAUAUAAAUUAAACAAUAUAGAUUAUUAUUUGUUAUAUAUUUUAAAAUAAAUUUUGUUGUAUAAAUGAAAUGAAUUAUUUUUGUUGUAUAAAUUGAAUUUAAUUGUUUUGUAUUAAUUAAAGAAUUUUUUUUAUAAAUUAUAUACAGUUUUUUAUACAUUAAAUUUAUUUAUUUGUUGUAUAAAUUUAAAAUAAAAUGAAUUGAAUUUUUGAAAGUUUUAAUAUAAUUUUUAUUAAAUUAUAUUUAAUGUACAUAUUUAAGAAAAUUUUCAGGUGCCCCACAUUAAAAAUAUUAAUAAUAAGUAUAAUAAAAAUCAUUAUAUCACAAAAAAACUUGUCGGUGUAGUAGUUAAAACUUCUUUGUCAUUGAGAGGACUUGAGUUUGAGUCUUGCCCACUACAGUACAUAAGUGUCCGUUUUUGGCCGCGUAAUGCAUAGAACCUGAGACAAAUUACUAACUUCACAAGACUGUCAUUCAAUUUUUUCAAAAAAAUUGUUUGUAUGGAGUAGCUUUAAGCAUAUUCUUUAAGAGAUUUGAUUUUAACACUUUAAAAAAAAAUCCUCUUUCCAGAAAUAAAUAAACAAACAUUCUUUGCACACAAAUUAUAGUCAUUUAUAAGUUUUUGAUGUGUACUAUGAAUGCUUACACUUUGUAUCAACUUUAUUUGUCUAAAUAAGAAAUUAUCAUAGGGAAGUGUACAACCAAAGCCAUUGUGUCUUGGUUUAAAUGAAGCAUGCAUAGUUGUAUAUAUUCAAUAAGACAAACUAGAUAACCAAAAAAUGCGCGUAUGUAAAAAAUUAAUACUAAUAAACUACAAAUAAAAAAUACAUUUAAAGGAUAUGAACUUUGAUGUAUCAAAUAUUAUUCUAAUCAUUAUACUAUUUUUAUUUUUAUUAUUUAUUGAGUUACUUUUUCAUUUGUUAUGUAGUUCAAAUUAAAGAAAAAAUAUUCAACAUGAAAUAACUCAUAUUUUAUUACAUAAUUAAUUGAACAUAGUUAAUAUUUUAUUACCCAUAAUAAAAAUUGUAAAAGAAAUAGAUAUAACCCUAGUUGAAAUUGAGAAAUAAAAAAAAUAAAAAUUAAAUCUAAUUAAUCAACUAGCUUAAAUAAAAUGACUUGUCUAAGUAAAAUAAAAAACAUAUCUAAUUUUUAAAAAUAAAUACAAAUGAUAAAUUUUGUAAUAAAAAAUUAAUGACUUUUUAAAGGUUUAAAAUUAUAAUUAUAUAAAAUAUAAUUUUAAAUUAAAUAUAUAAAUGUUUUAUAUAAUAAAACUUGUUUAUUUAUUUAUUUUAUAAUUGACAAUUUGCUGGAUUUACUACAAGCAGUCAUGAAUCAGUACCAGUUGAUUCUAGUAAAAAAACUUAUUCGAUAGUUGUUGCAAAAAAAGAAUUAUAUCUCAAAUUUGGAUAUUUUUGUACUGGUUUACUUACUGUUCUUGUGUAUGUGAAAUUUGCCUUUAAAUAUAAGCUUGGAUUCAGUUGGCAGUAGAAGUUUAAACAGAAAAGAAUUUGGGCGUGAGCAUGUGGAGAGAGAGAGGUUUGAUAGUCUUGCUGUUUCUGCUCUUCCAAAUUCAUGGAGAAGAUGCUUGCCCCCCCUCUUCCUGUGGGAAAAUCAGCAACAUAUCUUAUCCAUUCCGAUUGAAAGGAGAUCCACAAGGAUGCGGUCUCACCAUGUAUGAGCUAUCUUGUGAAAACAAUAUAACGCGCUGGUCUCUUUGUACUUGGGAACAUUUCAUGUGCAGGCCAUCAACUACAAUAAUUUUACAAUCCGAGUGGUGGAUCCUGGACUUCAACAAUCAAACUGCUCUUCUCUUCCUCGCUAUUUCUUCUCUCCAUCCAAUUUCACUCAUUCUUAUCUAACAAUGAUUCCGUAUCCCCUAUAUAUUCACCCCAAACAUGGUUCUUCUGUGUGGAAUUAUCCCGAGCGGCUUGUUGACGAGCAUAUAGUGUUUUGGAAUUGUAGCCAUCCAGUGACUGGGAACCCUAAGUAUGUGGAUACCCGUGGAUGCCUGAACUGGAAGUGGAAAGGCUACAUAUACGCUGUGGCUGGUGACCUAAUUGCAGAGGACAUUGAAGUUGGUUGUGAAGUGAAGCUGGUUUCUCCCACAUCUUGGAGGGGUUUGGACACAAAUACAUAUUCCUAUGACAUGAUGCACACAGCGCUACUCUAUGGAUUUGAGCUUUCAUGGAUUCCUCUCGCCUGUGAGGAUCGUUGUUCAGAUAUUGACUGCUAUUUCAGUUCUUCCAGCCACACGCUUCAAUGCUACAACGAAAGUAGGGCAGUGAAGGCUUUCUUUAAUGUUUUUUUUUUUCAAGAAAAACUAAACCUACUUGUUCUGUUAAAUUUGUGUUUCUUUGACAAAAAUGUUUAUUUCACACUCAAAAAGAAAACCACAUAAUUACAUUUGAAAACCAAUUUAUAAUAAUAUAAUAAUAUUUUUUUAUUACUUUUUAUAUUUACUGGCUAAACACUCUAUGGAUACGAUUUUGUUAUUAUAUUCUCUUAUAAAAUUUUUAUAAAUACAUAUAUAUUAUUUUUUAUUUUAUGCGAGCUUUUUCUUUUAUGAAAAUAAAAUAAUAAAAUAUAUAAUUUAUUAUAUUGAAUUUAUAUUAUAAUAAAAAAAUUAUAAAGAAUAAAAUAUUUUAAGUAUUUAUAAUUUAAUUACAUGUAAAAUGCAAAUAGUUAUUUUUUCACAAUUAGUUUUUUUCCACUGUAUUUUUUAUUUUUGUAAAUUUGUAUUGUAAUUUAAAAAUAUUAUUAAAGAUAAAAUAGAAAAAAAUUGUAUAUACAAAAUCAUAAAUUCUUAUUAAAUAAUUUUAUAAAUUAUAGAUAAAUGUAUCUAGAUAUUUUAAAAAAUCAAACCAAACUAAAUCAUUUUAUAAAAAUAGUUUGGUUUCAAUCCAUCUAUUUCCAUAAAAAAUUUCAAAACCCUCUAAAACCGUUUAAUUAUUAAAUAAUUUCUAUAAUUAUCUAUUAUAAUAAUAAAAAUAGUAAUGAUAUAAUCUUUAAUGAUUAAUAAAUGAUUAUUUUGUACAUUUUUAUAUAUUUUAUUAUAAAUCUUACCUUAAUGUUUGGGAAACUAUUCUUUAUUAUUAAUUAUUAUAAUAACUAAAUUUUUAAAUGUGUAAGUUUUUAUUAUAUUAUAAGAAAUGUACAUACCCUAGCAAAUUUAACUAGAUAGUCUUCCUUGUUGCGUUGUGCUCCUCUGGUAUUGAUACUCUGUUUCUUCUUUGGGUGAACAGAGAGGAGGGGACAUUCAUCCAACCUCAACCUGUAUAUUUUUAGUAAGAAUUCUAUCUCUUUGGAUUGCCUAUGUUUGAAGUAGUGUGUACUACCAAAAGCUAAUUUCGAUUCUACGUACUUAUUAUAAUUUUUUUUCAUUUUUUCAUGUUCAAAUAUAGUUUUAAUCUCUUAAUUUAAAUUUGAAUUUUUUAUGUUGGUUUUCUAAAUUAAAAUUAUUUUCUCCUCCAUUUUGAAAAUGAAUUUUUUAAUCUCUCUAUGUACACCGUUAAAUACUGAUGUGAUUAAUGUUAUGUUUUCUAACUACUUAUAAAAUAUGAAUUUUAAUAAAAAAUUAAAAUCGUAUUAUAGUUAAAAAAAAAAAUUAUUUGUGAAGGGUUUUAACAGUAGUAAUUGAGAAGAAUUAAACAAAAGAUAAAAAUAUAUGAAAAGAAAGAGUAAUAAUGUUUCUAAUAUUGGUCACAUUAUGAAGUCUAAAGAUUCAAGUCAGAAAGAGACAAAAAUAUAUAAAUAUGAAAAUAACAUCAAGACUAAAUUAUUCUUAAUAAUAUAUAUAUAUAUAUAUAUAUAUAUAUUAUUUAGCAUUUUUUAAAAUUUAUGAUGCAUUGGUACGAAACAUUAAAAGUUUAUCAGUAAAAUAAGAAAACGUUUAACAAAGUGUGGUUUUGUAAAUAAAUCAACAAUAGGCAUAAACGAACAGAUGAAAGGCAACAUAAUAGUUUCAUGUUAAAGUUGAUAACGAGUAAAAUGAGAAUUAAUUUCAAUAUAUUUUAUGCACUGAAUAAAGGUUAAAUUACAAAGAAUUUUGAAUAAAAUAAUAUAUAUUGUUACAAUAUAUGAGUUGAUGUAGAAAAAGAAACAUAUAUGUCAAAGAGAAGCCAAGGCAAUCAAAUUACAUCACUGGUGGGUGACUAAAGCCAAGACACGAUAGUAGAUGAACGAGAAAAAGUAUCUUAUUUAUUGUUUUUCGAAAACAAUAAGAGAAUCUCCUAGAAAUACAAAAACUUCUAGAAAUUCUAACUAAAUUUUUAAUUACGUAAGUGUUUAUAUAGUAAGAAAUGUACAUACCGUAUCAAAUUUUUGUAAUAGAUUUUGGUAUAUACAAUUUUAUCUAUGUUAUAAUAACGUUUUGAUAACUAUUUUUUUUAUUCUGGUUAAGGUUAUGGUAAGUGUUUUGGAUAGUUAUAGUAACUGAUCUUUAGCAAUAUUUAAAUGAUUUAUUAAAUUCCUUUUAACAUGUCAAUAAUGCUAUAUAUUUAUUGAUAUAGUCAUGGUCAUUUCACUCGUUUGGAUUCAAAAUUUCAAACUUUAUAACAAUAAUCUUUUCCCAAUCCAUAAUUUUUGUAUCAACGAGUGUCUUUCUAAUUAAUUGUGUAUUUUAUCUUGAAAGAAAUUGAUAUUUUUCUUCAAUUAAUCACUGACUAAAGGGGACUUUUAUUUAUCUCCAUUGACUUCUUUAAUAAAUAUCAAUAUUUAUUCAAUUAACUCCAUAUAUAAAUUAGAUAUUGACUGAUUAUGAGUGAAACCAUCUUUUAUCUAUUAAAACAUAAUUGGACUGCUAAAAACUAUAUUUUGACAUUUUGUAAAACUAAGUUUCAAAAGUGUACACUUAUUGUCAUAAAUUUCCAUUCCAUAUUAUCGAUAAAGUAUCACUCUAUUAAUUAAAUAUUUUUUAAAACAAAAAUUAAUUAUCAGUUCUUUUUUAUAUUUUACCUGCAUUAUGCAUUAACUCAUGUAAAAUAUUUUCUGGUUUCAAAAAGAAAUAAAAUCAUUUAGACAGAUUAUGAAGAUAACAUUUGUGAAAUUAUGCAAAUAACCUCUGAUAUUGGUGCUUUAUUCCUUUUCUGAUGAAUAGGGAGACCUCCGAGGUGGCUGAUGAAAUUUUUGGGUAAGAAUUCUACCUCUUUGGAUUGCCUAUGUUUGAAUUGGUAACCAAAAACUAAUUUUGAUUCUACAUAACUGUCAUGUUACCUAAUGUACAUUUUUUCAUGUUUAAAUAUAGUUUUAAUAUCUUAAUUUAAAUUUGAUUUUUUUUUAUGUUGGUCAGUGUACUGUCAAAUACUUAAUUGAUGUGAGUCAUAUUGUGUUUUCUAACUAUUUAUAAAAUAUGAAUUUUAAUGCUUUCUAAUAAAAAAAUUUAACUGCUAUUAUAGUUAAAAAAUAUUACUUGUGAAAGAUUUUAAGAAUGAUAAUUGACAAUAAAACAAAAAAUAAGACAUAUGAAAGAAAGAGUAGUAGAGUUUCUAAUAUGAAUUCAUAAAUAUAUAAUUAUGAAAAUAGCAUAAAAAUUAAAUUAUUCUUAACUAAUAUAUGUAUUAUAUAUAUAUAUAGAUGAAAACAUGAAAGAACUCAAACCCAAGCCCCAAAUCAAUAUUGCCAGGACUCGAACCCAAGUCCUUCCAGGAAGGAGAAGAGUUAACCACUAGACCAGACAAGUUCUUUGAUCAUUUUUACUAUACUUAUUAUUAUAAAUAUUAUUAAUAUUAUUAUCAAUUUUUUUUAUUUUUCAAAAAUAAUUUCUCUUAAUAACAUUAAAAUGAGAAGUUAAAGAGUAUACAGUUAAAGAGUAGUGUGUAUCCGCAUCAAUUUCUCUUAAUAACAUUAAAAUGAGAAGUUAAAGAGUAUACAGUUAAAGAGUAGGUUAAUAAAAUAGUGGAGAGCGGUAAUUAAAAGUUACAUACGGUAAAGAGAAUGAAUGAAUUUUCAAAAUUUAAAAUUCAAAAUUGCUAUUUGAAUUCAAAACCGUCUCUCAAGAUAGAAAAUAAUUAAAUAGAAUUUGAGUUUCACAUUUUUUUAUAAUUUUUAAUAUUUUAUUAAUUAUGGGUAAAAAUAUAUGUAUUUGGUAAUAGUUAAAAUUUAUUUAAAACUACAAACUCAACCGAAAAAAUAAUUAAAUAGAAUUUGAGUUUCAUAUUUUUUUUAAUAACUUUUUAAUAUUUUAUCAAUUGUAGGAAUUAAACCAAUAUUUUUCAUUAGGUCUAUAAACAACCAAUAAUAUAUGACAAUUAUUACAAUACAUAUGACACCAUUAAACAAACAAUAAACAAAAAAUUCAUCCUCAAUUGUUUGAAAAAUAUUAUAUACAAAAGAAGAAAAUGCAAUGAAAUUUGCUUCUCUUUUCUUCACCUUAGACCCUUGGACCUGUAUAGAGACUCAUUUAAAUUGUUCCCAUCUUUCGCACCCAAAUCUAAUGUUCCUUCGUGUUAGAAUCUUACGAUUGGGAGAGUGAGCGCGACAACGAAACUCAGUUUUUCCUUUUUGCUUCUCUGAUUCCUCUAUUUUGCUAUGAAUAUUAACUCUCUACAAUUAACAAAUAAAAAACAAACAAAAUAUUAGUAUAACAUGUAAAACAUAGAUUUAAGAACACAAUGACAUACCUUCUCUGCAUAAUGCUCUAUGUUGAGCAAACAUAUUUUGAAGGUGGUCUCUAAAAUCAUAACUUUAUGAAAAGUUAAGAUAAUUUCAAAAAUCAAAACCUAAAAGAAGAAAAUAUAGAGGAAGAGCAAAGAUAAAAAAAAUGGUGAUGAUAGAAAACUUAAAAAUCAAAUUAGAAGUAACUUUUCCGUAAAAUAUGAGGAAAUGAGAAUAUAGUUUAGUUAAUGAUCUGUAUGAUUUCAUUUAAAUCCAUAAAAUUGUUACCAAAAAGGGUCUUAUUGCCUCCUCUUGUUGAGUCCUUCUUAUCCCGCUAGUCACAUGUUUCAAUCAUAAUUUCAGAAGACAAAUUAGUNNNNNNNNNNNNNNNNNNNNNNNNNNNNNNNNNNNNNNNNNNNNNNNNNNNNNNNNNNNNNNNNNNNNNNNNNNNNNNNNNNNNNNNNNNNNNNNNNNNNNNNNNNNNNNNNNNNNNNNNNNNNNNNNNNNNNNNNNNNNNNNNNNNNNNNNNNNNNNNNNNNNNNNNNNNNNNNNNNNNNNNNNNNNNNNNNNNNNNNNNNNNNNNNNNNNNNNNNNNNNNNNNNNNNNNNNNNNNNNNNNNNNNNNNNNNNNNNNNNNNNNNNNNNNNNNNNNNNNNNNNNNNNNAAAUAUCUUUAAUUUUUUAUUUAAUAGAGAAGAAGAUCUUUAAAACAGAAAAGUAACUAAUCACUCUCUCCACUCUCCACUUAAAUAAUAACAAAUAAAAUAAAUUUUAAAAUUAAAAAUUAUUUUAUUAAUUUUUGAAAUUAUAAAAUGUCCAAAUAACCAAAAUAAAUUAAUACAAUAAAUUAUUAAGUAAGGAUAAAAUGGAAAAAAAUUAAGAGCAGUUAAGAGGGGAAUAAGAAAUGACACAAUGACCAUAAUACAAUAAUAAAAUUAAAUAUUAAUAUAAGAAUAAAAUAAGAAAAAAAAUUAAGAGCAGUUAAGAGGGGAAUCCCCUUUAUAUAUAGGUAUAAAUAUUAUUAAUAUUAUUAUAAAUAUUAAUAAUAUUAUUAGUAUUAAUAUUCAUAUUAUUAAUAUUAUAUUCAUAUUAUUAAUAUUAAUAUUGUUAAUAACAAUAAAUAUAAUAAAAAUCAUAAUAAUACUAAAGCAUUUGCUUGGGUAGUGGUUAAAUUUUCUGAGUUAUCUGAAAGAACCUAACUUUGAAUCCCAUUCACAGCAAAUUUUAUAUUUUGGCGCCAAAAGUUACAUACGGAAAAAUCCGUAUGUAAUGUUUUACAUACGGAAAUCCGUAUGUAAUAUUCCGUAUAUAAUUCGUGUUUUUCUUGUAGUGUAAUAACUAUGAAGAACUUCUUAAACUUAGUGUAGGAGCUUGUUUGAGACCAUAAAAAUCCUUUCUUAACUUACACAUCACUUUUGGAUUAUGAGAAACACUAAGAGCAAUCUUAUACAAAGUAGAAAGUUCAUAUUGCAUAGCCUAUUGACAAAUGUAAAGUAUCAGGCGAUCUAUCACCCAUUAGAAUGAGAGUCUUAGAGUUUUGAUGAUCACAAUACACUUUAAGGUGUGUUAUAUGUUUAACCAAGCUCACUCAUGUACAACAUAAAAGAAACAAUACAUCAAACCAUACAUGAGAUGAAACAUUGCAGGAAAUACAUAGAUAUAGAGACACACUAGAAGAUGGAGUUAUAAACACAAAUGUCAAACUAAAUGAGUGUUAAAAGAACACUUCAAAAGCUCGCAUUAUAUGAUAAUCUAGAAGGAUGAGAAAGACCUUAUCAUACAAGCACAAGAAUAACUACAACAUCAAUUGGAAACGUCAAGACGAAGUCAUUAAACGAAUAAUGUGCUCAUGAGAUUACAAGAUAAAACUAAGAGCAUAAAAUAAUGAUAGUACAAAAGUGUACUAUAAAAUGAGCAUAGAAAGAAUUAUUCAUGGUUAGCAAGACAAACAGAAUAAAGGACUCUACAAAAAGUAGUAGGCGAAGUCUACAAAGAACUCAAUCGACCAAGAGUCAUAUACAACGUGUUAGACGAAGUUCGAACACCAUAGAGCUUAAAGAUAAAUGCAUAAGAUGAUGUUGCUAAACGCGUUAUGCUACACGCAAGAAAACAUAAGUGUUACAAAGACCAGACGUUGAUCAAAUGAACAUAGGAAAAGAAGAUCAUGUGCUAGAUGAACAAGUUUUAAGGAAGUUUCCAUACUUAAUCCUUUCACUUUUACAUGAGCUCUUCAAAUGUUCUAAAUAUGUUUUGAUUAUAUUAAGUUAUACAAAUCAUAUUUAGUCAGAACGCAAUGUUUUAAUUAAAACCCUAGAAUGUUUUCAAAUGAGUUUCAACGAAUAUAUCUUGUGACUAAUUUGUCCAAUAUAUUGAAAAAAUUAUAAGCUUAAUUGAUGUAUCUAUACAAAAUAUAUUUUUUAAAAACACAAAGUUACUUAAUUGAGAUUUAAAUUUGUGUUUGAAAAGGUUUUGUGGAAUAUAUUCAAGAGAAAUUAUGGUUGAUAAUGAAAGAAAUUUAAUCUGGAUGAUUAACUUCAAUAUAUUGAUUAUGUGUUUUGAAUUAAUAUCUAAGAAUGGAAUGUAUUGAUAAUUCAUCUGAUAUUCCAAGAUAUUAAGAAAUUUUUAUUUUGUGACAUAUUUGCUCUAAGAUAUUGCAAAUAUUAAAUCACUGAUAAUCACAAAGGUUUCCUAAUAUGAUUUUAAGAAUCUUCAAGACGCAGAGGAGAAUGAGAACAAGUUUCCUUUUCAAGCAUCCAAUGGAUACAACAAAGUUAUUGCAUAGCGAGAUUUGUGGAAUACAAUUAUUCAAGUUGUUGCUCAUAAAAGGAGAAAGAGAAUCUCGAAAGAGAUUAAAUUGAGAAGACAACAAGUGAGAAUGAGCAUUAAAUAUGCAAGCCAUAACUUUCAUUAUUCAGCAUCUGAUAUGUUCAAGAGUCAUCACAACAUUCAAGAAAGAGCUCAUUUAAGAAGAUUUGCGAAGAACAAGUACGUGACUAAGUGAAGAGCGUAAUUUAUGCUAUGGAGAACGAGAUUCAAGAAACAUAAGAUAAAUUAGAUCAAUGUUCCCAAAAGAGAAAGAAAUUGUAAAAACUUGAGACGCAAAGCAAAUACUUCUAUACUCAGCGUUGAAAGAAAUUACUGUGAAAGCAUCUGUAAAAAAGAUAUGAUUGAAGAUUCAAGUCACAAGAUUUAAAGGAUUAAUGUUCACAUAAUAAUAUCAUAAAGGAAUCAAUUCAAAUUGUUUCUAAUCAUUAAAGACACAAAGAAUAUAAUCUAAGCAUAAGUUGUCAUAUUUAGCAUCCAAUGAUGAACAAUGCGCGAAAUUAAAGAAACCCUAAGCUCACCUCAUUAAUGAAUCAACAUUUACAUUGGGACUAAAUGAAGAAACUUUUCAAAUACAAUUGAAGAACAAGACAUAGUUGAAUAAAUCAAGAGCAGUGAUUUUCUAAUCCAGCGUCUAACGACUAUGUGAACAAAGAGAUUAACUAAAGCUUCAACUGUCACAAUCUGAAACACUAUAUAAAGACCUUGAAGAUGAAGAACACAAAAAUGAAGCAUACGAGCAUACAAAGAUCAUUGCAUACUAUUUAGGUUUCCUUGUAUUAAUGUUCUGAGAGUAUAUUUCACAUAUGCUAUUUAGAGCACUUACAGUUUGGGAGUGAACCUUGUAUUGUAAAUCAUUCACUAUGUGAAGUUUACUCUGAACUUUCAUUAUUUGUUCUCUUGUCAAGAGUGUUUUUCUCACUUGUUGAGAGGUCUUAGUCUCAAGGGGAGAUUAAGAUUUGUUGCCUAGAGAGGUAUUGAAUACUUGUGUACCUGAAGAGGUGUAGAAUACUUGUAUACUUGAAGAGGUGGAGAAUACUUAUGUACCUAAAGAGGUGUAGAAUACUUGUUAGCUGGAAAUGUGUAAAAUAUUUAAGACUCUUAAACAGGGAGCUUAUGACUCUUAAACAUUGCACUCAACCUAAAAUUAUCUUCACAAUAUGCAUCAAAGACAUCCACUCUUGUUUUCCACAACAUAUUCAAAUCAUAAAUCAAGGGCCUAAGAUACACAUAUAUGUAAUUUCCUAGUCUAUUAUGUCAUGAAAUAAUCAUAAACAACAUAAUAUAUUUUCUCUCCAUGCACAACCAAGGAGGCACAUUGUAAAUGACCAAUAAAAUUGGCCAUGAACUGUGUUUAAUACUUAAGUUCACAUAAAUAUUCAUACCAUCUAUAGCUAGUCCAAGUCUGAGGUUUAUUAACUUCACACCAAAUUCUAAAUGUUUCAUCAAUCCUAUUCUAUUGUGUAGAAUCAGUUGGAUUUAAAAAAAAAGUUAUCACAUUUUCAACCAUUUUCAUGUCAUGUCAAGUUUUUUGCAUCCUUUUUGUUGGCAAAAAAUCUUUUAACCUUAGGUAUUAUUGGCUAGUACAUAACCCUAGGUAUCUUCCUCACCACUACUUGCAUCAGGUUUCUUUUUAAACUGUGAUAACCAACAUGUCGAAAAUACCCUCAAGGUAGCAAACUCAUUUAUGCAUAAUAUAUAUUCAUCAGGGCAUGCACGUAUCUUCUUAUACUCCACACCCAUCGAACACAAUAUAUCCCUCUCUCUAUAAUUACUAUUAAGUAACAUGUGACCUUCUCAAAACAUAUCCUUCAAUAAUGAAACUCUUAUCGGUUCAUCCAUUUCUUUCUUUUAAACUGAAUAGUCUUAAAGUUUUACUGACACUCUUGUAAAGUUAUUGCAUUAUGGUAUAAUUGUUUCUCCAAAUCAAACUUCAAACAAUCAUAUACAUUUUCUCUUUACAACUGUUGUUCGCCAACAUCAUGUAUCAUCUCCUCUAAAUGAUUGUCCAUCCUUUCUUCAAAGUUUUCUAUAGUAAACAUAGUUGGAAUAUCUAUUAUUUCUCUGUGUCAUGCUCAUAUUGUAUAACUCUUGACAGUACCAAAGAUAAACAGGAAAUCAUGUAUUUCCUCAAGCUUCUUAAACAUUUGAAUUAAACACGAACACAAUGGAAACUAAUACGUCCCCUUGAUAGGUUUUCCAUUUUGUCAAGAAAAUUGCAAUAACUUAUCAACUCCCUUUUCAUACUCUUCACUAACAUGAUGUGCAUUCAUCCAAGUUCAAUCCAUAACUAAGUAUGUUAUAAAAUCUAUCGUAAUCAAUCAUACAAAUGCAAUUCUCACUUUUGUAAUUCAAGGUGAGACUCUACCCAUUCAGAAAAAAACAUUUUCCCUAAUUCUUUAACAUGUAUAAAUUAAGUCUAUUCUCUUAAAUUUGAUAAAUUUUUGAAAAAAAUUUACAUUGGUCUCCAAAGUACACGAAAUUUAAGCGGUCACAAAGAGUGCAUCACACUCAAAUAUGCUCCUAGAGAACAACAUUAAAUGGUUGGAACCGAAAUUACAUUAGACUCAAUGUAUACAUAUUAACAAACUAUGAAAAAUAAUUUUCCCAAUCUAUCCAAUCAAACUAUACAAGAUUUGGUAUGAAGGAUUAAUAUUUAACCAUUUGUACUAAAUCUCAAAUGAGAACUACACUUCACUAAAUGUAUGCAUCAAUACAAUAUUUAUUUUAAAUAAAAUUAGCAAAUUAAAUACAAACUAACUUUUAUAUUUAGGUAAAUUUAGUUUAUAUACAAUUGCUUAUUUAGAAAUAAAACAAAAUAUCAUAGAAACUUUUUAAAUGUUUUUUACAAAAUAAUGUUCAUAAAAAUAAAACAACAUACUAAUGUACGUAUAAAAAAAUUACCAUAUACUAAAGUAUCAUGCAAAUAAAAAGAUCUUCCUAAAAAAAUCCUAAAAAAGUUUCAAAUAUAAUGACAAAAUAUUUGGUACUUACCCUUAAACACGAAAAAUGGAAGUGCAAUGGUAGAGUUGUGACGACAAGAGCGGAGGAGGAUGAAAAAUCGUCAAACUUUGCAGCAGUGACGACAGCAAAUUGAAGAAUCUAUAAGAAAAUUGUAUGUAAGAAGAUGGAAAGAAGAAAGAAGAUGUUUUUUAUUCUCUUGUGUGCAUUUACAUCACACUCCAUGUAUAGGAAAUAUAUAGUAUGAAGAUUUUCUCUCUCCAAAUUAUAAGCUAAUUAGGUAGGGAUCCACUAAUCAUGGGAUUUUAUUAUUAAAUUAAUUGCAUAUAAUUGCGUACAAUAUCGUACAAUAUUGUAUACAAUAAUUGCGUAUAAUUUGAUAAUUAUUAUUUUCUUAAUACUCCCCUCAAGUUGGUAGGUGAAGAUCAUGAAACUGUUCCUUGCCUAGUGACUUCGUAAAAAUAUCUACGAGCUGAUACUGUGUCAGUACAUAUGAAGGACGACUGAUUAUCUCGGCUUGUAAUUUUUCUCGCACAAUGUGGCAGACUAUCUCAAUGUGUUUUGUGCGUUCAUGAAAUACUGGGUUUGUUGCUAUAUGUAAUGCCGCUUGAUUGUCACAGAAAAGUUGAGCUGACAAGUUACAUGACACCUUUAAAUCCUGCAACAGAUAUCGCAACCAAACUAUCUCCAAACAAGUAUUGGCCAUCGCGCGGUAUUCUGCUUUCGCAGAUGAUCUUGAUACAUUUCUCUGUUUUUUUUAUUUCGAUGAGAUAAUAAAGGAACCAAGAAAAAUGCAAUACCCAGAUACUUAUCUCCGAGUUGUCUGACAACCUCCCUAGUCUGAGUCGUAAUAAGUUGUCAAUGUCAAAUUGUUCUCAAAUGGCAAUAACAAUCCUUGUCCCGGCGAUCCUUUGAUGUACUUUAGGAAUCGAAUUGCGGCAUCCUAAUGAGGUUUCCGUGGAGCCUGUAUAUAUUGACUUAGGGUCCAAACCGCAAAUACUAAGUCAGGUCGAGUAACCGUGAGGUAUAUCAAUCAUCCCACAAGUCGCCUGUAUUUGACUGGAUCCUUUAACAACUCUCCACCUAAAUUCCUGUCAAAAGAAUAUCAUCCACAUAAAUCAAAAGGGCAGUAAAUUAUGAGUUAUUCUUUGUGAUUAGAGAGUAGUCUAUCUUUGACUGUUGAAAUCCUACUGAUUUAAUCACAUGAGAAAAUGUUGAAAACCAUGUCCGGGAUGCCUGUUUGAGACCAUAAAGGGAUUUGUUGAGUCGACAUACAAUGUUCUCCCCCUGUCGGUGAUGCCCGGGUGACAAGUUCAUGUAAAUAAUUUCAUGCAAUGUGCCAUGUAAGAAGGCAUUUUGCACAUCUAGCUGGUGAGUAAACCAAUUUCUGACUGCUGCAAUGGUGAGGAGACACCUUAAAGUUGUUAAUUUUGUUGUUGGUGAAAAAAUUUCAAAAUAGUCAACACCUUCAAUCUAAGUGUACCCCUUUGCGACAAGGCGUGCCGAUGGGUUUCUGCCCAGCGGGUAACGGUGUUAAGGUCCACGUUUGAUUUAGCUGCAAGGUUGAAAGCUCUUCGUCUUUUGCUUUUUGCCAAUUUGGAUCAAGGAUAGCUUGAGCAUAAGUGUGAGGUUCUUUGGUGGCUGUGAUGUUACAUAUGCACUAUGUGUAGAAAAAAAUCGUGAAUUGGAAAAAAUAUGAUGCAUAGGAUACCUGGUUCAAUUCGACCGGUCUUGGCCAGUGGUCGAAUGAUUGGAUUGGGAUCCCGUUACGUAGUCUUGAAGCCAAGAAGGUGGGGUUGAUGUGCGACUAGAUCGUCGAACAAGAAGGUCGGUUAGAGAAGUUUCAGUAAUGGGCGCUAAACUUCCUGGAGUGGGAGAAGAAGGUUGGUUUGCUGGAGGUUCAGGUACAUUGUGACGAGUAGGAGAAGAAGGUUGGUUUGCUGGAGGUUCAGGUGCAUUGUGACGGGUAGGAGAAGAAGGUUGAUCGAGUGAAUGUUGGACAGGAGUGGGUAAGUCAAUGUCAAUAGCGGGCAAAAUACCUUGUAAUGGAGGUGAGGAUUGCAUCUGGGACUGUUGCCAAAAUGGGAAAACACUUUCAUGGAAGGUGACAUCCCGACUUGUAAAAAUAGUGUCUGCAUCUAUAUCAAAUAAUUUGUAUCCUUUUUUAUUGAGAGGAUAACCAAUGAAGAUGCAUUGCGCGGGUCAAAUUUUUGCUUAGGUGAAACAAAAGUUGCGUAAAAGAGGCAACCAAAAGGUUUUUAGGUGAGAAAGUGAAGGUGGGCGAUUAUAUAACAUCUCAAAAGGUGAUUUGUUUUUUAGUAAAGGUGAUGAUGGCAAGCGAUUAAUGAUAUAUGUAACGGUUAAAACUCAUUGCCCCCAAAAUUCUAAUGGUAAAUGAGACUGAAAUAGGAGGGCUCGUGCUGUGUUUAAAAUGUGUCUAUGUUUGCGUUCUACUACUCCAUUUUGUUGAGGAGUGUAGACGCAAGUGCGUUGACAUUCAAUACCCUUUUUGAGAAAAAAAAUUACGCAUUGAAAUAAAUUCCAAUCCGUUGUCAACACAGAUGGUUUUAAUAUAUGCUUGAAAUUGAUUUUGUGCAAAAGUAAUGAAUAAUUCUAAGAAAUGUUGGGUUUUAGACUUGUGAGUCAUAAGAAAUACGUACAUCUAGUAUAGUCAUCGACUAUAGUGGGAAAAAAAACGAUUUCCAAAAUGAGUUGGGGUUUUAUCAGGACCCCAAAUGUCACAAUGCAAUAGAUUAAAUAGAGAAUGAUAUUUUAUUGUGUUUAAAGGAAAGUGUAGCCUUGUCUGAUUAGCUUUGGACAAAUACUACAAUUAUUAUGAAUGGGAAUGAGAUUUUUACUGAAGGAUGUCCAAGACGCUUGUGCCGUAAAUCAGAGUCGGUCGAAAUUUGAGAUGUGUGGGCUUGGUUUGAAAGAGGGGACAUGUAGUAUAAGCCUGCGUCUUGUUUACCCGAGCCAAUCAUCCUACCCGGAGCCAAGUCCUGCAAAACGCAACCAUGUGAAAAAAAGACGACACAACACUUUAGUGAACUGGUUAUCUUACAAACAGACAUAAGAUUUAGAUUAAAAGAAGGAACGCAAAAAACAUCUUUGAGAGUGAUAUUGUCAUUGAAUUUAAUUGUGCCCGUAGAUGAGAUGAGUGCAGUUGAGCCUGUGGGUAGAUUAACAUUUGGAAUAAAUGAUGAUGAAGUGUGUGUGAAAAAUUGUGAAUCGGAUACAAUAUGAUUGGUUCCUCCACUAUCCAAAAUCCAUGUUUUCGUAAAAGCAAAAUUAAUAGACGAAUUAUAGGCAAGCAUACCUGCAGAGCUAACAAACAUGUCACUUUUACCGUUAUUAUUGAGCGAGUAAAUAGCCUUUGCCAAUUGCUAAAUUUGCUCGGUAGUGAAGUCUUGUACGAGGUUUCUAUUGAACUCAUUACUGGUGCUUUCUUUGCCAAACAUGAUAUCUUAUUUAGUAGAUAAAAAUGACGAGGCUGUCAGAGCACCAAUUGAUACCAUAUAAGAAAAUUGUAUGUAAGAAGAUGAAAAGAAAAAAGAAAAUGUUUUUUAUUCUCUUGUGUGUAUUUACAUCACUCCAUGUAUAGGAAAUAUGUACAAGUAAGUGUAUGAAGACUUUCUCUCUCCAAAUUACAAGCUAAUUAGGUAGGAAUCCACUAAUCAUGAAAUUUUAUUAUUAAAUUAAUUGCAUAUAAUUGCGUACAAUAUCGUACAAUAUUGUAUACAAUAAUUGCGUAAAAUUUAAUAAUUAUUAUUUCCUUAAUAAGAAUCGGCUUAUUUCAUGAUGGUAACAAUAAUGACUAUCAAUGAAGACGACCACAACCACACUAAAGACACCAACAACAACGAUGAAGAAACAAAGUAUAAAGAAUUGAACUUUAAAUCUAACUAAACCUUAAAUCGGCUCAUAAGAUGAAGUUUGCAUUCACUUAUAUACUAUGAAAUGUUCUUAUUUCUAGUCAAUGUAGAUUCGUGUGUGAGAUAUUUAUGGUCUGAUAGCGGUCCGAUAACGGGUGGCCUGAUAAGUCCAAAAAGCUCUCGCUAGAAUAGACUAUAAAUGACUUUGAUAUCAUAUUAAGAAGUGAACUUUAAGCCUAAUUCAACCUUACAAAACCGUCUCAUAAGGUAAAGUUUGUAUCCACUUAUAUACUUUGAAAUGUCCUUAUCUCUAGUCGUUGUGGGAUCUCUAACACCCCUUUGUUAAGACCCUCCAACUCCCUCUCAUGCCGAGAUCCUUCAACUCCUACAUGAGACUAUAUAUUUAUAAGUGGUUUGGUAGCUACCCAAUAGCGGAUGUCAUGAUAAUUCCAACAAACUCUUACUAGGAUAGACUCUAAAAAGUAGACUUUAAAUCUAACUCAAUCUUAGAAAACUAACAUCAUAAAGUAAGAUUUGUACUACUUAUAUAUGUGAAAUGUUUUUAUUUCUAGUCGAUUUAGGAUAUCCAAAGUGACAAUACAAAAUAAAAUAAAAAAAAUCGAGAGAAAUGAGUUACGUAAACUUUUUUUACAUCAGAUACAAGAAAGUAUGAUGUAAAACUAGACAUUUACAUAUGAUAAUCUAGCAUUGAAUGCAAAUCUGAACUUUUAGAUUGGAUUUUCAUAUUAAUGAAGGAAAAGAGUUUACAUUAUUAACUAAAAUAUCACCCAUUUUUUGUCCAGUGAUUACCGUUUUGUCAGACAUAAAUCGUAAACGUAGAUUUUCGCUUUUAUAACUAGUGGGUUUUGCGUAGUUCUUGUAAACUUCUUGUCAUCUUUAGCUUGAUUUAAAUCCUUUUAUUAAAUUCAUUUUAACAUGUCAACACUGAUUGUAUUUAUUGCAAAAAUCAUGUUAUUUUAUUAGUUUGGAUUCAAAAUUUCAAACAUUAUAACAAUAAUCUUUGCCCACUUUAUAAUUUUUAUAUUAUCAGGUUUCUUUCUAAUUAAUUUUGUAUUUUAUGUUAAAAGAAAUUGAUAUUUUUCUUUCAUUAGUCACUGGAACUUUUAUUUAUCUCCAUUAACUUCUUUGAUAAAUACCAAUACUUAUUCAAUUAACUCCAUAUAUAAAUGAUCCUGCCGGUUGACCAGAGCGCAAGAGUCUUGCCACGCCGAAGGUAUCUUCCUCUGGAUCGGCUUUGCACCACGCUAGCUUCCGUCCUUCACACCUUGAUUCUCCUCAAGAACCUGCAAAAGACAGAGUGGCGCCGCUGCGGCCGAUCGCGCUCCGACGCUCAAGUUAGUGACGGAAUCACCAAAACUCUAAGAGAGAAAAGCUAAAAACUCAAGGAACCGUGCAAAAACUCUCUCAGCGUACUCAAGUAUUCUCAAAGCGUAAAGAAGUGUUCUAAACGCGCGUACCUCAGAAUCUGUUAAGAGUUCCUUAUAUACCUGUGCAUUUUCUCUCUCCUAACGGUUACACCUCUGGACACGUGGCUCGCAUCCAGCUAUACACGUGUCACCAUCUGGAACGUCUUCUGCUUGAGCGCCACUCCUACUCUUCAAGCUGUUCGACUAAGUUACUCAGGUGAGGAGCAACUCGGUGCAUAGCUGCCUUGGAGUGCGAUCUUCUUCUAGUGGCGAGCACAGGGUGUCACCUUGCGCACCUUCUCUGUGAUCUCGCCUGCCGCUAUCACGAUCUGCAUUACUUGCUCAUCGUGCAUGUUCUGGUAAACUGUUCCCUGACCUCAACCUCUGGCUAGGGAAUGAUCAUUUGAUAACUUCAUCCUUCGUACUCGUGCCCCUUGAAGGCCUUGAACAAGCUUUCCUGAUCUUUCGGCGAUGUCCCCCUCUCGGCGAUCUCUGACCACUUGGUCGCCUAAGUUCACAUACGGCGACUACGACACAAGCCUGGUGACCGCCGGUUUAGAUAUGCUAGAAAUCGGAGCACGCCAACUUAAUGAUUGGCGACUACACGAACUCCCCGAUGUCCUUCCCUUCCGUCAGCCAGGUGUUCCGUUCAACACGCCUAUAUUACCACUUGCUGCCACGUCAUCACUCCCAACUACCUGGUCGGUACACAAGCCCCCAGUCUUAAGCGAAGACUUGUCCAGCGAAAAGACUAAGAGGUCACAUCACCGUCGAUCUACUUGGCGCUGGCACGGAAUUCCAAACGUCUGUACCCUCUGCUUUCCUGACACUCCACCAAACCCCUUUUUCCAAUCGCUCGACACGUGGCUUCAUCAACGGUCAUCCUCAGUUGUCGUUUGUGCUUCCGAAAACGUUCGAAAAACCCUUAAACCCCUUGCACUUCCACUGUUCCAUCAUCUUUCUGCACCCUCAAAACGUUCUAAGUUCUUCUCUGCGAACCCACGAAGCUUCUCAACUCUCUUAAUCUCCAACUCUCUUCAACGCUCAUCCGAUCAUCAAAAGGUACCCCUUUUACUUCUUUUAUUGAUAUUUGCUGCAUUUUAACCGAUUUGCAUCAUCCAUUAACGGAUAUCAUCAUAGACAACAUCAUGUAUUUUCGCUUCAUGCACAAUCCAGGAGGUAAGUUGUAAAUAACUAGUAAUACAGGCCAUGAACUGUGAUUUGUACUCAUAUUACCAAACGGAUUCAUUUCGUCUGUAGCUAAACCAAGUCGGAUAUUUCUUGAUUCUUUACCAAAUUCUGGAAAGUCAUCAUCAAAUUUCUUCCAUUGAAUAGAAUCAGCUGGAUGUCGGUACAUGCCAUCGCAUUUCCUCUCAUCUGCAUGCCAUCUAAGAUUCUUAGCAUCGUCUGGGUUUGCAAACAAACGCUUCAUCCUUGGAAUGAUGGGAAGAUACCACAUAACCUUCAUUGGGGGUCCAUGCUUUUCCAUGUCAUCAAUAGAAUCAUCAUCUUUUUGUUUCAACUUAUAACGUGAUAACCCACACCUCGGACAACUUUUCAACAAUUCAAAAUCUUUCCGGUAUAAUAUACAAUCAUUAGGACAUGCAUGUAUCUUUUUGUACUCCAUACCCAUUGGACAAAGNNNNNNNNNNNNNNNNNNNNNNNNNNNNNNNNNNNNNNNNNNNNNNNNNNNNNNNNNNNNNNNNNNNNNNNNNNNNNNNNNNNNNNNNNNNNNNNNNNNNNNNNNNNNNNNNNNNNNNNNNNNNNNNNNNNNNNNNNNNNNNNNNNNNNNNNNNNNNNNNNNNNNNNNNNNNNNNNNNNNNNNNNNNNNNNNNNNNNNNNNNNNNNNNNNNNNNNNNNNNNNNNNNNNNNNNNNNNNNNNNNNNNNNNNNNNNNNNNNNNNNNNNNNNNNNNNNNNNNNNNNNNNNNNNNNNNNNNNNNNNNNNNNNNNNNNNNNNNNNNNNNNNNNNNNNNNNNNNNNNNNNNNNNNNNNNNNNNNNNNNNNNNNNNNNNNNNNNNNNNNNNNNNNNNNNNNNNNNNNNNNNNNNNNNNNNNNNNNNNNNNNNNNNNNNNNNNNNNNNNNNNNNNNNNNNNNNNNNNNNNNNNNNNNNNNNNNNNNNNNNNNNNNNNNNNNNNNNNNNNNNNNNNNNNNNNNNNNNNNNNNNNNNNNNNNNNNNNNNNNNNNNNNNNNNNNNNNNNNNNNNNNNNNNNNNNNNNNNNNNNNNNNNNNNNNNNNNNNNNNNNNNNNNNNNNNNNNNNNNNNNNNNNNNNNNNNNNNNNNNNNNNNNNNNNNNNNNNNNNNNNNNNNNNNNNNNNNNNNNNNNNNNNNNNNNNNNNNNNNNNNNNNNNNNNNNNNNNNNNNNNNNNNNNNNNNNNNNNNNNNNNNNNNNNNNNNNNNNNNNNNNNNNNNNNNNNNNNNNNNNNNNNNNNNNNNNNNNNNNNNNNNNNNNNNNNNNNNNNNNNNNNNNNNNNNNNNNNNNNNNNNNNNNNNNNNNNNNNNNNNNNNNNNNNNNNNNNNNNNNNNNNNNNNNNNNNNNNNNNNNNNNNNNNNNNNNNNNNNNNNNNNNNNNNNNNNNNNNNNNNNNNNNNNNNNNNNNNNNNNNNNNNNNNNNNNNNNNNNNNNNNNNNNNNNNNNNNNNNNNNNNNNNNNNNNNNNNNNNNNNNNNNNNNNNNNNNNNNNNNNNNNNNNNNNNNNNNNNNNNNNNNNNNNNNNNNNNNNNNNNNNNNNNNNNNNNNNNNNNNNNNNNNNNNNNNNNNNNNNNNNNNNNNNNNNNNNNNNNNNNNNNNNNNNNNNNNNNNNNNNNNNNNNNNNNNNNNNNNNNNNNNNNNNNNNNNNNNNNNNNNNNNNNNNNNNNNNNNNNNNNNNNNNNNNNNNNNNNNNAAAUAAAAAUUCAAAAUAUUAAAUAUGAAUUCAAAAUUUUAAAUAUAAAUUCAAAAUAUUAAAUAAAUACAACACCAACCUUUAGGUUGAUGGUGAUCAGAGACGAAGACGAAGGCGUAGGCGAAGGCGGUGGCGGAAGCAGUGGCGGUGACGGAAGCAGUGGCGGUGGCGGAGCAGAAAAAACCAGAGAACCAAUAGAACAGUAACCACCUAUAUGUAGAAAACGAGUAAGGAAACGAAAUGACAAUGCCAAGGAAGUGAAUAAUGACAAUGACAAAAACGAAAACGAAAACAAACGUUGAAGCAGAGAGAGCUGAAACUUACAAUGCAAAGCGGAGAGAGCUGAGAACGUUGAAACGAAGAGCGGAGAAGACGAAAGUGAAAGUGAAAACCAGUGGCGCGCUUCUAUUUUUAGGGUAAAAUUGAUUUACAAAUGCGGUUCUAGGGUAAGACCGCAUUUGUAAAUCAAUUUAAUUACAAAAAUGCCACCGCGUUUUUUACAAAUGCGUUUAAACGCAAAGCCGCACUAAAUAAAUAGUCGUUGUUUUCAAAUUUUGUACUAGUGAUUAUCUGUCUGAAGCAUACAGUGUGGGCUGUUUUUUUCCUUUCUCCUUCUCUCGUAGCUUAGGGCUUCGUUCUUUGUUACGUUCAUCCCAGCGAACUCUCGUUCGUUCGCUCUGUCUUCUUCGUUCUCAAUCGAGUCGUUCUGUUGGCUUUGUUUCAUCCCUUUCAUUUUCCUUUGCAGUUCCUGCGAUGACUCACACAAAAUCCACCGCGAAUCCUCCUUCUUCGUCGCGAAACCCUCCACCCCAAGCGCGUAGGGUUGCUCCUGGGGCAAAUCCUCCACCAGCGCGUAACCCACCUCGAGCAUCUAGUGCUCCUUCUACCCAGGCUGAGACGCCUGCAACUUCUCACGCCAACCUCGCUCAGGCAACCCCGCCAGUCGCUGAAGGGUCUUCCUUGCCUCCAAAUGACUACAAGGAACUCUAUCCUUGGGCCACCCCACUCUUGUUAAAAGAGACUUCUUCAAUAAACACGGAGUUGGGCGUGCACCGACUAAGGAAAGGAGACCAGUCCGACCUCUCCUUCCACAAGGAACAUGAUAGCAAGGUGGCCGUGCUGCCCUGCUUCCCGGACGAGCCGAUCUGUGCAGACGACAAAGGAAACAACGGCGAGUCGUUCUGCUUCCUCUACGCCAUCUUCUUCAAGAAAGUGAAGCUCAGACUUCCCUUUACUCGCUUCGAGAGAGAGCUGCUAACCGAGCUCGAUAUCGCCCCCGCCCAGCUUCAUCCCAACAGCUGGGCAUUCGUAAGGGCGUUCCAAAUCAUCUGCGCACACCUGGGGCUGCCGGCUUCAGUAGAUGUCUUCCUUUUCCCGUUCGAGGCUAAGAAUCCUGGAGACCGCCUCUGGAUUAACUUAAAUGGGAUUGCUGGGAGGUCAAUCCUCUCGAUCUUCCAGCAAUCCUACAAAGACUGGAAAGGAAAAUUCAUCAAGGUGCGCCCAAACGAGCAAGAUCCCUCACUGCUCGACGGUUUCCCCUUGUACUGGGUACACAAGGGGAAUAAAGACUCCAAGGAGUGCUUCAGGAGGCCAAGGAGUCCUGACAACAUGGGGGAGUUGGGCAAGGAUCUCUGCCUUUUCUGGAAGAGCGUAGCAGCCGCCAACAUCACUUUCCCCACCGCCUCGAUAAUCUCCUUCGAGUUCCUCGAGGGCCAACUUGAAGCUCACAUAGGUUAGCCCUUACCUCGACACCAAGACCUUCACUUUGGGUUGGAAUUGACUUCGCAUUUCUACCAUCUAUCAUUCGGCGUUCUGUUUGUCGUGUACUGAUCUUGAUUUUUAAUCCACGCGCUACUUGCUUGCGUUAUUUCUGCGUGCAUAUGUUUGUAUAACCUGUUUCUGCUUUGGGGCCUACUUAUCUGUUUUCUACCCUGUGCAGACCUCAUGUUGGGAAAAGGAAAACUGGCUGAGCUGAGGGCGAUCGCCCGAUCCCACAAGUUGGCGGCGGGCUCCCAAACCGUGCCCAACUCGGUGGUGGAGAUCGCCGUUGCUCAGGGCAAAACUCCCCCCCGAGGUGCAACUCCUUCGGAGACACUACCCGCCCCCAAAGAAAAAAACUUGUCUUGAGGAAGCCAAAGAGGAAAACUCCUCAAGUGGUACAGGAAGAAGAGGAUGACGAGGCGACUGAGGACGGCCUCGUCACCAAAAGAACAAGGGUGGCACCCUCUUUACCACCUGCUCUCCCAACACCAACACCGCCCUCUCCUCCAGCUCCAACACCGCCAGUCCAAGCAACACCCUUGGCUGUCGCGCCCCCAGUGGUUGAAGGCAGCGAGCCUAAUUUCAUUGGGAAUCCUCCAAGCGCCUCCAUGCCAUUUCUAUCUGCUGGAGAAGGUCCUCCUUCAACCGCCUCUAUCGCUGGGGCUGCACCAGGAGGAGAUGAAGGUGGCCAUAACUCGCCGAUCCUGAUAACAGAGUCUCCGACUCCACCACCACGCCAAGAAGCCCCCCUUGCCCUUCAAACUCAAGAGGGUGGUGGUGAAAGUCAGCACCAAGCUCCUCCAGCACCUCCACCAGCAACAACUUCAAACUUCCCCCCUUCCAUCGACGAGAUCUGGGGACCCUUCACAGCCAAACUUAAAAUGAUGGCAGAGGAUCUCCCCUCAAUCAUAACAAAAGCUGUGAAGAUCUCAAGCAAGAAACUCCAAGACGAGAAUGCGGCGCUCAAGGAGGCAAACCGCCUGAUAAGAAUGGAGGCAGAGAAGCUUUCUUGCAAUCUGAUGAUGGCGGAAAUCGACCAUUCAAGGCUGGAGGACACCAUGGAUGCCGAACUAAGAGGCGCACGCAAGGAGGCCUCCGAUCUGCACCAAAAACUGCACCUCUAGGCUCUAGAGAAAAUCGAGCUGGAGAGUAAACUUGUACCUUACAGGCUCAAGGUGGCCAACUUGGAGGCAUCAAUGAAAGCAGAUGCGGCCAAGGUGGAGAACCUUGAAAAGAGGUCAGCAGAUCGGGAGGUGCUCCUUGGGAAAGUCGAGAAGGAGAGGGACGAUACCAAGGACGAGCUCGGCAACGCUCAAGAGGAAAACGCGAGGAUUGCUGCAGAGCUGGCCCAUGCUCGGGAGGAAAGCAAGAAAGCUGCCGAAGAGCUUGCUCGGGCUCGUGAGGAAACCGAAGGGCUGAAGAAGCAAAUUGAUGAGCUGCAGAAGCAGGCUCAAGAGCUCGAGCAAAGCUCCGCCCAAGUCCUUUCCGCCGGGUUCGACGCCACUUUGGAGCAAGUCUCGUGUCAAUAUCCCGAGCUCGAUCUCUCCAUGGUGUCAAUCUACAAUGAAGUGGUGGAUGGGAAGAUCGUGCCCUCUGAAGAUUAAUUGUCUCCCUCCAUCACUUUUUUCUUUGAAAACUUGGUGCUCAUUUCUGUUUGUAAGAACUUUUAUAUGUAACUUUUCUUCGUAUGUAUUUGAACUGACAUUGCUUUAUGUAACUCCUUAUGCUUAAGAUAUUGUUGUCUAAUACCGUGCCUCAAACGCUUCUUACUCGCUGUGUGAUUAACCAACAUAACCGGUAGAACUCGCUUAAACAAAUUGACUUAGCGAUUCUUCAGGCUUAACUGCUCACUGCUUUGAACUCGAGCAAACUGUUAAUCUCAUAACGAUUUAUCGAACUGUUACCUCAAAGUAAAAUUUGAGCAACUACCAACUUUCAAACGGUGACAUUUAACGUAACUUGCAAACUUAAGGCAAUAAGUUACUUACUAGGCAGCAGGUUUUAUCUUAAACUUGUAUCACAAUACAGUUUACCUGAUCUGCCCUGGCAAGGCUAGGCUUUACGCUCGUCAUCGCCUGGAAUUCUUCUGAUCGCCGUAAGGUUCUGGCGAUGUAGGCUUUCUCUGCCUUCAUCGCUGGACUAUUGUUCCCUCAUCUAGGGGGUAGAGGUGCCUUUCGGAUCCUUCUCUACCUCCCUGAGUUUCAGAACAAAGAACUGGAUAGCGAGGUGUUCUCUUUGAACCUACCUUAGCUAUCUCUUAAACAUUUUUCGCCCUUCACGCCAUACCUGAACUCGUUCAAGACGAGAAGGAUUUGAUCUGUCUUCAUACCGCCUACAAGCGUGGAAAUUUUCUCUGGUCUUACUAUGUCAAUAUUUAUGCCUCACUUAAAGGGGGAAAGGCGUUUUCCUUCCCUUCCCGCCGUUUAAGGUCACGAACACCCCUGACUUUUCAGUUCAUCUUGCCUGAACUCACUCUGAGGUGAGAAGGACUUUUUCUCGCCUGAACUCGCUCGAUGGCGAGAAGGACUUUAUCUGGCCUGAACUCGCUCGACGGCGAGAAGGACUUUAUCUGGACUUUAUCUGGUAGGCGUCAUUCCCGAGCGCCUCGGUUAUUCUGAACGGUCCUGUCCACUUAGGCGAUAACUUGUUUUCCAUCUCGUACUGGUGGGCCUUCCUCAUCACCAGGUCGCCCUCUCUAAACUGCCUUGGCGUCACCCUCGAGUUAUACCUUCGCUCAAUCGUCCUUUUCACUGCCUCAGCCUUUACCCCUGCCUCUUCCCUGACCUCAUCCAGUAAAUCCAUAUUUAACCUUCUUUCUUCGUUCGAGUCUUUCGCCACGAAAUUCUGAAAUCUCGGCGAGCUCUCCUGGAUUUCCACUGGAAUCAUUGCAUCACAUCCAUAGACCAAGCUGAACGGGGUCUCGUGGGUUCCUGACUGCUCGGUGGUAUGGUACGCCUAAACUAUGCGGGGUACCUCCUCAGCCCACGAUCCCUUAGCUUUUUCCAGCCUUCUCUUCAAACCCCUCAGCAACAUCCGAUUAGCGGACUCUACUUGGCCAUUUGUCUCGGGGUGCUCGACGGAUGCAAACACCUGCUGUAUCCCCACCUCUUCGCACAGCUUCUUCAGUAGGUGACUUGCAAACUGAGUCCCAUUGUCUGACACCAGGCGCUUAGGCACACCAAACCGGCACACGAUGUUCUUCCAAACAAAACUCUCGAUCUUGUGUGCGGUGAUUUGGGCUACUGGUUCUGCUUCGAUCCACUUGGUGAAGUAUUCAACCGCCACCACCAAGUACUUCAUCUGUCUGAUCGCCAAUGGGAAAGGUCCUAGAAUGUCGAUUCCCCACGUAUGAAACGGCCAAGGGCUGUAAAUUGACUUUAAUUCCUCUAGAGGCGCCUUGUGCCAAUCGGCGUGCUGCUGACAUUGCUUGCAACACUGUGCAUACUUCUUGCAGUCUUCCCUCAUUGUUAGCCAGUAAUAACCUGCACGGAGAGUUCUUGCAGCCAGAGCUCGACCCCCGACGUGACUCCCACAUAUCCCCUCAUGGAGCUCGGCCAUGAUUCUAGUGCAUUUUUCUCCGUGCACACAUUCUAGGAGUGGGUGCAUAAACCCAAACCUAUAUAGCUCGCCAUCGAUCAUGGUGAACUUGCUGGAGUUCUUCUUUAUCUUCCUAGCCUCUGUCGGAUCCAGCGGUAGAAGGCCAUUUGCCAGGCAGCGCUGGUACUGUGUUAUCCAUGUGUCUGGCUCAUGCGUAGCGCAGACCUGCGUCAUGUUCACCCUCUCCCCCCGACAUGCUCCUAUUCUCGGCGAUCUUAAAGUCUCCUGGGUCAAGGACCUGUGACUCCUCGCCACUUUCUCCGUCGAUUUGCUUAUCUGAAGAACCAGGUGGUCUGCCACAAAUGCUCUAGGCGUCUUCAGAGUUUCUUGGAUCACUGUCCUCUGCCUACCCCCCUUGCCCGAACUGGCGAGUUUGGCUAACAAGUCUGCUCGGACAUUCUGCUCUCUGGGCACAUGCACCACUUGAAAUGAGAGAAAGGAACUCUUCAACUCCUGCACAUACUCCAAGUACGUCGCCAUUUGUGGAUCCUUGGCCUGGAAUUCGCCUGUUACUUGUCCCGUGACUAAUAAGGAGUCACUCUUAGCCAUCAGCACCCUAGCCCCCAUCUCCUUGGCCAGCAAGAUUCCGGCGAUUAACGCUUCAUACUCUGCUUGAUUGUUGCUGGCUUUGAAGGCAAACCUCAGGGACUAUUCUAUCAGAACGUCGUUGGGCCCUUCUAGAAUGACUCCAACACCGCUACCCUGCUGGUUUGACGAUCCAUCCACCGAGAGCACCCAACGAAAGUCAUCCCCUUCAACUCGUGCUGCUUCUGACGAGAGCUCGACCACAAAAUCAGCGAAAAUCUGCCCCUUGAUCGGACCUAGGGGCUCAUACUUGAUGUCGAACUCCGACAGCUCCACCGCCCACUUCACCAUUCUCCCAGCCACAUCAGGCUUCUUCAGGACUUUCUGGAUGGGCAAGUCGGUCAUCACUAGCACUGUAAAACUGUGAAAAUAGUGGCGCAACCUCCUCGCCGAAAAUACUACAGCCAGUGCAGCUUUCUCCAAGGCCUGAUACCUCACCUCCGAGCCUUGCUACACCUUGCUGACGAAAUAAAUAGGCUUCUGAGCCUGGUCUUGAUCUUGGGCGAGCACCGCACUCACCGCCCUCUCAGUCACAGCAAAAUACAACCUGAGAGGGGUUCCUACUAAGGGUUUACACAAAACCGACGGGCUCGCCAAGUACUCUUUAAGCUUCACGAAGGCUUCUUCACAAUCCUUCGACCAGACAAACUUGUUGUUUCGCCUCAAACAUUGGAAAUACGGAUGGCCCUUCUCUCCACUAGCUGACACGAAACGAGACAGGGCGGCCAUCCGACCUGUAAGUUGCUGCACCUCCUUCACGGUAGCCGGGCUCCUCAUCGCCAAGAUGGCAGCACACUUAUCAGGAUUUGCCUCUAUUCCUCUUUCAGUCAAAAGGAAACCCAAGAAUUUCCCUGCCUCCACGCCGAAAAUGCACUUCUCGGGGUUUAACUUUAAUCUGAACUUGGCAAUCGUGGUGAGCAACUCCUCCAGAUCCGAGACGUGCUUGCUCUUUUCUGGCGAGGUCACGACCAUAUCAUCUAUGUACGCUUGCACAUUCCUUCCCAGCAUUGGUGCAAGUACCUUAUCCAUCAAUCUUUGGUACGUGGCCCCCGCAUUCUUCAGCCCAAAGGGCAUCACCUUGUAGCAGUAACACGACCUCUCAGUCAUGAAGGCAGUUUUCUCUUCAUCCAUAGGAUGCAUCUUUAUCUGAUUAUACCCCGAGAAGGCGUCCAGAAAACUCAGCAACUUGCACCCUGCUGCACUGUCGACCAGGGCAUCUAUGCUUGGCAAAGGAUACGAAUCCUUUGGGCAAGCCUUGUUCAGGUCUGUGAAGUCGACGCACAUGCGCCACUUCCCAUUGCUCUUCUUCACCAGUACGACAUUGGCCAACCAUUCAGGGUACUGGACCUCCCUGAUAUGGCCUGCGGCGAGGAGCUUCUGUGUUUCAUCCCUAAUCGCCUACCUCCUCUCCUCGUUAAACUUCCUUCUUCUCUGCCGCACUGGUCUGACUUGUGUGUCCAUUGCCAAGUGGUGACACAAGAAAUCGGGGUCAAUUCCCGGCAUGUCUGAAGCAGACCAUGAAAAGGCAUCCAGAUGCCGUUUUAUCACCUUGGCGAUCUGGUCUUGGAGCUCAGCCUCCAAAGAUCUUCCCAGCUUGAAGACCUUCCCCCGAUCUCCCUUUCGAGCCACUCCUCGACAGGUUUGGGUCUGGUUUCCCUGGCGAUCACCGCCUUGGCGAUUCCCAAUUCCCUCGCUUCCUCUGGGUGGUUCCUCGCUUCUUCCUCCCGUCCGGCGCUCUCUCUCUCAACCUCAGCAUCCACCAUGGUGACAUCGCCUCCGGCGGUCACUUCCAUCGCCGCAUCACCAACUCGCCAUUCCGUUGGUUGGGGCUUCACACCGGGAGGCGGCGUCGUGGUGAUGUAACUCACUGACCUCUUAUUCUUGAGGCUAUUCUCAUAGCAUUUCUUCGUCUCCUUCUGGUCAAAUCUGAUGGUGAUCACCACCCCCUCCAUCGAUGGUAACUUAACCUUCAUGUGCCUAGUUGAGGGCACAACUCCUAUUCUGUUGAGGGUUGGUCUCCCCAACAGAAUGUUAUAUGCUGAGGGGGCAUUCAUAACGAGGUACUUGAUUUUCUCCGUCCUCGAGGCCACCUCAUUCGUGAACGUUGUUCUUAGCUCGAUGUACCCCCUGACCUCCACCUGAUCGCCAGCGAACCCAUACAAGCACCCUCCAUAGGGUCUUAGCUGGUCAAGGGGUAGUUGCAACUGUGUGAAAGUCGGCCAUAACAUUACAUUCGCCGAGCUUCCUUGGUCCACCAGUACCCGGUGGACUUUCCUUCCCGCCGUGACAAGCGAGAUGACUAUGGGAUCGUUGUCGUGAGGCACAACGUCCCGGAGGUCUUCCUUCGUGAAUGUAAUAUCCACAUCUGGUGAGUGGUCUUCAAACAUAUCCACUGUCAUCACAGACCUUGCAUACUUCUUCCGCUGUGACGCAGUGCAUCCACCACCCGAGAAACCUCCAGCGAUGGUGUGGAUCUCGCCAUGAGUGGGCAUCUCAUGCUGUUGAGCCUCACCACCCGCCGGCUGGGAGCUCGACGCGCCUCCCGUCCUCUUGUCCAGCAGGUAAUCGUUCAAAAACCCGCUCUUGACCAGAUCGUCGAGCUGGUAUCCCAGGGCCAAACACGAAUCAACUGUGUGACCAAAACUCUGGUGGAACUCACACCAGGCGUUUGGUUUUGGUCCUAACACCUUGUCGCCCACUUUCUCAGGCGCCUUAAGCCUGGCUGCUAUGUUGGGAAUGGCGAUCAGAUCCGCCAACCCCAUGACAAACUUGUACUUUCGUGGGCGAUUAUACUCCCUGGGGCGUCCUGGGCCCCUUCCCUUGUUCUUCCUCAGAUCAUAAGGAUGGCGAGUCCUCUGAUCCUUCUUGGCCGCCAUCGUCUCCAGCACCCUCUGCGGCUGGAUUCUAGUCUGGGCACGUGGCCUAGCAGGGGCCACGCUCCCUCUCUUCUCGGCGACCUCACUCUCGUCGGCGAUGUGGGCCACCGCAAGUCGCUUAACUUCAGCAAACGUGGCGGGGUGAGCCCUAAUCAGCCCCUCACAGAAAGGUCCCGACAGCACGCCCUUUUUGAAGGUGUAUACCAACAUCUGCUUGUCUUUAGCAGGCGAGCGGACCAUCUGUGCUCCAAAACGAUUCAAAUAGUCCCUGAGGGACUCUUCCUGGUAUUGCCUGAUGUCGAACAGGUCAUAAGACACCCUAGGUGGCGCCUUGUUCACAAUGUACUGCUCGACAAAAAGCUUCGAAAACUGCUGGAAAUUGGUUAUGUGACCUGUAGGCAAGCUCACAAACCAUUCCAGCGUUGUUCCCUGGAGCGUGCUCACAAACAUCUUGCAAUAUACAGCAUCCGAGCCCCCUGACAGCAUCAUCUGCGUGUGGAACAUAGUGAGAUGUGCCUCAGGGUCCUCCAUGCCGGUGAUAGAAGCUUUCACAGGUACUACGCUCGCAGGGAUAGGCGUGUCUGUGAUCGCCUGAGCGAACGACAUUGGGAAAACGCGCGGUGGCGACGACGGCGCGACCUCUUAUACAACUGGGCGUCCUCUCUGCUCCUAAAGAGCUUGACGCAACUCCUCAGUUACUUUGCUGAGCUCUUCAUUCCUGGCCUGAGAGGCGACCAGGUCUUCAUGCAUCUUCGCUUGCUCUAUGCGCGAUGCCUCCACAUUCGCUUGCAGCGCACGCAUGAUCUCCAUCAUCUGUGCCAUGGUCAUGGCGCUUUCUACAACAACUGGCACAACGGGACUUGAACGGUUGCUUCUCAUCUUUCUCAUGAAAACUCAGCAAACCAAACUUCAACGAGCAAAACCUUCACCAGCGAACGAUCGAUCCAGCAAUCAAUCGGUCAGAAAUUCCCAAACUCCCAAGAACUUCCAAAAACGCAACCACAACAGCACGUCGGUAGAUUCGGACGUCGAAACCUUCACAGAAACUUGCAAUCUCACCACGAACCUACCGCUCCUCCAGCAAAACUCCCGAUUCACCAAUCAGAAACGCGACUGAACGGUAAACCUUCGAAUCAACCGAUUGAAAACCGUGCAAACAGCAAGAAACUUCAAGAAUCCAAUCGAAAGCUUCAAACGAAUGGCGGAAAAUUCGAAAUCACUGAACAAAAGCUUGAACGAACGGUGGAAAACUCGAAAUCACCGAACAAAAGCUCGAACGAACAGUGGAAAAUGGUUGCACCAGCACACAACCACACAGAAACUACAGAAACUUCAAGAACUCACGUUGUGGAUGGGGACAGGUUUUACACGACCCCACGGUGGGCGCCUGAUGAUCCUGCCGGUUGACCAGAGCGCAAGAGUCUUGCCACGCCGAAGGUAUCUUCCUCUGGAUCGGCUUUGCACCACGCUAGCUUUCGUCCUUCACACCUCGAUUCUCCUCAAGAACCUGCAAAAGACAGAGUGGCGCCGCUGCAGCCGAUCGUGCUCCGACGCUCAAGUCAGUGACGAAAUCACCAAAACUCUAAGAGAGAAAAGUUAAAAACUCAAGGAACCGUGCAAAAACUCUCUCAGCGUACUCAAGUAUUCUCAAAGCGUAAAGAAGUGUUCUAAACGCGCGUACCUCAGAAUCUGUUAAGAGUUCCUUAUAUACCUGUGCAUUUUCUCUCUCCUGACGGUUACACCUCUUGACACGUGGCUCGCAUCCAGCUGUACACGUGUCACCAUCUGGAACGUCUUCUGCUUGAGCGCCACUCCUACUCUUCAGGCUGUUCGACUAAGUUACUCAGGUGAGGAGCAACUCGGUGCAUAGCUGCCUUGGAGCGCGAUCUUCUUCUAGUGGCGAGCACGGGGUGUCACGUUGCGCCCCUUCUCUGUGAUCUCGCCUGCCGCUAUCACGAUCUGCAUUACUUGCUCAUCGUACAUGUUCUGGUAAACUGUUCCCUGGCCUCAACCUCUGGCUAGGGAAUGAUCAUUUGAUAACUUCAUCCUUCGUACUCGUGCCCCUUGAAGGCCUUGAACAAGCUUUCCUGAUCUUUUGGCGAUCUCUGACCACUUGGUCGCCUAAGUUCACAUACGGCGACUACGACACAAGCCUGGUGACUGCCAGUUUAGAUAUGCUAGAAAUCGGAGCACGCCAACUUAACGAUUGGCGACUACACGAACUCCCCGAUAUCCUUCCCUUCCGUUAGCCAGGUGUUCCGUUCAACACGCCUAUAUUACCACUUGCUGCCACGUCAUCACUCCCGACUACCUGGUCGGUAAAAAAAAAAGUUAAAUAUUCAAUUAUCACUGAAACCAUCUAUUAUCGAUUAAAACAUAUUUUAACUGCUUAAAAAACUAUAUUUUGACAUUUUCUAAAACUAAGUUUCAAAAGUGUAUACUUAUCGUCAUAGAUUUUCAUUCCAUAUUAUCGAUAAAGCAUCACUCUAUUAAUUAAAUCUUUUUUAAACAAAUAUUAAUUUAUCAGUUUUUUGUAUUUUACCUGCUUUAUGCAUGAACUCAUGUAAGACAUUUUUUGGUUUCAAAAAAAGAAAUAAAAGCAUUUAGACAGAUUAUGAACAUAAAUUUUGUGAAAUUAUGUAAAUAGUCUUCCUUGUUACGUUGUGUUUAUCUGAUAUUGAUACUCUCUUUCUUUUUUGGAUUAGAAGGGAGACCUUCGACGUAUCAGUGGAUGUGGUAUGUUUAUGGUAUGAAUUCUACCUGUUUGGAUUACCUAUAUUUGAAUUAGUACGUAAUACUAACAAUUAAUUUUGAUUCUAUAUAGAAAAUCAUUAAAUAAAACCUAGAUAAAAAUUAAUUAGAUAUUGAAUAGAUUGAAUAUUUAGAGUAAUUUCUAAAUUUAUAAACUAGUUUUUAAUUUGUAUCUAAUUAGUUUAUUGGUAUUUAAUUAGCUACCAAAUUUUUACCUACCAAUUUUAGAAUCUAAAGUACUUGAUAGCUAAAAUCUAGGUAGCUAAUUUGAUACUAAUUUAUAAAUUUUAUUAAUAGUAAAAACUACUUCAGAUACUAAUAAUUUUUUGGUCUCUAAAAUAGUAUCUAAUUUAGUCAAUAUAGUGAUGUGAGUUGAUUUGCUAUUACACAUGUUUUUAUAAGUUUCACUUGGAUUGUGAUUUUUUUAUUUGUAAUAAUAGGUGAAGACUCGGUGAAGAUUGUCAUUGGACACAAACUUAACCAAGUGGUAAGUGGUUAAGUAAGUGUGAAAGUUCUCUUCAAAAGAGCAAAGGAAAAAUAUACGCUCUAUGAUGAAUGAUGAACACAAAUUUAAACAUAAUAAGGAAUGAGAAGUGUGGAAUUCAAUAGUGAAGAAAAGAAUAAAAGGAACUAAAAGAGUAUUGGCAGAUGGAAUGGAAAAACAAUGAAAGAGAUAAGAAAUAAAGAAGCUUGUGAAGUGGAGAAAAUGAAGGUGAUUCACGCCACUUGAGGGAGAGAUCUCCUAGAUGAGUGAGGAAGUGAGUCGCCACUUGCAGCCAUUUAUGCCAAGAUAAGACUCAAAGGAUUUGUACAACACUUAGGAUUUCACUCAAUGAGAGUUUCUUUACUAUUCAUUCAAAUGUCGUAUACAAGAAGUGAGGUACCCUAUUUAUAGCCUUUAGUGCCUUGGUGAACAAGUGAGGGGGUGGCUAUUGAAGGAAACAUUCUAGAAUCUAGGGUUGGCCAAGGGUGUCGCACAUGGAGAGGAAAACCUUCUAGAAACUAGGUUAAAAAUGGCCUUUUUAGAAGCUAGGUUAUAGAAUGUAGCACAUGGAUGACACAUAGGGUGAUCUUCUAUAAACUAGGAUUUCUAGAAGCCUAAGCUAGCUUAUUCUUCUUCUUGGGCCAAUUUGAGCCUAAUUUAUUACGUAGUCUAGUCUUGUCAAAAGACUAGAAGAAAGAACAACUGCUAUUUUGGUCCAUGUCUAGGUCUUCUUCUUCUGAGGAUCUUCUGAGGGAUGGUGGGACCUUGUCUCUUAUCCUGAUAUGAAUGACCUAGGUGUGAAUUCUCUUUUGUGCCCUUUUUCAUUUGCUUGUAAAGUUGGGUUCUAUCCCUAGGUUGGAAAGAAUUCGACCUCAAAUUUAGAACUCCUGUAGAUAAUAUAGUUAGUUUGUUCACAGGAAAGAUAGAAACAUUUCUAGAGGUGUGAAGUGAAUCAAACUAAUGUUCGUUGAGCUUUUGAAGUUCUUGUGGAUUAGUUCUAUAUACAUGCGAUGCUUGUAGAGAAUGGUUAGGGACAAAGUGAUUUUGACAUGUAAUGCCUCUUAAAAGGUGUAAACCUUUAAGAGGUUUUGGAAAGUCAUCCCCAAUUUUCUCUAACAAAUAUUUGAAGUAUUUAGAACUAUCAAUAGAUGGAAAAAAUAAGGAAGGAGAAUAUCUAGUAGGAUAGGCAGUAUUUAUUUUCGGUCGAGCCAACAUUACCGUUUUUACUGUGUGGUGAGAUGAUGAGACCCAUUUUGAUUUUGUGAUUUUCCUCACCUUUUUCAUUUUCUCUUUUUGUUUUCAUUUUUUUUAUCAUCAAUAACUUCUUUUGGAGAGAGAGGUUUUAAUAUAAUUUUGUGCCCAUGGAAGUUGAAAGAGAUUUUGUUGGUAAUGUCAUCAUGUAAAAUUUUUCUAUCAUAUUGCCAAGGCCUUUCCAAAAGCAUGUUUGUGGCUUCCUUUGACACAACAUCACACAAAACUUCAUCUUUAUAUUUCCCAAUGGCAAAGAUUAUGUGGACUUGUUUAUUAACCAUUAUUUCACCCUCUUCACUAAGCCAUUGUAAUUUAUAGACUUUGUAUGAGAGAUAGUGGGUAAUUCAAGUUUUUCCACUACUUUUGUACUUGCCACAUUUGCACAACUUCCCCCCAUCUAUGAUCAUGGAACAUAACUUGUUGAUAAGGCAUCGGGUGUGAAAAAUAUUUGCCAACUUUCACCAAUAAGUCACCUUCACAAGGUAUUUCUCAUUCAUCUUGACUAGGGGUUUUUGAAGAGGAAGGGGGGUUAGAUCUAGAAGAUUAAGAAUUAUGGUCACUUACUAUUAUCCCCCUUUUUACCAUCAUGGUUCUUUUAUUAGAGCAAUUUGAAACUAUGUGUCCAAAACCUAAACAUUUAAAACAUUUUUUGCUUGAGGUUUUGGUUGACGAUUUAGUACUAGAAGGAGAAGGGUUGUCUUUACAAAUUUUAUGUUGUGGGGGUGGAUUCUCUAGAGAAAUUGGAAGGAAAAUCUUGAUUUUGAAAUUUAUUUUGUCUUUCCAAGAUGAUUUGUAAAAGCCAUCAUUAUGAGUAUUUUUGAAAUAUUUUUUCUUUAAAAUUUGUGAUUCAACCUUGAUGGCUAGGUGAACCAAUUUUUCCAAAGAUGUAUACUCAUAUAGUUCUACAACAUUUUGAAUUUCUCUCCUUAAUCCACUCAAACAUCUAGUUAUCUUUGACUCUUCACUUUCAUGCAUAUUGAUUUUAGUCAAAGUAAUUUCUGAGUCCUUGAAAUAUUCAUCUACACUUCUAUUUUCUUGAUGAAUUCGUUGGAGCUUCAACAAGAGUUCCUUCUUAUAAUGAGGAGUAACAAACCGCACGCAUGCAAACCUUUAAAUCAUUCCAAGAGACCACGAUUGACAUCUUCUUUAGCCCAAUGUCCAAUACAAUUUGAUGCAACCACUUCAUGGCAUAAUCCUCAAACUUUAGGGAAGCUAACUUUACAUGUUGGUCCUCAUCUACAUCAUAUACACUAAAGAUUUGUUCUACUUUAGCUUCCCAUCCUAGAUACACAUUAGGGUGACUAUCCCUAUUAAAAGAUGGUAAUUUAACAAAAGGUAUGGGUUUCUUGGGUUGUUGAUGAUGGUGGUGCAUAUCUUCAUAAUUGUGGCCUCUCCAUUCUUCCUCGUCUUAUUCUUGACUCCCAUAAUGCCUUUGAUACCUUGUUGCUCUUCUAGGAUCCCAUCUUCUUUGUCGAUUUUGCCUCUCUUGUGAAUCUUCUAGCAUUUGAAGCCUUUCCAUCGUUUGUCUCAUAUCCUCUUCUCUUUGAACCAAGCUCCUCUUGUUCUCUUCAAGCUCCACCAUAAGGUUUUCCCUUUGAGGAGAAGGUGGCUUGGAGGAUUCCCCUGAUGACAAGUGAGUCAUAAUUUGUGCACAAACAAAAUCAAUUAGUUCAAACGAACAAUUAAAUCACUCUCUCACGUGUAUCACUUGGCUUUUUGAGAAAAAGAGGAAGAAGGGUUAAGAUCACUCAAUCAAGAAAGGUUUUAAAAUCCAAAGAGCCCACACGUAUGAGAAUUGCUUCAAGUGAAAGAGGUCAAAACUCUUAUCACUCACUCAAACAAAACUUAAAGAAAUUUGAAGACAGACAAGAAAAGUUGAAAGAAAGAAAGCUAAACCAAAUUUGAAUGAAGAUGAAGACAAAAUUUUAACAAGACAAGCAAUAAAAGCACUUUUAAGACUCAAAGAAACACUUAAUUAAAUUUUAACUAUGAAGUUUACAUUUAGAAAUUAUCAAAUUAAAAAGGAUAAAAUUUCACAAGUUAUGAAAACAAUUUGCCACACAAAUAGAAUCUUUUUUAGCAACUUGAUUUUUGAAAUGUGAAUGCACAGAAUUACCUGGCUACAAUCAAAGAAUUACAGUGAUCAAGAAAGAAAGGAAUGGAGUACACCUGGCUACAAUCAAAGAUUAGCACAGUGAAUACAACACAAUCCUAUUCCACUCUUAAGAAUGAUCCAAAGCUUUUUGAAAAUCUUGGAAAACUGAUUUGAAUGAUUUUCCUUAGUUAAAUUAUGACCAGAAGCGUAAAACAACUUAUUUAAACUCCAAUCAGAUGGUCAAAGCAUUUAAUACAAGAGCCAAAAUCAGUUUAAAUCAUUUAAAGCAACUUAAAGGCAUUUAACAGAAUUUUGUUAAGGUUUUCAGAAAAUCAAUCAGUUAAAAAAUCAAUCGAUUGAAUUGGUUUGAUAGCAAAGUCAAACAAAGUCAAGCUUUUUCAAAUCCUUUUCAAAAUAAACUAAGUGUAAAACAACCGGUUGAAUCGAAAUUUCAAUAGGUUGAGUUUUCACUUCUUUAGAAAACAUAUCUUUUUCAAAACGAUUGAAAUCAAACAACCUUGAGUAAUCACAAAGAGUGAAUUAACAAAUUCAAAUACUCUAGACACACACACAACCAACAACAAGGAUCUUAAUGCAUUCCACUUGGAUUUGGAGACAUCAAAGCAGCUUGUUCAACAAUGUCCCCCGAUUUUAUGAAGACAAAUCCCUAGUUUACUUGUGUUGUCGUUUUUUAAUUUGAUGGAUCCUACAAAACAAAAAUCAUGCACAUACAAGACACAUAUAGCAGCAUGAUAACCCAAGUUUAAUAAGCACACAAAGACCAGUUUUCUGCAUAAGCUUUCAAGCAGAUAAACUAGAAAAACAGUUUGAAAACAGUGGUGAAUUAAGGUGCAAAUCAGAGAUAUAGCAGCAUACAUAACACAUAAGAAACCAUAGAGUGCAGCAACAACAAAGUACAACACAAAAAUCAUACCAUUCUCCCCUUAUUUGUCUUCACAAAUAGAAUAAGAAAAGGGAUAAAAACAAAAUUAAGAAAUAAUUUGAGAAUGAAGAAUACCCAAUUCAUUUCUUAAGAAGAAAAACCUUUCCUUAGGCAGUGGCUUAGUGAAGAUAUCUGCAAGUUGCUUUUCAAUUUCAAUAAACUGAAUUUCACGAUCUCCAUUGCUCACAUGAUCCCUUAUAAAGUGGUGGCGGAUCUCAAUGUGCUUAGUCCCUGAAUGCCGAAUCUGAUUUUUAGUGAGGUUGAUGGCACUUGUGUUAUCACAAAGCAAAGGGAUAUUACUGACGUACAACCCAAAAUCCUCUAGUUGUUGUUUGAUCCAAAGGAUUUGAGCACAGUAGCUACCAGUAGCUAUAUACUCAGCUUCUGCAGUUGAGAGGGCCACACAAGCUUACUUCUUGCUAUGCCAAGAUACGAGGCUUGAACCAAGAAGAUGACAAGUACCCGUUGUGCUUUUUUUAUCCAGCUUGCCCCCUACAAAAUCAGAAUCAUAAUAACCAACCAAAUGUAUAGGAGAGUGAAAGGGAUACCAUAAACCAACACGGGUUGUGCCCUUAAGAUAUUUUAGAAUUCGUUUGGCAACUUUGAAGUGAAAUUCUUUUGGAUUUGAUUGAAAUCUACCACAUAGACAAACUACAAACAUGAUGUCUGGCCUGCUAGCAGUGAGAUAAAGCAAAGAACCAAUCAAUCCUUUGAAUUUGGUUUGAUCUACUACUGUUCCAGCCAAGCCAUCAUCCAUAUAAUAGCUUGUGAACAUUGGUGUGGAUGCCUCUUUGCAGUUUUCCAUCUCAAACUUCUUGAGAAUCUCCUUGUAGUACUUGGUUUAGCUUAGGAAGAUGUCAUCCUUUGAUUGCUUGACUUGCAAUCCUAAGAAGAAGGAUAACUCUCUCAUCAUAGACAUCUCAAACUCCCCCUGCAUAGUUGCAACAAACUCCUCACAUAGGCAGUCAUUAGUAGCACCAAAUAUGAUGUCAUCAACAUAAAUAUGAACCAAAAUGAUAACAGAUUUUGACUUUUUAAUAAAAUGAGUCUUAUCAAUUUUUUCUCUCUCAUAGCCAUGAGAUAAGAGAAAAUUGCUAAGCCUCUCAUACCACACUGUCUAGGGGCUUGCUUGAGUCCAUACAAAUCUUUUUUCAGCUUGUACACAUGGUGAGGAUGUUGAUGAUCUUCAAAACCAGGAGGUUGUGAAACAUAAACUUCCUCAUUGAUGAAUCCAUUGAGAAAUGCACUCUUCAAAUCCAUCUUAAACAAUUUGAAACCACUCAUGCAAGCAAAAGUAAGUAGUAAUCUCACAACUUCCAAUCUGGCCACAGGUGCAAAGGUUUCAUCAUAGUCAAUACCCUCUUCUUGAUUGUAUCCUGUAGCAACCAACCUAGCUUUUUUCUUGUUAUCACACCAGAUUCAUCCAAUUUAUUUCUGAACACCCACUUGGUUCCAAUGACAUUCAUGCAAUCAGUCUUGGGAGCGAGAAACCACACAUCAUUUCUGGAGAAUUGAUUUAGCUCAUCAUGCAUGGCAGCAACCCAAUUUUCAUCUUUAAGUGCGUCACCAAUAGAUUUAAGUUCAAUUUCAGAUACAAAAGUCAUGUGUUUGCAGUAAUUAGAGACAAAGUUACGAGUAGACACUCCCUUAACAAUUUGUCCAAUGAUGUUGUCCACAUAAAGAUCUAUAGGAAUCCUCCAUUUUUUGGGAAGUUCAUUCUGUUGCAGAAUUUCAACCGGUUGUUUCGAAGAAUCAAUCGGUUGUUUUUCUUGACAAAAUUCCAGCUUCUGCAGAAUGGUGUUCUGCUAAUUUUCUUCUGCAUAAUUCUUCAUGGAUUCUUGUUAUGUGUUGGGCUUAAAGGUUAUUUGAUAACCUUUGUCACACAACUGGCUUAUGUUAAGGAGACUAUGCUUGAGUCCUUCCACAAAAAGCACAUCAUGGAUCAAGAAGGUGUUCUUGUCUCCAAUGGUUCCUCUCCCAAGAAUUUUCCCUUUGUUGUUGUCUCCAUAAGUCACAUGACCUUCAUGCUUGAGAAGUAGAUUAACAAACUUGGUUUUAUCCCUCGUCAUGUGCUUGGAACAUCCACUGUCCAGGUACCACAUAUGCUGGUUUUCCAUCAAAGAACCCUACAAGAAACAAAAUCAAAAGGCACGAUUUGGUCCCCUUACAAAUUUAGGUUCAUGGGCAUUAACUAGAUGAUUAGGAACCUUAGAAUUCGUAGGAACCCACUUCAAAACACCCUUAGGAACAUAAAAUUUCCUAACUCUGCAGAAUCUAACAGAGUGGCCCUUCUUCAUAAAGUAAAAGCAUGAAAAAACCGGUUGUUUCGACAAUUCAAUCGGUUGUUUUUCAAAAAAAGCUUGAAAAUGGCUUUGAAACUGGUCUCUUCUUGCUGUGUGGAUUAAAACCCAAUCCAACUUUGCCAAAAACACACUUUUGAGAUGCAAGAACAGUUUCAAAGUUUGAUUGGCCUUUUGAAAAUUUAUCCACAGUUUCUACAAGAUAGUGGACUUUCUUUUCAAAUGAUUCACAGUUUUUACAAAAGCUAGAGUCACAUUUGCAAGAAGAGUUUUCGUAAAUCAUUUCCAGAUUUUCAAAAUUAUUUUUCGAAUUGUUCAGCUCUUCUUCCAAAGUCUUGACUCUGUUUUCAAGCCAAUUAUUCAUGCCUUUCAAUCAAUUAUUUAAAAGGGUCAGCCUAUUAGCUUCUUCAAGAGUCUCUUUAAAAGCAUCAAGAAGUUGACUGUAAUUUUCAAAGUUUAUGGAGGUGCUGGAACUUACUUGUUUCAGAUUUUCCCUUUUCUAUCAAGCACAAAUUUGCCUUUUCAUCUCCAUUUGAUGAUGAGCUAGUGGAAGAAACGUCAUUGUCUUGUCAAGCAAUGUAGGCUCUUUUACAUUUGCCCUUCUUCUCAAGUUUCUUUCUUUCAUUGUUGAGGCAAUCAACUUUGAUAUGUUCUUGCUUACCACAACCAAAACAAGUAUAAUUGUUAGAAUUAAAAUCAUUGAGUUUCUUACUAUUAUACCUAUUUGAAGACUGGUUCUUGUUCAUGUUCUUUUUCAAGAACUUGCUGAAUUUUCUGGUAAACAAGUUAAGAGUUUCCCCAUCACUGCCCUCACUUUAUUCUUGACCUCCUUUAUGACCAACAACUUUCAAAGCAAUGCUCCUCACAUGCUUCUCUUCAUGCUCUUGAUCAUUCAACAUGUUCAUCUCGUGUUCCCUAAGCUUACCGAACAGGGAGGUUGUUGCCAAGUCAAAUCUUUCGAUUCAAAGAUAGUAGUGACUUUAGGUUGCCAAGUUUUGUCCAAGCAUUUGAGGAUCUUGAUGUUAAGUUCCUUCCUUUCAAAUAUUUUGCUAAGGCUGAUGAGAUGGUUUACAAUUGAGUGAAUCUCUUUUGUACAUUAGCAAUGGUCUCCCCUUUGAACAUUCUAAACAUCUCAUACUCCUAAAUUAGAGCAUGCUUUCUUGCUCUUUUGAUGUCAGUGGUUCCUUUAUGUGUAACCUCAAGAGUGUCCCAAAUCUCUUUUGUUGAGGCACAUUGUGACACCCUGAAAAACUCAUCAGAAUUUAGAGCAGAUGUGAUGAUGUUUCUAGCAAUAAAAUCAAAUUGAGCUCUUUUACUUUCAAUCUCAGUCCAUUGGGACAAAAGUUUUUCUAUGAAAACAUCAUCUUUUUCAAACAUUGGAAUAAAAGGGCCAUUUACAAUGGCAUCCCAAAUUCCUCUAUCAAUAGAUUCAACAAAGAUCUUCAUUCCAACCUUCCAAAACUGAUAAUUUAGUCCACAAAGAAAAGGUGGCCUGUUUAUUACAGCAUCCUCCCGAAAGGAUAGUUUUUCAGCCAUAAAAAAAAUUAGGAUAAAAAACUUGAAUGACUUUCAAGAACCUAGCUCCUGAUGCCAAUUGUUAGAAAUGUAGGCCUUAAACAAGAGGGGGCAAAUUGUUCAUGAAACAAUUUUUGCAAAUAUUGAAGGUAGAGUGAAAGACAAUGAAGAAUCAAUCAAUUCAAAAUCAGUUCAGCCAAUUAGAAAAUUGUUUUUAAUUUGAUUGUUGAAAAUCAACCGGUUGUUUUUGCGAAAUAAUCAGUUGUUUAUAUCACCAAAGUUGAAAAUCAAAGCAAAAACAGAUUUAAAGAGUGUAAGGAUAGAGAGAUUAACACAAAAUAUUUAUACUGGUUCACUCUUUACCAAAAGCUACAUCUAGUCCUCAUAAACCACUAAGAAUUCACUAAGUAAUCAAACCUUGAUUACAAACAACACACCAAAAUGGUGAUCUUGAACCCUUCAAGAACACACACCACCUUUGACAACACCACACAAUUUUCAGAACAACCUUUGAAACUACACAACACCAGUUCACACAGAAUUACAAUGAUCAAGAAAGAAAGGAAUGGAGUACACCUAAGUAAAAUCAAAGAUUAAAGCACAGUGAAUAUAGCACAGUCCUAUUCUACUCUUAAGAAUGAUCCAAGGUUUUUUUAAAUCUUGGAAAAUUGAUUUGAAUGAUUUCUCUUAGUUGAAUUAUAACCAGGAGCGUAAAACAACUUAUUUAAACUCCAAUCAGAUGGUCAAAACAUUUAAUACAAGAGCCAAAAUCAGUUUAAAUCCUUUAAAGCAUAUUAAAGCCACUUAACAAAAUUCGGUUAAUGUUUUCAGAAAAUCCAUCGGUUGAAAACACGAAUCAAUCAAUUGAAUUGGUUUGACAGCAAAGUCAAACGCAGUCAAGCUUUUUCAAAUCCUUUUCAAAAUACACCAAGUGUAAAACAACUGGUUGAAUCGAAAUUUCAACAGGUUGAUUUUUCACUUCCUUUAGAAAACAUAUCUUUUUCAAAAGGAUUGAAAUCAAACAACCUUGGAUCAUCACAAAGAGUGAAUUAACAAAUUCAAAUACUCUAGACACACAUACAACCAACAAUAAGGGUCUUCAUGCAUUCCACUUGGAUUUGAAGACAUCAAAGCACAUUGUUCAACAUAAAUUGUAAAGCAAAAUUAACUCAGAAAAAUUUAAGCACAAAUAAAUCAUGUUUUGAAUACCACAUUAUGUGAGUUGAUUUGCUAUUACACAUGUUUUUAUAAGUUUCACUUGAAUGAUGAUUUUUUAUUAGCAAUAAUAGGUUGAAUUGUCUUUUAUGUCCUUGGUCAUCUACUUAUAAAGUUGGGUUGUAUCAUAUAGUGACUAACUAUUUUUAGUCUCUAAAAUUAGUUUUUAUUUAAUGAUUUUCUUGUAGUGUUGUCUAUUUUACAUUCUUUUUUUUUAUUUUUUAUGUUUAAAUAUAGUUUUAAUCUCUUCAAUUAAAUUUUUGAUUUUCUUUAUGUUGGUCUUCUAAAUUAAACCCCAAACCCCAAACCCUAAACGUAAAUAAUUUAUAAAAUAUUAUUUGUGAAGAUUUUUAACCACAAUAAGUAACAACAAUGAAGUAAAGAUUAAAACAUGAAAAACAAAAGUAAUAAAAAAUUUAAUAUUAGUCUUAUUAAGAAGUUUUUUUUAAGACAUAACAAUGACAUAAAUAUAUAAAUAUGACAACAAAAAAAGACUAAAUUAGUUUUAACUAAUAUUUAUAAUCCAAUAUCUCUUUUAAAUUCAACAUGCAUUAGUACCAAUUUAAGUAAAACUUUUCUUGUUGUCAUGAUACAUAGAAUUGGUCUAGAAAGAGAAACAUCCAUGUUAGAAAGAAGCCAACGCAACUAAGUUAUCACAAUAGUGGUUAAAGUCAUGACACGAUAUUCAACUUCAAUAGAGGGACCAAAAAUAAUAUCUUAUUUCUUGUUCUUCCGAUAGAUAAUAGAAUCUUCUAGAAAAAUACAAAAACAUGUAAUAGUCUUAUGAUCAGUAAGGUCACCAAUCCAAUCAACAUCAGAAUAAGCACACAACUUCAAGGAAGAUGAUGAGGGAAAGAGAAGGCUCUCAAGUUGAGUACCACAAAGGUAUCUAAGAAUGCAAAGAACAAUUAUCCAAUGCAUUUUGGUAGGAGAAAUAAGAAAUUGAUUCACAACAUAAACAACAUAAGCAAUAAAAAGAUGAGAAAUGGGGGGGAUAUAAUAGCUUAUCAACAAUAGUAUGAUACAUAGUGAGAUAUGAAGAGACAUCAUUAGAAGAAGUAUAUUUCACAUUAAGCUCAAUAGGGGUGUUAGUUGUGUGAGUAUUAGAAAUUAGAGCAUGUGUUAAAGUGAAAAAAUAGUUAGAUUGAGAGAGAAGAUAACAUUUAGGAGAAUAUACGACUUUAUUCUCCAAGAAAUAACGAAAAUAACCCAAAUCCUUUCAUUUUAAACUAUAUUUCCAACUACAAUGAUAAAAACCCAUUCAAACUCAAAACAUUUGGCUAAGAAGAUUGGAAGUAGAAAAAGGAGCUCAGAAAACUCUCGUCUCAAGGAGAAAUAAUUGUUGUCUGCUCUUCCAUUUUUCUCUAGUUUUAUAACCAUUGUAUAGAGUAGUAUAGGCUUUAUUUUGGACUUGUAUUUGGGUCAUUUUCUUGGACCAUGUUUUGGGCCAAUUUUCAUGGGUCAUAUAUUGGGCCAAUUAUAGUUGGGUGUAAAUCGAAAAAGAAAGAGUCUAGCUAGAGUUACAAUUGGGCCUCCUUGGACCCAAUGCAACUCUAAGCCAUCUAGAAUGCAUAAAUAAAUUACUAGAAUGAAAAUAGAAAACAUGAAGUGACAAGGAAGGCAUGAAAGUCCACAUGUCAUCCCCUCAAUGGAGAGGAUUCCCACCAAUGCCAAAAGGCCAUUUGUAUUCAUAAGAAUGGAGAGGAUUCUCUCCAAUUAGAGAAGAACACUUAUCAACUUCUAAUUUGAGAGGAUUUGCUCCAAUUAGAGAGAGUUAUUUGUCCUUCUAUGAGUGGAGGGUUUUUGGGGUUGAAGCUUGCACCUUGGCUGCCUGUAACAUUAUAAAUACAAGUGCUAGCCCAUUGUAAAUGAGCUUUGAAUAGAAUAUUGAAUUGUUGUCCAAAUCUGUGCAUAUCUUGUCUUCUUUGUUCACUCUUUGCUAGCAUUAGUUUUGUGUCUAGCUUAGAACUUCUUAGGAGUUUAGGGUUUAGGGUUCAUGGUUUUUUUUUCACUUAUUUUAGUCAUCCAAUCCCACCAAAUUUCACACCCCAAAAAUACAAAACAAAAAACUCAUAGCAAUGCAAGCUAGGAUUGUAUCACAAUUUCAACUCUACAAUUUGAUUUACAUCAUCCCCGAUGAUUAUCAUGUCAUUAACAUAUAAAGAGAGAAUAAUACAAUCAUGAGAAGUAGUAUUCAAAAUGAAAGCAAAGUGCAAUCACUAGAACAAAAUCCAAAAGAUACAAUAAUUAUGGAGAACUUUUCAAACCAAGUUUGGGAGCUUGUUUGAGACCAUAAAAACUCUUUCUUAACUUACACACCUCCCUUGGAUUAUGAGAAACACCUAGAGGAGGUAUCAUGAAUACCUCCUUUCUUAUAUCAUCAUUUAAGAAAUCAUUUUUAAUAUCUAUCUAAAAAAUAUCCUAUUGAAAAAUAAAGGCAACAAUAAUAAGAGUACGAGUGGUAGUCAUCUUAGCAAUCGAUACAAAAGUUUUUGCAUAAUCUAGAACAUAUUCCUAAGAGAAUCCUUAACGACUAAACAAGUUUUGUAAUGGUCAACAAACCCAUCCAAAUUUGUUUUAAUUUUAUAGACCCACCAAGAGCCAAUGCCUUUUUUUUUCUUGGAGGAGGAGAUAUCAAAUCCCAAGUAGAAGUCUUAUAUAAAGUAGAAAGUUCCUCUUGCAUAGCCUGUUGUCAUAGUGGAUCAAGGAAAACCUCUUGAUGAGAAGAAGACUCAAACAAACUAUGAAUUCUGGUUAAGAAGGAAUUAAAGGAAGAAGAAUAAAUAGAUUAAACCAAAUUUGGUGAUUGGAUGGACUUAUGAACACGUUGAGGAUACCAAGGAUGUGAGGGAUCAAAAUCACAAAAGGUGCUUAGGAAGUCAUGGGGAGAUCUUGAGUUGUUGUAGUACCAUUAUAAUCCUUGCAAUUCUCAAUUCCAAGAUUAUUUACAUCAUCAUCAUUUAUGAAAAAGGGAUCAAUACAAAUGAGAUCUGACCUUGUAGAGUUAUGAGAGUUAGAAGGAAAUGAAUAUAAUGGAAUGUACUUAUGGAAAAUAACAUGAUGAGAAACAUAGAGUUUGUGAUUGGUAGGAUCAUGACAAUGAUAAUUCUUUUGACAAUCCCUAUAACUAUGAAAAACACAUAAUACAAAAUGAGAGGACAAUUUACUAUGUUUAACUUUGUGGAUGAAGAAAAAAAGUAGAACCAAAACCUUUCAAGGAAGAGUAAUCGGAAACACAACCACAUAACUUUCAAAAGGGAGACACACCUGAGAUAGUAGAAAAUGAAAUUCGGUUUAUAACAUGGACAAAAAUAAGAGCAACCUCAUUCAAAAUUUCAUUGGAACUGAAGCAUACAAUAAAAGAAAAUGAGCAGAUUCAAGAAUGUAGCAAUGUUUUCUUUCAGCAACUCCAUUCUGUUGAGAAGUAUCAAUACAAGAAGUUUGAUGAAGAGUUCCAUCGAUGGUAAGUAAUUCACAAAAUUUAUUAAAAGUGUACUCACCACCCAAAUCACAUUAAAAACAUUUAAUAACAACAUUAUGUUAGUUUUAAGCUUAGUGUGAAACAUAAGAUAUACAUUAAAAAAAACUCAGAAAAAUGUUUCAUAAGAUAAGCCCGACAAUAAUAAAUAUGAUCAUCAAUAAAAGAGACAUAAAAGUAGGAUAGGCAUUGAUAGGAAAGAAGGAUAAACCCUAUGCAUCAUAAUGAACCAAGCCAAAAGAUGUAUGACAUGUAAAAACACUUGAUAAAAGGUAUAGUAGUAAAUUUGACAAGUUUACAAUAAUAAAAAAUAUCAAUGGUUUGUAACUUGCGUAAAAUUCUAAUGAAGACUUAGUAAGUUAAUCUAGAGAAAGAAACAUGUCCAAUACAUAAAGAUGGUAAAUCAAUAAUCGAAGUUGUAAUAACGAAUUCUUUAGCUCAUCUACUAUAUAAAAUCCCUUAUCUACAAUUUAUCUCAAUCAACCUUCCAAAUUAAAGAUAAUUAGUAGAAGAAAAAAAAUGAAUAACCAAAAGUCACAUAAUUAAUUAAAUGACAGAGACAAAAUUGAAAAUGAGAUUUGGAAUAUAAUAAACAUUUGAAAGCGACAAAGUAAUAGAAAAUCCACAUUUGCCUGUCAAACCAGGUGAUUCUACUAGUAGGUGAUUACCAAUGAUAUGGGCUUUAAUGCCAUAUUAGAUUUUAACCUAAAACCAAACCAAAUGACAUUAAGUGAAGUUGUCUAUUCAUGUAUAAACUACACUCUCAUACUUGAUGCAGACCAUGUAAAACUUCUCAACACGCGUCUCAAAAGAUGUUUGUAGAACCAAAGCGAGCCUAAUAAUAGUACCAAAUGAAUAUAUAUACUUAGUACCAUGAUAAUAAUGAAACAAAAUAUGAUGAUACAUGAAAAGAAAUUGAUUUCAUAUACUAAUCUUAAUAGAAAGACUCAAAACAUAACAAAUAUAUAAAUAUGAAAAUAAUAUAAAAGUUACCCUACACUUAAUUAUUUAAUAUAUAUAUAUAUAUUAUUAUUAUGCUAACAACAAGUAAAUAAAAUUAGGGUAAAUAGGCGUAUUAAGAUAUGGAGGAUUGUGAUGCUAUUCUGAAUCCUAACUCAAAAUUUACAUAUCAUGAAAGAAAGAAGAAAAAAAGAAAAAAGUGGGAGAGAAGUAAAGCAAAAGAAAAUUUGAAAACAACUCAAAAUUUAAAAUCCCAAACAAGAAGAUCAUGUCCAAAAUUUAAAUUUAGACAGUUUAGAAAUCGCAGUAAAUUGGAAAUCCAAAAUACCUUACGCGUCUAUGAUGAAGAAGGAUAAAAAUAACAUUUUGUAAGUUAUAUAACUACAAUUUUUUUUUAAUGUCAUGAAUAAAAAAGGGAGUCGGAUUUGAGGAAAAAAAUUAAACUUUUUUAUUAAGUUUAAAAUAUAAGUAAUUCAAAUUCACCAGUCAUAUAGUAAAACAGUUCUUCCAUGACAUUGUGCAUGCUCCUCCUUAAAUAUAUAUAUCAUUGCUGAUAAUAUAUAUAUAUAUAUAUAUAUAUAUAUAUAUAUAUAUAUAUAANNNNNNNNNNNNNNNNNNNNNNNNNNNNNNNNNNNNNNNNNNNNNNNNNNNNNNNNNNNNNNNNNNNNNNNNNNNNNNNNNNNNNNNNNNNNNNNNNNNNAAAUGGAAAAAAUAAUUUACUUUGUUUCUAUCACAUGGUUUUAUUCCUCUAUUUCUAUAUGUUAUAAAUGAUAAGUACAAUGGAACAAGUAUUUUCAUAAAUAUAUUUAUUUUGAAUAAAAUAUAAAAAUAUAAAAAAAUUGAAUAAAUUAUUUAAAAGUUAAAACAAAUUUAUAUGUAAACUAAGUUUUAGGCAUUCUUUAUAUAACCUUUUUAACUUUUAAUUUCUAAUUUAUAAAUAAUUUGAUUUCAUUUUUAUCUUUUUAUUUUUCUUUUAUAAAAAUACUUAUAAAAAAUUGUCCAAAUAUAAAUAAUAUUAUUUACAAAAACUAUUUUUUCCAAAAUAGUUCUAUAAUAAUUUCACAUUAUUAUUCUUUUUUUUAUUAUGAUGAGAUCUAUCACUUUGAUUCUUGAUUCUUCCAAUAACAUACUUUUAAUGAUAACAAUUUGUGUACAGGUGCUAGGAGAGUAAUUCUUAUUGACUAUUUAUAAGUUAACUUAACAACUUCCUUGAUUAAUUAAUACUAGGAAAACUCAUAUCCACAUUUUUAUUUCACUAAAAUAAUAUAAUUUUGUAAAAAAUAUAUUAAAAAUAUUAAAAGUAUAAAAUUUAGAAUGUAUAUAAUUUUGUAAAAAUAAUAUUAAAAUAAUAUAUAUGGUAGUUAUCUAUACCAUUGAGGAUAGAUUUUUUAACCACCUUUAGUAUCAUAUUUUUAAUUAAUAAUUUUAUCCUAUGAUAAAUUUAUUCUUUUAGUAAAAGAUGAUAUUUUUUUUAAUGGUCUAACUUUCCCACUUAAAAUAACAUAAACAUACAUUUUCUUUUAAUUUUAAAUCAUUCUAUUGGAAAUAUAUAUUUUUUUAAAUUGUUUUAUUUGAAUCAAGAAAAUAUGAAUUGUUUCUACAAGUUUUUAAGUAAAAAAGUUAUUUAGUUAUUUUUUUAGUAGAAAUAAAUUAUUUAUUAAAAAAAUUAUUUAUUAAAAAGUAAAAAUAUCAAAUUAAAAAUGACGUCAAAGAUCAUUAUCAAAAUAUGUACUUUUUUUUAUAUAAUUGUAUAGAUUAUUUUCGUAGCAAUAAGUUAUCCAAUUACUUAUUUUAUUAAAUAAAAAAUUAUAUUUUAUAUUAAAGAAUUAUUAUUUUUAAUUAAAAUAUGACAACAAAAAUAAUUAUCAAAAGGUGUAUUCGCUAUAUAAUAGUGUAGACGAUGAUGAUCAUAAUAAUAACAUUAAGUAUAAAUAAAUUUAAAAGUUUUAAAGAUUUUAUCUUUAUUAUAUUAAUAAAAAAAGGUGACAAGUGAUUUUUUUAUUUCAAGGAAGGUGUGCUUUUUUUUCUUUCUUUAUUACAACAUGAUGAUGACAUUUGCGAUAUUAAUUCACAGGAUUGUAUUUUACAAUAACUGGACCAAACCAAAAUCUUGAACAUUACGGUGCAUAUCAAUCCGUAUUAAUUACGUUGGGACACUAUGUUAUACCAUACUUUAUACUUAGAUAUGUUAUUGUCACCGUAUUGUUUAUUGCUAUUUUGACAUACAAGUGGAGAAGAAGACACUCAUCAGAAUACGAAAAUAUUGAAAGUUAUUUAGAGCAAAAUAACUUGAUGCCUAUUCGAUACACAUACAAAGAAAUUAAGAAGAUGGCCAUAGGUUUCAGCGAAAAGUUGGGUGAAGGAGGUUAUGGCUCUGUAUUUAAGGGAAAGUUGCGUAGUGGACCUUGUGUUGCCAUAAAAGUGUUACGAAAAUCAAAAGGUAAUGGACAAGACUUUAUCAAUGAAGUUGCAACAAUUGGAAGAAUACAUCAUCAAAAUGUAGUACAGUUAAUUGGAUAUUGUGUUGAGGGCUCAAAACAUGCCCUUGUUUAUCAGUUCAUGUCCAAUGGAUCUCUUGACAAAUUUAUAUUUUCCAGAGAAGGAAAUUUGCAUUUAACCUAUGACACAAUAUAUAAUAUAGCAAUUGGAGUAGCACGUGGGAUUUCAUAUCUACACCAUGGGUGUGAGAUGCAGAUUUUGCAUUUUGACAUCAAACCCCACAACAUCUUGCUUGAUGAAAAAUUUACCCCAAAAGUUUCUGACUUUGGAUUGGCAAAACUAUAUCCAAUAGAUAAAAGUGUUGUAACUAUGACAGCAGCAAGAGGGACAAUUGGAUACAUGGCUCCAGAAUUGUUUUAUACAAAUAUAGGAAGAAUAUCAGAUAAGUCUGAUGUUUAUAGUUUUGGAAUGCUUCUAAUGGAGAUAGCAAGCAAGAGGAAAAACUUAAACCCCCAUGCAGAGCGUUCAAGUCAACUUUACUUUUCCUUUUGGAUUUAUGAUCAACUUGACAAAGAGAAAGAUAUAGAUAUGGAAGAUGUCAUAGAGGAAGAGAAGAAAAUUGCAAAAAAAAUGAUGAUAGUUUCACUCUGGUGCAUACAAUUAAAACCAAAUGAUCGUCCUUCCAUUAAUAAGGUAGUCGAAAUGCUUGAAGGAGACAUUGAGAACCUUAAAAUUCCUCCAAAGCCUUCUCUGUAUCCACAUGAAACAUUGGAAAAAAUUUGCUCUGGCCAAACAACAUUGUCUGAGUUUAUUAGUUCUUCAAGCAAUUCCAUGGAAAUUGCCACUAAUGCUCCCCUAGAUGAAAGUAUUUGAUAAUGUAUAUUAGUUGUUUAUUUGCAUCCAACUUAUUGACUUGAACAUUGUUCAUGUAUAAUAUUUACAUUCUCUUAGUUAUUUUCUAUAUAAUGUUGUAUACUUAAAAGUUUAAAGUAAUGGUUUACCAAAUUUAAACAUUUGUUAAAAAAAUUCAGUUAUGUUCAUUAUACUAAAGUAGUUGUAGCCUCCUAAGUUUUUUUUUUAACUGUUAUUUAAAACAUGAUCAAAUAUAAUAACAAGUGAAUUUAGUUAAAAUAGGUAUAUUUUCUAGUAAGUGCAUGUACUAAAUUCUACAAUAAUUGAGAUUGUGUUGUAAGCUAGAUAAUAGUAAAGGAUUGUAUGUGAAAGUAAUCAAAGAAUUCAUCAAAUCAAUUAUAAUUUGUUACUUUAAUUUGUUUUGUUUUAAUUUGUUUCUAAACAUGUAUUUUAAGAAAAGUUUUGAUGAGUAUGAAAUAAAAUAGUCUUUUUAAUAUCCCAAAUGACCUUAAGCCCUUAACUUAUAUUUUGGGAGUUUUUUUAACUAAAAUUUCUCUAAUAAAUAAUACCAUGUGUACAAUGUUACCAACUUUCAUCAUAUGACAAAAAUUCAUUGUCUAAUCUCGUAAUGGUGGAACACUAUUAGUAACUUUAUAAUUAAGUUGUGUCACGCAUCAUUGACUUUUUUUAAGCAAUAAUCUUAAUACUUUUAUACAUUACAAAAAAAUUAUGUUUAAUGUUUUUUUUGUUUUAUUAGCAUUUUAAACCCGUUAAACUUAUUAUUCACAAUCCUAAAAGUUGUCGACAAAACAUUAGUGAUAAACAAUUUACUACAAUCAUUAUUAACACAAAAUUACUUGUACAGUUAUAAAAUCUCUUAAUAUCAAACAUUAUACAUGCAAUUUCAUUAACGUUAUAAUAUAUUAUUUACGAUUUUCUAAGUCUUGAGGCUGCAUUUGGUAAUAUCAAGAUAACAAACGAAUAUGAAUCUUCUUUCCACCUUUCAUUUCACGAAAAUCCUACAAGAUAAGUUAACCCAAUGUUUCUUCUAAUGCCAUAAUCUAACAAAUAAUCUAACAAAUUUUACAUAAGAAAAUUGGAUUUAGAGUUUUGUUAACAUGUUGAAGAACUUCAAUAUAAGACGAAUUGGGUUGGAAGAAAUAAUUGAAAUAAUUCCUCAUGACAUACAUGCUUCUAAUAUGACAAAAUGAUAUAUAUUUAACAAACGAAGUGUUCUCGAACGAGUUUGGGACCUAGAGAACAAUUGCUCAUAUUCUUAUGCUCGGUCGACCUAGUACUCUUGAGACUCCUCAAUGCGUUCGCGCUUCCUGAUGUGCUCCCUUCCUCUCGGUCGUCCUGCUCCACAGGCGGGGAUGGUACCUGUAGAAGGCACUUCAACGCUCAAGUCAGUUAGGGUGUCGGUAUUUGGUUAUCAGAGUAUUGUAGAUAAUGACGUACCUUUCUUUUGAAAUGCGUACUAUUUAUAUUACCUUAAUGGGCCUUCACUGUUGGGUCGGGUUAAGGGAUUUGGUUUGCGUUUAGGGUUGUGUUAAGCUACCAUUAACCAUGGAUUAGUUUUGCUAACCUGAUCAACCUUUUACUCGAACGUUAUGGGUCGGUCGGCCACGCGUAGUGACGUGGCCAUCUAUUUAUUAUCUUGGCGGCGGCGUAGGUCGAUUGCUGGCCGACUCAAUGUGUCGUCCGGUCGUGCCAGUACAGUUGCCCCCCAUGCUCGUGUUCUAGUACAACCAAAGAGUCUGAAAAUGGGGCUCGGGCGGUGGUGUAAUGGUAGAUGAAGUGACAGGAAAUGGCGCCUGAGCGGGUGAUGUGACGUGCAUUUAUGAGGGGGUUUUUGGGCGUCAAACGAUGUGGGUCGUUAGAUCAAGCAGAUCUGACGGUUGAGAUUUUGUGACGUUUGGGUUUCCGAGACGUUCUUGGGCUAUAAAUAUGGGUUGGUAGUAGUGGCCUCUUACACAUUUUAAUAUUGAUUGAGUUUCGACACCCGAGUGCAUCCGAGUGAUCUUUGCUGCUAUCGUCGUCCGUUCCAAGGUUAGUCAUGUCUACCCACUCCCAUCCCACUUCUUCUUCUUCUCCCGCUCGGUCUCCUCUUCCUGAGCCCCAUUCUUGUUCGUCGUCAUCGUCGUCCUCUUCUUCUUUUACUUCUUCGUCCAACAAAGUUAUUUAGGCCGGGGCAGUUGAGACCGCUGCCCCGCGAGUGGAGAAGGUUAGGAGAGAUGACGCUGGUAAUGCGUCGGAUCGACCAGUCUCAUGCGAGUGGCCGCGUCCUCAUGUGGGGCCUGCCUGGGUUGAUCCUAAGGUAUGCGAGGUUGCGUCUGUAUUUCAUACGAACGCCUCAGUAACUGAGUUUUUGAACAAGGUCCCAGUUUUGAAGGCUUCCGUCGAGGAGUCUUUGUUGGCAUUCGGUCCUUGCUCCUUGGUGGACCAUGUUUAUAAGGAGUGGUCAUCCACCGAACCUCCCUUCUUUUUCAUGUACAAUUGUCUUUUUUCGGACCUUCAUGUGUCCCUUCCUUUUGAUAUGUUCACAGCCGAUGAUGGAAGAGGCCCAAGCACAAGCCCACAUGCAAGCCCACCAAAGGGUAGAUUUGGGCCAACCCUAGAGUUAUGGCCAAAAGGAUCCAAGAAGACGUUCUUUUACAUGUUUAAAUGUCAUAAACUCUAGUGUAGAGUAGACUUUACUUUCUUGUCAAAAUUAGAUUAUGAAUUUUAUUUGUAAUUUUUCCUUAGAUGAAAUUUGGCACCUAAAAACCAACCUUAGUUAAAUUAGGAUUUCUAAAACACCUAAUUUUAAUCAAGGCCGGUUAUGUUUAACCAAGGCACAUUUUCCACAUAUUCCAUAUUUAACAUGUGCUAAACGUUUUCCAUCACAUGUUAAAUAUGCUUCAUGUGCUCCAUGUGCUAAGUGUAAAAUAGGCGCCAAUUUCAAUUUCUUUUGCAUUUGAAUUUCCCUCCAAUUCUCUUGUUCAAAUCCAGCCCUCACUUGCUAUAUAAUGAGGAGCUUGGGUCAUGUAAAUUCAAUAUUAAUAUACUUAGUGAAUUGCUGUCAAAUUGUGCCAAUUUCACUUCUUGCCCAAAACAUCCUAGGUUAGGCUUUUAAUCUUCACAAAUUUCCCUUUUCCAAGUAGAGUUGGCCUCACCACUCUCAAUCCCUACCUCUCAUGCACCUUCAAGGUCACCACCACUCUUAGGAGGACCUUGCUUCAUCUUCAAUCCAUGAUGCUUUCGCCAUUCACCAACAAAAUCCGAAAACUAUGAAGGCACAUCUUCAUCAGCCAGUGUCCUUCGGGCACUUAAUGUGGCUCCGACUCAGUUGCACCCUAAUACAUGGACGUCCAUGCAGACUUUUCGCAUGAUGUGUCUGACGUUUGGGGUGCGUCCUUUUCCUUCAUGUUUUUUUCAUUUCUAUGCUUCCCAUCCUGCUGAAUUGGUCGGUUGGCAUUCUUUGGACAGUCAAGCUGGCAGCGUGUUGUUCAAAGCCUUCACGGCCUCUUAUAAGAACUUUAAAGAAAAGUUCUUCAAGGUGUACGUGGAGCCGACGGGCACGCAUUACUUUUCUGAUGAAGUCGGCCAGACAAGGUUUUCGUUGUUCUGGACGAGGAAACCCACAAAGAUCAAGGAUUGGCCGAGGCCGGUCAACCCAAAUGAGUAUGAGCGGGAAGUUUUUACGUUGUUCGACAGUCUCCCCAAGAAGCUCCCUACUCGACCGCUUAUGUCUUGUACACGGUGACCAAUCGCGCGAUGGCCUUCGAGGAUAUGUGGUCUUAACGCUUCGGUCGUUUAUUGCUUUUUCUUUGGCUAACGUUUUUUCUUUUUCUUAUUUCAGAAAUUGCCAAGAGGGAAAUUCUGCAGGCAGUCGGCAUGUUGAGCUCCUUUAGGAACAAGCUGAACAAGAAGAGGGGGGCAGCCGGUGCCAGGGCCCUUACCACUGAUACUGCCCGUGCGGGCCCCUCGAAGAACUCAAAGAAACGGGCUAGAGAGGGAGGGAAUACUGCCGUUAGGGCUCCGGGGCAGAUGUUGAUCCCUCCUCAGAGCCAAACGGUGACUCGUGUUGGGUCGUCGCCAACCGAUGACUUCAACCGCCCUAUCCCGACCUCUGGCCUUGCUGGGGGGUGACAGGUGCUUCACCCGAGCGAUGAAUUUUGACUUGCCCCCUGACCUCGAUGAGCUAAUCGGGUCGGUCCCGGAUGAUGAUGUUCUCGACGGUGGUGUCGAGAUAAUCUGUCGCGGGUUGAUCUUGACCCGCCGAGGCGCCGAGGCUCGAAGGCAACGUAUUGAAGAUUUGUCGCGCCUCGAGCAUGAUCUUCAGAAGGCAUCCAACAAUCUUCAACAAGUUGUUGAUGCAAACACAACCUAUGAGAAGAAGUUGCGGAGUUGGAGCUCGGUGCGACCCGACUGGCCGAGGUGGAGAAGGCUGAUGCCGAUAAAGCGAUGGAGAUCACACUGCUUCGAAAGGCGUUACAGGCGGUCGAGCGUAAGGGGGGUUUCUGGAGGAGGAGGUCGCUUCAGAGCGUCGGGGGAAGGAGGCGGUCGAGGCUGAAGUUUUGAAGACCAUGAAGGACACCAUGGUCUUAAUAAAUCAGAGUUUUGACCUGGCCGUUCGUCAGGCCGAGGUGCUGUACGGGGGGCCUCCACCUUCUGGUCAAUUUGACCAAGAUGUGGAGAUCGUCGAUGGCCUUUUGGUACUUGCGGGCGACGUCCAGAAUGCUCAGAGCGCCGACGAGCCCGUCCCGAUUGAGGAUAUUGAAGACUAGGGCUUAGGCUUUAGGUUUUUAAGCUUGUUCGUUUUUUUCCCUUGGGACCGGGGUGUGGCCUCCACCUUUUGAAUGAAUGGAAUCGGUCGUCUUUAUUUAAUUUUAUUUGCACGUCUUUUCUUUUGGUCGGUGUAAAUGUGAGUUAAGACGAUUAACAUUAAUGAACCUGGUUGGCGUGUGAUGACAUUCCUAUGAGCUUUUCUUUGUUUUUGUUGAUGAUGGUUGCGGAAGCUUAGUGGAGGAGAGUGGAACAAGGCCCUCCUAAGAGGUAUGGGUGCCUUGAAGGUGCAUGAGGAGUAGUGAGGGUUGGAGUGGUUCAACCAUCUCCAUUUGAGGGUGAAGUUUGAAGACUAUAAACCUAAUUCUAGAGAGAAUUUGGCAAGGGACUAAUUUGAAUGGCACUUGGGCAGCAUUUCAUUACUCAAAAUAGUCUUAGAAUUACAUGAGGUAGGCUCCUCCUUAAAUAGCCUAGGAGGACCAUAAAUGCACAUGUAAAUGAAAAGGAAAUGCUAGCCAAAUUACAUGUAAAUGUGAGCACAUGGGAGCACAUGGAAAAUGUGAGCACAUGGGAGCCUAAAUGAGCACAUGGGGAGGGGUGUGUCUAGUUUGUAUGCUCACCCCCUCCAUGGGCUUUCUAGACCGGCCUUGGUAAAUUUAGAGGUUUUCUUAGAAACUCUAAGUUUACCUAGGUUGGUGUUUUAGGUGCCAAAAUUAAUUCUAAGAAAACAUACAAAUAAAGUUCCUAUGCUAAUUUUGACAAGAAAUUAAAGUCCACUCUACACUAGAGUUUAUGGCAUUUGAACAUGUAAAAGAACGUCUUCUUGGAUCCUCUUGGCCAUAACUCUAGGGUUGGCCCAAAUCUACCCUUUGGUGGGCUUGCAUGUGGGUUUGUGCUUGGGCCUCUUCCAUCAGCGUGUGUUAAUAACGAAUUGAAUCAGGACGACGGUCGACCUCUGAAGUAUAACUAAAUUGUGAACUUUUGUUUUGCGCAAGUUAAUUAUUCGCUUGGGGUAGGCCGAUAUGCCUUUACUGGUAUCGGGAGGGUAUGCCGGUUAAGGAUACGUCCUGACCGAGCCAUGGAUGAAGUGUUGGAAAGGUAUAUCGCUUUAGGUUUUACCCUGGCCGACACUUGUGUUUGGGUUUUGGGAGGUUAUGCCGGUUAAGGCUUUGUUCUGGUCGAACCGCGUAUGGGGUGUUGGGAGGGUAUGCCGUGUGAGGCUUCGUCCUAGCCAACACCCACGUUUGGGUCUCAAGAGGGUAUGCCGGUUAAGGCUUCAUCCUGGCCGAGCUGUGUGUAUGAUUUGUAGCGUGCACAUUGCUUGAAGAAAACGCCUCGUUAAAACCUCUCUGACCGAUGGUGGUGCCGGGCGAGGAAAGAGUGCGUAAAUUUUAUUCAUGUUUAGCUAAAGUAAAAUUUGAGGUUCGUGGCAUUCCACGUCCUUGAUACAAUUUUGCCUAAUAGCCAUUCUAGGUGGUAUGCUCCUCCUUCUCCUACCUCUCGGAUUCGAAACGGUCCUUCCUAGUUUGACGAGAACUUGUUGUCCGUCUUCCUGGCAUUGCUUUGCAUCCUCCAGACAAGAUCACCUUUUUGGAAGCUUCCUGGCCGAACCUUCAUGUUGUAUCUUCUCGCCACCCGGAGCUUGCACGUUGUUUCGCGGAUUUUGCUCUUGUCGCGAAGCUCGUUAAGGAGGUCGAGUCCGACCGCUAGACUUUCCUUGUUGAGGGACAAGUCAAAUAUUUGUCAUCUGAUGGACGGUUCACCCACUUCCAUCGGUAUCAUCGCCUCUGUGCCGUAUGUGAGGCUAUAUGGGAUUUCUUGUGUGGUGGUUUAUGGGGUGCACCAAUAUGCCCAUAGGACUUCUAUUAGCUCUUUAGUCCAUCUUCCUUUUGCAGUUCUGAGCCUCUUUUUUAAUUAGUUGAGAAGGACCUUGUUGGCCGCUUCUGCUUGACCGUUCAUUUGUGGGUGCUCGACCGAGCUUGUGACAGAUUUGAUGCUGAGGUCGUUGUAGAAGGUUUGGAGGCCUUGGUCAAUAAACUGUCGGAAAUUAUCGGACACAAUUGUGUUCGACACUACGAACCGGCACACUAUAUUUUUCCAUACGAAAUUUUGGACGUUCUUGGCGGAUAUGGUGGCUAGGGGCUCGGCCUCUAUCCAAUUUGUGAAGUAAGCCACAACAACUAGCAGGUGUUUCGUUUAGCCUUUGUCGGGCGAGAAUGAGCCAAUGAUGUCUAUUCCCCAUAUGGCAAACGACCAGGGCGAUGUCAUGCUAUGUAGUUCCUCUGGUUUCAAGUGCUGGAGCGGGCCGAACUCUUGAUACUUCUGGCACCUCUUGACGUGUUCUACGCAAUCUCCAUGAACGGUCGGCCAAUAGUAUCCUGCUUGGAUGACUUUGGCCGUCAUAGUUCGAGCCCCGGAAUGGCUGCCGAACGCUCCAUUGUGAAUCUCUUGCAAUACGUACUGGGAUUGUUCUUUGGUGAGGCAUUUUAGGAGUGGGGUCGAGUAUCCCCUUCGAUACAAAUAUUGGCCGACCAUGGUGUAUCGGGCGCAUUGUCGCCUGAUAUUCUUUUCCUUGCUCGGUUGACAUGUUCCAUGUUCUAGGUACUGGAUGAUUGGGCUCAUCCAGGUACUGGCCUCGGUGAUUGCCAGGCAUUCGGCGUCACCUACACUUGGUUGUUGUAGGUGUAUUUGGACGACUGAGCCAUGAUGGCUCUCCUUUUUAGACGAGGUGAGGCAGGAGAGUGUGUCUGCUCGUUUUUUGUCCUGCUGUGGUAUAUGCUCGAUGAUGACUUUGUCAAACUUGGCAAUAGAGUUGUUGACCGUGUGGUAAUAACACUGGAGGAGGGGUUCUUUUACCUCGAAUUCACCCUUUAUCUAACCGGCAACCAGCUGCGAGUCGCUCUUGCAUACAACUUCCCGUGCUCCUAGGACGUGUGCAGCCUGGUUAUUCGUUGCCUUGAAAGCGAACUGGAGCGCUUGUUCAAUCAGGAGGUCCCCUGGACCAUCCAGGACGACCCCUGCACCACAAGCAGUUUUAUUGGACGAACCGUCUACAAAGAGUACCCACCCGGUCGGUGUGUCGGGUUGUGGUGUUAGCUCUGCUGAGAAGUCCGCCAAACAUUGAGAUUUGGUGGCACCUCUUGGCUCAUACCGAAUGUCGAAUUUCGAUAGCUCGACCGACCAUCCUAUCAUUCGUCCAGCAAGGUCGAGUUUAGACAGUAUUUUAUAUAUAGGAUAGUUGGUUCUUAAAGUAAUGGCGUGAUUUUGCAAGUAUGGCCGCAUCCUCCUGGUGGUCAAUUCCAGUGCCAGGGCGAAUUUUUCGAUCAUGUAGUACCUUCUUUCGGCUACGUGGAGCGUGCGGCUGACAAAGUACACUAGGUGUUCUUCAUUGUUGAUUUCUUGGACCAAGGCGGAGCUGACUGCCUCCUCUAAGAUGGCCAAGUAUACUACGAUCGACAGAUCGAGUCUUGGCUUCUGAAUGACGGUCGGUGAUGACAAGAAUUCUUUCAACUGGCCAAAGAUGCCUUCGCAUGUCUUGUUCCAGUUAAACUUUGACGUUUUCCGAAGCAUUUGUGCCAUUGGUCUUAUUCGUUCGGCUAAACGAGGAACGAAUCUUGAUAAGACUGUUAGACGACCGAGCAGCUGUUUAACUUCUUUCAGGUUCUUUGGGCUUCUCAUCUCAGUUAUGGCCUUGCACUUGUCAGGGUUGGCCUCGAUUCCUCUGUGUGUCAACAUGAAACCGAGGAACUUGCCGCCCUCGACGCCGAACGCGCAUUUUUCGGGGUUGAGGCGCAUGUUGACCCUCCUUAAGGCGCCAAAGACUUCUUACAAAUCUUUGACAUGCUGACCACACGAGUCAUAUUUCACCACAAUGUCGUCCACGUAGACUUCGACGCUUCUGCCUAUCAUUUUCUUGAAAAUCUUGUCCAUCAACCUCUGGUAGGUAGCUUCUGCAUUUUUUAGGCCGAACGACAUUACCUCAUAAAAGUAGUUUGCACCGUUGGUUGUGAAGGUCGUUUUCUCCUUGUCUUUGGGGUGCAUGCUUAUCUGGUUGUAGCCAGAAUAAUCAUCCAAGAAGCUCAAUAUUUUGUGCUCGGCCGCCCCAUCAACGAGUUGGUCAAUGUUAGGCAGAGUGUAUGAGUCUUUGGGGCACGCCUUAUUUAGAUCUUUAUAGUCGACGCACAUUCGCCAUUUGUUGUUUAACUUCGUGACCAUCACUACGUUGGCCAACCAAGUUGAUUAUCGAGCUUCGCGGAUGAACCUAGCUUUGAGGAGCUUUUCAGCCUCGGCCACCAAGUUCACCUGAUGGAAAGCGCGCAAGUUUUUUUUCCGUGCACUAUUCGAAUUUCCACCUCCGGCAAACCCGUUGACGAUGGUGUUAAUGACCUCGCGACCUCUUCUGCGGUCAUCUUUGGGAGGAUCAUCCCUCCUCCCUCUUCAUUCUCGGCGACGGUCGUCUUCCCUUGGUCUCGGAGGAGUGCAGUCUCUUUUCCUUAACGUUUCUUCCCUACAAGGGGAAAGUCUGGUUGUGCGACUGCCUCGCAUGAAGCGGCGUAGGUGCCCUGCUUGGAUCAGCUCUUCUAUUUUGUCCUUCAGUUCUUGGCAUUCCUCGGUCGAAUGACCGGUGUUCUUGUGAUACCGACACUUCUUGCUACGGCCGACGUUAUCAGGGCUCAAAGCCCUUCUCGGUGGCAAGAUCAGCUCCGUGCUAAGGGCCUCUUGUAAUAUUCUUCCUCUGUCGACAUUGAGUGGUGUGUACCGUGAAGGGUCUCCCUUGUUGUUCCUUCUCGUCUCUUUUCUCGCUGCUUGUUUCGGCUCAAGCCUGGUUCCUGAACUCACGCUUCCAACUGCAUGAACUUGGCCGCUCGGCGCCUAAGCUCGUCCAAGCUUGCCGCAGUUUGCAUACACAAAUUGUCCGCAAAGGGUCCCGACCGAAGGGCGGUCAACAUAUGGUGCAUUGCCACCUCAUGGCUGAGGUUUCGAAUGCUCAUAGCAGUUUUUCCAAACCGAUCAAUGAACGUUCUCAGAGAGGUCAGAUGGUGGGGGCGGCUUGUUGCAAACUGAAUGUCGAACUUGGCCAUCAGUGUUUCGAAACAAUCCACUAAAUUUGGGGGGAGCUUGGUAAACUAGCUUAAGGUUGUUCCCUUCAGCGAGGUUGGGAAAACUCAGCACAAGGUUGCGUUGUCAGUGUUGUACAAACUCAUGUGAGUGGCGUACGCAUUCAUGUGCUCGUCAAGGUCAGUCGUCCCAUCGUACCGGUCCCUGUUGAAUCCCUUCCACUUGUCUGGGAAGGGGGUGUCCAUGACAAAAUCGGUGAAGGGAUGACGCCGGUCAGGGUCAGUGCUGCCUGUUGUGUUCACCGUUUUGUUGGGGUGGGAUUCGCCAUCCAUUUCUCCGGUGAGGUUGUUGUUCUUCGACUCCCUCUCGACCUGGGGGCCGACAGCUGUUGCGAAGGACCUGCCAACCUGGUUGGUUUGGACAAGAGAUGGUCCUCCAUCCACUAAUUUCUUCAUUCUUGAUUUCCCAUUCAUUCUUCUUGGUAGCCUCCUCAUUGGCAUUCUUCAUCUCCGCCAGCUCCCUCUGGAGCGCCAACAUCAUUGCCGCUUGGUCUGCUUCAUACAUUCUCUCGCUUGCCAUACUGCGGGUCGAUACCAUCUGCUGUUGUUUCUUCACGCUGCUUUCUCGGCCCCACGGUGGGCUCCAAUUGUUCUCGAACGGGUUUGGGGACCUAGAGAACGAUUGCUCCUAUUCAUAUGCUCGGUCGGCCUAGUACUCUCGAGACUCCUCAAUACGUUCGCACUUCCUGAUGUGCUCCCUUCCUCUCGAUCGUCCUGCUCCAUAGGCGGGGAUGGUACCUGCAGAAGGCACUCCAACACUCAAGUCAGUUAGGGUGUCGGUAUUCGGUUGUCAGAGUACUGUAGAUAAUGACGUACCUUUCUCUUGAAAUGCAUGCUAUUUAUAUUACCUUAAUGGGCCUUCACUGUUGGGCCGGGUUAAGGGAGUUGGUUUGCGUUUAGGGUUGUGUUAAGCUACUCUUAACCAUGGAUUAGCUUUGCUAACCUGGUCAACCUUUGACUCGAACGUUAUGGGUCGGUCGGCCACGCGUAGUGACAUGGCCGUAUUUAUUAUCUUGGCGGCGACGUAGGUCGAUUGCUGGUCGACUCAAUGAGUCGUCCGGUCGUGCCAGUACAUGAAGUAUUUAAGAAAGGCAUGUAAGAAUAAUAGUUGAGUAAAGUAUAUUUCAUCUAAAAUAUUUGACAAUAGUUGCACCAAAACUCAAAUCAAUUAAAGGGAAAUAAAAUCAUUUAGGGUCUUAACAAACCCUUUGGGCAAAACUACUUAUCAUAAGACUAAUAAGAAUCUUAGCACAAAGAUUAACAAAACUACAAACUUAUGUUUCUUUCUUAUGAUGUUCUUUUACUCAAAUAAGAACAAAAAGAUUGUUUUAGCAUUUAGUAUUGUUCAUGGCAUGACAAAUUUAAUGUAAGAGAUAUAAACUUGGUUAUAUUCUUUUCUUCUACUCCAUUAGAAACCUUUUAGUUAUAAAUUAUUGGACUAUGUUUUACAAUUUAUAUGAAAGAUUUACCCUUUCAUUAUCUCUAACAAACUAAUCCUAAAAAUUAUAAUUCAAUUGGAACGAAAUUUGGAAUUAGAGUUCAAAAUGAAAAGAAUGCAAUCAUAAUAAUUUUCUUUGUAAAUAAGAACAUUACAAUGCGAUAAAUAAUUGCACUCUUCAAAAUAAAUGAAAAAAAAGCCUAAAAUCUUCAAAAUAAAUGAAAAACAAGCCUAAACGAAACGUUGUAUUGAGUCUUCUUUUUAUAUUUGUUGUUCAAUAUAAUAUUCUUUGUCAAGUAAGGGUUCUUUAAUUUCAUUGUUUUGUUUUGAUUGAUAUUGUUUGACCUGAAUAAGGUGUUCUUGAUUUGACCUUAUAUAUGACAUGAUUUUAAGAAGUGAAAAUUUAAAUUAUUUGUAGUUGGAGGUUUGACCUUGAGAAUUUUAAAAAAAUGGUAUUUGAACUAGAUUAAUUGGUCUCAUAUAUUGGAGCUCAUUUAACCUUAUUAGUCACUAUAAAGAUAGUUUAAAUCUAUGCACGUGAAUCAAAUAGUUAGUCUUUAUAUAUAUAUAUAUAUAUAUAUAUAUAUAUAUAUAUAUAUAUAUAUGUAUGUAUAUAUAUAUGUAUAUAUGUAUAUAUAUAUAUAUGUAUGUAUAAAAUAUUUUUUUUUGUAACUUCACCAUUUGUGUCAUACAAAUUACUGCUUAAUAUUUAUUUCUGCUAUCUUUUUCAUGUUUCUUUCUUAAUGAAAAUGAAAACAUAUCCCCAUUGUCUUCGUAUGUUGGACAACCUUUUGUAACAUCCACAAAUCUUUAAUCCCCACAACAAAUUUCCUUUGCAGCAAAAUAAUGAAAAAGAAUAAGUUCCCUAAGCCUUUUAAUCUACUUAACACAAGUCAAAUUGGCUAAGUCAUUUUUAGCCUUGCACCAAAAUUGUCUCUAGAGAAAAUAUACUCACAUGAGGGUUGUGUUGAGCAAUUUUUUUCUUGUUGAAUGUCUUUCUCCAUACUUGCACUUGGGAGAAAAUCUUCUCAUCACGUGGGGUUGUGUUCAACAAAUUUAAGGUGGUGGCAAUGUAAUUUUUAGCAAUCCGCUCAGCAAUUUGAAAUUCGUUCAACAAUUGACCCUUAUUAAUUGAGUAUGAAUAACCUUUAUUUGUCUUCUUUGUAAGAUUUAUCAUGUAGUAAUGCAUAAAUCAAACUAUUGUAAGUCAAGGGAUCAAUUAUAAUAGUUUGCUUUCUAGGUAAUUAUGAUUAAGGAAUUAACUUGGUUUGGUCUUAGGAAGUAGUAAACUUGAAUCACAUUGUGUUUAUAAAUAAAUAAGUACAUAAAGGUUACAACGUUUAUUCAAUCUAAACACUUUUAUCAAUCUAAGAACAUCUCAUUUUUACAUCAAGUUUUAAUCUCACAAACUUUAUCUUUAGUUUAACUCACCAUCAUUUGUACAAUUUUAGAUGAUUAUUUUCACACUUUAUAAUGAAAGACACAUUUGUUGUAAUUAUAGUCCUUGAGGAUACGACAAUCCCUUUAUCAGUUGUGCUACACUCGAUCCACUAACCGAGAAAUAACCCAUCAAUGCCUACCUUUUCAAAACUCAUGAAAGAGUUGCUGAAAAAGGAGACAUUUAAUGAGGAGGAAAGUAUGAAAUUAGAAACAAGUUGGAGUGCAGUAAUUUAAAAAUAUUUUACCUCUCAAGUUGAAGGAUCAUGUCCAAUUAAUGAGGAGGAAACUAUGAAAUUAGAAAAAAAUUGGAGUGCAAUAAUUUAAAAAUAUUUUACCUCCCAAGUUGAAGGAUCAUACCCAUCAUCAUAAGGAAGUUAUCAAUGGGAAAGACAUUCUUGAUCUAGAGACUAGCAUUAAUUUAAUGUCCUUAUCCAUACUCUCAAAGAUAGGAAAGGUAAAAAUAAAAUCCAAGCAAACAACCUUUCAAUUGACAAACAAAUCAGUUAAAAUUCCCUCCAAGAUAGUGGUGACCAUGUUGGUUAAGGUUUUUUUUCGUGCAGAUUUUGUUAUUAUGAUGUAGAAGAAGACUUAUAGGUACCCAUUAUUUUUUAGAAGAUCCUUUAUGACAACUACAAGAGCCUUAAUUAAUGUUUAAUAGUGAACUCAGUUAAGGGUACAUGAUGAAGAGAUUACUUUAUGGGUCUUCAAAGCUAAGAAAAAUCCAAAAAAAAAAUGACGUGUUCCACAUUAAGGUACUUAGUAAGACUCUUUUUCAUGCGUCAAGCCAAUGAUGUAAAAGACGAAUUGGCUAGGAGACAACCCAAUGGUAAGUUUUUUCUCUUUUUCUUUUAUUUGUUAUGUUUUUCUUAUUUCAUUUAUCCCUUUUAUUAAAAAAAAAAUCUUAGAAUUUAAAAUUAAAUAAAUUGUAUCUUUGAUUACACUUUUCAGAUUGCUUGUCCAGUAGGCUUCGAGAUCAUGGUCCCCUUAGGGAGGACAAUGGGAUAGGAAGGACAGGGGUAAUACUUACCCACUACCCAUCCCAUCUAAAUUUUUUUGCCUCAUUACUCACCCCGCUACUUGCCCGUAUCCACGAAAAAGUAUUAGCUAUUUUUUUUAUACAUGUGGGUAUUCAUUGAUACCCAUGUAUUUUUUAAAAUAUUUAUAAAAUUAAAAUAUAAAGUUGUAUAAAAUAAUUUUAAAUUAUAAUUCAAAUGUUUUGAAACAAAUUGUAAAUAAAUCCCAUAACAAGAAUAUUAUUGUAAAUAAAUUUGGUCUUUCUAAAAAAUAAAUUUAAAUAAAUUGCACCAUAAAAUAUGUUUUGAAAAAAUAAUCUUUUUAAAGACAACUUCAAUUUCCUUAUUCUAAAUAAAAGAGUAUAUAUAUGAAAUUAAAUUUCAAAUAAUUAUUUAUCCAAUAAAUUUAUUUUGAUCACUUGAUUAAUUUAAAAAUAUCCAAAUAAAACUCACUAUCAAUGAUUAGCCAAAAAUCAUAUAUCAUAUGAGUUGGAUACCAUGAUACCCAUACCUUCAUCAACAAGUAGACAAUUAAAAUACUCACACCUAUUAGCCACAGUAUCCAUCAAAGUACAUUCAUUUAGUAUCGUUUUUUUUUUCACGCAUAUUAAUUAUUGUCAUCCCUAACUCCAUUGACGAAGUUAUUGGAGUUGUUACUAUUAUGGAGACCUCAUUCAAGGAAGUGAUGGAUGCACAAGACGAUGUAUGUGAGACAUCCAAGGAAGAGGAGUCGAAGACUCGAGACAAGGAUUAAAGCUUGGUUAAGGGCCAAAUUUCUUUUUCCUUUUUUAUCUUUUAUUUCCCUUUAUUUAUGUGCUUUAUUUUCUUCAUUUUUAUUUAUUUGAUUUCCUUGUACUUUUGCUACUGAUGAUUUCCUUUCUAGUUGCUUUUAUUUGUAUUUUUUGUUAUUUUUGUUAUUUUUUUUAUUGAAAUCUAAUGCAUGGAAUGAUUAAAAAUUUCAUUUUCUCUUUAAUGAAAAAUUAUCUAUUUUGGGUAAAAGCAAAAAUUCUUGUGUUUUAAUGGGUGUUAAAUUGUUUACUAUUGGUUUUAUUUAUUAAGGACUAGCAAAUAUGACUUGAAAAGUUGAAUCCAACAAGCUCAACCAUGUGAGUUAAGUGAUAUGAUUGAAUUUGUUGAGUGUUCAUGUUUCUUCUCCUUUAUGCAAACAAUUGGUCUUAUUUAAUUUUUUAAUUUAUUUGAUACAUUGUGUGUUAGGAUAUGAAGACCUUCCUUCUUUUUAUGAGCCAUUAGCAAAAAAAAAGUCAUCUUGAAAAUUCUUUACACUUAUCACCCCUUAGUCAAACUAUGAAAUUAUUGGAGACAUAAAAUCAUAUUUUCCUUUUCAUUUUUCUCUUUUCUUCCUUUUGAAUUAUCAAAUUACUUUUUGUUUUUACCUAUUCGUGUUUCAUUCUAUUCUUUGAUAGAUGUUCUUGUUCAUUGCAAACUUAAUUCGGUAACUGUACCAAGUUAGAAAUAAUAAUGUAUCUCAAGAGACGGAUAUCGAAUUCACAAGGAACAAUUCUCUCAAAAUUUUAAUGUAUAACAUUCACUAAAUAUUGAAAUAUAUGUACAAAAGUUCAAUUCAAAAUAUGUUGACAUUGUUUACAUAAAGUUUGCAUGUAAAUUAAAUAAAACAAAUUAAAAGAUUUUUAAGAAUUAAAUUAAUAGAAUUGAGAUUGAAGUUAAAAAUAAGUUAUUUUCUUGCUAUUAUAAUUGUUUGAUUGUUGAGCUUUGUUCCUACUGUCCCUUUUCAAGAACUUUCCAAAUUUCCUUGUGACACAAAAAAAAAUGUAUAUUGUGACGAUUAUUUUCGUAUAAAUUGACGUUUAUAACUGCCACAAUAUACACUUGUGGCGGUUUUACGCUACCCGUCGCAACACCCGUCACUUUAAACAUAAUGUAAAUAGUGACUAUUUUUAUAUGUAAAUAGUGUCAGUUAUAACUGUCGCAAUUUAUAUUCAUUGAAGAAUAUUCUGGCACCAUAAUAUACGUAAGUAGUGAUGUUUUUAACUGACGUAAUUUUAAUUAUGAAUAAAUAAAAUUUAACCACCAUUUUUUUAUAAUCUGUUUUAUAAUUUGUUUUAUACAAUUAUAAAAUUUAACCACCACUUUUUUAUAAUCUGUUUUAUACAAUUAUAAAAUUUAACGACCACUUUAUCAUAAUAAAAUAAAAUAAUGUAUAAAGUUAUAAUUAUCCAUUAAUUUCAUUGAAAAUUAAAGCACACAUAAUAAUGUUCAAAAGUUUAUAUGUAAUUGAAAAUUAAAACACAUAAAAUGUUCAAAAAUUCCUAAUCAAGUUUAAAAUUAAAACACACAUCCUUAAUCAGUUUUGCUUCCAGCACUUGAUCCUAUUACUUGAUUAGGUGAUGGAACACCACUUCCAUAAUUUGAUGCCUGAAAUAAAUAAUUUUAAGUUAAUGAAUUUGUAUGUUUAUAAUUAUAAAAUAAAAGACACCAAUAAAUAUUUAAAUACCUCAUUGGUGGAUGCAUGAGCCAAAUUAGUUGCCAUUGCAGUAAAAUGUUCUGGAACAUCUUUUCUUGAAGCAAUAUAUACAAGAAAAGUGUUCAUUUGAUUUUUCACAGUUGCAAGCUCAUUUUCCAUUUGAGUUAGCUUGUCCUCCACAUUUGACAAAGUUGAACUAGAAGAAGCAUGCUUAGCCUUGUUAUGUAUCCUUUGAAAGCAAAGCUGGGACAAGCUCCAUAUGAUAGCCCUCUAACUAGACCCGGAUGCUCCUUACCAAUAUUGUUAGAAUAUAUGGCCUUAAACGAGAGGGGGGUGAAUUGUUUAAGAGAGGUUUUUGAAAUCUUUUUAAAGUUUAACAAAAUUCUUUGUAUGAAUCCAGAACAGAAAUCAGGUUAGCCAAGAACAAAAUCAAUAAAACAGCAAAGCAACAGAAAAACAAUCGGUUAUUUAUGCGAAACAAUCGGUUGUUUAUACCAGUAAAACUUAAAACAUAAUUUAAUUGAGUUUAAGGGUAAGAGAAAUAUACACCAACAGUUUAUACUGGUUCACUCUUAAACCAAGAGCUACAUUCAGUCCCCAGAAAACCACUGUGUAAUCCACUAAGUAAUCAAAUCAGAUUACAACACACAAUCCACCAAAGCAGUGACCUUGAACCCUUCAAGAAACACACUCACUUUGGCAAAUCACACACCAAGAGUAUUGAUCUUGACCACCUCAAGAACACACAACACUCCUUGGCAACACAACACCAGAAAUACAGAAGGUUGAGAAGAGAUUACACUUGUUUACAAAAUAAUCUGAAAUCAAAUACAAAUGCAAUCCUAUUCCACUCUCUUAGAAAACCCAAAGCUUUGAUGUGAAUGUUCAAAUCUUGAAUCAACUCUUUCACAACUGAAAAACUCAAAUUUGUUUCUCUUACUUGUUUGAAAACAUAAACAAACUAUUUAUAUUUUCCAAAGAUUGGUCAAAGCAUUUAAUGAAGGAGCGUAUUCAGUUGGAAAUCAUUUAAAGCACAUUCAACCACCAAAACAAAAUUCCGUUAGGAUUUUCAAAGAAACAAUCGGUUGAAACCACGAAACAACCGAUUGUUUGGUUUGGCAGUUAAGUCAACCAAACUUAAACAAUUUUCAACCUUUUCAAAAAACUCCUAAGAGUAAAACAACCGGUUAAUUUGACAAAACAACAAGUUGUUUUUCACUUAGUUGGAAAAACACUUUAUUUCAAAAAGGAUUUAAAACACAUUAGCUUUAGAUUCAACAAAGGAGCGGAUUACAAAUAAAACUACCCAGAUCCCUCCCAAAACACAGCAGCAACAUAGCCUUGCAUCAAACAAAUAGGAUUUGGAUUCUUCAAAGCACAAUUUGAAUUCUUCAAAGCACUUGAUCACUCUUGAUCAACAAAUAUGACACCAAUUGGAUCUUCUGGAGAUAUAUUUGAACCAAAUGUGGCGGUUUUUUAGUGUAAUGUUUUAGAGAAGUGUGGCAAUUGAGAAGAAAAAAAGUUCUAUGGUUGCAAAGUGAACUCACUGAAGCAAACCAGCUUGUGAUUAGGAUCUAUAGGAAAUAACUAUAGAAAAUGGGGAAUAAAAAUGUAAGUUUACCUAGAAAGUGUUAAACAAUAAGUGAAAAGUUUACCUGAAAAAUAAUGUUAUUCCACUAUAAAUUACCAAGUGACCAAAAAUCUGAAUAACAAUAAAGUAAUGCCAAUAUGUAUGUUAUUCUAGAAAAAUACUUAUUUUUUCUCCUUCCUUAUUCGGAUCAAGAAGAGGUUUAUGUUCAGAAGCAAGAAGAGCAGGUGCACUAUUCCAAAGCUUUCUCCAUAAAUUUCCAUGUUCAGACAUUCUCCUUGAAAGCUUCCCUUGUGCAGGCCAACUAUCUUUUGACUUGUUAAUGUCAAGAGCACUGGAUGAUGAUGAUUUACUUUCCUCAUGGUCAUCAUACUCUUCCCAAUCUCCAUGUGAAUGUCACCGAAUAAAAUCUUCAAAGAUAACAUCUGGAUUUGCCGCCUUCAAAGAUCAUGUAUCCUUAUAUUGAAGAAUUUUUUUGCAUAAAAAACUUCAUUAUAUACACAUACACACAUACAAUUCCAUUUGGAUCAGAGUAAACUAAACUAGCGAUACCAAGCAUAUUAAGAGUAAAUUCUAUGGGAUUGAGUUAGAUCCAAACCCAGAUUCUAAGAGUAUGAUAUUGUGAACAUAACCUCAUGAGUGAAAAAUUAGAUUAAUGAAAACAUCAUUUCGUUAUAUUGAUGAGGCAGGUACAUCAAAUUAGAAAGCAUUGUGCACAUGAUUGUCUAGUAAAUGUAUGAUUUUUAAAUUAUUUUUUAACAUCACAUGCCUAGAAAUUAGAAUUAAUUGUAUUCUUUUAGAAAACAGAGGAACUCAAGACAUGAUCAAUACCUACCCAGUGUUAUUACAAACAUAUAUGUUAUUACCUAUCCAUUAUCAACAAAACUACAUGUAAUUAUUACCUGAAGUUAAGAUAUCCUUUUCCAGCUGAGCAGAGAAAUUAUGAAAAUAAAAAGGAAUUGCUAAGUAAUGAUGUAAAAUAUGAAAUAGAAGUAGGUUGAAAGUUUCACUAUCACUACAGUCACUUGAGUCUUGAUCAAUCUUUUGUGCUGCGAUUUUUAAAGCAAUGCUUUUCACAUGCUUUUCUUCAUUCCCUUAGUCAUUCGAUUGAUUCAUCUCAAGCUCAUGCUCCUUGAGCUUUCUAAACAAGGAUGAAGUGAUCAAUGUAGUUAGAUCCUUUGAUUCAGAAAUGGUAAUGACCUUUAACUGCUAAGAUUUGUCCAAGCAUUUUAGGAUCUAGAUGUUCAAAGACUUUGCCAAUACCAUUGAGAUGAUUUAUUAUGUGAGUAAAUCUCUUUCGCACAUUAGAGAUGAUUUCCCCUUUCAGCAUCCUAAACAACUCGUACUCUUGGAUCAAGGCAUGCUUCCUUUCCCUCUUUACGUUUGUUGUACCUUCAUGAGUCACCUCAAGGAUGUCCCACAUCUCCUUUGCUAAUCCACACUGAGAAACCCUGAAAAAUUCAUGUGAGUUCAAAGUAUAGGUUAUGAUGUUUUUGGAAAUACAAUCAUAUUGAGCCUUUUUUUUCUUCACUCUCAGUUCAUUGGGACCAAGAUUUUUCAAUAAAAACAUCAUUUUUUUCAAGCUUAGGAAUAAAAGAACCAUUGAUGAUAGCACCCCUUAUUCACCUAUCAAUUGACUCAACAAAAAUUUUCAUUCUUACCUUCCAGAAAUGAUAGUUCAGCGGACAAAACAAAGGUGGUUUGUUUAUAGAAGCACCCUUCGAAAAGGGUAUUUUUUCAGCCAUUUUUCAAAAAGAUUUAGGAUCGAAACUUGAGUAACUUUCAAGAACUCGACUUUUGAUGUCAAUUGUUAGAAUGUAUGACCUAAAUAAGAGGAGGUGAAUUGUUUUCACAAGAUUUCCCCGGCUCGGACGGGGCCGGGCCGGGAGGGCAUCCAGGAUGGUGGGUAACCGAAUGUUUAGAACCCGCACGGGGGGUCGCCCCGGGGGUUCGCCGCAUGCAAUUGUUUUAUCGAAAGUACUGAUUGUUUAAUGCAGCAUAAUAGAACAAAUUAUAUAGCAGUUUAUCAGAGAAUAAAAGAGAGAUUUAUAGUAGUUCACUCUUAACCAAGAGUUACAUCCAAUCCUCAGUUAACCACUGAGAAUUCACUAUGAAAUCCAAACCAGAUUACAAAACCACACCAAAAAUGUUGAUCUUGAAUUCCUAAAGAACACACAACACUCUUAGCCAAAACCAUAAUUUCCAUAACCACUUUCAAAAAUUGUUUUACACAGAAUUACAGAUUCAAAGAAAGAAAUAGAAUACACCUGGGCUUUUCAAAGCAGUAGAAAUUGAAUAGAAAACCCAUAUUCCUACUUCACAUACAAGCAAUGAUCCAAGACUCUUAGAAUGAGUAAAAGCUCUUUGAUCUUUUCUUGAAAACAUUUUUAUCAAAACUCCUUAUUUUCCAAAUGAUAAAAAACCAACCUUUAUAUAGACUUUAAAAAGAGGUUAAAACUGUUAGAUCAUUAAUUGAAACAGUUUAAAAGCAUUUAAAAACAGUUUGAAAAACUGUAACAAAUUUUUUUUAAAAACACUUUAUUGAUUUUCAAAACAAACUAUUUGAUUUCUUUUUCUAGUAAAGACAACACAUAAAACAGUCAGUUCAAUUAUCGAAAUAACCGACUAUUUUGGAUUUACAUAAAAGACAAAAGGAAACAAAUCAUUUUUAAAUCCUUUUAAAAAAACACUAAGUGCAAUUCAAUCGGUUCUCAUGAUAAAUCAUCCAGAUGAACAACUUUUGUAGUCACCAUACUUUGAACCAAAGCUUUUCCAACUGAUUUAAAUCAUGAAACAACUAACUAAAGUUAACACAAAUUUUAGAAAACAAAACUUUCAAAAGAAAUUUAGAAUCAAAUGAACUUGGAUCAUAACUAGGUGUGAAUUAAUAUUCAAAAUCUACUAAACAACACAUACACAACAACAAAUCCUUCAAGUCUUUAAAGCAGAUUUGGAAACAUCAAAGUACCUUGUUCAACAAUAAUGAAUAGAGAUGUCACUUAGCCUAAGUGCAAUUAAGUUAAAUAAGGGCAUAAGGAUGAAAGAAAGGGAGAAAAAAGAAACCCUAGGAAGUAGUUGAUAAGUGUCUAAUUUCAGUAAUAUUUCAUAUUAAAAUAUAGGCACUUAUGAGGAUUUAUUGCUAAUUUACAUAUAAAAUAAUCCUUAAUUUAUGAAUACCUUUUUACAUUUUUUAUGAGCAUUAUUUGAAUAAGAGCAUUUUAUUCUCAAAUUUGGUGUUAAUUGCAGAUUUUUAGGGAAGAUUGAAGAUUUGGAGUAAAGGAGAAUAAUUUGAGCUAAAAAGAGAAAGUUGGAAGGUCCCAGAAUGGAAAAAGAUGCAAACAAAGAUUGAGCAUUUUUUUAUGUUUUAUCACUUGGCCCAUUAGCACGAUACAUGAAGCCACUUAACCCUAGAAAAUUAGGAUAAAUAGGGGGUUAGAAGUUCAACCCUAGUGUGUCAGAUUGAGAGGAAAACACCAUAGAGUGAAUUGAAACCCAAUUGGGAGAAUGGAAGGUGCUAGAAGUAUGCGUGGCUAAUUCUACCCUUUUGGAUUGGGAGUAAUAUGCUCAAACUUUUAUGUAUUGAGGUGAUAUCUUAUAUAUAAUAUUCAGUUCUUGAUUGAUUAUUGGUAUUGUUGUUUUACUUUUAACUUUCCGUGACAAAUUAAGAAUCUUAAAUAUGACCGAGAGGUAUUUUUAGGGUUCAUACCUAAACAUCAAUACUUAACAUAUUUGAGUGCUAGAGAUAGACUUGAAAUGUUAAUUGCCAUUAAUGUCUAAUUGUGAUUUCUAAGUUGUUUUUAUAAGUAUGCGAGAGUUUUAUAUGCGAGAGAUCGAUAGAAAUGAAUUUUCUACGACCAUCAAUUUCAAUCAAAGAACUCAAUAUUAACAUGCUAAUCAAAAUACAUGAGAGUGGGAGAGAUGAAAUCUAAUCCAUAUUUUUCCAAUUGAAGCAACUAAUUCUUUGUUUGUUUUCUUAUUGAUCAGUGCCACCACAAUCACUUCAAAACUAUUUUUAUUAUUCUAUUGUUAUAUUUAGCGAAUUUUGUACUCGAUAAUUCACUAUUCCUUGUGGGAUCGAUAUUCGUCCUUAGGGACAAUUAUUAUUUCUGACAAAUGCGAUGCACUUGCCGUAAAAUGUCAUCAGUAGUCGUCAGGGAGAAACAUUUUGGAUUUCUAUCUUUUGCUUUGGUGCAGGUAAUGGCCACCAUAGGUGGCUAAUUCCUUUUUUUUAGAUUGAAUGUAAUCUUUUUAAACUCUAAUGAAUCCCGAUAAUAUUUAUAUAUGAUAUUUUUUUCUUAUUUGAUAUUGGUAUUUUCAUUUUAUGCUUAAAGCUUGAAUUUUCAUUCAUGAACUUGAUUAUUGUUUUUUGUGCUUAAAAUUUGAAUUUUUAUUCAUGAACUUGAUGAUUGGAUCAUGUGCUUAGUGCUUGAAUUUUUAUUCAUGAACUUCAUUCUUGUAUUUUGUGCUUAAAACUUGAGUUUUUAUUCAUGAACUUGAUUCUUGAAUUUAACUGAAAAGUACUUCUAAGAAUCUGACUUAAAUGAGAAUAUUUGAUAUGUUUUGAUACUAGACAUGGAAUAUAUCAAUUGCUAUAUAACAUAUUUUCUCAAUGAUGAGAAUGUUUUCUAACUACUUAAGUCAUCAAUAUUUAGGAGAUAAUCUUAAUAAUUUCAUAAUUGAGACAUCAAUAUGAAUGACUCUUAUAUGUUGCAUCAUCAAUUAAUUCAAAAUAUUGGAUGUUUCUAUUUAUCCAUGAUUCAGAAGAGUGAGAAAGAUUAACUUCAAUCUUGAUUUUAUCAAUUGAGUUCUUCUAAGUAUGUACUCUGUUUUCAUUUAAUUUUCACGCAAAUUUAUUUUUAUAAUGUCAAUAUCUUUUCAAUUAAACUUUUGCACAUAUCUUGAUAUUUAGUGAACGUUAUAGAAAUAGGUAAGUUCUAACCACAGAGACAAGAAAGCCUACAUAGAAAAACCAUCAUCAAUCAGUUAUUUUUUUUUUUUCUACAAACAGGUUAAAAAAUCUUCUCCUAAAAUUAUAUUAAUAUCUGCUAAAUAACCUUUGGUAAAUAUUUUUUUUUUCUUAUAGUGGAAUGAGAUGACAAUACUUGAAAAAAUACUCUACCUCUAGUUUAAGAAUUUCCUUUAUUUCAUUAUUGUUUCUAACACUACAAAAAUACCUUUAUAGACUAGAUGUUAUAGAUUUCGUCAUAUUUCAUAAAAUAAUAGACUAUAAUUUUCUACAAGUUAAACAUUAUUUUUUGCCGGUAAAUCAUUCCUGAAUUACUUCCAANNNNNNNNNNNNNNNNNNNNNNNNNNNNNNNNNNNNNNNNNNNNNNNNNNNNNNNNNNNNNNNNNNNNNNNNNNNNNNNNNNNNNNNNNNNNNNNNNNNNNNNNNNNNNNNNNNNNNNNNNNNNNNNNNNNNNNNNNNNNNNNNNNNNNNNNNNNNNNNNNNNNNNNNNNNNNNNNNNNNNNNNNNNNNNNNNNNNNNNNNNNNNNNNNNNNNNNNNNNNNNNNNNNCAUCUCCAUCAACCAGGUUAUGGAUCCAAUCCGGGUAUAGAACUUGGAAAUUUUGUGGAGAAGACAUGUCCACAUUCUUUCUCCCACCAACCAUUUCUAACAACAGCAUUCCAUUCCAUAACUGUAAAUAUCAGACUUGUAAGACACGUUCCCAAAGUUUCUGGAGAAGACUUCAGGUGCAAUGUAUCCCAAAGUUCCUCUAGCAGCUGUCAUGGACACCAAACUGGGAUUCUUGGAACACAAUUUGGCUAAGCCAAAAUCAGAGAUUUUUGGAGUGAAGUUGUGAUCAAGUAACACGUUGUGAGGAUUUAUGUCAAAGUGAAUAAUGGGCUGAUUGCAACCUUGAUGAAGAUACUCAAUCCCUUUAGCUAUACCAAGAGCAACGUGUUGAAGCUUCUCCCAUCCGAGGAAAUGGUCCUUGUCUUCUGGUGGAAAUAUGAAGCUUUGUAAGGAACCGUUUGGAAAGAAAUUGUAGGCAAGUGCACGAUGGGGUCCAUCUGCACAGAAGCCAAGCAAACGCACGACGUUGAUGUGAUGGAUUUUGCCCAUAAUUCCGACUUCGUUGAUGAACUCAUUCCCCUCUCCCUCCGUAUUGUUGAGGAUCUUCACAGCCACCGGAAUCUCACUCGAAAGUUUUCCUCUGAACACAGCCCCAUGAGCUCCUUCUCCUAGCUUUUCUUUGAAGCCAUUGGUGAUUCUUUUCAGGUCAGCGUAGGUGAAUCUUGCAGGCUUUUCUGCCCUGUAGUCCUCUAAAAACUUGUCCACUCUUGCUUGGUCUUCUUGCUUUUUCCUAAAAUAGAGGAUGCUCAUAAAGACAGCAAUGACCACCAUCCCCAAAAGGAUCGAACCUAGAAUAGCAGUUGGAGACUUCAUUAAAAAAAGAAAGAUUUAUGUACUUGUUUCAGUCUUUACACUGAAACAUUACUUGUUUCAAUUCAUACGCUUAUACUUUAUAAGGCCAUACAAUUGUUGACAUCCUAAACUGUUGGAAUAAGGAAUUGAACUAUAUUAAAAAGCGAAUGUGUAAGAGUCUCUGAUGUUACCUGUAGAAGCAAAAAUAAAAGAUUUAGGAACGUGAAUUCUCUUCGGUUUGCAUUUAAAACAAUCGAUGUCUCCUGUAGAGUUGUUGGUCUUCCAUGUACAUCUCUUGCCUUUUCUUUUGCACUCAGCACAAUUUGGUUUGGACCAUCUCAAAAUCAAGUUAUAACAGCAAUAGCGUCAUCAGUGCAGAAUCAUGUUGGAGGAGCAACACACUUGCCAUUUUGAUUUCUUACGGGAAACAGCUGUUAACCGAGCUUCCUCUUUUAGUUUAUGCUAACACUUCUAAUCUGUAUUUGUUUUUUACAUUUGCAAUCAGUUGCAGAAACCACAGAAAAGAUAAAAAAGAAGACCUGCGAUUUCUCAUUAGUCAAAGUCUUGCUGAUAAAAAAUAAAUAAAAAAAUUAGUCAAAGUCUGCGUUUUAAAAUAGUUCUUUUAAUGGAAAAGUGAAGUCCCUUAAUUUGGUCCGUACGUGUCACAUUUAAUUCUAUGAAUGUCAAGGUAGGUGCAUAUUAAGUGCCAAGAAUUGACUCCGCCAAACAACAAUAAUGCAGUGAGAGUCACUCUCGUAUACAAGACCACCUUUUCAAAUUCUUGGAAAUUCACUGCCACAAAAGUCCUAUAUCUUCAAUGCGUAAUAAUGCAGAAAAGUCAAGCCAAAGACUAAUGAGCAGUGCAUGUGACAACAACAAAAGUUUGUUCCAAGAAACUCUCUCUUUACUUUCAAUUUAAAAAAAAAAAACUAAUGAAGUUAAAUAUAAGCAAAUUUCAACAUCGUAAACCAUACUUAUCUUUAAACAUAAGCGCAUCUUCCAAUAAAUAUAUUUGGGAUGUUUUAGUAAAAGUAUCUCUAUGGUUGAAAAUGAAACUAUUAAAUAAACUUAACUUAGAAGUGACAUUAAUGUGAAAAAAAAAACUUUGUGGUUCAUUCAUAAAAAAAUUAGUUGUUAAAAUUUCGAAUUUAAAGAAAAAAAAUAGUCAAGAAACUCGAUACAUCGAAAAGGAAUGGGUAAAGAGUUAUGAGUCUGAGGAAAAUCAUAAAAGAAUAGAAGAAAAUGUUUUUCUUUCACAAAAUUACUCAAUGGACAUGUAUUUUUUGCUUGUAAGAUAAGUGGGACAUUAACAACAUUAUUCUAGGUGUGUAAUUAGUAGUGUAAAACAUAUUUGUUGAAUAAAGGUCUUUAAAUAGGAUAUUUUUUAAAUUUGUGACACUUAUCGUUAUAUUUUGGUAACUUUCAUUUUAGUUUCUUGAAGUUUUUUUUUCCAAUUUCUUAGAGUUUCAUUCUUGCAAACAUACUCUCCUGUGAAUACUUAACGCGUUAGCUACAACAUUGUACGAGUUGAUACGCACAACGUUUAGUAUCCAUCGUCUACUACUAGGACUAUUGGGACAUCUAAUCUCAUUCGUUCCCCUAACUUUCGUCUCUCUCAAUGUUAAUGUCGGUCUAGCAAAGUGUUUUCGUCAUUGAUGUUUAAUUUUGUACCUUUAUUUUCAUCAAAUACUUCUAAUCUGUCUAAACUUUUUUAUUUAUUUUAUUUUAUAUAAAAUAACAUGUCUUCACUAUGAAUGUUAUAUUCUCACUAAGUUCCCACAUCAACACUCACCAAUCGUUGAGAGCAUGUUAAACCAAGAAAAGAAAAAAGAAAGCAAAUAUAAGGAGACUAUAUAGGUUAAAGUCAUGAAACAAAUCACUAAAUAAUAUUCUAGAAAGUAAAAUCUAUUUCAUAAAAAUAUGAAUACAUAAAGAAUUUCAUCAAAGAAAAUCAGAUUUGAUAUUAACAACCAAAUUAACUAAAGUAUCAACAUAUUUAUUUUCUUCCUGAAAAUAUGAGAAAUUUUAAAAUCCAAAAAAUUACUUAUGAACUGACAUUUAUUUGAUCUACUUCUAAUUGUCUAAGGGACCUUAACAUUGGUAUAAAAAGCUUGAACCACAUAUGAGUGAAAUUCCAACAAUAAUGAAUUACAUCCUUUCAAAUGGGUAAGUUCAAUAGCGAUCAUUAGCAAAAACUACAUUAACAACAUUGUUAAAAAUAUUAAAAGUGUAAUAUCCAAAAAUUUAUAAUAUUUUUAAAUACAGUAAUAUAACUGUUCUAGCCAACUUAAGGUCGGUCGGAAUCUGGAUGAGCUCCUUGUGGUCUCCCUGCAAAUGCCUUCUGGAAACGAGAGGGGACUAUUCCUGCGAUGACACUCUGACGCUCAAGUCAGUAAAAGCAUAAAUAUAAUGAGUAUAAUAUGAAAUAGGAGUUGAGAGUACUCCCUGUGUUGUUUAUUAUAUGUUUAGAUGAUGUCCCUUUCUGUAGAGCAUAAUCAGGUAUAUAUAGACUGAAUUGUAACCUCUCCACCUUUAGUCAUGACUAUGUCUUAGUUGAGUCAUGAAGGAUGAUUAAGUCUAAUUAUCGAGAUCUUUUGGCCUGUGAUCUCUCAUAAUGAUAGAUACACAGGUGGGGAAACGACGACCCAUAAAUGAUCAAACAUCGGGCCAAAUCCAUGAUCCAACAAUAACGUUUAACAAUAAGGUCUUUGUAAGAUCGUCUAAUAAUAAUAAUGAGACUAUCUAAUGAGGAAUCUAAUAAUUUGUUAGACGCUUAGCCUGUACAAAUCAUUAUUUGAAUAAAAAAAUAUUUUAUUUGAUUUUAUUAUUUUUAAAACAUAAAAUCAUAUAGUUUUAAAUCAAGAGAUCAUCUAAUCUCCUGAGAUUGAGAACUCUAAAAAAAAAUAAAAGAAUAACAUUCUCACAGAUAUCACAAUAAAAACUCACUCACUACAAUGAUUAAACACUUAAUAUAUAUAUAUAUAUAUAUAUAUAUAUAUAUAUAUAUAUCCAUUUUAUUUGGCUUGUUUUACCCUCUUCUACUAUUUCAAAUUCUUUAAAUAAGUGUUGUACUUAUUCUAUACUUUUCGAAACUAUUAAUUUUUAUUUUCUAUGAUAUUUCCAAAACUUUCAUCUUCUUAGCACUAGAUACUCAGAUUCAUCACGGUAAAACAUGAUUUGAAAAACAUAUAUGAAAUAUUUAAAUUCUUUAAAUUUAGAUGUUUAAAAUCAAUAAGAGAUACUCACAAUAUAUUAGAAAGACGUUACAAAACUUAAUUUGACAAAUUUACUAAAGAAAAAACAUAAUUCAUAACCGCACCAAAAAUAUGGGCUAACAGAGUAUGUUUGAACUGCAAUUAUUUCAAUAAUAUUUGCAAUCUAUCCCAGUAAGUUAAAAUUGGUUCAAAACAAUUUUUUUGGAAAAUAUACUAGAAAAACCUUUUGCUUCCUAAAAAUAUUCAUUGUUACUAUUUUCCUAUUUAAAUCACUUAAAGUUAUAUACAUUCAUAUUAUACAAAGAACAUAUUAGACGCUUUAAAACGGUCUAAUGCUCUUUAAUUAUCUAGUAGGUUACCUAGAAUCUCAACAAAAUAUAUACAUAUAUAAUAAUUAUAAAGAGGAUUUAUCUUAUCAAAUAAGAGAUAAGUAUAAUAAGAGUAAAAAUUUGUGAUGAUAAAUACUGUAGAUAAAACAAAAUUGACUAAGACUUAAGUUUAUACAUCAAUUAUCUUCUUAUAUCUUACCAAGUCAUCUUAACAUUUGUCAUGACACCUCAUCUAUUCCAAAACUAAAGAGUUCACAAAAGAAAAAUGUAAAUACCAAUAAUUUUUUUAUUACAAACAUAUCUUUCCAGUUAGUACUAUUCUAUUUUCUUAUAAUGAUUACUUUAUUGUAACUAUAAAAUUGUGUAUUAUUGGUUGCACUUCCUUAUAAAUAAUAUAAGUUUUACACACGAAAAUAUGUAAGAAUAUUUGAGUGUGACCAACUCAACAUCGGUUAAUGUACAACUUAAAGAAUAACUAUCUCGCGUUAAAAGGAGUAAAGGAAAAAAUAAAGAAAUUCACACAUAAACCUAUAAAUCUUAUGAAGACGGAUAUUAAUGAAAGUCGUAUAUUUGCCAUAAGUCUAGACGUGUGAGAUGGACUUUUGGUUACAUUCUAAAAAUGAACUUGUAAUAUAAAUUGUCUUCUUCGUUGUGGAAAAAAUAAUACAUAAAGGUAAACUCGAAAACUAAAAAAUAGACAUCAUAAUAUUAACUAAAUUUUUGUACCCGAACACAAAUAUUGCGUUCUUCAUGAAAAAAAGUAUCUUGAGAUGGAAGGAAGUAGUUUCUCUUCCCAACGAGUUUGUCGCAUGAUGAGAAAUUUAUUUGUAAAAAUGAUCUUAGGAUCAAAUUAAUUAGAAUCUAGAAAAUUAUUAUAAGCAUAUAAGUAAGUAUGAUAAUUAAAUAAAUAUUUCUUAUAAAUUUAAUUUUUAUUUAUAAGUAUUUUAACUUAAAUUGUGGUAUUCGAAAGAUAUAAGUUACAGAUAGUAUUACUCCUAACAUUAUGGUUUUUUUUAAUUUAGAAAACUUUUUAUAUUUAUAUAUGUUGAUUUAAUAUGCUUAUGUGGGCCGCAGCUCCAUUUCAAAAUUUAAAGUAUACACAUAUUUUAAAUUUUAUAGUUUAAAUGAAGUGAACAAAAUUAUUAAGUGUCCAUUGAUUUUUAAUUUAUAUAUGCGUACAUGCCUACAUAUAUACCCACUUAAUUUUUAGAAAAAAAAAAUACCCUAACAAUUUAUGUUUUAAGAAAGUUGUAAUUAUAACUCAUUUAAAUACACGUCUGCUAAAAUAAAAUAAGUAUAAAUUAUUACAAUUAAUAUUUAUAUAUUUUAAUCUUCUUGUCACAUCAUUUCUUUUUUUUUUUCACUUUUUUUUUUUAUAAUUGUGUUUGGUACGUAAGACUAAUAAGUUAACUAGUAGCUUCUUUGACUAGUUUAUAAACUACUUUGACCAACACAAAAGUAUUUGGUAAGAUAUAUAAAAGUUGUAAUUAUAACCCAUUUAAAUACACGUCUGCUAAAAUAAAAUAAGUAUAAAUUAUUACAAUCAAUAUUUAUAUUCUUGUCAUAUCAUUUAUUUCUUUUCACUUUUUUUUUUAUAAUUGUGUUUGGUAAGACUGGUUGCUUCUUUGACUAGUUUAUAAACUAACUUUGACCAACACAAAAGUAUUUGGUAAGAUAUAUACAUAUAUUUUACUUUGUGAGAUUAUAACUUAUUACUUAUAAAUUACUUCAAGUAUUUUGUAUCUUUUUAGCUUAUUUAAUUUUUUUUCAUUAUUCUAUUUUAUAUUUUGAUAUAUUUUUAUUAUCAUCUUUAUAUUUUUUUUUAUCUAUUUUUACUUUUUUUUUUAAUUUUACGAGGACAAAGUUUUUACUUCUCCAUCUUCAAUCACACUUUCAGUAUCUCUUCAUGCUCCAUCAAUUUUAAUGAUGUACUCCAAAUUUUUAAGUGUCUGAAAGACUUGAAUAGAACAAGUUUAGGAUAGAUAAAUGCAUUGUUAAAUUAUUUAUAUAAGAGAUGUAUUUGAUGAAACUCGUUAAACGCAACUUCAAGAGGACAUAUAUAUUGUUUAAAAAAAUUUCAAAACAUAUUUUUGUAAAACUAUCCUUUUUAAGUUAGGUGCACAUAAAUAACGUACAAUAUAAAUAGAUAAGAUAUUAGAGAGAUUUGCACACAAUAUUAUAUACUAGUUGAUUUGAAAUACUUAAAUUACGAUAAGGGUUUUGACUCACUAAAAGGGAAUAAUGUCCUAAUAUAAAUUAUAAAUUGAGUACUUUUUUCUAGGUUGCUAUGAAUACAAACAAUGUUCUUCCUCACAAAACAAAAGGUUAAUGAUUCCUUCAAAAUUGGAGAGCAUUAAGUGUUUUUCAAAGUACCAUCGUUGUCAACCUUUCUUCUUCGUAUAUAUAUCUUCUUUAUAAAGAGCUGAGAAGAAAAGAGUCAUUACAAAUAUUUUUUGGAGUUGUUAUGAGAAUUUGCAUCCUUAGUUUUCUUAGUCUUAUGUUUGACAAUGUUCAGCACGUAGACGCAUUGAAUGCUUUCCAUGAAACGUUUAAAACAUGUGUCUUCUUUACGCAAAUUCUCUUACACACGAUAUGACUUAUCUAGCUUAGGCAGAUUGUGUUACGUAUAUGACCUGAGAUAACUUGCUGACUUCAUAGGACUUUCAUUUCAUCUUUUCAGAAAGUUGUUUGCGUGGAGUAGCUUUACACAUGUUUUUUAAGAGAUUUUGAUUUUAACACUUUAAAACAAGAUAUAUUUGAGAGAAAUGAAGAAACAAACAUUACUUGUACACAAAGAAUAAGCUUUAUAAGUCUUCAAUAUGUACUAUGAAUGCUUAGGCUUUCAUAUCAACUUUAUUUGUUCAAAUAAAAACUUAUAAGACGAAGUAAUAGAGGACCACAUUAGCUAAAGCCACUUUUUCUUUCAACUAAGAGUAAAUGAUCAUUUUGAAAGAAUACAAAAAGUAAUAUCUACCUUAGUCUUGUAUAAAUUUGUAAAUAAUAGAAUAGUAUUUUUCUAGCUUUGUAUUUCUAAGCCAAUUAUAGAAUAGGAAUAUCCUUCUCUCCAAACAAGACUAGUCACCUCCAAUCAAUCCUUGCCAUGUGUCAACGCAAGAGUUUAGAGUUCCUUAUGUUUAGGAUUGUAACAUGGCAAACUAGGAAUUGAGAGUAUUGAUAAGUGCCUAAUUUCAGUAAUAUUUCAUAUUAAAAUAUAGGCACUUAUGAGGAUUUAUUGUUAAUUUAUAUAUAAAAUCAUCCCUAAUUUAUGAAUUUAUACCUUUUUAUAUUUUUUAUGAUCUUUAUUUGAAUAAGAGUAUUUUAUUGCCGAAUUUGGUGUUAAUUGCAGAUUUUUAAGGAAGAUUGAAGAUUUGGAUUUAAGAUGAAUGAUUUGAGCUAAAAAGAUAAAGAUAGAAGGUCCCAGAAUGGAAAAAGAUGCAAAGAAAGAUUGGGCUUUUUUUUAUGUUUUAUCAUUUAGCCCAUUAGCGCGACAUAGGAAGCAACCUAACCCUAUAAAACUAGGAUAAAUAGAGGGCUAGAAGCUCAACUGUAGUGUGCCAAAUUGAGAGUAAAACACCAUAGAGUGAAUUGUAACCCAAUUGGGAGAAUGGAAGGUGCUAGAAGUAUGCGUGGCUAAUUCUACCCUNNNNNNNNNNNNNNNNNNNNNNNNNNNNNNNNNNNNNNNNNNNNNNNNNNNNNNNNNNNNNNNNNNNNNNNNNNNNNNNNNNNNNNNNNNNNNNNNNNNNUUGAGAGUAAUAUGCUCAAUCUCUUAUGUAUUGAGGUGAUAUCUUAUAUAUUAAUAUUCAGUUCUUGAUUGAUUAUUGGUAUUGUUGUUUUACUUUUAACUUUCCGUGACAAAUUGAGAAUCUUAAAUUUGACCGAGAGGUAUUUUUAGGGUUUGGACCUAAACAUCAAUACUUAACAUAUUUGAGUGCUAGGGAUAAACUUGAAAUGUUAAUUGCCAUUAACGUCUGAGUGUGAUUCUAAGUUGUUUUUAUAAAUAUGUGAGGGAUCGAUAUUUAGGAAACAUUCUUAAGGAUUUUAUAUGCGAGAGAUCGAUAUAAAUGAAUUUUCUACGGGCAUCAAUUUCAAUAAAAGAACUCAAUAUUAACAUGCUAAUCAAAAUACAUGAGAGUGGGAGAGAUGAAACUUAAUCCCUAUUUUUCCAAUUGAAGCAACUAACUCUUUGUUUGUUUUCUUAUUGAUCAGUGCCAACACAAUCACUUCUAAACUCUUUUUAUUCUUAUUCUUAUGUUGUUAUAUUUAGCGAAUAUUGUAUUCGAUAAUUCACUGUUCCUUGUGGGAUCGAUAUCCGUCCUUAGGGACAAUUAUUACUUUUGACAAACGCGGUACACUUGCCGUAAAAAGUCAUCAAGUAUUUUGAGAACUCAAUAGUCUUUUUAGGAGUCUCCUUAGGCUAUAAAUAAGAGACUCCUCUCUUAUAAUUUUCAAACUUGAUUGAUAUAUGAAAUUGUGUUUAUGAAAUUCUUAGUGCAUUCUAUCUAAGUCUCUAUCUAUGAUGUUUCUUGCAUUAUUAAAAACUCAAGGAAGUUGGUCUAACCUCUUCCUUGACCCUUGCACCUUCUAAACUCACACCCAAACCCAUAAACCUCCAUAGUCAUUCGAUGUUUCUUCUACAAAUCUACAAGUCUUUCGCCGCUUUCCAUCAAUUACAUCCAAUACACAAGAAGAAUUGUAUCAUGAAGUGUACAAUGAAAGUGUUUGUGUGUUCAAUCAGAUGAAGUAAGAAUAAUUGCAUCUUUUCAACGAGACAAAAGACAUAAAAAAAAUGUUUAUGUAUGUCGAAAACUGAUACUAGUAAACUAUUAUGCUUUAUACUAUGUUGUUUAAGUACAAAAUAAAAAACUCAUUUAAAGAAUUCGUUGAGUAGGUAUCAAAUAUUUAUUGUAAUAUUUUUUUAUUGAGUUACUUCUUUAUUUGCUAUGUAGUUCAAAUUAAAGAAAAAAAAUCAACAAUGAAAUAACUAAUAUUUUAUUACAUAAUUUAUUACACAUAACUAAGAUUUUAAUACACAGAAUAAAAGUUGUAAAAAAAAUAGACGUAACCCUUAAAAUUGAGAAAUAAAAAAUUCUAAAACAAAUAAAAUUUAAAUGUAAUUAAUCAACUAGCUUAAAUAAAAUGACUUGACUAAAUAAAGAAAACAUAUCUAAUUUUAAAAUAAUAAAAAUGAUAAAUUUUUUGAUAAAAAUAUUAAAGACUUUUUAAAAUUUUAAAAUUAUAAUUAUAUAAAAUAUACUUUUACUGUAAAUAUAUAAAUUUUCUUUUACUGGUUUAUACACUGUUCGUGUGUUCGUGAAAUCUGUCUUUAAAUGUCAGCUUGGAUUGUGUUGGCAGUAGAAGUUUAAACAGAAAAGAGUUUGGGAGUAACCAUGUGGAGAGAGAGAGCUUUGAUAAUCUUGGUGUUUCUGCUCCACCUAAUUCAUGGAGAAGAUGCUUGCCCCCCCUCUUCCUGUGGGAAAAUCAGCAACAUAUCUUAUCCAUUCCGAUUGAAAGGAGACGCAAAAGGGUGCGGUCUCACCGGCUAUGAGCUAUCUUGUAAAAACAAUAUAGCGCUCUUCUCUUUGUACUCGGGAACAUUUCAUGUGCAGGCCUUCAACUACAAUAAUUUCACAAUCCGAGUGGUGGAUCCUGGACUUCAACAAACAAACUGCUCUUCUCUUCCUCGCUAUUUCUUCUCUCCAUCCAAUUUCACUCCUUCUUACCAACCAAUUCCUCCGUAUCUCCAUUAUUAUAGUCCCAAGAAUACUUCUUCUUACCAAACAAUUCCUUCGGUUUACCGGUAUUAUUAUACCGAGCCGCUUGUUUAUGAGCAUAUAGUGUUUUUGAAUUGUAGCCAUGGAGUGACUGAGAUCCCUAAGUAUGUGGAUACUGGUGGAUGCGUGACUUGGGAGUCGACCGGCUACAUAUACACUGUGGCUGGUGACCUAAUUGCAGAGGACAUUGAAGUUGGUUGUGAUGUGAAGCUGGUUGCUCCCACAUCUUGGUGGGGUUUGGACACAAAUACAUAUUCAUAUGCCAUGAUGCAUACUGCGCUAGUCUAUGGAUUUGAGCUUUCAUGGAUUCCUCUCGUCUGUCAUGAUCGUUGUGCAGAUACUGACUGCUAUUUCAGUUCUUCUAGCCAGACCCUUGAAUGCUACAAAGAAGGUAAGGCAGUUCAGACUCUGUUUUUAAUGUUUCUUUUUACAAGUAAAACUAAACCCAAUUGUUCGGUUAAAUUUGAGUUUGUUUAUUUUUUAUUUUUUAUAUUUACGAGCUAAACACUCUAUCUGUACAUUUUUUUAUUAUAAAUUUUUAUAAACACGUGUAUAUUAUUUUGUAUAUUAUGUGAGUUUUUUAUUAUAUCAAAAUAAAAUAAUAAAAUAUAUUAUAUAUAUUAUAUUGAAUUUACAUUAUAAAAAAAUUAAUUAUAAGGAAUCAAAUAUUUUAAAUAUUUAUAAUUUAAUUAAAUGUAAAAUGUGAAUAGUUAUUUUUUUAUAAUUAGUUCUUUUCCCUGUAUUUUAUAUUUAUUUUGUAAAUUUGUAUUGUAAUUUAAACAUAUCAUUAAAGAUAACAUAGAAAAAAUUGUAUAAUAAUAAAAUAUUAUUAAAUAUUAUUAUAAAGUAUAGAUAAAUAUAUCUAUAUAUUUAAAAAAAUCAAACCUUAUUAAAUCAUUUUAUAAAAAUAGUUGGCUUUCAAUUCACCUAUUUCCAUAAAAUGCUUCAAAGCCGUCUGAAACCGUUUAAUUUAGUUUGUUUUUCUUAUAGUAAAUAAAUAAAGUAAAAAUUAUUAAACAAUUUCUGUAAUAAUAACAAUAGUAAUGAUAUAAUCUUUAAUAAUCAAUAAAGGAUUCUCUUGUACUUAACUUUUUUUUAUAUAUUUUAUUAUAAUUUUUCUUUGAUGUUUUGGAGGCUGCUCUUUAUUAUGAAUUAUCAUAAUAACUAAAUUUUUAAUUCUCUAAGUUUUGAAUUUACGUUUAUGUAAUUGAUUUUGGUAUUCCCCUGAUAUAAUAACGUUUUGAUAACUAUUUCUUCGUUAUUCUGAUUAAGGUUAAGUGUUUUGCAUAGUUAUUGUAAACUUGUUUUUAGCAAGAUUUAAAGAUUUACUAAAUUCUUUUUCAGAUGUCAAUGCUUAUUGUAUUUAUUGCUAUAGUCAUAGUGAUUUCAUUCUUUUGAUUCAAAACUUCACACUUUAAAACAAUAAUCUUUGUCCACUCUAUAAUUUGCAAAUCUUUCUAAUUAAUUUUUUUUAUGUUAAGAGAAAUUGAUAUUUUUUCUUUCAUUAAUCACUGACUAAAGGUAAUUUGUAUUUAUCUCCAUUAUCUUCUUUAAUAAAUACCUAUAUUUAUUCAAUUAACUCCCCAUAUAAAUAAGAGAUAUUUAUCCAUUAUCACUAAAACCGUCUUUUACCUAUUCAAAAAACUAUAUUUUAACAUCUUAGAUUUCAGUUCCGUAUUAUCGAUAAAACAUCACUUCAUUAAUUAAAUAUUUUUUAAGAAAAGUUAAUUUAUGAUAUGCAUGAACUCAUGUAUAACAUUUUUUGGUUUCAAAAAGAAAUAAAAGCAUUUAGAUAGAUUAUGAACAUAACCUUUGUGAAAUUAUGUAAAUAGUCUUGCUUGUUGCGUUGUGCUUCUCUGAUAUUGAUACUCUGUUCUUUUUGUAUGAAUAGCUUGGUGGCUGCACUAUGUUUCAGGUCAGAAUUCUACCUCUUUGGAUUACCUAUGUUUGAAUUGGUACGUAAUACCAAAAACUAAUUUUGAUUCUACAUAAUUAUCAUGUUACCUAUUACACAUUUUUUCAUGCUUAAAUAUAGUUUUAAUCUUUUAAUUUAAAUUUGAAAUUUUUAUAUUGUUCUUUCAAAUUAAAAUUGUUUUCCCUUCCAUUUUAAAAUGAUUUUUUUUCCUAUUCUCGGUUUAAGCAUUCAAAUACUAAUUGUAAUUGAGAACAAAAGAUAACGACUUAUAUAUAUAUAUAGAGAACCCUUGUGAUAGGUUAAUACUGCAUCAGGUUUGCAGUUUUAGCUAUAGACCAUUCUCAAAUCUAUAUUGGAUAAGUAUAACUUCAACACUAGAAUCUUUUUACAUUCCUAAUCUAGUAAUUGUAUGUCACAUCCUUAAUCUAGUAAUUGUAUGUGAUGUGGUGCUUAGGCCUACUCUAUUUCUAUUCAUAUCCUUGAUAGAGUUGUAAGUAUUGUUGCUCAAAGCUAUGUCGAGCCUCCACUGCAAUAGAGAAGUAAUUCACUUUUUUUUUUUUUUUAUAUCCAUGCUCAUGUACACACACCUUUCCAACCUUUGGUUACCAAUCAUGACAUAGAGUUAUUCUCAGAUAUUAUAACAUGAAAAAAAAAAAACACUCAUCAUCCUCAAAGAUCCUCAAAGAGGUGACUUUAACUACACUAAAAGUUUUACCAAUUUUUCUAAGGAUAAUCAUUACAAUUAUGCAAAACAACAAACAUAUAUUCCAAACAAGAACCAUCACAGAUAUUCAACAAUUCAACUACUUCUUCCUUCGUAUUCCAGUAGGUUUUUUUUUUUUUACAUUUUUUACAACUUGGAACUAAACAACAUUUGAGAUAAAAAAACAUAACCAUUUUCCCUUUUCAGUUCCUUCACUCUGCAUCGACAACAAAUAUAGCCAGUAACAAGGUCACUCUGCACUUUCAAGCCCUUCCCUACAUUUUUGUUACAACUUAUAGCGACAAACUCUACAAUAUUUUCACACCCCUCUACCACUUCAUUUUAUUCACUAGUCACAAGUUUUUUUAUAUAUAACACCCAAUCCGAAUAGGAGAAAUUAGUUGUAGGCACGUUAUGGGUCAGCCAUACCCACACAUUCAGUUGUGUCAUACAAAAUAUUUCAUGUAUACUUUCCCUUCCUUAAAGAUAAUCUUGUUUCAAUGGUUCCAAAUUGUCCACACAAUAACUAUCCAUACUUCCUUCCAUAUUAUUUUUAUCUAUCAUUUAAAUUCACAUAGUUUAAAGUUUGGAAAUGUUCCAUUAUGUCCCAGUUGUGUACAAAUUAGAUCCUAACCAAUUUAUCACACAUAACCUAGACAAUAUAAGAUUUAUUACAGUGUAGUAGAAUAUGAUUAAGUUACUCAUUUUCCAUUUUACAACCACAACUAGAAAUAUCACCAAUUUGUAACUUGCCUAAAACUCUAGUUACUAAGUAAUUUAACCCAGAAAAAUAAACAUGUCCAAUAUAUAAAGAUGACAGAGAUGAUAAAUCAAUAGUGGAGGUUGUCACAACUAGAUUCUUUAACUCAUCCAAUAUAUAAAGUCCCCUUAUCUACAACUUUCCUAUUCAGCCUUCCAGAUUGAGGAUCUUACACAUAACAAUUAGUAGAAGAAAAGGGAAACAAGUUAAAGGUACAGUUGAUUCCAUAAGGGAGGUUGAAUGGAGCCUAAACUGAAAUCUCAAACCUAAAAAACAAAGCAAAUGCAAAAUCUAACAAGUAAUAAAUAAACAGAGAGAAAUGCACACAAAAUUUAUAUUGGUUCACCCAAUAAUAAGGGUUAUGUCCAGACCGUUUGAGUAGGCUAGUCAAGAGCCUUUUAAUAUCACAAGUAUUAUACGUCUCUUCAGGUUAUACAAAUAUUGUCCACCUCUUAAGGUACACCAGUAUUCUUAUAGUUUUACAGGUCACCAGUCCCAAUCUCUCCCUUAGAUCAAGACCUUUCAAUAUAAUUAGAAAACACUUUCAUUUUAAGAGAAAAAUAAAAAGUCAUAGGGUAUACUUCAUAGUUUGAAGAAUUUACAAUGGUUAAGUUCACAACCCAAUUCUCACAAAUCACUCUACAAUAGCUUAUAUGAAUGUGUAUGCACAAAUCUAAAGCACAACUUUAAAAUCAUUUAUGUACUUUUUGAAUGUUCAUCAUCUUCAAGGUCUUUAUAUAACUUUUUGAAUAUGAUCGUUGAGACAUUAAGGUUCUUCACUCUUCAUAAUAGCUAUUAGACGCUCGAUUUUUAGAAAUAAUUACUCUUGAUUGAUCUUUGCAUGUUUUGAGCAUGUGAGGCAUUUCAAAUUGUGUCUUUUUGUUCUUCCUAAUCGAAAAAAAUGCACGCGGAAGCAACACACAUAAUCAAAAAUCAACUGCAGAAAAUAAACAACACAGGAUUUAACGUUGUUCGGUCGCCAACUGCAACCUACAUCCACACGGACAACUAUUAGGUUUUCAUUUCUGUCCUAUUGCACACCAAUUACAAGUACAAUGAUCUCUUUAAAUAGAAAUUAUAAAGGGGACACAAUGAUUAAGUCCAUUCACUAAACAUGGUGUCUAAUCGGCCCAACCCAAUUGGUCCUGACUUCAUACCCAACAAUCUCCCACUUGAAGCCACAUAACAAUGUUCACCUGCAUUUCAACUGUGUACAUGUACUUCUGUAAUCUGUCGACGAAACUCAAUGUUCCACCACUAGUUGCCACCAGCCUUCUUAAUCAUUUUGAAGACUUCGUUAAAACUCCCCUGAGUUUCAACACGUCAGUCAUGAUUGAAACUGUCACUGACCCGUUCUCUGUUCCUACCGGCUCCCACUUGCAAGAACUGACGGAUCCUGGAACAACCUGAGAACAAACACUUUCCAUAUUCAACAAGAAAUUUUCUGGAAAAGUUUCAACAGCUAGAAUACUGGUUCUCCUAACCCACUACCGUCUAAGAACCUCAGCUGAAGCAGGACUCGUGCUCCCACUGCCAUAAGUACCUCUAACUGGUCUACCUGAACCUUUCCAUGCUCGUUCAUCCUGAAUCUGACUUGUGGCUCUAGGUUUCUCUCUUGUAAAGACAACCCUCUUCUGCCCACGAGAUUCUGUGAACCGGACUUUGUUUAUCUUCUGAACUGGGACGGUCACUCCCUCAGACGGUAAUCCGACCAUAUACAGUGAACCUCCCUUUCUUCCGCAGGCCAUGACAAGAUUUCCCUUGACGACCUUCCACUGCUGAUUUCCGAACUUCACAUAAUGUUCCUGUUCGUCCAACUACCUAACAAAAAUCAAACUUUAAGUCAAGCUUGGAACAACUCUGACAUCCUUCAAAGUCCAAAAACUGACUGACGUCUUCAACACUAUGUCACCCAUGCCCGUAACAUCAAUAGUUUUGUUGUCUGCUAGUCUUACCUUUCCAAAGUCUCCAAUAACUAGAUUAUGCAAUGCUUCAGAACUCAUGACCCAGGAAUUCACACUGCUAUCCGCGCAACAGACUAAAAGGUCCUCGUCCGCGAAGUCUUCUGCAAUGUUGACUUAUUUAUCAUUUGGGCAUUGAUUCCUGAAAUGCCCCACCUCCUUGCAGAUCCAACAUGUUACACUUGAGCAAUUCCGAGUCUUUCACUAACUCCUUCUUUUGUUCUUGCUUCCACUAUCCCUAAUAUUUUUCUUACCUCUAAUGACAUAUAGUGAUUCACUACAUAAUUCCCCAUAACUCCUUCUUCGAACAUCCUUACCAAGAAUGAGAUCACGAAUCUUCUCAAAAGUGAAUCCAUCGGAUCCUGCUGAAGUGGUAACUGUUGUAACCGUUCCAGACCAACUGUUAGGCAAAGACAAUAGCAGUAGUAAAGCUUGAACUUCAUCAUUGAACUUAAUGCCCACUGACAUAAGUCUGGCUAAGAUCAAAUUCAUUUUAUUAAUGUGCUCAGCAACUGAACUGUCUUAAAUUCGUGUCGCAACGAAAAGCAGCCACACCCUGCACCUAGCACCGCACCGUCACUACUGCACUAGCAGAUUAAAGCACGCGCCACUCUGCGUCUUCCGUUACUGUUAUCACACUGCACCUCUAUGUCGUCUCGCUCACCGCAAGAACCUGCACGUGUUAGCCGCGAAACACGAUCCGUCGUCGCACUGCCUGGACAUGACCCUACUACGAGCAACCCACACCGCUACACGUCGCACCGCCUACUGUGUGCACCUACCGCGAGUCGGAGGUCUGGGCUGUCGCGAAUCUUGGGCCACUGUGAAACCCUAACUUUGGGACGCCGCUGCAACCCCUACGAAACCCUAGCUUUGUGACACUGCUGCCGCCUCUAUGAAACCCUAACUCUGGGAUGCUAUUGCAACCCCUGUGAAACCCUAGCUUUAAGACGUUGUUGUCGCCUCUGCGAAACCCUAGCUUUGGGACGCUAUUGCAGCCCCUACGAAACCCUAGCGUUGGGACGUUGAUGUCGCUUUGCGAAACCUUAGCUUUGGGACGCUGUUGCUGCCUCUGCGAAACCCUAGCUUUGGGACGCUACUGCAACCUCAAUUUUCAUGUCUUGUCAUCGAUUAAUUCUGCUGAUUAGAUCUCUAGUGUCUAAACGAACCAAGCUCUGAUGCCACUUUAUGGGAAAAGACGCACGCGGAAGCAACACACAUAAUCACGAAUCAACUGCAGAAAAUAAACAACACAGGAUUUAACGUGGUUCGGUCGCCAACUACAACCUACAUCCACACGGGCAACUAUUAGGUUUUCAUUUCUAUCCUGUUGCACACCAAUUAAGUACAAUGAUCUCUUUAAAUAUAAAUUAUAAAGGGGACACAAUGAUUAAACCCACUCACUAAACAUGGUGUCUAGUCAGCUCAACCCAAUUGGUCCUGGCUUCAUACCCAACACUUCCAAUAUGAAUGCUAAGGCUUUAAUACUCUUUAUUGAGAUAUCCUCUUGAAUCUUCCACGUUGUUCUUCUCCUUGAAUGCACUAGACGCUUGAAAUGAAAACUUCUUCUCUAGUGCAAUCUGCGCUUUCUUGAGUCAUUGUAAACAUUUCAAAAUUCUUCUUUAACUAUAUUCAAUCUAAACAUUGAAGCUUGAAUCAUUUCUUCACUUGAAUAUUCUUUUCUUUGUAUUGUUCAUCAUCUUCCACGUAUUAGACUCUAAAUAUGGAAAUAUUGGCUUUGAUGAGAUUGAUGAGUCUUUAACAUAUAUUUGUUCUUCAAAUACUUUCUUUAUAUGUAUGAACUUUGUCCCUUGAGAUUUGAACCUCCAUUGACUUGAUUCUUUCCUAUUAUGCAUUAUUCAUCUUCUUCUUCAUGGUACACACUCAAAUAGGAAAGUUUUUAUAUGAGCCUAGAUGUCUGCCCAACCUGGCGACCUGGCAACCCUACUAGUAGUGCUAAAUGAGUUAUAGACUUUAGUUCCAUGAAAUAAAAAAAUAUAAAAAUUCAUAAAAGGUGGGAGAGAAGAGAAGUUGUAGGGAUAUCGUGUGCGGAAGCGUAAUAAUUUCAACCAAAGAUUAUGAGAAAUUAAAGUAACAAAGAAAAUGAGAAUGAUACCAGAAAUUUUUAGGUGGCAAACCCCUUUAAAUAGAGGUAAAAAACCACCGGCGAGAGAGCCAAAACUUCCACUAUAAUGGUACUGGGAGUACAAUGAAUUCCUCCCAGACUAAUAGAUAAAUAGCCCUAAAACAAAUCCUCUCUAUAUGGGUUAAACACUUACACCUAAGAGCAGAAAUAGAGAGUAUAGGAGAAGAGAGAGGAAGCAAGUGUGUGUUGUUGUUUGUUGUGUGUUACAUUGCUUGAAGGAAGCCACUAUAUAUAGUGGUUCUAGGAGACAACAAUAAUAAAUACAAUUAAUGGUAAUUAACCUCCCUUUUGAUGACAAUUAAUUGUAGUAAGAAACCUCCAUUUGAUGACAAUUAAUUGUGGCAAGUAACCUCCAAAUUAUAUCAAGAAAAUGGAAAAGUGAGUCAUAACCCACAAAUCUCCACCUUGACUUGCCUUUGACCGGAACAAUCUCUCGCCAAGAAGCCUUGAUUAAGUAUGGAUAAUACCAGCUAAGUUCAGGCAAUGAUCGAACUUAGCCGAUGGAAGUGGCUUGGUCAACAUGUCUGCAGGAUUUUCGGCUGUAUGAAUUUUUUCAACAAUUAUAUCUCCUGUAUCAACAAUGUCUCGGAUAAAAUGGUGUUUAAUUUCAAUGUGCUUGGUCCUUGAGUGAUACUUACUGUUCCUGGUUAAGUGGACAACACUCUUGACUAUCACAAAAUAUAACAAGAACAUCUUGUUGAGGACCAAGUUCACUUACCAAGCCUCGAAGCCAUAUAGCCUCUUUCAUACCUUCUGUAGCAGCAAUAUAUUCUGCUUCAGUGGUGGACAAAGCCGCAAUGGCUUGAAGUGAAGAAUACCAGCUAAUAGUAGACCCACAUAGGGUAAAAAUGUAGGCUGAAAGUGAACUUCUCCGAUCUAAAUCACCAUCAUAGUCAGCAUCAACAUAGCCAACUGCUCCUCCGGUAUCGGCUCUAUGUUGAUCAAAUACCAAACCAAGAUCUGGAGAACCUUUCAGAUAACGAUGUAUCCAUUUAAUGGCUUCCCAGUGUGCCUUGCCUGGAUUAUGCAUGAACUUGCUAACAAUGCUAACAACAUAAGCUAAAUCAGGUCUAGUACAUACCAUAGCAUACAUGAGACUUCCAAUUGCAUUUGAAUACGGGACAUGUGACAUGCGAUUUUUGUCCUCGUCUAAUUUUGGACACUGAUAUGAUGACAACUUGAAGUGGGAGGCAAUUGGAGUAUUAACAGCUUUGCAAUCUCGCAUUCCAAAUUUGUCAAGCAUCUUAAGAACAUACUUCUUUUGUGAUAGAAAAAGUUUUCCAGCUUGACGAACUAUGUUGAUCUCAAUUCCUAAAAUUUUCUUGGUAGGACCUAAGUCCUUCAUAUCAAAUUCACUACUAAGCUGAGCCUUUAACUUGUUAACUAAAGAUUUAUCUCUUGCGACAAUCAACAUGUCAUCAACAUAUAACAACAAGUAUAUAAAUGACCCAUCAGAUGUCUUUUGAAAAUAAACACAAUUAUCAUAGCUACUUCUUAGCACGAGGUUCUAAUUUUCCCUCGUUUACAUGAGAAUAAGCAGGGCAACCAAAUAUUUUAAGAUUAGAAUAAUCAACAGAGUUACCUGACCAAACUUCUUCUGGAAUGUUGCAAUCAAUUGAUUUGUUAGGAGAGCGGUUUAUCAGAUAACAUGUCGUUGAAGCCGCUUCAACCCAAAAACAUUUGCUCAAACCAGAAUGGGAGAACAUGCAACGAACUCUCUCCAGGAUAGUUCUAUUCAUUCUUUCUGCAACCCCGUUCUGUUGUGGAGUCCCUGGAUGGUGAGGUGUCUGGAAAUGCCUUCUUUCUUGCAGAAGUCAUUGAAUUCAUUCGAACAGAACUCAAGGCCAUUGUUUGUCCUUAGCCUCUUUAUCUUCUUGCCAAUCUGAUUCUCAAUCAAUAAUUUCCACUCUUUAAAAGUGGAAAAUGUUUCAUUCUUAUGUUUAAGGAAAUACACUCAUAGUUUUCGUGAGAAAUCAUCAAUAAUUGUCAUCAUAUAACGACAUUUACCUCUGGAGGGAACUUUUGACGGACCCCAAAGAUCCGAAUGAAUAUAAUCCAAAGUACCUUUGGUUUUGUGUAUGGCUUUAGAAAAACUAACCUUUUUCUGCUUACCAAAAUGCAAUGUUCACAGNNNNNNNNNNNNNNNNNNNNNNNNNNNNNNNNNNNNNNNNNNNNNNNNNNNNNNNNNNNNNNNNNNNNNNNNNNNNNNNNNNNNNNNNNNNNNNNNNNNNAUUCCCUUCUCACUCAUGUGGCCUAAUCUCAUAUGCCACAACUUGGUGUUAUCUUUGUUGGGUGAGGCAACAGCUGCAGAACCUGUAACGGUUGAAUCCUGCAGCACAUACAAACUAUCACAUCGAAUUGCCUUUAGUAACACAAGAGCUCAUUUAGACACUUUUAAAACUCCACCUUCAGCUGAGUAUCAGCACCCAUGAGAUUCAAGGGUGCCUAAGGAAAUGAGAUUGCGUUUCAACUUAGGGACAUAUCUGACACCUGUUAAAGUUCUAACAAUUCCAUCAUGUGUCUUGAUUUUGAUUGUUCCUUCACCAGCAACUUUGCAUUGAGCAUCAUUUCCCAUCAAAACAAGACCAUUAUAAAGUGGUUCAUAUGUGGUAAACCAAUCUCUAUUGUGAGACAUGUGAAAAGUACAACCAGAAUCAAGAAUCCAUUCAUUUUUAGACUUUUGUUCAGUGUUGGAAGCUACAAAACAAUCCCCAUCAGAUUCAGUUUCAACAAUACUAGCUUCGGCAAAUUUUUCUGGUUGUUUACCAUUUCCCUUAUCUUCUCUAUCUUGCUUAUUUUUCAAUUUAUAACAUUCAGAGAUCUCGUGUCCCUUUUUCUUGCAAUAACGACAAUAUUUGGAGUUCUUGCCUCUAGAUUUUGACCUAGAUUUAUGUUUAGUGUUCCUACCUUUCUCUUGGUUUCUCCUUCUAACUACUAAUCCUUCACCAGAACUUUCAGAAUGAAUUUGAGUAUCAAAAUUUUCUUUGGCUAGUAAAUUAGUCUUGACAUCAUCAAAGCUUAAGGUAAGAUAAUUACCGUAUAACAUAAUUUCUUUGAAUUGUCGAUGCGAGGGUGUUAGAGAAACAAUAAGUAGAACAACUUUAUCCUCAUCAUCAAUUUUAACAUCCAAAUUUUCCAAAUCAAUUAUGAUGGAAUUAAAUUCAUCAAGGUGAGAUUGGAUGGGAGUACCUUCAAACAUUCAGAGUGUAAAGAGUCGCUCCUUUAACCAGAGUUUGUUUGCAAGACUUUUGGUCAUGUAUAGAGACUCCAAUUUAAUCCAUAUGCCUGUUGUAGUUUUCUCAUUGAUGACCUCACGCAACACCUCACGGGACAAGCAUAACUGGAUUGCAGACAAUGCCUUUUCAUCCAUCUCAUCCCACUGCUCCUCCGUCAUAGUGGUUGGUCUCAUCAUUUUACCUGUCAAAACUUUCUUUAAACCAUUCUGGGUGAGAACAGCUAGCAUCUGGACUCGCCAGAUAGCAAAACUGAUUUUACCACCAAAUUUCUCAAUAUCCAAUUUUGACAUUAUUGAACAACAGAUCCUGGUUGAAGUAUAAUGGUACUGGGAGUACAAUAUGAAUUUCUCUAAGACUAAUAGAUAAAUAGCCCUAAAACAAAUCCUCUCUAUAUGGGUUAAAAACACUUACACCUAAGAGCAGAAAUAGUAUAGGAGAAGAGAGAGGAAGCAAGUGUGUGUUACAUUGCUUGAAGGAAGCCACUAUAUAUAGUGGUUUUAGGAGACAACAAUAAUAAAUACAAUUAAUGGUAAUUAACCUCCCUUUGAUGACAAUUAAUUAUAGUAAGAAACUUUCAUUUGAUGACAAUUAAUUAUGGCAAAUAACCUCCCAAAAUCAUGUUUUAUUUCUUUUCUAGUUUAAAAUGUUGAAAACCGUCUUUAAAAUUUAAAUUUAGACAAUUAAAAAUCGCAGUAAAUUGGAAAUCCAAAAUUACCUUCCGCGUCUAUGAAGGAUAAAAUAACAUUUUGUAAAUUACGUAAACAAAGAUUUCACAAUAAGAUAUAACAAUGGAAAGUUAUAACAAUGGAAAAAACGAGUAAAACACCAAAUCGUUCCCUAGAUUUUAAAUUACUUUUUAUUUUGACCUUUUAUGUAAAAGAAUAUUUUAUUUUAAUUUUGUCAAACUAUUUAUUAACUCAAAAGAUUUUUUUUAUUUUUUAUUUUUUGCAGAGACUAUUGGUGAUAUCAUAUACGGUGAGUUCCUCUAUUUCUAUAUAUAUUUUUUAAGUAAAAAGGGAAAGAAUAGUUUACUUUGUCUCUAUCCCACGGUUUUAUUCCUCUAUUUCUAUAAAUAAUAAGUAUGAUGUAACAAGUUUUUUUAUAAAUAUAUUUAUUUGCAUAAAAAAUAAAUAAAUUCUUUUAAAUUUAAAACUAAUUUAUAUGUAAACUAUUUUUUAGACAUUCUUUUAUAUAACCUUUUUAAAUUUUAAUUUCUAAUUUAUAAAUAAUUUUAUUUCAUUUUUAUUUUUUUUAUUUUCUUUUAUAAAAAUAUUUGUAAAACAAUUUUCCAAAUAUAACUAAUAUUAUUUGUACAUACUAUUUUUGGAAAAAUAGUUCUAUAAUAAUUUCACUUUAUUAUUAAUUUUUUAUUGAUGAAAUCUAUCACUUUGAUUCUUGGACUCUUCCAAUAUACUUUUAAUAAUAACAAUUUGUGUACAGGUGCUAAAAGAGUAACUUUUUUCCAUUCUAUAUGUUAACAACUUUUUUUGGGAAAACUCAUCCACAUUUUUAUUACAUUAAAAAAAUAUAAUUUUAAAAAUAAAUAAUUUUCUAAACAAGAUAUUGAAAAAGAAUAAAAUUAUAAAAUUUAAAAUGUAUAUAAUUUUGUUAAAAUAAUACUAAAAUAACAUAUGGUGGCUAUCUAUACACUAUAUAAAGGGCACAGAGUUUUUAACCACCCUUAGUGUUUUCUUUGUUUUAUUUGAAUAAAAAAAAUUGGAUACAUAGGCGCGCAUGUACUAAAAAAGUUUUUAACCACCGCUUUUUAAGUAAAAAAGUUAUUUACAUAUUUUUUUUAAUAGAGAUAAAUUAUUUAAUUAAAUAAAGAAGUAUUUUUUUUAUAAAAUUCAUGUUAUUUAUUUAUUAAAAGGUAAAAUUAUAUAAUUAUAAAUAACGUCAAAGAUAGUUAUCAAAUGUUUUUUUUUAUAAUGAUAUAUUAUUUUUAAUAGAAAUAAGUUAUUUAAUUACUCAUUUUAUAAAAUAAAAAAUUAUGUUUUAUUUAUUAAAGUAUAUAAUAUUUUAAUUAAAAUAUAACAUAAAAAUAAUUAUUUAUAUUCGCACUAUACAAUAGUAUAGAUAAUAAUAAUAAUAAAUAUAAAUAAAUUUAAAAGUUUAAAGAUUUAUUAUUAUUUUAUUAAUAAAAAAAGUUUACAAGUGAUUUUUUUAUUUAUUUUAAGGAAGGUGUGAAUUUCUUUUUUCUUUCUUCAUUACAGUAUGAUGACAUUUGUCAUAUUAAUUCACAGGAUUAAUUUUAGUAAUAUAUGGGCCAAACCAAAAUCUUAAACGUUACGGUGCAUAUGGCUCAGUAACGAUUACAUUGGGACACUAUGUUAUACCAUACUUCAUAGUUAGAUAUGUUGUAGGCACGAUAUUGCUUAUUGUUCUUUUGAUAUACAAGUGGAGAAGAAGACAUUCUUCAGAAUAUGAAAAUAUUGAAAGUUAUUUAGAGCAAAAUAGCUUGAUGCCUAUUCGAUACACAUACAAGGAAAUUAAGAAGAUGGCCAAAGGUUUUGGUGAAAAAUUGGAUGAAGGAGGUUAUGGCUCUGUAUUUAAAGGAAAGUUGCGUAGUGGAUCUUGUGUCGCUAUAAAAGUGUUACAAAACUCAAAAGGUAAUGGACAAGACUUUAUCAAUGAAGUUGCAACAAUUGGAACAAUACAUCAUCAAAAUGUAGUGCACUUAAUUGGAUAUUGUGCUGAGAGCUCAAAAAGAGCCAUUGUUUAUGAGUUCAUGCCCAAUGGAUCUCUAGAUAAAUUUAUAUUUUCGAGAGAAGAAAAUCCACAUUUAACCUAUGACACAAUAUAUAAUAUAGCAAUUGGAGUAGCACGUGGGAUUUCAUAUCUACACCAUGGGUGUGAGAUGCAGAUUUUGCAUUUUGACAUUAAACCCCACAACAUCCUGCUUGAUGAAAAAUUCACCCCAAAAGUCUCUGACUUCGGAUUGGCAAAACUAUAUCCAACAAACAAAAGUGUUGUGACUAUGACAGCAGCAAGAGGGACAAUUGGAUACAUGGCUCCAGAAUUGUUUUAUACAAAUAUAGGAAGAAUAUCAUAUAAGUCUGAUGUUUAUAGUUUUGGAAUGCUUCUGAUGGAGAUAGCAAGCAAGAGGAAAAACUUAAACCCCCAUGCCGAGCAUUCAAGCCAACUUUACUUUCCCUUUUGGAUUUAUGAUCAACUUGACAAAGAGAGAGAUAUAGAAAUCCAAGAUGUCAUAGAGGAUGAGAAGAAAAUUACAAAAAAGAUGAUGAUAGUUUCACUUUGGUGCAUACAAUUAAAACCAAAUGAUCGUCCUUCCAUUAAUAAGGUAGUCGAAAUGCUUGAAGGAGACAUUGAGAACCUUGAAAUACCUCCAAAGCCUUCUCUGUAUCCAUAUGAAACAUUGAAAAGAAUCUUCUCUGACCAAACAACAUUGCCUGACUUCAUUAGUUCUUCAAGUUAUUCCAUGGAGAUUGCCACUAAUGCUCCACUAGAUGCAAGUAUUUGAUAUUGCAUAUUAGUUAUUUAUUUGCAUGGAACUUAUUAAACAUUGUUCAUCUAUAAUAUUUACAAUAUUUACAUUGCCUGAGUUAUUUCCUAUUGAAAGUUUAAAAAUAAUUGUUACCAAAUUUAAAAAUGUGUUCAAAGUUUUCCCAUAUGUUCAUUAUACUAUGGUAUUUGUAGCAACCUAGUUCUUUUAAUUGUAAUUUAAAACUUGAUCAAAUAUAAUAAUAACUGAGAAACUAAAUUUGGUUAAAAAUAACAAAUUAAAUAGGUAUAUUUUUUGGUAAGUGUCUCUUCAAAAUUCUACAAUAGAGAUUGUGUAGUAAGCUAGAUAACAGAAAAGGAUAUAUGAAAGUAAUCAAACAAUCAAGAAAUCGUCAAAUCAAACAUAAUUGGUUACUUUAAUUAAUUUUAUUUCAAUUUGAUUCUAAACACGUAUUUUAAGAAAAGUUUUGAUGAGUGUGAAAUUUUUUUUUUAUCAGCAAAGAAUUAAUUUAAUUAAAACUGGGACACUUAAGGGGUGUCCCAACCCGUAUACAAAAAGUACUUAUAGCUACUUACACGUGUGAACCUGUAGAAACCUUAUAGAUAUAGCUACAAGUGACUUCUACCAUCCAAAACCAUUUGCUGCAUAAAAUCCUUUAAGCUUCGGCAGUAUGGGAAAGCACAAUCCCACUCUUCCAUUCAUUCCUAUUACUAAAUCACCCAUAAGCAUGGCCUAUCCAAGAUAGCAAAAUAUCGGGAACCCCAAUCUGCACACAGUUUCAUUCCUUCGUAACCAGAAACCUUCCACAGAAAAUCUAUUUUCCAUCCACAGAGAAUGCAUCUGUUAUCUUUCCCUGUUAUGGUAUAUAUCAGUGGAUGAGUGUGGCGCACCUACUAACCUUUCACCAUUCCAUUCCUUAUCUGCACUAUACCAAUCCAAACCUACACCUGGGAACUCCUCUAUUCCAUCUUGCACCGAACUCAGCCAUUGCAGCGCCCUCAUCCAAACUGGCCAAGUCCAUUUCACCUUAGCACCUAUAAGCAGCAGCUCCAAUCUUCACAGUACCUGCCAACAACCAAUGCACCCAUUUGCUGCAUAUCCUCACGCCUUUCUCAGCCCUUUUGGUUAAUGGUCCACGCCUUAUAGCAGUUUACAGCAGGCAUAUACUCAAUGUUCUGUUGGACCGUGCCUUCCUGCUUCCCUCUUAUGUAGUUAGACCCCUGUCCAUCGCUAGCAAGUAAAACUCUCCUCUGCCCCGAGCUAGCCUUGUCAUCCUAACCGCCUUACACCAGCUGUUCUUCACCCUCAUUACUGCAAUUCCUUGCCACUCCAGUACUGGUCCAAGAUAUUCUUCUACACCAUAGCCGCCCUUCCAGUUCUGCUACAUAUUACUACCUGCACUUUGGAGCUCCCCUAGUUACGUCCCAAUUCACUCAGGGCCAACCUAACCCCCUUGACCCCUCUGCUGGACAUGAAAAUCUAUUUAACACUCUUUAUACAACUACCCGGGUUAAUUGUCCAAUCUGAGAAAGAGUAAUUAAAAGACUUGGUUCUAUGUUUUAGCCAAGACCAGGAUUUUAGCUGCGCCAUCUGAAUCAUCUCCUCUACAUCCACAACUCCUUGUUUGAACAGAAUGGAAUUUCUCUGGUCCCAAAUACCUCUUAUAAUCGCUGCCCAAAUACCUUUCCACACCAAGAUUUGUUUUCCACUGGCCUGAGUACAAAGAAAACUCUCAAAAUGGGAUUGAAUCUCAUUAUUUUGUACUAACACAAUUCCCAGCCACUUUUGGCAAAGGGACCAAACAUGCUGCGCAAACACACAUUCAAUGAAUAGAUGCUGUGAUGAUUCCUCCAUAUUCCGACACAGAACACAAACUGUGGAUUCCAUCUGCACACCUCUUCUCACCAGGGCCUCCCGUGUUGGAAUUCUGUCUAUGAGCACUCUCCACGCUGUUACUAGCACAUUAGGGAAUGCUGUGGCUUUCCAGAGGAGAUAAAAAAUCACGUGUUGUGUCCCUCUUAAAUGCUUGCCUAGGCAAAUGUAGGCUAAGCUCACCGUGUACCUCUCUAGCUCAUCCUUCCCCCACACUUGGGUGUCGUUUACAUAUCUCUUCACAUCAGAACCUGAAAUUCUUUCACUAAGAUUUCUCUCCAUCUCAGAUUCCCACUCAAAUCUCUCCCUCCUCCAUUGUAUCCUCCAAUGCCAUUCAGAUCCCUCCCACUCUCCAGCUUCCUUAAUUUUUUCCUCCUGAUUCGCCGCUAAGGAAUACAAUCUUGGAAAACCAGUUUUAAGACUUGUAUUACCAUUCCACACAUCCUCCCAAAAACUAAUCUUAUCCCCCUUUCCUAAUUUCCAUCGUAGCUCUUCUUUGAACCAACCUUCUCCUUCUCCCUCCCUACAGAUCUUCUUUAAAUCUCUCCACCACCAUGAUUGAUAUUUCACUGGAAUCCGUGUCUCCUCUAGUUGCAAACCAUAUUUUGAUAGAAAUACCUCCUUCCACUUCCCUGGCUCUUGUGAGAUGAGCCGCCAUCUCCAUUUUGCUACAAGGGCAAAAUUCAGCUUUCUAAUAUCCUUAAUUCCCAGUCCUCCAUCUUCUUUCUGCUUGCACACCUCUCCCCAACUUACCCAUGAAAUCGGCCUGUUUUCUUUUCCCCACCCCUAGAGAAAUUUUCUCCGAAUACUAAUUAUGCUUUUGUAGACCGAUUCUGGUGUUUUAAACACGGACAGAUAAAAGAGAGGUAUUGCAGUGAGCACAGACUUAAUUACACAGGUCCUUCCUGCCAAGGACAGAUACCUCCCCUUCCACACACUUAAUCUGGCCUUCAAUUUUUCCAAAACAGGUUUCCAGAACGUUUCUUUCCUUGGAUUUCCUCCUACUUCUAUUCCCAAGUACUUAAACGGGUAUCCCAUCUGACCACAAUUUAAGAGUUUUGAAUAGCAUCUAAGAUUCGAAUUGUCAACAUUUAUACCUACUAGACUUGAUUUGUGGAAGUUAAUUUUCAGCCCAGAUGCUAUCUCAAAACCCCUUAAAAUUGCUUUCAUACUCACUACAUUGCUCCAUGAGUCUUCGCAGAAAAAAAGGGUGUCAUCCGCAUACUGCAGGAAGCUCACAACUACCUCCUUACUUCCAAUCUUUAUUCCCGCCAAAAGGUUGGCUUUUAUCGCCUGCCUGACUAGUCCAGCAAGACCUUCAGCCACAACUGUGAAGAGGAACGGUGCUAAGGGAUCUCCCUGUCUCAAACCUCUUGUCGGUCUGAAUUCUUCAGUUGGACUCCCGUUGACUAGGACAGACACUGUGGCUGACUCCAUACAUCCUCUGAUCCAUUGAAUCCAGGUAUUAUGAAAACCCAUCCUAUCAAGCAUAUCAUACAUGAAAACCCAUCCUAUCAAGCAUAUCAUACAUGAAAACCCAUCCUAUCAAGCAUAUCUUACCGAAUCAUACGCUUUUUCAAAAUCAACUUUCAAGCACAACCCGCUUCUCCCCUUCCUUCUAAGAUCCUCAAUCACCUCGUUUACCAAUAUCACACUAUCCGUGAGACCCCUAUCCUUAAUAAAAGCAGACUGGCUCUCAUCUAUUAUUGCCGGUAACACUUUCUUUAACCUUCCUGCUAAUACCUUAGCAAUGACUUUAUAAAUCGCACCCACUAAGGAUAUGGGUCUGAACUGAUCGAGCUUGCAAGGAUCCUUAACUUUUGGAACAAGUGCUAUGAACGAAGCGUUGCACCCUUUGGGAAUACACCCUGUUUUAUAAAAUUCCGCUAUUGCAGCUACAAAAUCAGCCUUUAAGUACUUUCAGCUUUUCUUGAUGAACUUAAAAUUGAAUCCAUCCGGGCCUGGACUUUUUGAGCCUUCACAUUGCCACACCGCCUCCUUAAUUUCUUCCUCAGAGAAGAUCUCUAUCAUUCGCAAGUUGUCUCCAGAAGACUUUUAGCUUCUCUUCGAACAGUACUAGGCUCCUCACACCAUAGGCCUGCUACCUCUACCCCUUUCACUUCAUUCCUUAGUCUCCUCCACCUAAGAGUUGAGUGGAAAAACCUAGAGCAAGAGUCACCAAAUCUGAACCAGUUUGUCCUAGCCUUUUGACGGAUAAGAGACUCUAGCUUAUUAUCCGUCUCCCAAAGCCUUCUAAUCAGAUUUGUUCUAGCUUGCUUCUGACUUUCCCCCAUUUGGCCGUUACAAUUUUGACCAUCAAAGGUCUCAAUUUCCUGCAUUAUAGAGCUCUUGAUCAAGUUCAAAUUCCCAAAAACGUCCCUAUUCCAAACUUUCAGAUCCACCUUCAGGAGUUUAAGCUUUUCCUUAAGCCCUUUAACUGCACCUCCUUCGGUUGAAUAUGACUUCCACUUUUCCUCCACCAUUCCAGCAAAGCCUUUUUCCGAGAGCCAUGCAUCUAACGACCUAAAGGGCUUGGGACCCCAAUCCUUGUCCAGGCAUUUAAUCAUCAAAGCACAAUGGUCUGAGACCUCCCUUCUUUGAACAUACUGCUUGCAGGUAGGCCAACACUGUAGCCACUCCUCUGUUACAAGAGCUCUAUCUAUCCUGCUCUUUGCUGUUCCAUUUGCUUUGAACCAAGUAAACUUUUUCCCAACAAUGGGCAAAUCCAUCAGCAGAUUUGUCUCUAUAAACCCAUUAAACUCCUUCAUCUCUUUUAUAAAUUCUCCCCUAUCUACCCCUUGUCUUUCAGCUCGUCUUCUUAUAGCAUUGAAAUCCCCACAGAAGCACCACAUCCCAAUCUGUGAAUUUUCUUUACACUUGGACAAUUCCUCCCAGAGAAUUUUCUUCUCUUUUAGAGUGCAUGCUGCAUAGACAUUAACCACACAACACCUUCGAGAUGAUUUCCCAUGCAGACCCACAACAGCUAUGUACCCUUUCCCCAUUGAAUGACUUUCAUACUUAAACACAUCUUUAUGCCACAAAGAGAGAAGACUUCCUCUGCCACUCUCCCCUCCAUUAUGGAUCCAACCAAUGUUGUUAUCCCCCCAAAUAGAGAAACACCUAGCAUCUGUUAUUUCUGUAGUCUUUGUUUCCUGUAAGCACAUGAAUUCCACUCCCUCCGUCAAAAUACACCUUCUCAAAUAACGCACUUUUGUUCCUCCCCCCAUACCUCUAAUAUUCAGGUUAAAAAUCAGCAUCUAAAUCUCUUUGUCUACCCUACUCUGCAUUAUUCUUCACUUCCUGAUCUCUAUCUUCCAUUAUGAUAAAUUCUUGAACCACCUCAUCUUCCUCUCCUCUGUAGGCUAACCCAAACCGUUUUCCAACUGCCCAAAGGUUAUCUGACUCCUCCCUGCUUUCUGGACUAUGUACUCUAGCAUUACAUAACAAUAUGUCCCCGUCAGAAAUUGAUGCUGAGAACAUACCUUCUCUGUUCACCAAGUCAUUCUUCUUUUGGAAUAUUUUCUCGCUCAACCGAAUAGAACGCCUGGGGAAGGUAUUUGCGUCCCCCAGCUCACGAAGUGCUUUCUGUUUCCGUGGUUGGGUUUUGCUUGCAGUACCUACUUCUGCUACCUCUUCUUCAGACAGGCCAUGCGCGUUCACCCCUUCCUGAUUUUUUCUCUCAACAGUAAGUCGUCCCUCCUGAUUGGAAUUUGGUUCAAUAUGGCGGCUCUCGCUUCCACUUCCCGCUUCCAUUCGACACAGUGCUUCAGGAUUUCCCUCAUGACGUUGUUCAUCAUCUCCCUCUGACUCAUUCGCCCUUCCAGAUGUUUGUUCGGUUUCCUUCUGUGUAAGGUUCAAUCCUUCCUCACUCCCUAUUUCCGUAUGGGCCUUCCCCUCACCCUUCUGGCCCAGAUGCAUAUUGGGCUUUAUAGGCGGGUUUGUGCUUUCUAAUUCCACCACUAACUUAGCCAGCUCAGCAUGCCCAAAAAGGUGACUUUGCAAAAAACAUGCUAUCCUGUGCAGACUGAAAUACUAAAGCUGCUUCCUCCUUUCCCUUAGUUUCCUCUUCAGUGUAUACCUUGGUUACUUUAUUCUGCCCCUUAUUCCCAUUCAUAUCAGAUACUCGAGAUUGGGAGACUUUUGUCGUAUUCGCGUUUAGGUCUUCGUCCUCCUCCUCCUUCUCCUCCGGUUGCCGAACCCUCCGUCCACUUGAGCCCUCCUCCUCACCGUUGAACACCGGGGUAUCAGACUCCUCCACAUAGGUCUUUGAAGAUGAGACGCUAUCCGAAGUAUCUAGAUAGUUCCGAUGACACAUACACUGCCCUUCAAGUCUAAAGGGUUGUUCUUCUUCGACAUAAACGGACACCUCCAGGCCAUUAAUCAGCAUAGUCUUAACCAUUCUGGCGUUAUGGUUUUUGCGUAGGCGAACUUUGAGUCUUGCAUACUCCAAGUUUUCCCACAUGACCGUUGUUGCAUCUAUAGACACUAGAGAUGCUUCCUCUCCAACUAUUUUUGAGAAGCAAGCCUUGGUCCACAGCGGUAGAGGCAGACCAUAACAACGUACCCAUACUACUCUGUGCUCUGCAAUAGACUCCUCCGUCCAUGGCUCGAUUUUUUGGAACACACUCUCAAACCACCCCUUAUUGAGGUCUAUUACCUCCUUCAUGUUCACCCCUUCUCGUGGAGUCAGGAGAGCAAGAUUAUCUCCCAGGGAUCUAACACAAACUAAGCUCAUACCCCCUUUAAUAAAUUCGUCGUCAAGUUCUUCAGAGCUUAGUUCUUCCCUUAACUGCCCUACCAUACUGUACUCCAUCCAUGGUAAGACGUUCUUCUCAGUGGUAAAGGUUGACCCCUCCCAUCUUCUUUGAGCAUCGCCUUUGAUAGCAUCUGCAUAUGACUUGCUCCCUGCCUUCACUCUCCAUACCUCCGUUUUUCUCUUCUGACCGCUGAUAGCUAAUGGCUCCUCCUGCGGUUUCCUGUAACUCUUUCCCUGCUCUUUAUGGUACGCUCUGUUUUCACUCCCCUGACCUUUAGCUUCCAGUUCGCUCCUCCUAUAUUUCGGAACGUUUACAUGCAGCUUUUUGUUGCCUAUGUAGAUCUGAUCAAGAUCCUUCUCCAGCCUCCCCACAUCCCUGACUUCAAAAAAUCGAACAAACUCGAACCUUCUUCCCCAUUUGUUAAGUCUUCUUGAGAUAAACACUUCUUUAACCCUAGCCCACCUUCUAAAAAUCUUGAUCAUAUCCAGCUCCCCAUACCCGUUUGGGAAAUUUGCAAAGAAGAACGUCGUCAAACCAUUUGAGUUUCCGUAAGCGUGUCGAUUACUACCAGAUCCUCCGUGUUCUCCUUGCCUCUGCGUCAUGUUCUCUUUGAUGAGUGUGAAAUAAAAUAGUCGUUCUAAUAUUCCAAAUGAUAUUAAACCAUUAACUUAUAUUUUGGCGAGUUUUUUAACUAAAAUUUCUCCAAUAAGUAAAGCCAUGUGUACAAUGUUACCAACUUCCAUCGUACGACGAAUAUUCACUGCCUAAACUCAUAUUAGUGGAACACUAUUAGUAUCUUUAUAAUUAAGUUGUUACACAACAUCUCAUUGACUUUUUUUAAAGUAAUAAUCUUAAUAAUUUUAUACAUUACAAAAAUUUAUGUUUAGUGUUUUUUUAUUAGCAUUUUAAACCCGUUAAACAUAUUAUUCACAAUCGUAAGAACUGUCGGCAAAACAUUAGUGAUAAACAAUUUACUACCAGGUUUUUAGAAAAUCCUUAUUAAUACCAAAUAUCCCUAGUAUUAUCUGCCAACCAGUAGACAAUGCAAUUUUGUCACCAUAACAUUAUAUGUAGUUUUCUCGUUAAUGUGUGAUAUAACCGACAUUUUUUAAUCAUGUUAAUGCCAUAAAAUUGGAAUCUGUCAUUAGUGAUUCAUUUUUAUCCCCAAUUUCAAUUGUGUUCAUUGUUGCACCCCAUCCAUAACCAUUUUCAUUCAUGUUCAAGCCCCCUCAACAUAGUCAAUCUCAUUUCGCAGCACACUUAUCUCUCUUAUCAAUUUUCACAUUUUUAAUCAUACUUGUACCCAUUAGUGACUCAUCUUUUUUUUCUUGAAAACAUACUUGGUAUACUAGUUCACGAUCUAUCACUAUUGCUCUAGUAGAAAAUAUAAUUGAUAAUAAAAAGUGCAUAAGUUAGUAUAAAGUCAUGUCAGCAAAAUAUGAGAUAGACUGGUGAAUGACAAAUGCUAUUUCAAAUUUGCACAUAGUAAUGAUAAAUGCAAUUUUAUCUAGCAUUGUAGAGAAGACUAUUACUUUGAAGAAGAUUUGGGAGACAUUCAUCAAAUUGUACGAGGUUAAGUCACCUCAUAUAAGAAUGUUCAUGAAGAGAAAAAUCUAUACUUUUCAAUAGAGUGAAUUUCUAAACCUUGAAGAUCAAGUCACAUCUUUAUUUGAUGUUUCCAAAACCUACAUUGUACAUUGGAUGACAUGAAUUGUGUGUGUUUAGGAAGAUUUUGAUGUAUUUUGGUUGUUUCUUCUUAACCAUGCAUUAUGAUCCAAGUUUGCUCCAAGAUUUUUUUUAAACAAUUUGUUUUAAAAGCUUCGUAGUUUUUCAACUCGUUGUCUGAGAUAUUAAUUUGUUAAAAAUCAUCUUUUUGGACUAUAAUAUGUAUUUUUAAUUGAUUGAUUUAUCACAUCAAAAGAUUAAAAUCACUUAAGGUUUUCAACUGUUUUGCUUUUGUUCUCAUCUAGUCUAUUGUAUUUUGUGAAGAUAAACUAUGUCUUAAAAAAAUCAAUCUAUUUCAAGUUGUUGAUUUCUACUGUUAAGUGAAAUCAACUUGUUAUUUUGUGUUAUCAACUUGUUGAAUUUUAACUUUUUAUGUUUAUUAUAUCAUAAUAUUUUUCAACCGUUAAAACUUUUGAUUUUUCAUAAAAUUCUUAUAAAAUAGUUUAUUUUUGAAUUCAAAAAGUUGAAGUUUUUUAAUCAAAAAGAAUAGAGAGACUUUGUUUUGAAAUCUUGGAGAAACUCUUGUGUUUUUGGAUCAUUUUUGUGUUUGUGAAGGAGGUGCAUAUGAGAUUUUACAAUAGUAAUGUUCUUUGUUGUCUCUCAUGUGUUUUCAAUCCCUUUAAAAAAAAAUUUGUAGUGUGUUGGGCAGAUUUAGAUAGUUUUUUUUUUUGCAGUGGUUUGUAUUUUGUUUAUGUGUAAAAGUUCUUGUCGGGUUUAAAAAGUUGUUUCUUGAUAGUAGAUUUUGUAAUCUUGUGCUUUGAUCCUGCCUGUUGACCGGAGCGCGGGAGAAUGCCUCGUCAAAGGAUCGUGCGCGCCGCUUCUCACCUCCGUUCCUCCUCUGGAUCUAUCUCAAGAACCUGCAAAGAAACGAUACGGCGCCGCUGCGGCCGAUCGCACUCUGACGCUCAAGUCAGUGACGGAAUCACCAAAUACUAAGAAUGAGAACCGUGCAAAUCCUCUCUCACUCGCAAGCGUAAAGUGUAUGAACUGAACGUGCGUACCUCAAAAAGUCUGUUAAGAACUCUUAUAUACCUGGUGGUUUUCUCUCUCCUGGCAGUUACAGACUUGGACACGUGGCUCGCAUCCGUCUGUACACGUGCCAUCAUCUGGAGGCUCACUGACUUGGCGCCGCUUCUACUCUUAUUUUGGCUAAGUUACUUAUGCAUGGUACUGCCCAGUGCAUAGCUAACUUAGGAGUGCGAUCUCUACUGAAACUGGCGAGUUAGGGCCUUCAUACACCCUCCCUGUGGUCUCGCCGGCCGCCUUCAUAAUCUGUUUCUCCUUCACCUUCGGCGAUGUGCUUGUUCUGGCGAUCUCCGACUUCUUGGUCGCCUGAGUCUGCAUCUGGCGACUCCAUCUGCAACCAGGCGAUCGCCCAUUCUGAUAAACUGGAAAUCGGAACACGCCAACUUAACAAUCGGCGACCACACGUGCCUCCCGACUUCCUUCCUAUCUGCCAACCUGGCGCCUUGUCAACACGCCUACACUGUAGCAGGAUGCCACGUCAUCACACCCGUCCACCAGGGCGGUACAUGCUUUUUAGUGAAAACUGGUGUGGCUGAGGAUUGGAUGUACCUUUUGUGGUGAGAGUGAACCUGUAUAAAACAUUUGUGUGUUUCUCUAUAUCCUUUUCUUUACAUUUUUAUUUUUGUUGUAUCUGUAGUUCUCAGUUUUUCAAUUGGCUUAAAAAGUACAAAACUAAUUGAUCUUUCGUUUUUUAUUGUUAAGCACUUUUAUAAUUCAUUGAACACAAAAAUCAAUCAAUUGAUAUUAUAGAGAGAGAGAGAGAGAUACUCAACAAUUUAUACUGGUUCACCGACCAACAUGGACUAUGUUCAGUCCCUUUGAAAAACCCACUUAAUUCUAAAUAUUUACAUGAUUUAGAGGAAACUUCUACUUUCUCUUUCUUUUAUUCUAAAUAUUUACAGGAUCCUGGGUUCCAACUCUUUUCAAAGUUGCUUGCUAGUUGUGUUAUCCUUGGUAUUUUCUGAGAAGUUCUUGUUGUAUCUUGAGGGAGUUGUGCGAUACACUACGGAUAACUCCUUACAGACAGUGAUCUAUUGCUGAUAAAAAAAAAAAACAGACAGUGAUCAACCACACCUUAAGAAAUCAACAUUGUUCAUGUUUUAAAAUUUUAGUUUACAACAAUCAUAAGGACUUAUGGCUAACAAUACAGACUACAACAACAACUCUACUUCAAAGACAUCAAACGUUAUUUCCACAACGCAAACCAUUUUUGCGAAUCCAUUUUUGGACGUCUCGAAAAUUGAAGUCUUCACCGAUCAGAAUUUUCAACGUUGGGAAGAACGCGUGUUCAUUCUGUUGGACAUGUACGAAUUCACUUUUGCACUUACAACUUCUAAACCGACUCAAUCAUGCCUAUGAAACAAAUUGAUGUUUGGGCCCAUGCAAGUAACGUAUGUCGUCACACCUUACUCGGUGUGUUAUCUAACGAUUUGUUCAAUGUCUAUUGCUUUUACAAGGAAGCAAAAGAUAUUUGGGAUUCGCUUAUCCUCAAAUACACUGUUGAAUACGUCGUUAAACAAAGGUUCGUGAUUGGAAACUACUAUUGUUGGGAUUUGAUCAAAGACAAGGCCAUAAAAACUUAGAUAAAUGAAUACCACAAGCUGUUUGAAGAUAUCAAAGCAGAGAGAAUAGCCUUGCCUGAUGAAUUUGUGUUCGAACUGCUGAUCGAAAGCUUUCGCAAUCUUGGAAUGAUUAUAAAAACAAUUGUAGCACAAGCACACAAAAAUGUCACUACUACAUCAUCAUAAAAGACACCAACAGAAAGAAGUGUGUUGCUACAAGGGUCAAAGCUUUGUCUGCCAAAACAAACAUUGUAGAAGACAAACCAGCUCCAUAAAGGUACGAGAAAAAACCUUAUCACAAAAAGAAAUAUAAUAAUAAAUUUUCUCGUCCCAAUGAAACUAACUCCACCUUCAAUAAAAAGAGAAAUUGCUUUGUUUGUGGAAAGCCAAGUCAUCAUGCACCUCAAUGCAGACAUAGGGCCAAAAACGAAAAUCCUUCUAAGGCAAAUAUAUUCGAAGGGGAAGAUACCAUUGUUGCAGUCAUUUCACAAGUAAAUCUUGUGACCAAUGUGAGUAAAUGGGUGGUAGAAUCUGGAGCUACCAGAUACAUCUGUGCAAAUAUAAACGUGUUUACCUCCUACACAAGUGUGGGGAUGGAGAAAAACAAGUUUAUCUCGGUGAUUCCAGGACAACUACUGAUGGAAAAACGCUAUUCUUCUAGUAGUGAUCUUUGUAAUUUCUUCUUUGGAUGGAUGAUGAAGGAGUUUUGGGGAGAGGAAGCAUUAAAGAAACUCAAGAGGAGUUUCCAUGGAUUAAAGUGGAGUUAGGAAUUUUUGAGAGUGAGAGGUGAGGCCAAUUCACUAGGAAAAAGUCUAAGCUAAAUCUUGAAGGAGACUAGCCUAGGGAGAACUUAAGAACAAGUAGAAUGGUCAAAAUUAGGCAACAUUUCAUUACUAAUUCCAAGUUGAAAAUACAUGUACAAGAGACUCCUAUUUAUAGAGUCUAUCAAAACCUCUCAAAUGAGAGUGUGACAACACCACCUUAUUGGUGCAAAUCCUCUCCAUCGAGGAGAAGACAUGUGAAGCCUCAUGCCUUCCUUGCUUACAUUUCUAUUUGCACCUCUCUUUUACUAUUUUACACUUUACUUUUAUACAUCAUUCUCUACUUUGGCCCAAAAUACAAGACCCAAAACUUCCUAACUACUUUAUACAAUGUUUACAAGGCUAAGAAGAAGAAAAAUACUCUACAAAAUUUUCAUUAAAGCUCGAUCUCCGUCUAUCUUAUUGGCCGAAAGUUUCGAGGGUGGACGGUUGCCAUCAUCCCUUCCCUCUUGAAAAGGAUCUGUCCUCAUAUCUGAAUGAUGCUCAUUGACAACAACCUCUAUUUAUUUGAUUAAGUAUUUUCCUCCAGGGUCAAAUAUUAACCUACAAUAAACAUCUAAGAAAAAUGAGAUAAGAAAGUUAAGACAACGAUAUUCAAAUAAAAGAGUAAGAAAAUAAGGCUCUUUAUUUUUAUAAAAGUUUUGUUGAAAAGAAAUAGGGUCCUUUUCAAAAAUAUUUUUUGUUUCCUUUGUGUUUUUCAUUGCUCAAGAUAAGCAACAACAUCAGAAAGUGUUGUUUUUGUGAUUUUUUAGAAAAAUAGUAAGCAUCAUGAUUUAAAGGAAAAGGAGAGUUCAAAGUAUUCCAAUCUCUCUUUAAGGAUUAUUUUUCAACUAUGCUUGUAAGAGGUGUUGUAAGAUACUCCUCGUCCUUUCUAGAUUCCUCUUCUUCUUUUUGUCCAGGCACAAAUUUUUAUUCAAGCAUAUUCUCCCAAGGGUUUUCUAUAGAAGAAGAGUUUAUGUCAAUGUCUUGUUCAACUCCAGAAAAAGGAUUUUCCUUUAAUUCUUUUUUGUCUUUCUCUUUUUUCCUGUAUCUUCCUUUCUUUAAGAGCUUGUAAUUUUUCUCUAAAUUCUUUUUCUCUUCUAACAUUUAUUUUCUCCAUUUAUAAAAUUUCUUCCUUUUUCUUCAAACUCUUUCAUUUCUUCUCUAAGCUUAUUCUUUUUCACAUAUGAAGGCGAAACACAUUUUCUUUUCAUACACAUCUUCAAUUCAUCCCAAUUCAGUACUUUUGAUUUUCUGCCAAUUCUAACAUCUGUUUCCCUUUGUGUCCUCCAAGACCUAGCAUAUUCUUGAAAACUUAGGGUAGCCAAGGAAAAUCUACUAAAUUCAUCCAAUUGGUGUUUUUCAAAAAAAUUAUCAACCUUUGUCUCCCAUUUUAAAUAUGCUUCAACAUUUUUAUUUCCAUCAAAAUAGGGAAUGUAUACUUUAGUCUAUGUAGGAAGAGCUAAACCAGUUUGCAUACAAUGAAGUAUGGUCUUUAGUUCCAAGAACAUCUGAGAUGAACAUCAUAGGAACCAAAGGGUGUACAGAUAUAAGAUGGAUGAACAAGGGGCUAUCACCAGAAACAAGGCAAGGUUGGUUGCUAAGGACUAUAACUAAGAAGAUGGACUAUAUUUUGAUGAGACUUAUGCACUAGUGGCACGACUAUAAGCUGUCAGACUUCUCUUAGCAUUUUCAAGCAUAAAAGGAUUUAGGUUAUUCCAAAUGGAUGUAAAGAGUGCAUUCUUAAAUGGAUAUAUCAAUGAAGAAGUGUUUGUUUCUCAGCCUCCAGGAUUUGAAGACUACAAACAUCCAGAACACGUGUAUAAGCUAAAGAAGGCACUCUAUUGACUUAAGCAAGCACCCAAACAAUGGUAUGAGAGGCUAAGUGAAUUUAUGCUUUCUCAAGGUUAUAACCGUGGCACCUAUGAUAGAACCUUGUUCAUAAAGAAGAAAAGAGAAGACAUUAUACUUGUGCAAGUCUGUGUGGAUGACAUCAUCUUUGGAUCCACAAAUAAAAAGAUAUGUGAAACAUUUUUAUAUGCAAUGAAAAGUGAAUUUGAGAUGUCAAUGUUGGGAGAAAUGAAUUACUUCCUUGGAUUGCAAGUUAAACAACUCAAGGAUGGAAUCUUCAUAAAUCAAGCAAAGUACUACAAGGAAUUGCUUAGGAAGUUUGAGAUGGACAAAUGCAAAGCAAUCAGCACUCCAAUCUCAACAAGUUGUCAACUGGAUCAGGAUCAUGCAGGAAAAUCAGUGGAUCAAUCAAAAUAUAGAGGUUUAAUUGGUUCUUUACUGUUUUCUGGUUAUUGACCAACAAGUUUAUGACAUUCGUGUGUGGAAAUCCUAACUGAUUUGAUACAUUUAUUGUGCAACAUAUUUGAUUUGUUAGCAAAAACAUGUUUUCAAUAUAUUCAUGCAUCAUUCAAAACUGCACCCUUCUGUACUACAUAAAAUCAAAUUUGUACUGCAUCUGGUUUCUUGAUUUUGUUUUCAAACCUGUGAGUUAUGAAAUACAAUUUGUUGCUCUACAUAAAUCUGGUUUAAAACAAUUGUAUCUCACACUUUCCUUCUUUGCUACAAGUUAUUCAGGUUCACAUUCUUUACUUUAUUAGGUUUUAUAUUUCAUCAUAUGAACUUUGCACUAACAUUCUUUCUAGCUGGAACUAUAUCUCUUGAGGAACAAGUGUAGAUAAAACAGAUUAGCAAUGACAUCUUCUUCACACAGAAAGAAGAAGAAAUCAAGAGAGAAACAACAACAACCAAGGUAUUCUGGAAAACUGGUUUGCUGGAAUUCUGAAGCUAUGACAAAGUUCAUACAUGAGACAAGCAGAAAGAAAAUCAAUGUACCCAAGGUGUUGGAAUUUUCAUGGCUGAGUAGUGAAAAUCUGAUAGAAGCAAAAACCUUUCUCAAGCAUCAAAAGCUGAAACACUUCCUGGAAAUGACUGGAAAUGUCUAUCCAGACCUAGUGAAGGUGUUCUAUAGCAACCUUGUUCAAGAUGACAAGAAUCUUGUUUCCUAUGUGAAAGGAGUGAAGCUAAAAAUCACAAGAGAGGUCUGGAGCAGCAUUGGUGGAAUUAAGUACUCAGGGUUGAAAGUGAGCAAAGGGAAUAUUGAUGGGAUUCAAAAGUUCAACAUGAUGCAGUUUUAUAGAAGCUGUGUGAGGAAUCCCACUGAACCAGUGGUCAGAUUUCAUGAAGGUAAUUUGACUUUAAUUCCAAGACUCUUAGCUCACAUAAUUGCAUGUCAACUCACUCCUAGAGGUAGCAAUCAUGGUGUUCUUCAUGAGGAAGACUUGAUAUUGCUUUACUGCAUAAUGAAUCAACUCAAGGUAAACUGCGUGAGUACUAUGGUGGAACAUAUGCUCAAAUCAACAAGGCUCCCAUAUUAUCGCUUUCCAUAUGCAAUAUUUGUAUCCAAACUAAUUGACUAUUUUGAAGUGGAUACUACAAAUGAAAGAAAUGAUACUAUCAAAGCAUCAAGUGAGAUAGACAAAUCUACUCUCAUGAAAAUGGAUUUUCAUAAGGAGGAAGACAAUUGGGUUUUUAGAAGGAAUGUUGCUCACGGAGUUGAGCAUGAAGCCUCCAAUCAUGGAGAUGCAGAGGAAGAUAAUGUUGGAGUGCCUAUGGAAGAUGAAACUGUGCAGGCUGCAGAAGCAUCAUGCUAUAUGAUGCAUCAUUCAUCAUCACACAGGGUGGAAUCACCAACUCAACCAUCUAUGCAUCACAUGGAGGAAUCACCAGUCCGUUCAUGAAUGAAUGAAGAUGUUGCUGCCACAAACUACAAUGCACUGGUUGCAAACCAAGCACCUGAGUAUAGAGGUGAACCUUUAUCAAUGUUUGAAAGACAUGUUCUGGACAGGCUUGAUACUCUCACAGAUGAUCAAAAGACCUAUUUUGAAAUUACUCAAGCUAGGUUUCAACACCUAGAUUAUCAAAUUGAAGGAGUCCAGGAGCAGCUAGUUGAAAUUUACUACAAGCACAAGUGAUCCUUUUCAAAUCUUUCACUUUUAUGUCUUGUUGAACAAUUUGCUUUUUAAUUUUCUGCACUGGUUGUGUUUUGAUUUCUGAAUUGUAAUAGCACUUCAUGGGUUUUUAUUUUGAACUGUCAUGUAUGGCUAUGGUGUGUUUUUUUUUUUAUUCUAUGCUUCCAUUCUGUCUGAUGAAUCCAAAGGGGGAGAAGAAUAGCUCAAUACAGGUUGUUUUUAGUUGAAGAAUAGCUCAUGUAAGUUGCUGAUCUUGUUCAGGUAUUAAAUUGCAGGGAGGUAUAACACUUCUCAUAUCUGUUAUGCUAUGUUUUACCUUUAAAAGUUUUCUGUGUAUAUUCUGGAAUCUAGUGCAGUACAGGUAUUGACCAUGACCAUCCUUCAAAGCUAUGCAAAGCAAUAUGGAUUUGUCUCCAUCAAACAGGGGGAGAUUGUUGAAGAUGGAUGAAGUUUCUUCUCUGUCAAGUCUUAGUGUGUGUUUGACGAAGAAAAUAGCUAGUUUGCUUUGAAGGUUGUAAUGUGUAAUUAGGUUAUCUUGUAUAUAGGUUAGAGUGAGUUUAAGGUUGCCUUUUGCUUCAUGACCUACCCUAUAUGCCUAAUCAAGGUGGUAAGAUCAAGCACUAGAAGUCAUUCAAUGUUUUCCAAAAAUCUCUUUAAAGUUUCCUAAAAAAAUCAAGUUACUGCACAAAAAUAAAUCUGUUUAUUUGUAAAAAAAUAGAUUUAUUUUUGAAGUGUAGAAAUGUUUUUCAAAAUUCUGUUAAAGCACCAAAGUUUGUUUAAGCAAUUAUUUCAGUUAAGAUGAGCUAGCAGUCCUUCAGAAAAACAAUUUGUUUGUUUGGGAUUUAACCUGUUCUUUUUAUAACAGCUUUUCAACUGUUUUUUGAAAAGUUGUUAGAAACUGAUUUCUAUAUAAAGAAAGGAAUUUCUCACAUGAAAGUUUGUUGUGCAAUCACGGUUUAAAAAGAGAUCAAACGUUUUUUUUUUUUUGUGAGAAGAAGGAUUUGAAUGAGUUUUUGAAAGGUUUUCAAAAAGAACUUCAAGAGUGCUUGUUCUUAGUGUGCCUUGAUCUUGGUGAAGGUGCUAGUGCAAUUGUGCUGCAAUUUGGGCUAUUGGUUUUUAGUUUUUGCAUCUUCUUUCAGGCGUUAUCCUUCCUUAAUUCAUUCUUGUAUAAAGGUGUUUGUGUAAGUCACUUCUUGAUAUAUGGUUUCUUGAAGUGCAAGUAGUACUGAAAUAGAGCUUUUCAGCUUUGGUUACCUAAUUCUUGUAGGGUUCAAGAACUGCAAGGUGUUGUAUUUGUUUGGAACUGUUUUUAGUGAAUUUCACCUUGGAGUGAGGUGAAACUGGAUGUAGCUCGUUAUGAGUGAACCAAUAUAGAUUGUGCUUGCAUCAUUCUUCUCAUCCCUACACUCUUUUCUGAUUAAUUGGAUAAUUUGUCCGAAAAUAAAUUUGUUCGUUUAAAAUUGAAUCUGUUAUUUCUGGGCUUGCUCAUAUUGUUCUAGAAAAUUCUUUUAAUUACAAAUAAAGCUUUCUGAAUCUGAGUGUUGAUUGAUUUAAGGACAAACAGUUUCUUUAUAAUAUCUUUGUUAAAGAUUCACUUUCUUUAAAAGAAUUGUAUAAAAAAGAACUUGUGCUUGAUCUAUUGGUGUAAAUCUUGUUUUUAUAGCUACUGUAAAAAUAACUCAUUUGUUAUGAAGAUUUCUCUGUUUGAUCACAAUACUAAUCAGAACAAGUUCAGGUUUUGUUAAAGUGUAUUGAAAAAUAAAUUUAUUCUUUUCAAGAUCAUUUUGUUCCUUUUCUUAUGAAAUACUGUAAAUCAGUUUGUGUUUGCAAAAAUUUUAUAACUUCAAUUCACCCCUCCCCUCUUGACUACAAGAUACUAAAAGAUCCAUUUUACAUCCUUUAAGUAAGAGUCUUUUAGAUAUUAUUAGAAUCUUGCACGUAGACAAAUGUUAUGCAUAAUAGCACAUUCCAAAAAGGUUUUGAUUUUGUAAAGCCAUUUCAAAAAAUUAGGAUCUUUGUUUUGAAUAUUUCUCAUAAAAUAGCUCUGAGGCCAAUUGUUAUAAAAAGAUGGAUGACUUGUUUUAACUCAAGAGAGAGUGAAUUGAGUUUCAAAUAUUUUUAAAAAAUAAUCCCCUUUCUUUAAGUUCUUUAAUGUAAUUAUUUUCAAACUAAAAAUAUGAAUGCAAUUAUAAUGGAAGCAAAAUUAGAAGAAAUUGGAUUGUAGCACAAAUAUAAUAUGAAAAGGAAAGAAAGAUUGCAUAAAGAAUUUUAUAUUGGUUCGUAUCAACAAGAUUGUGCAUCCAGUCUAAACAAUUGAACCUAAUAUUGUUGAUUCCACUAGUUUAAAAAAGUUAUUACAAACAAAUCAAACAGUUACAAGAGGAUAUCAACAACAGUCCUUGAUCCAAGAAGAUAUUAGCUUUAUAUCAGAUUUUAUAACCCAAUAGAAUAUAUAGUUUAUUAAUUCUUGAUCACCAAGAACCAGAACAAUGGAACAAUUCAGUUAAAAAAACAAAAGAAAACAGAAAAAGUUAUUACCACGCUUUCCAUGGUAGAAGCACACAAUGAUGAACACUUGUACACCCUUGAUUUUGAAAUCUUAAGAGCUAAAAAUGUAAAAGAAAUUUUAAAAAAGGUGAGAUUAUCUCACUUUAAAUUGUAAAUGUGUUAUAUGAAAUAUUUAUCAUGUACUCUAUUUAUAGUUUCAAAAUCAUAGUUUAAAAACUAAUACUAAGGUUUUUAAUCAAUUAUAUUAGCUUUUAAUCCUCUAUUCGAUUUAAAAAAAGUUAGAACUUUUUUCUGUUUUAAUUGGUUAAAAUACUUGUUCAUUGUUAAAAUAGAUGGAGAAGGAGAGGGUAAAGCUAUGAGUUUAAUGAAAAUCAUAAAAUAAAAUAAAAAAGAGGUUAUUUUUUUAGAAUAUUGCUUAAUGAACAUGUAUAUUUGCUUGUAAGAUAAGUGUUAUUAACAACAUUGUUUUAAGUGACCCGUGUAAUUAAUCGUGUAAAAAAUAUUUAUCGAUAUUUGUGUAUUAUUCUAAAAAAAUUUAUAUUAAUGGAUAUAUGACUAAUGAAGUACAUUUAUCUAUGUCUUUGUUAAAUAACUUCAUUUUGAGGUUGUUCAUGUCUUUUAGUUAUCUAUAGUUCCUUUACUUUAGAUUUACUUGGUUAAAAAUUUGAGUUUAUUUUCAUCAAGUAUACUUUUCUUUAUUCUAUUUUAUAUAAAAAAAAAUGCAUUCACAAUGAAUAUGAUACUCUAACAAAAUGUUACGACAUGUUAAACUAAAAAAAAAAAUAUAAGAGAAUUAGGUUAAAUUUAUGAAAAAAAAUAUAAAUAACAAAAAUUUCAAAAAGUCAAAUCUAUCUAUUCAUUAAGAAAGUUGUCCCUUAGUAACAUAAUACAUAUAUAAUAUGAAAGCUUUUAGAAAAAAAAAAAAACAAUCGAAUAUAAGAGUAAAGAAUUUCACCAUAAGAAAAUCAUACUUGGUAUUAAUAGCCAAAUUAGCUUUAAAAUCUAAAAUUUCACUUAUAGACUUCCAUUUACUCUAUAUACUUCUAAUCUUUCAAGAGACCUCAAAGUUGGUAUAAAAAGCUUGAGCCACAGUAGUGAGUGAUAUUCCAACCUUAAUGAAUUACAUACUUUCAAAUGUACAAAUUCAAUAGCAAUCAUAAUCAUGUAAAACUUAGCAAAAAUUACAUUAGCAAUAGUGUUAAAAAUAGUAAAACUACCAGUAAACCCAUAAGUUAAACCUCUAAAAUUACCAACACUAAUAGAAAAACCUCGACAACCCCUAGAGAAGUAACAAACUAGCUAUAGAAAGGAUUUCAAUUUUAUUAAUUUUUUCUAUUUUAUAUAACUAGCUUCUUGGUUGUCUCAUAAAUUUGAGUUUUUAUUUUGUAAUUAGAUUUGUUCCAUCAUUCUUGAAUCACUUCCAACUGCAAAGGUCGUCUUGUGGAACUGAGUCCCUUAGCUGUAGUGGAAGUUGUUGAGUGAAAUGGAUUAGGAGGCACACCAAGCUGGUUUUCCUCUUCAGUUUGUAGCAUGUGUAUCACAGAUUUUAUGGAUGGACGGUUCACUGGCUCCCACUGAAUGCACCAAAGCCCAAUAAUUGCUAGUUUCUUUGCAAUCUUAACAUCACCUUCAUCCUCAACAUGGAUAUGUACAUCUCCAUCAACCAGGUUAUGGAUCCAAUCCGGGUAUAGAACAUGUAAAUUUUGUGGAGAAGACAUGUCCACAUUCUUUCUCCCACCAACCAUUUCUAACAACAGCAUUCCAUAACUGUAAAUAUCGGACUUGUAAGACACGUUCCCAAAGUUUCUGGAGAAGACUUCAGGUGCAAUGUAUCCCAAAGUUCCUCUAGCAGCUGUCAUGGACACCAAACUGGGAUUCUUGGAACACAAUUUGGCUAAGCCAAAAUCAGAGAUUUUUGGAGUGAAGUUGUCAUCAAGUAACACGUUGUGAGGAUUUAUGUCAAAGUGAAUAAUGGGCUGAUUGCAACCUUGAUGAAGAUACUGAAUCCCUUUAGCUAUACCAAGAGCAACGUGUUGAAGCUUCUCCCAUCCAAGGAAAUGGUCCUUGUCUUCUGGUAGAAAUAUGAAGCUUUGUAAGGAACCAUUUGGAAAGAAAUUGUAGACAAGAGCACGAUGGAGUCCAUCUGCACAGAAGCCAAGCAAACGCACCACGUUGAUGUGAUGGAUUUUGCCCAUAAUUCCCACUUCAUUGAUGAACUCAUUCCCAUCUCCCUCCGUACUGUUGAGGAUCUUCACAGCCACCGGAAUCUCACUCGAAAGUUUUCCUCUGAACACAGCCCCAUGAGCUCCUUCUCCUAGCUUUUCUUUGAAGCCAUUGGUGAUUCUUUUAAGGUCAGCGUAGGUGAAUCUUGCAGGCUUUUCUGCCCUGUAGUCCUCUAAAAACUUGUCCACUCUUGCUUGGUCUUCUUGCUUUUUCCUAAAAUAAAGGAUGCUCUUGAAGACAGCAAUGACCAGCAGCCCCAAAAGGAUCGAACCUAGAAUAGCGGUUGGAGACUUCAUUAAAAAAAGAAAGAUUUAUGUACUUGUUUCAGUCUUUACACUUAAACAUUGCUUGUUUCAGUUUUUAUGCCAUUCAAUUGUUGACAUCCUAAAUUGUAGGAAUAAGAAGUUGAACUAUAUUAAAAAGCGAAUGUGUAAGAGUCUCUGAUAUUACCUGUAGAAGCAAAAAUAAAAGAUUUAGGAACGUGAAUUCUCUUCGGUUUGCAUUCAAAACAAUCGAUGUCUCCUGUGGUGUUGUUGGUCUUCCAUGUACAUCUCUUGCCUUUUCUUUUGCACUCAGCACAAUUUGGUUUGGACCAUCUCAAAACCAAUUCAUUCCAGUGGAUGGAUGCGAAUGGCGCAGUGAGGUCGAACAUCUUGGUACAGGAUGUUAGAUCCAAUUGGAGGACACUUUCAAAAGAAUUAGAAACGUAAAUCGGACAGGAGACCAUGUCUUGUGAAUCUGAGCCAUCCUCGUAGUAGUUUCUGAGGUGUGAAUGCUCAGCUGAAGUGCAGUUGAAGAAGCUCAAGUUAUUGUGUGGUCCAUCAUGUAGUGAUUCAAAUUGGUAAGUUCGAAUAAAAUUGAUGGUUUGGUUAAACUUGUUGGAAAAGCAGUUUUCGGGGUCCGUUAAGCCAAUUUCCUGAUAUCGGUAGUUUAUGUAAGUGACUAGGAGUUUCAUAGUAGGAAGCGCAAGCAUGGUCUUAUUAUUUUCAGUGCAAGAAAGACAAAUACGGGGAUAACCGCAUGGCUCGCCCAUCUCCUUGAUGAGUUGGAAGGGAAAUCUGAUAGGGGGUUGGUUCGGCCCACAAGACAAUUCCUCAUCGCACUCGUUAUGAGCGCUGCUGCCAGUUGUGAUAAGAAGAAGCAUUAGCAGUAGCAACAGCAAUAGCGUCAUCAGUGCAGAAUCAUGUUGGAAGAGCAACACACUUGCCAUUUUGAUUUCUUACGGGAAACAGCUGUUAGCCGAGCUUCCUCUUUUAGUUUAUGCUAACACUUCUAAUCUGUAUUUGUUUUUUACAUUUGCAAUCAGUUGCAGAAACCACAGAAAAGAUAAAAAAGAAGACCUACGAUUUCUCAUUAGUCAAAGUCUUUCUCAUAAAAAAUAAAAAUAAAAAUUAGUCAAAGUCUGUGUUUUAAAAUAGUUCUUUUAAUGGAAAAGUGAAGUCCCUUAAUUUGGUUCGUACGUCUCACAUUUAGUUGUAUGAAUGUCAAGGAAGGUGCAUAUUAAGUGCCAAGAAUUGACUCCCCCAAACAACAAUAAUGCACUGAGAGUCACUCUUGUAUGCAAGACCACCUUAUCAAAUUCUUGGAAAUUCACUGCCACAAAAGUCCUAUAUCUUCAAUGCGUAAUAAUGCAGAAAAGUCAAGCCAAAGACUAAUGAGCAGUGCAUGUGACAACAACAAAAGUUUGUUCCAAUAAACACAUAAAGACUACUAAGUACUCUCUCUUUACUUUCAAUUAAAAAAAAAAAACUAAUGAACUUAAAUAUAAGCAAAUUUCAACAUCGUAAACCAUACUUAUCUUUAAACAUAAGCGCAUCUUCCAAUAAAUAUAAUUGGGAUGAUUUAGUCAAAGUAUCGUUGAAAAUGAAACUAUUAAAUAAACUUCACUACUUAAAAGUGACAUUAAUGUGAAAAAAAAACUUUGUGGUCCAUUCAUAAAAAGUAGUUGUUAAAAUUUCGAAUUUAAAGAAAAAAAAUAGUCAAGAAACUCGAUACAUCGAAAAGGAGUGGGUAAAGAGCUAUGAGUAUGAGGAAAAUCAUAAAAGAAUAGAAGAAAAUGUUUUUCUUUUGACAAAAUUACUUAAUGGACUUGUAUUUUUUGCUUGUAAGAUAAGUGGGACAUUAAUAACAUUAUUUUAUGUGCCACGUGUAAUUAGUAGCGUAAAACAUAUUUGUUGAAUAAAGGUCUUUGAAUAGGAUAUUUUUGAAAUUUGUGACACCCAUGUUUAUAAUGAAGUACAUUUUGGUGUCUCUCUUUAUCAACUUUCCUUUUAGUUUAGUUUAAGUUUUUCUCUGUUAAUUCCUUUGAAUUUAAUUUUUGCAAACGUAUUCUCUUCGCAGAAUACUUAACGCAUAGCUACAACAUUCCACUGGUUCAUAUACACAACGUUUAGUAUUCAUCGUUUACGGAUAAAAUUAUUAAGGUAUCUAAUCUCAUUCGUUUCCUAAGCAUUCGUCUAUCUGUGUCAAUGUCGGUAUAGUAAAGUACUUUCGUCGUUGUUGUUUAAUUUUUCUUAAAAAAAAUUUUAUUUUAUAUAAAAUAAUAUGUCUUUAUUAUGAAUGUUAUAUUCCCACUUUGACAUAUCAACACUCGUCAAUCGUUUAGAGCAUAUUAAACCAAGAAAAGAGUAAUUACAAAUAUAUUUAUCUUCUUCACAAUAUAUAUAUAUAUAUAUAUAUAUAUAUUCUUUAUACAAGUUGAGAAGAAAAGAGCAUCAUUACAAAUAUUUUUGGAAGUUGUUCUAAGAAUUUGAAUCCUUAAUUUUCUUAGUCUUACGCACUGAAUGCUUUUCAUGAAACGUUAAAAACAUGUGUCUUCUUUACGCAAAUUCUCUUACGCACUAUAUGACUUAUCAAGUGUAGGCAGAUUGUGUUACGUAUAUGACCUAAGAUAACUUGCUAUUCACAGGACUUUCAUUUCAUCUUUUCAGAAAUUUUUUUUGCGUGAAGUAGCUUUAUGCAUGUUUCUUAAGAGAUUUUGAGCAAGAUACACUUGAGAGAAAUGAAGAAACAAACAUUAUUUGCACACAAAAUAAGCCUUUAUAAGUCUUCAAUAUGUACUAUGAGUGCUUAGGCUUCAUAUAACCUUUAUUUGUUCAAAUAAAAACUUAUAAGACGAAAUAAUGGAGGACCACCCUAGCUAAAGCCACUUUUUCUUUCAACUAAGAGCAAAGGAUCAUUUUGGAAGAAUACAAGAAGUAAUAUAUGUCUUAGUCUUGUAUAAAUUUGUAAAUAAUAUAAUAAUAUUUUCUGGCUUUGUAUUUCUAAGCCAAUUAUAGAAUAAGAAUAUCUUUCUCUCCAAAAAAGACUAGGCAUCUUCAAUCACUCCUUGUCAUGUGUCAACACAAGAGUGGAGAGUUCCUUAUGUUUAGGAUUGUAACAUGACAAGCUAGGAAUGAAAAGUAUUUUGAGAACUCAGUAGUCUCUUUAGGAGUCUCCUUAGGUUAUAAAUAAGAGACUCCUCUCUUGUAAUUUUCAGAAUUGAUUGAUAUAUGAAAUUUUGUUUCUAGAAUUCUCAGUGCAUUCUAUCAAAGUCUCUCUCUAUAAUGUUUCUUGCAUUAUUAGAAACUCAAGGAAGUUGGUCCAACCUCUUCCUUGGUCCUUUCACCUUGUAAACUCACACCUAAACCCAUAAACUUGCAUAGUUAUUCGAUGUUUCUUCCACAAAUCUACAAGUCUUUCGUUGCCUUCUAUCAAUUACAUCCAAUACUCAAGAAGAAUUGCAUCACAAAGUGUACAAUCAAAGUGUUUGUGUUGUUUGAUCAGAUGAAGCAAGCAUAGCUGCAUCUCUUCGAUGAGACAAAACACAUAACAAAAAAUGUUUGUGAAUGAAAGAACUUAUACUGAUAAACUAUGUUUUAUACUUUGUUGUUUAAGUACAAAAUGAAAAACUCAUUUAAAGGGUUGGUUGAACUUUGAGGUAUCAAAUAUUUAUUAUAAUCAUUAUGCUAUUUUUUUUUAUCGAGUUAUUUCUUUAUUUGGUAUAGUUCACAAUUCAACAAUGAAAUAACUAAUAUUUUAUUACAUAAUUUAUUACACAUAACUAAUAUUUUAUUACACAGAAUAAAAGUUGUAAAAAAAUAGAUGUAACCCUUAAAAUUGAGAAAUAAAAAAUUCUAAAAACAAAGAAAACUUAAAUCUAAUUAAUCAACUAGCUUUAAAAAAAUGACUUGACUAAAUAAAGAAAAUAUAUCAAAUUUUAAAAUAAUAAAAAUGAUAAAUUUUUGAAUAAAAAUAUUAAUGACUUUUUAAAAGUUUAAAAUUAUAAUUAUAUAAAAUAUACUUUUACUGUAAAUAUAUAAAUUUUCUUUUACUGGUUUAUACACUGUUCGUAUGUCUGUGAAAUUUGCCAAUAAAUAUCCGCUUUAAUUCUUUUGGCAGUAAAAGUUUAAACAGAAAAAAGUUUGGGCGUGAGCAUGUGGAGAGAGAGAGCUUUGAUAGUCUUGCUGUUUCUGCUCCACCUAAUUCAUGGAGAAAAUGCUUGCCCCCCUUCUUCCUGUGGAAAAAUCAGUAACAUAUCUCAUCCAUUCCGAUUGAAAGAAGACCCAAAAGGGUGUGGUCUCAGCAGCUAUGAGCUAUCUUGUGAAAACAAUAUAGCGCUCUUCUCUUUGUACUCGGGAACAUUUCAUGUGCAGGCCAUCAACUACAAUAAUUUCACAAUCCGAGUGGUGGAUCCUGGACUUCAACAAACAAACUGCUCUUCUCUUCCUCGCUAUUUCUUCUCUCCAUCCAAUUUCACUCAUUCUGAUUACCAGCCGUAUCUCCUCCCGUAUAAUCCCCCCAAGGAUGAUAAAUAAAGUAAAAAUUAUUAAACAAUUUCUGUAAUUAUCUAUUAUAAUAAUAAAAAUAGUAAUGAUAUAAUAUUUAAUAAUCAAUAAAGGAUUCUCUUGUAUUCAACUUUUUUAUAUAUUUUAUUAUAAUUUUUCCUUGAUGUUUUGGAGGCUGUUCUUUAUUAUUAAUUAUCAUAAUUACUAAAUUUUUAAUUCUCUAAGUUUUGAAUUUACGUUUAUGUAAUUGAUUUUGGUAUCCCCUGAUAUAAUAACGUUUUGAUAACUAUUUCUUCGUGAUUAAGGUUAAGUGUUUUGCAUAGUUAUUGUAAACUUGCGAUCUUUAGCAAGAUUUAAAGAUUUACUAAAUUCUUUUUCACAUGCCAAUGCUUAUUGUAUUUAUUGCUAUAGUCAUAGUGAUCUCAUUCUUUUGAUUCAAAACUUCACAAUUUAAAACAAUAAUAUUUGUCCACUCUAUAAUUUGUAAAUCUUUCUAAUUAUUUUUUUUAUGUUAAAAGAAAUUGAUAUUUUUUCUUUCAUUAAUCACUGACUAAAGGUAAAUUGUAUUUAUCUCCAUUAUCUUCUUUAAUAAAUACCAAUAUUUAUUCAAGUAACUCCAUAUAUAAAUAAGAGAUAUUUACUGAUUAUCACUAAAACCGUCUUUUAUAUAUUAAAAAAAACUAUAUUUUAACAUCUUAGAUUUCAGUUCCAUAUUAUCGAUAAAACAUCACUUCAUUAAUUAAAUAUUUUUAAUAAAAGUUAAUUUAUCAUAUGCAUGAACUCAUGUAUAUAUAACAUUUUUUGGUUUCAAAAAGAAAUAAAAGCAUUUAGAUAGAUUAUGAACAUAACUUUUGUGAAAUUAUGUAAUAUGUAAAUAGUCUUGCUUGUUGCGUUGUGCUUGAUACUCUGUUUCUUUUUGUAUGAAUAGCUGGGUGGCUGUACUAUCCUUAGGGGUGGCAAUGCGGGCUGGCCCGCCCCGCAUAGGUCCGACCCGCACUUGGCUCGCAAAAAGCGGGUCGGGUUGGCCCGCCCCGCAUAAAAUUUGCGGGCUGAUUUUUCUAACCCGCCCCGCAUAAGGGUUGGCCCGCGGGCCUGCAGGUCAGCCCGCAUAAGAAAUAUUAAUUAAAAAAAUAAUUUUUUAAAUACAAAUUUUGAAUUUUUUUUAUUUAGAUAUAUUAGGUAAAUGGUUUCAUAAUAUUAAUUUCAUGAAACAUGCGUAAUAACAUGUUAUUAAAAAUUUCGGAAUGUAAAAUAUGAGACUACAUGAAGAAAAUAUAGGGGUGUAGAAAAAAAAUUAUACAUUUUAAAGUUAUGCGGGUUAUGCGGGCCAACCCGCCCCGCACUUGGCCCGCGCGGGCUGCGGGUUAUGCGGGGCGGGCCUAAGCGGGCCAGCGGGUUGAAAUAAGCAACCCGCCCCGCGUUUUUUGCAGCGGGCCGCGGGCCGGCCCGCACGGCCCGCCCCACUUUGUCACCCCUAACUAUCCUAUUGGUAAGAAUUCUACUUCUUUGGAUUACCUAUGUUUGAAUUGGUAAGUAAUACCAAAAACUAAUUUUGAUUCUACAUAAUUAUCAUGUUACCUAUUAUUCAUUUUUUCAUGUUUAAAUAUAGUUUUAAUCUCUUAAUUUAAAUUUGAUUUUCUUUUUAUUGUUCUUUCAAAUUAAAAUUGUUUCCCCUUCCAUUUUAAAAUGAUUUUUGUUUUCGAACGGGUUUGGGACCUAGAGAACGAUUGUUCCUGCCUCCACCUUCGGUCAGUCGCAGAUGCUCCAAACUUUGCUACGCGUUCCUCCUCUCGAUCGUCUGACUCCACAGGUGGGGAUGGUACCUGCAGAAGGCACUCUAACGCUCAAGUCAAUUGGGGUGUUAGCACUCGGGUGUCAGAGUACUGUAGAUAAUGACGUACCUUUCUCCUUGAAAUAAGUGCUAUUUAUAGUACCUUAAUGGGCCUUCCUGGUGGACCGGAUUAGGAAAUAGGUUCCUGUUUAGGGUUGCAUUAAACAACCCUUAACUAUGGAUUAACCCUGUUGACUUAGUCAACCUUUGGCUUAUUGCCAAAGGUCGGUCGGCCACGUUGCGUCAUGUGACCUUCUCCCCAUGGUUAGGUGGUUAGUUGGUCCGAGUGCUGACCGACUCAUUGAGUCAUCUGGUCGUAUCGGUACACUUGCUCCCCAGGCUCGAGAGCUGGUACAGCCGAAGAGUCUGAGAGUUGGGGUUCAGUCGGUGGCGUAAUGAUGGGUGAAGUGACUGGAAGCGGCGCCUGAACAGAUGAUGUGACAUGCAUUUAUGAGGGGUUUUUUUGGGCGCCAAACGAUGUGGGUCGUUGGAUCAGGAAGAUUCAACGAUUGAGAUCGUUUGGGUUUCCAAGACACCUUUGGGCUAUAAAUAUGGGUUGGGAACAGUGGCUUCUCACGCGUUUUGAUAUUCAUUGAGCUCCGAUACCCGAACGGAUUCGAGCGAUCUUUGCUGCAUUCCUUGUUCGUAUUAAGGUUAGUCAUGUCUACCCGCUCGCGUCCUACUUCUUCUUCUUCUCUUGCUCGGUCUCCUCUUCCUAAACCCCCCUCCUGUACGUCUUCUUCGUCUUCUUCUUCUUCCACUUCCUCCUCCAACAACGUUAUCUCGGUCGGGGCGAUUCAAACUGUUGCCCCACAAUUGGAGGAAGUGAGGGGUGACGAUGUUCGUAACGCAUCGUAUUAGUCGAGCUCGUCUGAGCGACUACGCCCUCAUGGGGGCCCUUCUUGGGUCGAUCCCAAGGUAUGUGAGAUUGCGUUCGUGUUUCAUACUAACGCCUCAAUGGCUGAGUUUAUGGAUAAGGUUCCAGUUUUGAAGGCUUCGGCCGAGGACUCUUUAUUGUCGUUCGACCCUUGUUCGUUGGACGACCGUGUGUACAGGGGACGGUCAUCUACCGAACCCCCUUUCUUCUUUAUGUACAAUUGUUUGUUUUCAGAUUUGCACGUGUCCCUUCCUUUUGACGCGUUCACGGUGAACGUCCUUUGGGCGCUUAACGUGACGUCAAGUCAGCUACACCCUAAUACGUGGGCAUCCAUGCAGGCUUUCCACGUGGUAUGCCAGACGUUUGGAGUGUGUCCUCUUUCUUCUUUCUUUCUACAUUUCUAUGCUUCUCACCCUUCUGAGCUGGUCGGCUGGCAUUCUUUGGUCAGUCGGGCAGGUAGUGUGUUGUUCAAGGCUCUCUCGACCCAAGCUUGUUGAGGGAUGAUCGCCAGAAGGACAUUAUAUGAGGUAUUGGUGUCGAUAACCAAAUACCUUAUCCUUAGGGUUUUGCUGGCUUUGUCAAGGUCGAAGGUGGUGUACAGCUCGAUGUACCCCUUCGUUCCAACUCGAUCUCCAAAGAAACUGACCACGUGGUCGUUAUAAGGCAUCAUUUCCUCCAUUGAAAUCCUCAUGGAUUUGAAGGUCUUCCAGUAGAGAAUGUCGACCGAGCUUCCCUGAUCUACCAGGGUCUUCAUGAUGGUGAAGUUAUCGAUGUCGACCGAUAUCACCAUUGGAUCAUCUUGGGAGGGGUCUACCCCUUUGAAGUCAUCGUCUGUAAACGUUAUGGGUGGCAUCCUUGGCCGAAUGGCCACGAAGUUCACUUGAUGGACAACACACAGGUGCUUCUUCCGCGCACUAUUAGAGCUCCCUCCUGCGGCAAACCCACCGGCGAUGGUGUUUAUAAACUUCCAGCCUCUUCUACGGUCGUCUUUGGGAGGAUCGUCCCUCCUCCCUAGGCGUUCUCGGCAACGAUCGUCCUCCCUGGAUCCUGAAGGGGUGCAGUCUCUCUUUCUUGGUGCUUCCUCCCUACAAGGGGAACGCCUGGUGGUGCGACCGCCUUACACAAAGCGAUGCAAGUGCCCUGCUUGAAUUAACUCUUAUAUUUUGUCUUUCAAGGCCUGGCACUCCUCGGUCAAAUGACCGGUAUUCUUAUGAUACCGACACUUCUUGCUACGGUUGACAUUAUCAGGGUUCAGAGCCCUUCUAGGUGGCGGGAUUAGCUUCGCGCUAAGGGCUUCCUGCAAUAUCUUCCCUUGGUCAGUGUUUAGGGGUGUGUAUCGUGAGAACCGAGGCCCACGAUUGUCUCGCUUGGGAUCGCCUCGUCCGACCUGGACCUUCCUUGCCGUUCCUUUUCGUCCUUCUUCUCGUCACUCGCCUCUGCCCGAGCCUGGUUCCUGAACUCGCGCAGCUCUUCCAACUGCAUGAACAUGGAGGCUCGUCGCCUAAGUUCGUCCAAGCUUGUCGCGGGUUGCAUGCACAAGCUAUCUACGAAAGGACCCGGUCGGAGGGUCGUCAACAUAUGAUGCAUUGCCACCUCAGGAAUGAGGUUUCAGAUGCUCAUAGCGACCUUUCCGAACCGGUCGAUGAACUUUCUGAUGGACUCUCCCUUCUCCUGGCGGAUGCUGACCAGGUCAAUGGAUGUUAGAUGAUGGGGUCAGCUCGUCGUGAAAUGGACGUUGAACUUGGCCACCAGUGUUUCAAAGCAAUCUACUGAUUUUGGAGGGAGCUUUGUGAACCAGCUUAAAGUUCCUCCCUUCAAAGAGGUUGGGAAGACUCGGCAUAGGAAUGCGUCAUCGAUCGUAUACAGACUCAUAUGAGUGGUACACGUAUCCAUGUGCUCAUCGAGAUCAGUCGUGCCAUCAUACCGAUCGCCAUUGAAUCCCUUCCACUUGUCUGGUAGGGGAGUCUCAACAACAAAGUCAGUGAAAGGGUGACGACGGUUGGUCGCAGCAAUUCCGGUUGUGUUCAUUAUCUUGUUGGGAUGGGAUUCACCAUCCAUCUCUAAGGUGAGGUUCUUGUUCUUCGGUUCCCUCUCGGUCUGAGGGCCGACAGCUGUGGCAAAGGACCUGCCAACUUGGUUGGUAGGGACAAGGGACGGUCCUCCUUUUACCAACUUCUUCAUUUCUUGGUUCUCCUUUUGGAGGUUCUUGAUCUCUUCUUCGUUCUUCUUGGUUGCCUCUUCAUGGGCCUUCUUCAUCUCUGUGAGUUCCUUCUGGAGAGCCAACAUCAUUGCUUCCUGGUCUGCUUCGGACAUCCUCUCGCUAGUCAUACUGCAGGUUGAUACCAUCUACUGCUGCUUCUUCGCACUAUUCUCUUAGCCCCACGGUGGGCGCCAGUUGUUCUCGAACGGGUUUGGGACAUAGAGAAUGAUUGCUUCUGCCUCCACCUUCGGUCGGUCGCUGAUGCUCCAAACUUUGCUACGCCUUCCUCAUCUCGAUCGUCUGACUCCACAGGUGGGGAUGGUACCUGCAGAAGGCACUCCAACAUUCAAGUCAGUUGGGGUGUUAGCACUCGGGUUUCAGAGUACUGUAGAUAAUGACGUACCUUUUUCCUUGAAAUGCGUGCUAUUUAUAUUACCUUAAUGGGUCAUCCUUGGUGGGUCAGAUUAGGAAAUAGGUUUUUUGUUUAGGGUUGCAUUAAACAACCCUUAACUAUGGAUUAACCCUGCUGACUUAGUUAACAUUUGGCUUAUUGUCAAAGGUCGGUUGGCCACGUUGCGUCAUGUGACCUUCUCACCAUGGUUAGGUGGUUAGUUGGUCUGAGUGUUGGCCGACUCAAUAAGUCGUCCGGUCGUAUCUGUUUAAGCAUUCAAAUACUAAUUAAGAACAAAAGAUAAGGACCCAUGAAAAUGAAUAUUAGAGUUUAUAUAUAUAUAUAUAUAUUUCAUUAGCAAAAAAUAAUAAAUAGAUAAGAAUAUAGCAUUUAAGGGAUGCUUUAAAUAGUAUAAAAAAAGUAUUGGCAUAAUUUUUUUACUUUACAAAAUAAGCAAACCUAAAAGGUUUGUGAUAGGAAAAAUGACAGUCAACAUCUCUUAAUUCAAGUUCUCAUAGUCCUCUCAAUGAACCCAUAACCGUUAUGGUAGGUUAAUACCGCAUCAGGUUUGUAGUUUUAGCUAUAGACCAUUCUCAGAAUCUAUACUACAUGAGUAUAACUCCAGCACUAUAAUCUUUUUACAUCCCUAAUCUAGUAAUUGUAUACCAUGUGGUGCUUAGGCCUACUCCAUUUCUUCUCAUACCCUUGAUAGAGUUGUAAUUAUUGUUGCUCAAAGCUAUAUCGAGCCUCCACUGCAACAGAGAAGUAAUUUACUUUUUUCUGCACAUUCCCUGCACAUGUACACACACCUUUCCAAUCUUUGGUUACUAAUCAUGACAUAGAGUUAUUCUCAGAUAUUAUUACAUGAAAAAAAACAUUCAUCAUCCUCAAAGAGGUGACUCUAACUACACUAAAACUUUUACCAAUUUGCCUUAGGAUAUUCAUUACAAUUAUGCAAAACAACAAACAUAUAUUCAAAACAAGAACCAUCACAUAUUUUCAACAAUUCAACUACUUCUACCUUCAUAUUCCAGUAGUUUUUUUUUUUACAUUUUUUACAACUUGGAACUAAACAACUUUUGAAAGAUAAAUGACAUAGCCAUUUUCCCUUUUGUGUCCCUUCACUCUGCAUCAACAACAAACAUAGUCAGAAACGAGGCCACCCUACACUUUCUAGCCCUUCCAUGCAUUUUGGUUACAACUUAUAGCGACAAAUUCUACAAUAUUUUCACACCCCUCUACCACUUCAGUUUAUUCACUAGUCAUAGGUUUUUUAUACAUAACACCCAAUUUGAAUAAGAGAAAUUAGUUGUAGGCACCUUAUGGGUCAGUCACACCCACACAUUCAGUUGUGCCAUACAAAAUAUUUCAUGUAUAUCUACCUUCCCUUCCUUAAAUAUAAUCUUGUUUUGAUGGUUCCAAAUUGUCCACACAAUAGUUAUCCAUACUCCAUUCCAUAUUAUAUUUUAUCUAUCAUUUCAAUUCAUAUAGUUUAAAGUUUUGGAAAUGUUCCAUUAUGUCACAAUUGUGUACGGAUUGGAUCCCAACCAAUUUAUCACACAUAACCCAGACAACAUGAGAUUUAUUACAAUGUAGUAGAAUAUGAUUAAGUGACCCAUCUUCCAUUUGACAAAAAAACACAUACAAGAUUAGGGAAUCGUAUCCCCCUAUGUUCCAACAACACUUUUGUUUGUAUUCUACCCCUAAGCAUCCCCCAAGCCACAUGUUGUGCAGUUGGGCUUACAUUUGUUCUUCAUAAAACUAUAUAACCAGUAUGUUCUUGUAGUACAUAGUUUUUCUGGAUCUAAGAGUAAGCUGAUCUUACUGUGAAAACUCCUUGGUCACCACACCUCCAAUUCCAUGUGUCAUGUUCUUCUCUUUUGAUGUUUAUCCCCCCUAUGAUGUUCAAUAACUCUACUUCUAGUUCCGUUUCCCACCCAAAUCUACUCCGUCUCCAUUUGAGAUUCCACACCCAUACCUGGUCAAUCCAACUACCUAGUUAACAUCUUGUUUUCUCCUUAUCAUCUGAGAUCACACAUAAUCUAAGAAUUUUUUUUGAGUGGUACAAUUGUACACCAUGUGUCCUCUCAAAAUUUUCCUAUAUUUACAAUCCUAAUUUUCCAUUCUAUAUUUUUUUUAAACCAACUACUUUGCAUAUUUUCACCACACACUUUUCUCAAGUCUCUCCACCACACUGACUCCACUCUAGUUUCUUCUCCAAUAUCUAAACCCCUUUACAACCCAUAUUUCAACUUAAUUACUUUUAACCACAACCCCUGACUUUCCAUUCCCAAUCUCCCUUUCCAUUUUGCUAAGAGUGCUUCAUUAAAACUCACAAUGUCCUUAAUUCCAAGUCCACCUAGGGCCUUUUCCUUACACAGAUCAUCCCAUUUAAUCCCAUUUAAUCCAAGUUUAUUUGUUUCUCUCAGAUCCCCAGCCCCACAAGAACUUCCUCUGUAGUUUUUUUUUAUUUCAUUACUGACCGACUUUGGCACCUUAAACAUAGAUAAGAAAAACAGGGGCACCAAAGAAAAAACAAAAUUAAUCAAACAGACUCUUCCAGCAAAGGACAUAAUCCUACCCUUCCAAGUAGUGAGCUUAUUCCUAAUACCUACUAUUACUUUUUCCCAAAAUUUUGUCUUUCUAGGAUUCAUGUCCACAAUCAUGCCUAAGUAUUUAAAGGGGAUAAACAUUUGUUCACAAUUUAAGAUAGAUGAAAAGUUUUUCAGUACAUCAGUCCCAAUGCCAUAACACCUAUGCUACUUUUAUGAAAGUGUACUUCAACCUUGAAGCUAGCUCAAACCCUAUCAAAAUACUCUUUAUAGAUACGAUAUUUUGUACAUUCUCCUUAUAGAAAAAGAAAGUAUCAUCAUCAAGCUGAAGUAAUUCAACCUCGACUACCCCCCUCUUCCACCUUAAUACCCUGAUAUAAGUUUUUCUCCAUUGCCUUUCUAACAAUACCUGUUAACCCUUAAACUAUAAUAAUAAAAAAGGAGCGAGGCCAUAGGGUCCCCUUGUCGUCUUAGGUCUCUACCAAGUUUUAGUUCUUUUUUCGGACUUCCAUUUACUAAUAUAGAUAUAGUACCAAAUUCUAUACAUGUUCUUAUCCAUCCAAUCCACUUACUAUAGAACCCUAAUCUUCCUAUCAUAUAGUACAAGAACUCCCAAUUAUAGUCAUAUAUCUUUUCAAAGUCUGCUUUAACUAUAAUCCCUGUUUUUCUUAAACUCUUUUCAUCUCUUCUAUAGUCUCAUUAGCAAUGACUAUGUUGUCCAACAUCCUUCAACCUUGUAUAAAAGCUACUUGUGUGCUAUCUAUUAUUUUAGGUACAACUUUUUUCAACUUAUUUGCUAACACCUUAGAGAUGAUCUUAUAUAUGCUUCCCACAAGAUAGAUAUGUCUAAAGUCAUUCAACUCCAUUGGGUCUUCUUUCUUAGGUACCAAGGUCACAAAAGAUGCAUUACAACCCCUAGGAAUAUACCCAUAUGUAUAUAAAUAUUUAAUAUCCUUAAUACAUCUUUUUUUAAUUAUAUCCCAAUUAUUCUUAAUGAAGCUAAAAUUGAAACCAUCUGGCCCAAACUUUUUAUACUUCUACAGUGACUCACAACCUCUUUGACUUCAACCUCUUCUAUUUCCCUAGUCAAAUCCUCAUUGUCAUGUUCUGUUAAGGAUAAGAAAUCCACAUUUCCUAGCUUUACACUCAAAUUAGGCCACAUAACCUAUCUUGGAAGAACUCUUUUACCACUCCUUUAUUUGUUCCUGGUUCCUCACACCAGUUUCCUAACACAUGGAUGCCUUUUAACUCAUUCCUUUUAUCUACCUUAUUCUAGAAUGAAAAUCCUUUGAGUUCAUAUCACCUUAAUCAAGCCAUUUAACUCUCGCUUUUUGUUUAAGUAUCACGUUCUCCCUUUCACAAAGUUGUCUAUACUCACUUAAUAGGCCUAUCCUCUCUAAUCCACUUUCUUCAUCUAGUUCAUUUAUUUCAUCCAGAUUAUAUAAAUCUUCAAUCCUUUUUAUUAGUUUAUUUUUCUUAGUAGCCGUGAGACUAAAAACCUCUAUGUUCCAUUUUUUUAUAUCCAGUUUCCGUUUCUAGAAUCUUUCCUUUAGAGCUACAAUACAAUUUUCUGAAACAUCAUAUUCACUCCACUUAGCUUUAACUUGGGAUUUAAAACUUGAGUCAUUUUGAAUGGCUUAGGUCCACAAUUCUUUAUAGAGUACUUUAAUAGUAUUGGACAGUGAUAUGAAACAAGACUAUGUAGAACAUAUUGAGAACACCCUAGCCACUAGUCUAGUCACUAGUCAAGCCACUCAAAGGAUACCAAUGCCUUCUCUAACCUUACUUUUAGCUUUUGCAUUGGACCUAUACCAUGUAUACUUCCUAUCAACCAGUGGCACGUCUAGGAAUUCCAUAUUAUGUAGAAACUCAUUAAACUUUCUAACCUCUCUAUUUCUUCCACCUCCUUUGUUUAGGCCUUUCCUAUCUGGAUAAAUAUUGCAAAAGAUUUUCUUAAUAUGUUCAAAGUAUAUUUGCUCUAUUUUUUAAGGAUUUUUGCAGAAGAAUUUUAAUUCCAGGAUUUUUAGAGAAUAUUCGUGCAGAAAUUUGCAUUCAAUUCCUUUUCUGAGAUAUUUGUUGAUCUAAUUCUCUAAUUCUUCACUUCAAAUUUUGUUUCCUAUUUUAAUCCAAAAGAAGCAACUGGUUAAAAAUAAAAAAAAUAAUAAUUAAGGCCCAAAUAAACUUAAUUAGAAGAAUAUUAAUUAAAACAAUAGAUUUAUUUAUUAUUACAUUCCAAUAAUUUAUGAUUAAAGUUAAUAAGUGUGAAUAAAACUACGUUCAUCAGAUACCAUCAUCGCUAAGAUCAUUUGGUGAGAUCUUCUUAACGAUUUUGUUUGACACAAUUCCUCGAUAUCUUCUGAUGCAGUUCAUUAGAUCAUCUUAUCUAUUCCAGUAGAAUCGUCUAAUGUGUAUUUUCUUCUUUGAAUCCUUCAUUUGGACCACAUUCCUUCUUUAGAUCAUCUUGCUCAUCUUCUCUAAUAUUUUUUCUAAUCUUAGACACACAUGGGUGAAUUUUGUUAUGUCAUAACACACCUUAUAGUGUUUGUUAUCUCAAAACAUAUAGACUCUCAUAUGAGAUCAUCUAUUGGGUGAUAAAUCGUCUAGUAACUUAAACAUGAGUAACUAGAGUCACAUAAUUAAUAACAUAGACAAGAUUCAAAGCGAGUUUAGGAAUAUAGUAAACAUGUAAAAGGGACAAAGUAAAUAUGAAGACAAAUUCAACUUAUUAAUGGCGUUAAGGAACCAUCAACAAUCAUAACAAAUGUAGGUGAGACCAAAUUUGAGUACACAAAAGACUUAGGAUCAUAUAAAGAAUGAGACAUGCUUGGUAAAUUAGAGGAAGACAAAUAUUUUAAGGAUCAUAGCUUGUGACAAAAUUGUAAGAAACUUUUAAAAACGUUUUACCGUAUAAAAUACACUAAUAGAAUGCAUAUAGUCCUCAUUUUCACAUAUCUUAUUUAAUUACACAAUAAAAUAAUUACGCAUGAUAGAACACAACAUAUGUUAAGACAAAAAAGAGGUGGUGUAAAAAGGGCACACACAAGAUUGGAUUGCAAAUAGGAUCUUGAACUCCACUAAAAUUGCAUCUACAAUAGCUCCUAAUAUGAAAGGGGUAUUGAAAAAUAUCACAUUGCUUGUCGAACCAGGUAAACCUACUAAUAGGUGAUUACCAAAUGAGUUAUAAGCUCUAUACCAUAUUAGAUUUUAACUUAAAACCAAUCGUCAUUUAGUGGAUUUGUCCAAUACAUAUGUAGACCACACUUCCAAACUUGAUGGAGGCGAUCUAUAGAUAUCUGAGCUGAAACAAAAGGGAAUGAAUUAUUUGUGAUAUUAGUCUUUAUAGAAAGUCUAAAAAUACAAAACAUAAUAAAUAUAUAAAUAUGAUAAUAAUAUAAAAUUUAUCAAACCCUUAAUUAAUAUAUAUAUAUAUAUAAUAUUAUCUCAACAAGUAAAGAAAAUUAGGGUAAAUAGGCGUAUCAGAUAGGUAGGCCCGUGAUGUUUCUGAAUCGUGACUCAAAAUUUACAUAUCAUGGGAGAAUGAGAAAAAAGUGGGAGAGAAGUAAAGCAAAAGAAAAAUGGAAAACAACUCAAAUUUUUAAAAUCCCAAACCAGAAGAUCAUGUCGAAACAAGAAACCCAAAAAUUCAUCAUCAACCAAUUAACUCUUCAUCUUUAUUUCCUAUUUUAAGAUAUUGUGUUGAGAAGUGUGAUAAUUUUAACCAAAGAUUAUGAGAAAUUAAAAUAAUAAGAAAAGAGAAGAUGAUACCAAAAAUUUUAGGUGAAAAAUCCUUUAAAUAUAGGUACAAAACUACCGGUAAGAGAGCUAAAAAUUUUCACUAUAAUUGUACUCGGGGUGCGUACAAUGAAUUCCUCGAUAAAUAGCUCCAAAAUAAAUUCUCUAUAUAUGGGUUAAAAACUUACACCCCAAGAGAAGAAAUGGACCGCAUAUGGAAGGAGGGAAGAAGUUGUAUGUUGUUGUUUCUAUAUAUAGUGGUUCUAGGAGACAACAAUAAUAAAAACAAUUAAUUGAGAAUAGUAAGUAACCUCCAUUUGAUAACAAUUAAUUUAAUUGUUAAUUGUGAAUAUGAGUAACCUCUCUAUUUCAAUUAAUUCUGAACGGUAAGUAACAUUCUAAUUAUGCCAAUAAAACGACAAAGAUGAGUGAUAUCCCACCCCUAUAAAUUCAAAAUUCGAAAUUCAUGUUUUUUUUUUCUAGUUUAAAAUGUCGAAAACUGCCUUUAAAAUUUAGAUUUAGACAGUUAAAAAUCGCAGUAAAUUUUGGAAAGCCAAAAUUACCUUCCGCGUCUAUGAAGAAGGAUAAAAUAACAUUUUGUAAAUUAUGUAAACAAAGAUUUCACAAUAAGAAAGAACAUAAUGGAAAAAACGAGUAAAACACCAAAACGUUCCCUAGAUUUUAAAUUACUUUUUAUUUUGACCCUUAUAUAAAAGAAUAUUUUAAUUUAAUUUUGUCAUGUUAUUUAUUUACUCAACGAUUUUUUUAUUUUUAUUUUUUGCGGGACUAUUGGUAAUAUCAUAUACGGUGAGUUUCUCUAUUUCUAUAUAUAUUUUUUAAGUAAAAAAGGAAAGAAUAGUUUACUUUGUCUCUAUCCCACGGUUUUAUUCCUCUAUUUCUAUAUGUUAUUGUACCUGAGUGGAGAGAUGGGGCUCAGGCACGGUCGGUUGACGUAGUAUAAUUGCUGACGUGUCGAUCUUCUUCUUCUGCGGUCGGUCGUUCCUUCUUGGUGUCUCCUUCGGUCGGGCGGGGGAGGGUACCUGCGAAGGCACUCCGACGCUCAAGUAAGUGAGAGAUUCUAAGUGUGGGUCUGAGAGUGGAUGAAAAAACGUACCUUUCUCUGGCUUGAGCACGGUAUUUAUAGGAUUGCCUAAUGGGCUUUCUAUCCCUUUGGGCUCAGGGUGGUUAUGGAUAGGUCUUGCUAGUCGUGAUCCGAAAUAUCCGGGGAAUAUAUCUUUAAACACGUAUUCCUUAUUCUUCGGAGGUGUAUCUUAACCACCUUAUCUUGUCACAUAGAUACCCUUACAUUUAUUAUGCACUCGGUCGGUCGGCCACGUGCGUUCGUCCGGUGCCUAUCGGUACACUUGCCCCCCAGGCUCGAGGUGAAUAAAAGCCGAAGAGUCGUAAUGAUUGUUGUGCUUUUCGAGGUGUCAGGCAUUAAAUGUAACGGAAUGACGAGACGUUUGCUUUUGGUCGGAAAGGACAGAGAUCGAUCCGACGGUGGAGAUCGAGUGACGGUUCGACUUCCGACUGGCUGAGGUCGUAGGAUGAACGUGCAUCUAACGGUUGAGGGAGGACGAGGAAUGCUAUAAAUAGCGUUCGCAUUUGGAUUAAUUUCGUGUUUUUGUGAAUUCGGCAUCCGAGUCGCUCCGAGUGCCGAGUCUAUAUUGCAAACGUGUGUUGCUGAACGAGUUGUAGUUGCCGACCGGCUGUUUGUUUCUGCACGUUGAGGUUAGUUAUGUCGUCUCAACUUUCCUCAAAUAGGAUAGUGAAUAUAGAGUUAUUUGGGAGUGAGGACUCUUCGUCCGGGAGUGGUGAGAGUACAAGUGGGUCGAGGGGUCCAACAUAUGACUGGGUGGACAUUAGUGUUAGAAACUUCCCUACUGUUUUUAGAAAACCGGAUGACCUAGAUAAGGUGAUAGCAAGGGCACCGGUUGUGCGGUCGGGUUUACCCUCGGAUAUUCUAAUAGCCGAAAUAUGUGGGUAUACCGACCGGGUUUAUCAUGGGAGGGAGAAUGCGCCGGUAGAUUUUUUCUAUGUGUAUACCACAUUAUUUACUGAUUUGAGAGUCACCCUGCCGUUCGACGAUUUCACUACGGACGUGCUUCGAAUCCUUAAUCUAGCUCCGACACAGCUUCAUCCGAAUUCAUGGGCAUGUUUACAAGCCUUCCGAAUGGUGUGUCAACUUUUUGAGUUGACACCCAUGGCGGAAGUGUUUUUGUUUUAUUAUAGUACAUAUUCGGUUAGUCCGGUAAGCUGGGUUUCCUUGGUGAGCCGCCCGGGGAGUGUGCGCUUCGCGGCGUUUACCACAUCUUACAAGAAUUUCAAGGAACGAUAUUUUAAGAUAUUCGUGGAGCCGGACGGGUGGGAGUUCUUUUACACUGCUGGUGGUGAAACUAGGUUUCCAUUUCAUUGGACGCAAAAUCCCGUUGCCUUUAACUCUAAUUCUCGUAUGGCCGUGUCGGUGCUGGGUAAGGCUGUAAUGGCGAUAUUCAACCAGCUCCCUCAUAAAUUGCCGACAAGGGAAAUAAUUGCAUUAUAUGCGUCGUCCGAUCCCUGGGCGGAUUUUAUUGGUAUGUGAUUGCAAAUUUGUUGUGAUUGAAUAACUCCAUUAAUAGUGUUUAGUUCUUGUGUGUUUUGCAGAAAUCAUGACACGGACGGACACAUCUCUGAACGAGUAUAUGAACAACUUGCGCCAACAGAGGAACUGACAGGCGGGUUCCCUUGAAACAAGUGGGGCGUUAGCCGCCCGACCGACUUCAGUGGUACCUGCUGCGGGGGCCAUGGCUGCGGCCGCAGCGAAGAAAAGGGGUCGACCCCCUAAGGGAAAUCAAGAAGGCCGACCGGGGCCUUCUCGAACGGUUGCUGAAUCGUCUUUGCUAACGGUCGGCCUGGAGAUAGCGGCCCAUUUACAAACGGAGCUGACGGCCGAGGAGAACGAAGUGCUCUCCACCAUCCCUACGACAAAAUUGAUGGUGGAGACAUUGGAAUUGCAAAGUCGGGCACUCGUGGCGAGCCGAACGGUGAUCGAAGAACUCGAGAGAGUUACGACCGUCGUCGUUCCUCGUUUGAAGAAAGAAAUAACUGAAGCCAACCAAGCUGCGAAGGCAUCGGCCGAGAUGGUCGAAAAGUUGAAGGCCCAAGUGGAGGAGAAGCAGGCGGCCGUGAAAGCGCAAGAGGGACUGACGAAGAACCUCGAAGAGCAACUAAAGGAAGGUGCCGACUGGGAGGAGGCGUUGAAGGCGGAAGUGGCUAAGUGCCAAGACUUCAUGCUUCGCAUUAGCGAAGAGUAUUUUCGGUUAGGUAUCGGACAAGCGGCCUGUCUGCAUGGGGCACCACUGGAGGACGACCGGUACGACAUAGAAAAAAUCGUAGUUGAUGGAAAGCUGGUGCCGGCCAACCUUGAUGAUAACUUGGAUGAGGAGGCCGAGGCGGAGACCCCUGGCCCACAGCCGGACGCCUCAUUUGAAGAGCUAAUGAACAAUGUGCCAUAAAAAAUUGUUGGACCCGACAUGUGGGCAAUAUACACUUGCAUUUAAAUAUUUAUAAUUUCAGCUAGUAUGUAUAUUGCGUAGGCCGAACGAGUAUGUAUAAUUUCUAAACAUGGUGUGAUUUAUCUAAGUAAUGACUUGUGGUUUCGGAUGCCAAACGAGGCAUAGAUAAUUGCGAUUGUUUUAAUAAUAAGAUAAUUCAUAUGCCGAACGAGGCAUACAUAAUUCUGAUUACAUUGAAGUAAUUUGAUAAUUUGGAUGCCGAACGAGGCAUAUAUAAUUCUGAUUAUGUUAGUAAUAAUUUGAUAAUUCGGAUGCCGAACGAGGCAUAUAUAAUUCUGAUUACGUUAGUAAAAUUUGAUAAUUUGGAUGCCGAACGAGGCAUAAUUAAUUCUGAUUACGUUAGUAAUAAUUUGGUAAUUCGGAUGCCGAACAAGGCAUAUUAUGCUGAUUGCGUUAGUAAUAAUUUGAUAAUUCGGAUGCCGAACGAGGCAUAGAUUGAGAGUAAUAAAAGAAAUAGGAGAGACGUGGAGUGUGGUUUAUAGUUCCUCGUUAAAACCUUCUCGGUCGUAAACCCUCCUUAGGGAAAAAUCGACCGAGCGAGGAAAGAGUACACUUUUAUUAAUUCAACUAUAAUAAAAUUUGAGAUGCGUGGCAUUCCACGUUCUCGGUAUGUCCUUUCCAGAUAAAUGUUCUAAAUAAUAGGCUCCACCGGCUGCUGUGUCUGCUAUGCGGAAUGGUCCUUCCCAAUUGCUAGAAAACUUGCCGCCUUCCUUCCGGGCGUCACCUCGCAUUUGCCAUACUAAGUCACCUUUGUGGAAUUGUCUUGGUUUAACUUUGGAGUUGUAUCGUCUGGCUGCCCGGAUUUUGCAUGCUUCUUCUCUAAUUCUACACUUGUCCCGAAGUUCGUUGAUGAGAUCGAGGCCGACCGAGAGACUUUCCUUGUUCAGAUCAAGAUCAAGGGUUUGUCGGCGGAGAGAAGGUUCUCCAAUUUCAACGGGGAUCAUGGCUUCUGUGCCGUACGUUAGGUUGUACGACGUUUCUUGUGUAGUCGUCUGAGGGGUACAACGAUAUGCCCAUAAGACUUCUAAGAGUUCUUCAGUCCAGUUACCCUUGGCUGGUCCGAGACGUUUCUUCAGUUCGUUCAGGAUGACCUUGUUUGCAGCUUCUGCUUGUCCGUUUGUUUGCGGGUGUUCGACUGAACUGGCGAUGUGUUUGAUGUGGAGCUUCUCGUAAAAUUCAGCUAACGUCCGGUCGGUAAAUUGCCGACCGUUAUCGGUGAUGAUGAUCUGUGGAAGGCCGAAGCGGCAAACAAUAUUUUUCCAUACGAAAUUUUGGACAUUGCGAGCGGUGAUUGCAGUCAGAGGCUCGGCUUCAAUCCACUUGGUAAAGUAAUCAAUGCCGACCAGUAAGAAUUUACAUUGGUCUUUACCGGGGGCAAAAGGGCCAAUGAUGUCCAUACCCCAUUGUACGAACGACCAGGGUGAUAGCAUAAAAUGAAGUUCCUCAGGUUUUUGAUGGGACAAAGUACCAAAUUUUUGACAUUUAAGGCAUUUCUGGACGAAAUCGGUACAGUCGCCUUGGACGGUUGGCCAAUAGUAUCCGGCUCGGACUACUUUGGCGGCCAUUGUUCGCGCGCCCGAGUGAGUACCACAAAUACCUUCGUGCAAUUCCCGGACGACAUAGGAAGCUUGAUCAGGUGUCAAACAUUUAAGGAGUGGUCGGGUAUAACCGCGAUGAUAAAGAUCGUCGCCUAUCAGGAUGAACCGGGCAGUUUUCUGCUUCAUGGCUUUCUCAGACCUGGGACUACAUGUACCAUUAAGCAGAUAUUCUUUGAUUGGGGUGAUCCAGGUGGAUUCCGAGUCGAUCAUUAGACAUUCUUGUAGGUCGAUGCUCGGCCGUGCAAGCGUGACAUGGAUUACCGACUGGUGUACUCCUUUUCUUUUUGUGGUUGCUAGCCGGGAUAAGGCAUCCGCGCGAGUGUUGUGAUCGCGUCGGACGUGUUGCAAGGAUAUUUCCGAGAAUGUAUCCAUCGAUUGUUUGACGAAGUGGUAGUAUUGCUGCAGCAAGCUUUCCCGUACUUCGUACUCAUCAUUGAGCUGUCCGAUGACGAGUCUGGAAUCACUUUUACAAAUUAAUCUAGUGAUUUCCAAUUCUUGGGCUAAGUGUAAGCCGGCUAUAAGGGCCUCGUACUCAGCUUGAUUGUUGGAAGUCUUGAAUUCAAAUUUCAACGCUUGUUCGAUGACAAUCUCGCCGGGUCCUUCCAACACGACUCCAGCGCCGCAUGACCGUUCAUUGGAGGAGCCGUCGACGUGCAGAAUCCAAGAUGGAAGUUCGUCCUUGGCCAAGAAAGGGGUGAGUUCGGCUGCGAAGUCGGCAAGGGCUUGCGACUUGAUGGCCCAUCGUGGCUGGUACUGUAUGUGGAAUUCUGAUAACUCUAUCGCCCAGCUAAUCAUUCGUCCGGCUAAGUCUGGUUUGGCCAGAAUUUUCAUGAUAGGGUAGUUCGUCCGAACAAUAAUGCGAUGGUUUUAAAAAUACAUACGCAUUCGUCGGGCUGUAAUGAUUAGAGCCAUGGCCACCUUUUCAAUCGUCUGGUAUCGAACCUCGGCGCCAUGGAGGGCGCGACUGACGAAAUAAACUGGACGUUCUUCGGAAUUAAUCUCUUGGACCAAGACCGAACUAACAGCUUCGUUUGAAACGGCUAGGUAAACUAUAAUCGGCUCUCGGGCGUCCGGUUUCUGGAUGACUGGUGGGGAGGAUAAAAAAGUUUUUAAUUGAAGGAAGAUUUCUUCACAUUCAGUCGUCCAAUCGAAGCGAGAUGCUUUUUUCAAUAAUCGGGCUAUGGGUCUCGUCUUUUCUGCGAGUUUAGGGACAAACUUGGACAGAGCGGUGAGCCGGCCAAUGAGUCUCUGAAUCUCUUUAAUGAAACUGGGGCUCCUCAUCUCGGAAAUGGCUUGACAUUUCUCUGGAUUAGCUUCUAUGCCGCGGUGAGUAAGCAUAAAACCUAAGAACUUUCCUCCCUCGACGCCGAACGCGCAUUUGUCAGGAUUGAGUCGCAUUCGGUGCUGACGAAGGGCUUGAAAAACUUCUUUUAGGUCGGCGAUAUGUUGUUUACAUGAGUCAGAUUUGACGACAAUAUCAUCAACGUAGACUUCGACGUUCCGACCGAUCAUGUCGUGGAACACAUGAUCCAUUAACCUUUGAUAAGUGGUCCCCGCAUUUUUGAGUCCGAAGGGCAUAACUUCAUAGUAGAAAUUGUCGGAGUCGGUCAUGAAGGCCGUCUUCUUUCAGUCGGCCGGGUACAUUUGGAUUUGAUUGUAACCUGAGUAGGCAUCAAGGAAGCUGAGGAUGUGAUGUCCAGCAGCCCCAUCAACUAGACGAUCAAUGGUAGGUAGAGGAUAAGAGUCUUUUGGGCAUGCUUUAUUGAGGUCCGUGUAGUCAACGCACAUUCGCCAUUUUCCGUUUGCUUUCUUUACCAUAACUACGUUGGCUAGCCAUGUGGUGUAAUGGGCUUUCCGAAUGAAUCCAGUUUGUAACAAUUUAUCAGCUUCGUCUCGUGCGGCUUGGCGUCGUUCCUCGCCUAAAUGUCUUUUCUUUGGAGCUAUUGGCCUAGCUUCUUUAUACAGUGAUAAUCGGUGAGUGAUGAUCUGUGGGUCUACGCCAGGCAUGUCAGCGGCCGUCCAUGCGAACAGAUCAGCAUUUUUAACAAGUGUCGUGCCGAUGGCCAUUCGGUGGUCCGGCUUUAGUGAGGUGCCAAUAUGUGUAGCGUGGGGUCAAUCACCGCAUUCGAGGUAUUGUCCGAUUUGAGGUCGGUGCUCCGUCACGGUUUUGUCCUUAAAAGGCGCCUCAAAGGGUGAAGGGAGGAAGAAGUAUAUAAACUGCCCUUGGCCUCGAUUCCUGAGUGAUGUGGGACUGUAUUGGCAUACGGGAACAAGCCCCCCAGUCGAGGUCUAAGGGGAGUGGAUCCCCCUAGUUGAGGGGCGAAGGAGCCUCUCGGGCCCCACGGUGGGCGCCAUUGUUCCGACCUCAAGUCGUAGGACAGCAUCACUAGGGUCAAUCACCGCAUUCGAGGUAUUGUCCGAUUUGGAGGUCGGUGCUCCGUCACGGUUUUGUCCUUAAAAGGCGCCUCGAAGGGUGAAGGGAGGAAGGAGUAUAUAAACUGCCAUUGGCCACGAUUCCUGAGCGAUGUGGGACUGUAUUGGCAUACGGGAACAGUUAUAAAUAAUAAGUAUGAUGGAAUAAGUUUCUUUAUAAAUAUAUUUAUUUGAAUAAAAAUAUAAAUAAAUUAUUUUAAAGUUAAAACUAAUUCAUAUGUAAACUAAUUUUUGGACAUUCUUUUAUAUAACAUUUUUAAAUUUAAAUUUAUAAUUUAUAAAUGAUUUUUAUUUCUUUUUUAAUUUUCUUCUAUAAAAAUAUUUUAAAAAAGUUGUCCAAAUAUAACUAAUAUUAUUUAUACAUGCUAUUCUUUGGGAAAAUAGUUCUAUAAAAUUUCACAUUAUUAUUAAUUUUUUAUUGAUGAAAUUUAUCACUUUGAUUCUUGGACUCUUCCAAUAUACUUUUAAUAAUAACAAUUUGUGUACAGGUGCUAAAAGAAUACUUUAUUUUGCCAUUCUCAUUAAGUAUUCAUAUGUUAAAAGCUUUCUUUAGGAAAACUCAUAUCCACAUUUUUAUUACAUUAAAAUAAUAUACUUUUAAAAAUAAAUAAUUUUGUAAACAAGAUAUUGAAAAAUAAUAAAAUAAUAAAUUUAAAAUGUAUAUAAGUUUUAAAAAAAAUAAUAUUAAAAUAACAUAUAUAGUGGCUAUCGAUGCACUAUAUAUAGGGCAUAGAUUUUUUAACCACCUUAGUGUUUUCUUUUUAAUCGAUAAUUUUAUUCUUUAGUUGAAAGAGGAUAUAUAUUUUUUGUAAUGGUCUAACUUUCUCACUUAAAAUAGCAUAAACAAACAUCUUCUUUUAAUUUUUAAAAUAAUUAUUUUAGAAUAAUAUCUUUUCUAAACUAUUUUUUUUAAAUAAAAAAUAUGGAUACAUUCGCGCGCAUGUACUUUUACCGCUUUAAAUUAAAAAAGUUAUUUACUUAUUUUUUUAAUAGAGAUAAAUUAUUUAAUUAAUUAAUUUAUGAAAUAAAUAAAUAAAGUAUAUAUAUAUAUAUAUAUAUAUAUAUAUUAUAAAACUCAUGUUAUUUAUUUAUUAAAAGGUAAAAUUAUCUAAUUAUAGAUAACGUCUUAUCAAAAUUGUUAAUUUUUUUUAUAAUGAUAUAGAUUAUUUUUAAUAGAAAUAAGUUGUUUAAUUACUCAUUUUAUUAAAUAAAACAAUAUGUUUUAUUUAUUAAAGUAUAUAAUAUUUUAAUUAAAAUAUAACAUAAAAAUAAUUAAUUGUAUGUACUAUUUAUGCAAUAGUGAUGAUAGUGAUAAUGAUAAUAAUAAUAAAUAUAAAUAUAAAUAAAUUUAAAAGCUUAAAAAUUUAUUAUUAUUAUUAUGUUCAUAAAAAAAGUUUACAAGUGAUUUUUUUAUUUCAAGGAAGGUGUGAAUUUCUUUUUUUCUUUCUUCGUUACUAUAUGAUAUAUGAUGAUAUUUGCGAUAUUAAUUCACAGGAUUGAAUUUAGUAAUAUACGGACGAAAGGGAAAUUCUGAACGUUACACUACUGCAUUUGGCUCAGUAUCAAUUUCGUUGGGACAAUAUGUUAUGCCAUACUUCAUAGUUAGAUAUGUUGUAGGCACGAUAUUGCUAAUUGCUCUUUUGAUAUACAAGUGUAGAAGAAGACAUUCGUUAGAAUAUCAAAAUAUUGAAAGUUAUUUACAGCAAAAUAGUUUGAUGCCUAUUCGGUACACAUAUAAGAAAAUUGAAAAGAUGGCUAAAGGNNNNNNNNNNNNNNNNNNNNNNNNNNNNNNNNNNNNNNNNNNNNNNNNNNNNNNNNNNNNNNNNNNNNNNNNNNNNNNNNNNNNNNNNNNNNNNNNNNNNAUCUUGUGUCGCUAUAAAAGUGUUACAAAAAUCAAAAGGUAAUAGACAAGACUUUAUCAAUGAAGUUGCAACAAUUGGAAGAAUACAUCAUCAAAAUGUAGUGCACUUAAUUGGAUAUUGUGCCGAAGGCUCAAAACUAGCCCUUGUUUAUGAGUUCAUGCCCAAUGGAUCUCUUGAUAAAUUUAUAUUUUCUAGAGAAGGAAAUCUACAUUUAACCUAUGACACAAUAUAUAAUAUAGCAAUUGGAGUAGCGUGUGGGAUUUCGUAUUUACACCAUGGUUGUGAGAUGCAAAUUUUGCAUUUUGACAUCAAACCCCACAACAUCCUACUUGAUGAAAAAUUUACCCCAAAAAUCUCUGACUUUGGAUUGGCAAAACUAUAUCCAACAGACAAAAGUGUUGUAACUAUGACAGCAGCAAGAGGGACCAUUGGAUACAUGGCUUUGGAAUUGUUUUAUACAAAUAUAGGAAGAAUAUCAGAUAAGUUUGAUGUUUAUAGUUUUGGAAUGCUUCUCAUGGAGAUAGCAGGCAAGAGAAAAAACUUAAACCCUCAUGCAAAGCGAUCAAGCCAACUUUACUUUCCCUUUUGGAUUUAUGAUCAACUUGACAAAGAGAAAGAUAUAAAAAUGGAAGAUGUUGCAGAGGAUGAGAAGAAAAUUGCAAAAAAGAUGAUUAUAGUUUCACUUUGGUGUAUACAAUUAAAACCAAAUGAUCGUCCUACCAUUAAUAAGGUAGUCGAAAUGCUUGAAGGAGACAUUGAGAACCUUAAAAUUCCUCCAAAACCUUCUCUGUAUCCACAUGAAACAUUGGAAAAAAUUUGCUCUGACCAAACAACAUUGUGUGAGUUCAUUAGUUCUUCAAGCUAUUCCAUGGAGAUUGUCACUAAUGCUUCACUAGAUGAAAGUAUUAGAUAAUGCAUAUUAGUUGUUUAUUUGCCUCCAACUUAUUGUCUUGAACAUUGCUCAUCUAUAAUAUUUACAUUGUGUUAUUUCCUAUUGCAAGUUUACAAAGAAUGGUAACCAAAUUUAAAAAUGUGUUCAAAGUUUUUCGAUAUGUUCAUUAUACUAUGGUAUUUGUAGCAACCUAGUUUUUUAAUAGUAAUUUAAAACUUGAUCAAACAUAAUAACAAGUGAGAAACUAAAUUUGGUUAAAAAUAACAAAUUAAAUAGGUAUAUUUCCUGGUAAAGUGUCUCUUAUAAAUUCUACAAUAAUUGAGAUUGUGUUGUAAGCUAUAGAUAAUAGUAAAGGAUUGUGUGUGAAAGUAAUCAAACAAUCAAGGAAUCAUCAAAUCAGACAUAAUUGGUUAGUUUAUGCUUUAAAGGGGUGCAAAAUGUUUUUUAAGCACAUGACUUCUCUACUGGCAGAGUCCUCCCCUUACUGGCUAAUCAAUACUUAUGUGGGUAGGUAGAGUAUGUAUGGUGAGAGUUGGUGGCAAAAUACGUAUCACUGGUGGUCAUCUUUUUCUAAGCUGGAUCAAACGCCUUCUGUCAAUAAGCAUUGGUAUUUUGGUAUUAUUCUUCAUAAUAUGAUGAGGUGUUUUCUAAAGUGUAGGAGAAUAUGUAGUCCUGUAGACAGUCAGGGGAGCUCCUACUCACAGGCAUAUAAGUUGUCUUCUAUAGUGGAUUGGUGGUAGAAACAACAACCUCUAUUUUUUUCUUUUUUAUUCAUUGUGUGUUGGCUGGAUGGUUGCAGGUUUAUGCUCUAAAGGGGAGCCAACUUAUAAUGGUGUAGGUGAUGGUCAUUCUGUAUCUAAGGCAGGUUUUCUUAAGGAAUCCAAUGUGAACCAAAGUAGUAGGGGUGUUGUCAGUCUUGCGUAGAUACCCUUAAGCACCCUAUGCAUUGUUUACUGGAAGUAGCUUUUUCUUUGGUUUGGUGGUCUUGGUGCUUGAGUUGAUCAAAGUGGCCUAAAAAAGGAAUGGCUUGUGAUCUUGGAUGCCCUCGUGCCUUGUCCAAAACUUCAAUCUCUUACCUUUAUGUAGAAGUUAGUGGUCCCCUUUUUGGAUGUUACAGACCUAACCUUAGUGCAAUAAGGAUGGCAAUUGAACUUGAAGCAAUCUUGGAGCUUUGUAAAGAAAGCAACAACAUUUAUACUAGCAAACUACACUUCUGGGAAGUAUCUUCUCUUUUUUGUGUGGUGAUAAUCUUUUGAGCAUCUACUGGUUUAUGCACGGAAAAGUAUUUGAUAUAAGAAUUUAAAAGAGCUAAGCACACGGUCAUCCUUUGUUUAGCUGUCAAAAGGGUCCUGUACAAGAUUUUUCUGCAUAAUUUAGCAGCAACCUUAACAACUCAAACUCUAUUUUGCCUAUGUUUUUUGUUGUUUUGGUUGCCUCUGACUUUGAUGCGGAAAUUGGCUCUUCUAUAAGGGUUGUGACACACCAAAAGUGUCCCUCUUAAUUUAAUUUUAUUUUUUGCCGAUAAUGUUAACAUAUUUAGUUUUUUUUUAUUUUAAGUUAUUGGGCUUGUUUUUGACCCGACUUUCCUUUUCUAUUUCAAUUAGGCCUUAGUCUUUUUCUUAUAUAUAGACCAUUUAUUUUACUUUCCAAUAAACAAGUGAAUAAGAGUUUCUUUUACAUUUUAUUUUCUCUACUUUUCUCUCUUUUACGCUUAAGCCACUGUUUCUUUUUCAUUUGCAAUUAGGAGAACCCAAGGGAUUCUCAUCUCCAUUGACAGUAAUAUGGUAUCAGAGCUCUUCAUUUGGAGAACUCUGUUGCGUUUCUCUCUUAUCUUUAUUUCCCUCAUUGUUGUUCUUAGUUAUCUUUUCUGUUCUCUUUCAAAAUCUUGAUUGAUUUUUGUUGUCUUGCAGGCGAUGUAUGAUAAAAACCCCACACCGGCUUCCUAUUCGAGUGAAAACCCUACACCGACGCUCCUUUUGGAAUAGCCGAUGAACAACUUCCUAUACCUACACCCAAGCGAGAAUCCUGCAACCUUUUUAGUGUCUCCUGUUCUUGAUUCAACAAACUACCAUUCGUGGAGUCGAUCCUUCAUCACUGCUUUUAGUGCCAAGAACAAGGUGGAAUUCAUUCUUGGUUCACACCCAUCCCACAAAAGGAUGACCCCACAUUCUCGUCUUGGUUACGCUGUAACAACAUGGCUGUCUCCUGGUUAGUACAUUCUGUUUCAAUCCCUAUUAGGAAAAAUAUUGUUUGGAUGGACAUAGCCUUUGAUAUCUGGAAUGAUUUAAAAGUUAGAUAUUCACAAAGGGAUUUAUCUCGCAUUUCUGAUUUGCAACUUGGGAGUAUUUCUUUAAGUCAGGGGAUAUGUUUGUCACUGAGUAUUUUACAAAAUUAGGUGUUAUCUAGGAUGAAUUAGAGAAUUUUAGACCUAAUCUUGUGUGCACAUGCCCAGUGAAAUGUUCUUGUUUUGUCAUUUCUAUUAUAAAUCAGAGAAAGUGUGAGGAUUGUGCUAUGCAAUUUUUAAGAGGAUUAAAUUAUCAUUAUAGAAAUAUUUUUUCUCAUGUUUUGCUUAUGGAUCCCAUUCCUGCCAUAUCCAAAAAAAAUUAUUUGGUUGUCCAACUAGAGAGACAAUUAUCCGCUAUUGUUCAUGCCCCUAGUCUUCAUAGCUUUAACAGUAGUCGCACUAGUACAUGUACUUUAUGUGGUAAAUAUGAUUAUACUGAGGUUGUUUGUUUUCGCAGAGUGGGAUUUCCUUCUGGUGUUGUUAAAACCUCAAAGUUUUAUUCUACGGGAAAAGUUUACACUUUUUGUAAUCGUCUUGGCCAUUGCAUUAUACAGGACAAUCUCACCCAAGAGAGGAUUGGUACAGUUAAAGUCAUUGUUGGCUUGUACUUUGUCACUACCUUGCCUGCUUCUAGCCAUUCUAAACCACAUAGUUUUGCUCCUUUUAUUAACUAUAAUAUCACAAACAAAACAUUGUGGCACUAUAGACAGUGGCACCCUCCACUUGAAAGAUUACAUGUCUUAAGUAAACAAUACCUUUUUAUUACUGUUGAUAAUCAUCAUGUAUGUGACACUUGUAGUUGUGCAAAACAGAGAAAAUUUCCUUUCGCUUUCAGUAAUAUUGCUACCUCUUGUAUUUUUGAUAUUGUACACUUUGAUAUCUGGGGACCAUGUUCCAUAAUUUCUAAUUACUUGUCUUAUAAUUCCUUAUCUUCUAAUUUUAAAAAUAUUAUUUCUUCUAUCAAUUCUCAUCCUGAACCUCGGUCCUAUACUGAAGCCUCCAAGCAUGUUUCUUGGCAAGCUGCCAUGCAAGCUAAGCUUCAAGCUCUUGCUGCUAACAAUACUUGGCAGCUUACCCCUCUUCCUUUAGGAAAAAAAGCUAUUGGUUGUAAAUGGGUAUAUAAAAUCAAAUACCAUUUUGAUGGCACUAUUGAGCGUCUCAAAGCUAGAUUUGUUGCCAAAGGGUUUACCCAACUUGAAGGACUCGAUUUCUUAGACACUCUUGCACCUGUUCCUAAACUCACUACCCUCCGCCUUCUCCUUGUUGUUGUCACUACCAAAAAUAGGGCUUUAAAACAACUUGAUGUCAAUAAUGCCUUUCUUCAUGGUGAUCUCCAUGAAGAGGUAUACAUGAGCCCCCCCACCUGGCCUCUCUCUUCCUUCUCCACAGCAUGUCUGCAAGCUUCAACGGUCUUUGUAUGGCCUUCGUCAGGCUAGUCGUCAAUGGUAUCACAAGCUCUACUUUUCUUUUAUAAAAUAAUUACUCUAUUUUUGUUGUUGAUCACUCUUUUUUUCUUAAAUAUAAUAACGAUAAACUCACUAUUAUUCUUUAUGUUGAUGACUUGGUCUUAACUGGUGAUGACACGGAGGAAAUCAAUACAAUCAUUGCAUCUCUUCACUGUUACUUCAAGAUAAAAAAUUUAGGCCAUCUGAUGGCAUUCCUAUGAGCUCUUCUUGGAUUUUUAGUGGUGAUGGUGCGGAAGCUUAAUGGAGGAAAGUGGGCAAGGCCUUCCUAGGAAGUUUGGGUGCCUUGAAGGUGCAUGAGAGGUAGGGAAGAUUGGAGUGGUUCGGCCAUCUCCAUUUGGGGGUGAAAGGUUGAAGACUAAACACCUAAUUCUAGAGAGAAUUGGCAAGGGAGUAAUUUGAAUGGCACUUGGGCAGCAUUACUUUACUCAAAAUAGUCUUACAAAAUGAGAGCCAAGCACCUCCUUAUAUAGGAUUGGAGGGCUGGAAUUUGAAGAGCCAAAUACAAAUGAAAUGCUAGCAAAAUUACAUGCAAGUGUGAGCACAUGGCACAUGGGAGCACAUGGGAUGGUGGCUCCAAAAUUCAGCACAUGUGAGGUAGGUUCUAGAAUUCUUCCAUGUGCUAGGAGUUCUAGAACUUUAUGCUCCACUUAGGCUAAUUGUGGGCUGGACCUAAGUUUAAUUAGGAGUAGGAAACUCUAAUUAAACUUAGGUUAGCAUUUUAGGUACCACUUUGCAUAUUUCAACACAUUUACAAAAAUAUUUAAACCAUGCUACUUUGACUAGAAAAAUAAGAAAAACUAUGACACACUAGAGUCUAUGACAUGUAAAAUGUGUCCUCUUGACCCCUCUUUGACUAUGACUCUAGUGGUUGCCUCAAGGUAGCAUUUUGGUGGCCUCUCAAAGGGUUGGUGUUGGGGCCUCUUCCAUCAUCCCCUCCCUCUUGAAAAGGAUUUGUCCUCAAAUCCAAUGCUUUUUCUUCAACUAGGUGAUGAAUGUGGCUGGAUGGUGUCCAUCAUCUCCUCCUUCUUGAGAAGAUCUAUCCUCAGAUCUACAGACUUGAUCUCGAAUAGCAGCCUCUUGCCCUCUUGCUUCGUCAAGGUGUGUCCUCUCAGAUCAAAUGUCCACCUAUGGGAAUCUUGAAACAAAGCAAAGGAGUUAGUGUGAGCAUUUGGAGAAAACGUAAUUGUGUGAAGUUGCCAUUUGUGUUUUUCUUUUGGUUUUGGAAACUUUGUACAAUAUUUCUCUUUUGUUUGUUGUAUAUGUUCUCUAAUCAUCUUAUGCAUUUUAAAAUGUUCAUUUGUGGUUACUUUCUCUUUAGGCAUAAAUCCUAUAGGAGAUGGUAACAACUUAAAAGGAGAAAAAUGAUUUAGCCCACAUAUAACCUCAAAAGUAGAAAUAUAAGUAGUUUUGUGAACUACUUUAUGGUAUGUAGGAUCAUCUCUAGAGUUGUGUUUGUCCUUUAUGAUUAGUCUAGGCAUAGUAGAAAGAGCUAGAUUUUCAAAUGUAUUUUGACCAUGCUUUUGAGGAUGAUAAGAAUUUAAAGUGUACAACUUUGUUGCAAGUUUUCCCAAGAGAAUCCUCAAAUCAUGGUUUGCGAAAUUUGGAGCUCUAUCCAACACUAUGCUUGAGGAUAAACCAUGAAGAUGUAUCACUUCUCUAGAGAAGAGUUUAUCCAAAUCCAUGAAAAUGGAUUCAAAACCUUUUGUUGUCCUAGGAAGCUCUAAUUUGAAAUUUGUGUCUUCCCAAGGAUCAUUUACAAAAGGUGAAGGAGUAUAGAGUUCCUGAGACAUUGCCUUAGGUGUAGUUUUAAAACAAGAAUUGUACCUAAGGUAAUGUCUUUGAACCUCUUUUCUCAUGGGUGACAAAAGUUUUCCUUUUAAAAGCUCUAGAGUUUUAUCAACUCUAGUUUGACCCAUGAGUUCUCCUUCAUGAAGAAUUUUUCUCUUAUGUGUAAAGAUAGUCUCGUUGUUACAACCAUUGUUUAUAUGAAUUUGUACACUUGGCAAUGGUUGUCUCAAUAAGACAUGACAAGUUUCUUUAGGCACUACCUCACAUAAUUUGUUUUUGUAGAUGCUUAUAGAUAACUUGUCAUUCACUUGGUGAUAUCCUAGCACAUAUGAAAAAUAAUCUACUUCAUCUUUAUCUAUGCAAGCUUCUUUUAAAGACUCUUCUUUUUUUACUAUGCUUGCAAGUGUUCCUUUACAAGAGGUAAGGCUAGGUUGUUCAACAAGAAGCAUAUUUUCAAAGGUACUUUUAAUUUUCUUGUCUUGUUGAAUGACCUUGUGGGAAGGAACACUCUUCUCCCACGCCUUUUGUUUCUCAAGGGUUUUCUCAUGCUUUUCUAUUUUUACAUUUUCAUCACUCUCACUAGCUUCUUUUUCUUGGCUACCAUUCUCAUCUUUGUCCCUUAAGAUCAUAGAUCUUUCAUUGAAACAUUGAGAUGCUAAUUGAUUAUUGCCAAGGUAUUCUAAACAUGGAAUUUCUCUAGCUUGAGUGUGAGAGAUAUGCUUGGUUAGGUUUUGGGAAAGUUCUAGAGAUGUUUCUUCCCCUCUAUGGAACUCAUCCUUGUCAUAAGAUACAUAGUAUGAACUUUGUUUUCGACUUGAUUGUUUUCUCAAAAUUUGUUUUUCAACUUUAAUGCUAAGUUGAAUCAAGUCAUUUAAAUCUUUAUAAGGUAAAAGUUCAACUUUGUUUCUUAUCUCAAGUUUGAGACCAUUUAGAAACCUAGCUAUGGUGGUAUGGUUGUCUUCGUUAAUCCUUGCCCUCUCAAUAUAUGAUAUCAUCUUUUGCCAAUAUUCUUCUACACUCAUAUUUUUUUGAUGAAGUCCUUGGAGCUUGUCCAUCAACUUCCUAUUGUAAUGUGAGGGAAUAUGGCGACAUCUCAAGGCUCCCCUAAGGUCAUUCCAAGAUGUAAUGGAAGGGUCCUUGUGGAGAUGUCUCUCUCUUUUUAGGGCAUUCCACCAAUACAUAGCAUCACAUUGAAAACUUAGGGUAGCUAAGGGUACUUUCUUUUCUGCACUCACAUGGUUGUAAGCAAAAAUUGCUCUACCCUCAUCUCCCAAUAUAGAUAUGUUUCUACAUCUUCUUUUCCAUAGAAAUGAGGUAGCUCUACCUUAACCUCCUUUAGGUUUUCUUGUCUCUCUUUUCUAGCUCUCCUAGGGGGUGGUUGAUGAUAUUCAUUUAUCCCAAGACUUUCUUCCCCAAAAGAUUCAUAAAUUUGAGAGCUAUAUGCGUGAGAAUGUAAUUUUUUUGAAAUUUGAGACUUCUCAUCCUUUGCUUUAGUCAAUACAUUAAGUUUAGUCUCAUUCUCCAAUUGUCUAUAUGAAAUUAAUUGCACAACUUGUGAAACUUCUUUCAAAAGAGUUUUUAAAGAUUUUACUUCACUUUCAAUAGACUUUGCAGAAUGAGAAGAAGAAGACAUGACUAGAGCUUUGUGUAUAGAAGUGUUUUACUUUGAGAAAAAUUAGGGAAGUUAAAGAAGGUAGUUUUCCAGGUAAGAGAGGUGAGUCACAAUGGACUACUUAAAUACCAAGUCUUGCCUUAGCCAAAAACUAUCCCUCUAAAUCUUCACACAAAUCUUUCUCUUGGUAAACCACUUAAACACAAUGAGGUUGAGAAAUCAAAAAUUUUAAUGCAAGAAACAAUGCAAACUAUCUAAUCAACCAAGCAAAAUUAACAAAUCUUAAACAAGACUAAAACAAUUAAUAAGCGUAGCUAAUUAAAGACAAAAAGAUGCAAUUAAAGCAAUUAACAAAAACUAAGCUAGAUAGUUUUAAGCUAGUCGGCCCUAGGUGAGGCUUCUUGGACACUUAGAGCCCUUGAAGACACACUCACCGUCUAAUUGCGUAAUUAAACAAGUAAUUAACAAGAGUUAAGUUGCAAAGAAAUUAGAUGAAACUCCCUUUGUUGAUUUUCUAUUUGCACUUCCUUUGUUGUCUCUUCUUUGUUGGGCCUUCCAAUGUAUGUGGUGUAUUUAGUAUGAGUUUGUUUCUGCCCUUGCCUUUGUUCCUCUUGGAAUUAGGUAAUUAAUUCUUCAAUCCAGCACCUAUUAAGCAAACUAGACUCCUCUCAAGUCAAUUUCCACUCAAACAAGUACCAAUUGAUAAUUAAUCCACCACCAAACUUAGAGGUUAAAGAAAUAAAGCAAGAAACAAAUUAAUUUGAAAAACAGUACCACACAAAUGGAAUUAAAUGUGACAACUAGAAAGAUUUUCAAUGAAAUUAGACAAGCAAAUAAAAAGGUACUCAAAGAAAAGAUGACACACAAAAUGGAACUUAUGGAAUAGCACUAGAUUUGAUUUCAAAAUCAAAACAACACCACUGAAACAAAUUGUUGUGGUCCAGAGAGUGUGAUUUUCACAGAUUUAUGCUGAGCUGGCCUUUUAAUAUUUGUUUCUGAAAAUUUAUAUUCAAACAGAUCAAGAUCUCAACAAAUUUAUGGCGUUGGUUUCACUCCAAACGCAUGCACCUUUAUUUUUUAAUAAAUUUUCUAAAAUCAGUGCUCAGAUUCGCCAGUUGUAGCGUCAGGAUUGCACACUGUUUUUUGUAAUAUUUAUCAUUUUUUUCUAUUUCUUUUUUUGAACUGAUUCCUUUUUUGUCCUUUCUCUAACACCUCAAUCUUGCAAAAUCCAGAGGCUCGGAAUUUUCUUAUGUGGAAAAAUAAUUUUCAUAAGCAAAACAGCCAGCACAGAAUUAUGCAAAAUAGGGAAUUCUGUAAAUCUGGAAAUAAAAAACAGAAAGAUAUACCCAAAGCAACACAAUGGAAUUAGUGUAAGGAAUUUGUGUGGAUCUAACACACAAAUAUGAACUCAAGCUAAAAAUAAAAAUCACCAAAGGAUCAAAACACAACAGAUUUUAGAUCAAGCAUUCAUACAAAAAACAAGAAACAAAUAAGCCAGAGAAUCAGAAAUUUUCUAUGAGGGAAAAUAAUUUUCUUAAACAAAACAGCCAGCACAGAGUAUGCAAAACAGGGGAUUCUGGAAAAAAACUGGAAACAAUAACAGCAAGAUACCAAAAGACAAACACAAUGGAAUUUGUGAAAUAGAAUUUGUGUAGAUCUAAACACAAAUAUGAACUCAAGCUAAAAAGAAAAGGCACCAAAAGAUCAAAAUCACAGCAGUUUCAAAUCAAGCAAAAAUACCCAAAAUCAAGAAACAAUCAAGCCAAACAAAGGACUACUAUGAUUUGAUGACAUUGUGGAUGAACAUGACUUGACAAAACACAUGGAUUCAGAAAUUAAAGACUCAAAUGAACAUAAAAUGAACCAAAUAAAAUUGCAAUAAGGACUCAAAUACCUAAAAUAAAAAUAGCAACACAAGUAUAUGGAAUCCUACCAAAAAUUGCACAAAGAUUGCUCAAGAACAAUUGAACAAGAUGCACCGAUUGGAAAUUCCAAACAGCACACCAAAUCAAAGCAAAAUUUAAAAAACAGCAAGACAAUCAAGAAAUAAGAUGAACAACAUGAAAUAAAGAAGAACUCAAAAUAAAAAUGACCAAGAACUACUCAUCUUUGAAGAACCUAUGCUCAUGAUACCAAAUGAUGGCAUUUUCAUGGAGCUCUUCUCGGAAUCAUGUGAACAAUGGUGUGGAAGCCAUGGAUGUAAAUGUGCAAGAUCCUCCUAGGAGCUAUGGUGAUCUUGAAGGUGCAUGAUGUGUAUGGAAAGAGGGAGGUUCGGCCAGCCCUAUGGUAGGUGAUGAAGGUGAAGAUUAGAUCCUAGAAACUAGGUAGAAGCAAAGUAUGGCACAAAGUUGGCAGCAUAACUUUACUCUCAUUAAUCUUGCAAAUACAUGAGCCAAGCCCUCUUAUUUAUAGUGUUUAGAGGGCUGGAAAUUCAAAAGAAAGUGGAGGGAGAUUCAAAUGAGAAGCAUUUGAAUUUGGAGCCAAAUUCUAGUCACAAGGAAAGUGUGACUUGUUAUCUUUUUUUGGCACCUCCUAAAUCUACACCUACACCUUCUUUUUAUGUCACAUGGAAGGUGUGACUUAGCUUUAUACAUUUGCACCUCUUAUAUCUAUAUCUACACCUCCCUUUAUGUUCUACUAAAAAUACUCAAAAGUAAUUACAAAAAUACACAUCCAAUGAUGCUUAGUUGGCCCAUAUCUUCUAUUUGUUGGGCUUGAGCUGAAGCUUGAACUUGUAUUUGGGCUUGGGCUUGGGCUUUUUCUAUCAUGGGCUCGGGCCUCUUCCAUCAGGUACUACUAGGAUUUGAUGACAAAUAUAGAAACACAAGACUAGACAAACAACAUAUAGAUUCAGAAAUUAAAAGACUCAAGAACAUCAUAUGAACCAAUUAAAAUUGCAAUAAGGACUCAAAUACCUAAAAAUAAAAUACAAAAACACAAACUAUAUGGAAUCCUACAAAAAAUUGCACAAGGAUUGCUCAAGAACAAUUGAACAAGAUGCACCGAUUGGAAUUUCCAAACAGCACACCAAUUCAAAACGAAAAUUAAAAAACAGCAAGACAAUAUGGAAGAUGAAAAACAACACGGAUUUAAGAAGAACUCAAAAAGAAAAUUGCAAAGAGAUACUCAUCUUUGAAGAACCAUAGCUUUGAUACCAAAUGAUGGCAUUCCUAUUAGCUCUUAUUGGAUUUUUAGUGGUGAUGGUGUGGAAGCUUAAUGGAGGAGAGUGGGCAAGGCCUUCCUAGGAAGUUUGGGUGCCUUGAAGGUGCAUGAGAGGUAGGGAAGAUUGGAGUGGUUCGGCCAACUCCAUUUGGGGGUGAAAGGUUGAAGACUAAACACCUAAUUCUAGAGAGAAUUGGCAAGGGAGUAAUUUGAAUGGCACUUGGGCAGCAUUACUUUACUCAAAAUAGUCUUACAAAAUGAGAGCCAAGCACCUCCUUAUAUAGGAUUGGAGGGCUGGAAUUUGAAGAGCCAAAUACAAAUGAAAUGCUAGCAAAAUUACAUGCAAGUGUGAGCACAUGGCACAUGGGAGCACAUGGGAUGGUGGCUCCAAAAUUCAGCACAUGUGAGGUAGGUUCUAGAAUUCUUCCAUGUGCUAGGAGUUCUAGAACUUUAUGCUCCACUUAGGCUAAUUGUGGGCUGGACCUAAGUUUAAUUAGGAGUAGGAAACUCUAAUUAAACUUAGGUUAGCAUUUUAGGUACCACUUUGCAUAUUUCAACACAUUUACAAAAAUAUUUAAACCAUGCUACUUUGACUAGAAAAAUAAGAAAAACUAUGACACACUAGAGUCUAUGACAUGUAAAAUGUGUCCUCUUGACCCCUCUUUGACUAUGACUCUAGUGGUUGCCUCAAGGUAGCAUUUUGGUGGCCUCUCAAAGGGUUGGUGUUGGGGCCUCUUCCAUCACCAUCUCACAUAUUUUUUGGGACUGGAAAUUGCUCACAACAGUGUUGGUCUUCACUUAAGUCAAUGCAAGUAUACUCUUGAUCUCCUUCAAGAAAUUGACAUGCUUGACUCUGCACCUGUGGCCACUCUUAUGACUCAUACCUCUCGUCUCUCUCCUAACCAAGGCUCACAUCUUGAUGCUGAUGUCACUUUCCAAUACAGAAGACUCCUUGAACGUCUAAUCUACUAAACCAACACGCGAUCAGACAUCGCCUUCGCUGUCCACAAUUUAAGCUAAUUCAUAUAUGCAUCCACAACUCAUCAUCAAUAAGUUGUCUCACGUGUUUUGCGUUACCUCAAGGGAAUUCCUGGUGAAGGUGAAGGACUAUAUUUUUCUCAUACUAGCUCACUUCACCUAUGUAUUUUUAGUGACUCUGAUUGGGCAGCAUGUCCUUCCACACGCAAAUUUGUCUCUGGAUAUUCCAUCUACUUAGGCGACUCCCAAAUCUCAUGGAAAUCAAAGAAGCGACCAACUAUCUUCCACAACUCCUCUAAAGUUGAGUAUAGAGCCCUUGCCACCACCACAUGUAAGCUACAAUGGUUGUCUGACCUCCUUCAGGAUUUAUAUCUUUCUCUUUCUCAACCUGCAACCCUGUACUGUGACAACAACUCUACCCUUCAAAUUGCUUCCAAUCAAGUCUUUCAUGAACGAACCAAGCACAUCGAAAUUGAUUGCCACCUAGUUCGUGAAAAACUUAAUUAUGGUCUCCUAAAACUACUGCCCAAUACAUUUGCCAUGCAAAUUGUCGACAUAUUCACCAAGCCCCUUGCAGCCUCACAAUUUUUUACUAUCAAAUCCAAGCUCGGUCUGACGAAUAUCUACUCCCCAGCUUGAGGGAGGUGUUAACAUAUUUAGUUUUAUGUUUUAAGUUAUUGGGCUUUGUUUCUUUUUGGCCCAACUUUCCUUUUCUAUUUCAGCUAGGCCUUAGUCUUUUUCUUAUAUAUACACCAUGUAUUUUAAUUUCCAAUACCCAAGUGAAUAAGAGUUUCUUUUACAUUUUCUUUUCUCUGCUUUUGUCUCUUUUACACUUAAGCCACUAUUUAUUUUUCAUUUGCAAUUAGGAUUCAUCAUAAAUCCCUUUUUCUUCAUCGAUAUUACGUGUGUUCCAUUGAAGAACCACGUUAAACAAGGGAUUCUCAUCUGCAUUGACAGUAAUAGAUAAAAAUUAAUAAUUGAUUACUUUAAUUAAUUUUAUUUCAAUUUGAUUCUAAACACGUAUUUUAAGAAAAGUGGUUAUGAGUGUGAAAUAAAAUACUCUUUCUAAUAUCCCAAAUGACAUUAAACCACUAACUAAAAUUUCUCCAAUAAGAAAAACCAAAACCAUGUGUACAAUGUUACCAACUUCCAUCGUAGGACAAAAAUUCACUGCCUAAACUCAUAUUAGUGGAACACUAUUAGUAUCUUUAUAAUUAAGUUGUGUUACACAACACCUCAUUGACUUUUUUUUAAAAUAAUAAUCUUAAUAAUUUUAUACACUACAAAUAUUUAUGUUUAGUGUUUCUUUUGUUUUAUUAACAUUUUAAACCCGUUAGACGUAUUGUUCACAAUCCUAGGAACUGCCGGCAAAACAUUAGUAAUAAAUAAUUUACUACUUUUUUAGACAAUCCUUACUAAUACUAAGGGUAGGCAAAAAAAUCCAAAUUACAAAAUCCAAUCCAUAAUUAUCCAAAUCCAUAUUAGUUUUUGAUGGAAGAGGCCCAAGCACAAGCCCACAUGCAAGCCCACCAAAGGGUAGAUUUGGGCCAACCAUAGAGUUAUGGCCAAGAGGAUCCAAGAAGACUUUUACAUGUUCAAAUGCCAUAAACUCUAGUGUAGAGUAGACUUUAAUUUCUUGUCAAAAUUAGCAUAGGAACUUUAUUUGUAAUUUUCUUAGAAUUAAUUUUGGCACCUAAAACACCAACCUAGGUAAACUUAGAGUUUCUAAAAAAAACCUCUAAAUUUACCAAGGCCGGUCUAGAAAGCCCAUGGAGGGGUGAGCAUAAAAACUAGACACACCCCUCCCCAUGUGCUCAUUUGUGCACCCAUGUGCCAUGUGCACCCAUGUGCUUCACAUUUACAUUUCAUUUGGCUAGCAUUAGGGUUGCAUUAUGGUCCUCCUUAGCCUAUAAAAGGAGGAGCCUACACCUUGUAUUUUCAAGUUUAUUGUGAGUNNNNNNNNNNNNNNNNNNNNNNNNNNNNNNNNNNNNNNNNNNNNNNNNNNNNNNNNNNNNNNNNNNNNNNNNNNNNNNNNNNNNNNNNNNNNNNNNNNNNNNNNNNNNNNNNNNNNNNNNNNNNNNNNNNNNNNNNNNNNNNNNNNNNNNNNNNNNNNNNNNNNNNNNNNNNNNNNNNNNNNNNNNNNNNNNNNNNNNNNNNNNNNNNNNNNNNNNNNNNNNNNNNNNNNNNNNNNNNNNNNNNNNNNNNNNNNNNNNNNNNNNNNNNNNNNNNNNNNNNNNNNNNNNNNNNNNNNNNNNNNNNNNNNNNNNNNNNNNNNNNNNNNNNNNNNNNNNNNNNNNNNNNNNNNNNNNNNNNNNNNNNNNNNNNNNNNNNNNNNNNNNNNNNNNNNNNNNNNNNNNNNNNNNNNNNNNNNNNNNNNNNNNNNNNNNNNNNNNNNNNNNNNNNNNNNNNNNNNNNNNNNNNNNNNNNNNNNNNNNNNNNNNNNNNNNNNNNNNNNNNNNNNNNNNNNNNNNNNNNNNNNNNNNNNNNNNNNNNNNNNNNNNNNNNNNNNNNNNNNNNNNNNNNNNNNNNNNNNNNNNNNNNNNNNNNNNNNNNNNNNNNNNNNNNNNNNNNNNNNNNNNNNNNNNNNNNNNNNNNNNNNNNNNNNNNNNNNNNNNNNNNNNNNNNNNNNNNNNNNNNNNNNNNNNNNNNNNNNNNNNNNNNNNNNNNNNNNNNNNNNNNNNNNNNNNNNNNNNNNNNNNNNNNNNNNNNNNNNNNNNNNNNNNNNNNNNNNNNNNNNNNNNNNNNNNNNNNNNNNNNNNNNNNNNNNNNNNNNNNNNNNNNNNNNNNNNNNNNNNNNNNNNNNNNNNNNNNNNNNNNNNNNNNNNNNNNNNNNNNNNNNNNNNNNNNNNNNNNNNNNNNNNNNNNNNNNNNNNNNNNNNNNNNNNNNNNNNNNNNNNNNNNNNNNNNNNNNNNNNNNNNNNNNNNNNNNNNNNNNNNNNNNNNNNNNNNNNNNNNNNNNNNNNNNNNNNNNNNNNNNNNNNNNNNNNNNNNNNNNNNNNNNNNNNNNNNNNNNNNNNNNNNNNNNNNNNNNNNNNNNNNNNNNNNNNNNNNNNNNNNNNNNNNNNNNNNNNNNNNNNNNNNNNNNNNNNNNNNNNNNNNNNNNNNNNNNNNNNNNNNNNNNNNNNNNNNNNNNNNNNNNNNNNNNNNNNNNNNNNNNNNNNNNNNNCCAUUCUUAGGAUUCUUUUGUGUGCCUACCUUUAUUUUGGUACCUUUUAUUUGCUUGCUUAAUAUUUCUUGAACCUCUUUCUAGUUGUCAUAAUCUAACUCCUUUUGGUGGUACUGUUUUAUUCAAUUUAAUUGUUUCUUGCUUUUGUUCUUUGACCUCUAAUUUGGGUGCUGGAAUUUAUUCUCCUUUGGUGCUUAUGUGAAUGGAAACUUGACUUGGUUAAGGUUUAGCCCUUUGAUAGGUGCUGGAAAUUGGAUAAUCAAGACCUUCAUUCUAAGGAGAAGACAAAGACAAAGCCGAAACAAACUUUCUCAAAACACUACACACAUUUGGAGGGCUAACAAGCAAAGACAACAAGGAAGUGCACUUAGCAAAAAGAGGAUCAACAAAGGGAGUUUUCUUAAUUUCCUUACAACUUAAUUUUUGUUAAUUACCUCUUAAUUACGUUUUAGACGGUGAGUGUGUCUUCAAGGGCUCAAAGUGUCCAAGAAGCCUCACCUAGGGUCGACUAGUAUAGAAUUCUUAAUUAGCAAUUGUUAAUUGUUUGUAAUUGCCUUUUCUUUUGCUUAGUUAGUGACGCUUUGCAUGGUUAUUUUGUUAAGUUUGUGUUAAACCGACUAGCUUUGUUGAUUAGUAGCUUGCAUUGUUUUCUUUCAUUGAAAAUUUGAUAUCUCAACUUAAUUGUGUUCUAAGUGGUUUACUAAGAGAAAGUUUUGUGUGAAGACAUUGAGGGAUAGUUUUUGGCUAAGGCAAAGGCUUGGUAUUUAAGUAGUCCUUUGUGACUCACCUCCCUUAUCUGGAAAACUACCUUCUUUGACUUUCCUAAGUUUUCUCAAGGUAAAAUACUUGUAUACACAAAGCUUUAGCCAUGUCUUCUUCUUCUCAUUCUACAAAGUCUAUUGGAAGUGAAUUAAAAUCUUUAAAAACUCUUUUGAAAGAAGUUUCACAAACUGUGCAAUCAAUUGCUUAUAGACAAUUGGAGAGUGAGACUAAACUUAAUGUUUUGACUAAAGCAAAGGAUGAGAAGUCUCACAUUCUAAAAAAAUUACCUUCUCAUGCAUAUAUCUCUAAAGAUCAUGAUUCUUUUGGGGAGGGAAGCAUUAGAGUAAAUGAUUAUUAUCAAGCACCCCCUAGAAGACAUAGAAGAGAUAGAAAAGAACAAGAAACCCAAGAGGGGUUAGGGUAGACCAACCCCAUUUCCAUGGAAAAGAAAAUAUAGAAGCUUGUGUAGAUUGGGAAAUGAGGGUAGAAAAAUUGUUUGCUUCCCAUAAAGAAAGAAAGGAAAGAAAAUCACAAAAGAAGAGAGGGGAAGUCGAAAGGGAAGCUAAAGAAAAAGAAGAAAAAGAAAAGCAUGAGAAGACCCUUGAAGAACAAAAGGCGUGGGAGAAGAGUGUUCCUUCCCACAAGGUCAUUCAACAAGACCAAAGAUUUAAAAAUACCUUUGAAAAUAUGUGUCUUGCUGAACAACCUCAAAGCCUUACCUUUUGUAAAGGAACACUUGCAAGCCUAAGUGAAAAAGAAGAGUCUUUAAAAGAAGCUUGCAUAGAUAAAAAUGAAAUAGAUUAUUUCUCAUAUGGGCUAGGAUAUCACCAAGUGAAUGUCAAGUUUUUUAUAAGCAUCUACAAAAACAAAUUUUUAUGUGAAGUAGGGCCUAAAGAAACUUGUCAUGUCUUAUUGAGACAACCAUUGCAAAGUGUACAAAUCCUUAAAAACAAUGGUUGUCACAACGAGACUAUCCUUACACAUAAGAGAAAGAGUCUUCAUGAAGGAGAACUCAUGGGACAAAUUAGAUUUGAUAAAACUCUAGAGCUUUUAAAAGGAAAACUUUUGUCCCCCAUGAGAAAAGAAGUUCAAAGACAUUACCUUAGGUACAAUUCUUGUUUUCAAACUACACCCAAGGCAAUGUCUCAUGAACUCUAUACUCCUUCACCUUUUGCAAAUGAUCCUUGGGAAGACAUAAGCCUAAAUUUCAUAUUAGAUCUUCCUAGGACAACAAAAGGUUUUGAUUCCAUUUUCAUGGACAUGGAUAAACUCUUCCUUAAAGAAGUGACAAGUCUUCAUGAUUUCUCUUCAAACUUAGUGUUGGAUAGAGCUCCAAAAUUUGAAAACCAUCAUUUGAGGAUUCUCUUGGAAAAACUUGCAACUAAGUUGUCCUUUUCAAAUUCUUAUCAUCCUCAAAAGAAUGGUCAAAAUAAAAUUGAAAACAUAGCUCUUGUUAUUAUGCCUAGAGAAAUCAUGAAAGCCAACCACAAUUCUUGGGAUGAGUAUCCUUUUUCUAUUGAGCAUGCAUACAAUAGAGUAGUCCACAAGACUACUAAUAUUUCUACAUUUGAAAUUGUAUGUGAACAUAGUCCUCUUUCUCUUUUUGCAUUGUUACCACUUCCUAAAGGAAUUAUGCCUAAGGAACAAGUAACCACUAUUGAAAAUUUUACAAAGCAUGAGNNNNNNNNNNNNNNNNNNNNNNNNNNNNNNNNNNNNNNNNNNNNNNNNNNNNNNNNNNNNNNNNNNNNNNNNNNNNNNNNNNNNNNNNNNNNNNNNNNNNAGCGGGCUCGGGCCGAUGUCGAGCCGAGCAGACUCUGGUUGAUCUUGAGCUGAGCGGGCCUGGGCCGAUGUCAAACUCAGCGGGACCGGGCUGAUGUCGAGCCGAGCGGGCCCAGGCCGAUGUCGAGCCGAGCGGGCCUAGGCCGAUGUCGAGUCCUUCGAGCCUGGGCCGAUGUCGAGUCGUUCGGCCCAAGCUGAUGUCUAGUCGUUCGGGCCCAGGCCGAUGUUGAGUCGUUCGGGUCGGAGUCGAUGUAUAGUCGUUCGGGCCCGGGCCGAUGUCGAGUCGUCCGGGUCGGGGUCGAUGUUGAGUUGUCCGGGCCCGAGCCGAUGUCGAGUCGUCCGGGCCCAGGCCGAUGUCAAGUGGUUUGGGUCGGGGCCGAUGUAGAGCCGAGUUGGUCUGCGUCCAGGUUGAGUCGGCUUAGGCCCAAUUUGAGCCAAGUUAGUCUUUGUCCAUAUCAAAAUGCAUUUAGUGUAAUUGACAAAGUGAAUUUAAUAUAUUUAAUAAAGUGGAUUUAAUCUAGAUUCAAUCCCCUCUAAAUGGAUUUAAAAAAAAUCCAAUUAUAUUUGAUCUAGUUAAAGUGGAUAUGGAUUUUAAAUUCAAUCCUUUUAUUUGGAUUUGGAUUGGAUCUAUAUUGGAUUUUGGAAAAUCCAAUCCAUGCCCAUCCUAACUAAUACCAAAUAUCACUAGUAUUAUCUGCCAAAGAGUAGACAGUGCAAUUUUGUUAACACCAUACAUUAUCUUUAGUUUUCUCGUUAAUGUGUGAUAUAACUGAUGUUUUUUAAUCUGUUAAUGCCAUAAAAUUAGAAUCUGUCAUUAGUGUUUCAUUUUUAUUCCCCAACUUCAAUCGUGCUCACCAAACUCAUUCAUUGUUGCACCCAUACAUAAACAAUUCUCAUUCAUGUUCGAGCUCCCUUUACAUCCACUACAAAAAAAUCAUUAAAUAAAACUAACAUAAAGACUAAAAUAAUUAGUCACUAUUUAUGAUUGACUUCGGGUGCUAUUCGGUCGGUCUUCUCACGUUCAACACUCCUUAUCUUGUCUCUUCCUCACCGUGCGGCUCCUCAGGCGGGUGGGGUACCUGUAGAUGGCACUCCAACGCUCAAGUCAGUGGGGUAAUAGCGUUCGGUUGUUAGAGCACUGUAGAUAAUGACGUACCUUUCUCCUUGAAAUGCGUGAUAUUUAUAUUACCUUGAUGGGCCCUUGCUGUUGGGCCAGAUUAAGGAGUUGGUUAGUGAUUAGGGUUGAAUUAGGUCACUCUUAACCUUGGGUUAGUCUCACUAAUCCAGUCAACAUUUGACUUGAGCACUGUAUGUCGGUCGACCAUGCGUGCGACAUGGUCGACCUUGUCGUUUGGGUUGGGGUUUGGUUUGCGAGUUGGCCGGGUUGGGUACCUCGGUCAGCCAUACCAGUACAGUUGCCUCCCCGGCUCGAGAGGUGAUACAGUCGAAGAGUCUGAAAAGUGAGUUUCGGGCGGUUUGUACAAUGAUGAGUGAAGUGAUAGUAAAGGGUGUCUGAGCGACUGAUGUGACGUGCAUUUAUGAGGGGUUUUUCGGGCGCCAAACAAUGUGGGUCGUUGGAUCAAGUAGAUCCAAUGGCUGAGAUCUUGUGACGUUUGGGUUUCUGAGGUCCCUCCGGGCUAUAAGUAGGGGCUGGGAACAGUUGUUUUCCACACGUUAUCAUUGGUUGAGCUCCGACACUUCGAACGAAUCCGAGCGAUCUUGGUCACUUCCCUCGUUCGCCUAAAGGUUAGUUAUGUCUACUCAUUCACGUCCGAAUUCUUCUUCUAAGUCUCUUCCCGAACCUCCCUCUUGUUCGUCAUCCUCUUCGUCUAACAGGGUCGCUCCGGUCGAGGAAGUUGGAGAUAUUGCUUCUUUGGCGGAGAGGGUGAGGGGUGACGAUGUUGGUAAUGCAUCAGACAGGUCGGUCUCUUUGGAACGACCACGCCCUCAUGCGGAGUCUGCUUGGGUUGACCCCAAGGUGUGUGAGGUGUCGUCCUUUUUUUACACGGAUACCUCUAUGGUCGAGUUUUUGAACGAGGUUCCCGUUUUAAAGGCCUCGGCUGAAGAGUCUUUGUUGGCAUUCAGUCCUUGCUCUCUAGAGGACCGUGUAUAUAAGGAGCGGUCAUCUACCGAGCCCCCCUUCUUUUUCAUGUAUAGCCGUCUUUUUGCGAACCUCCAUGUCCCUUCCCUUCGACGCUUUUACGGUCGGAGUCCUUAGGGAACUCAAUGUGGCCUCGACCCAGUUGCAUCCCAACUCAUGGGCAUCCAUGCAAGCUUUUCGCGUGGUGUGUCGGACGUUUGGGGUGCAUCCUCUUCCUUCAUGUCUUUUGCAUUUCUACGCGUCCCAUUCGGCCGAGCUGAUCGGUUGGCAUUCUUUAGUAAGCCGGACCGGUAGCAUGUUAUUCAAGGCCUUCACGGCCUCUUAUAAGAAUUUCAAAGAGAAGUUCUUUAAGGUGUACGUUGAGCCGGCCGGUACACGCUACUUUUUUUAUGAGGUUGGCUAGUCGCGGUUUCCCUUGUUCUGGAAGAGGAAGCCUACCAAGAUCAAGGAUUGGCCGAGACCGGCCUAUCUGAGCGAGCAUGAGUGAGUGAUAUCUAUUUGACAGUCUCCCCAAGAAGCUCCCCGCUCGGCCGCUCAUGUCGCUGUACACAAUGACCGAUCGCGCGGAGACCUUCGAGGGUAUGUGGUCUUUAUAGUUUGUCAUUCUUUUGUUUUUUCCGCUCUGUGUGACCAGUUUUUCUUUGUUUCAGAAAUUGCCAAGAGAGAAAUACUGCAUGCAGUCGGUAUGCUGAAUUCGUUCAGGAAUAAGUUGAACGAGAAGAGAGGGUUCGUUGGUGCUAAGGCCCCUAAUGAUGAGAUUGCCCAGGCGGGCACCUCCAGGAGCUCCAAGAAGCGGGGCAGGGAGGGGAGUAACAUUGCCCGCACUGUCAAGGUUGCGGGGCAGCUGCCGACACCUCCUCCAAGCCGAACGGUGCUCGUGCCGCGUCGCCGCCCACUGAUGACAUCAACCGCCUGAUUCCCACCGCGGUUGCCAUGCCCAUGACCACUUCGGAAGGCUCGUCCUUGGCCUUGUUGGGGGGCGAUCGGUCCUUUACUCGGGUCGUAAGUUUCGACCUGCUUCUCGGUCUCGAAGGGUUGAUCGGGUCGGUCCCCGAGAACGACAUUCUCGACAGCGGCGUUGAGAUGAUAUCUCGUGGGUUGGUUCUGGCGUGCCGAGGCGUCGACGCUCGCAGGCAACAUGUGGAGGAUCUAUCGAGCCUCGAGCAUGAUCUUCAAGAGGCGGCGCACAACCUCAAGCAGGUCGUUGAUGCCAACACAACCUACGAGAAGAAGUUAUAAGCACAAGUUGCGGAGUUGGAGCUGCAUAAGACUAGGUUCGCCGAGGUGGAGAAGGCCGAUGCUGACAAGGCCGUGAAGAUUGCACUGCUCCGGAAGGCGUUGGAGGCGGUUGACCGCCGGGUGGCGCUAUUGAAGGAAGAAGUUGCCGCCGAGCGCGAGGGGAAGGAGGCGGUUGAUGCUAAGGUGUUGAAAACCAUGGAAGAUACCAUGGUUUUGAUCAACCAAAGCUUCGAUUUGGCCGUUCGUCAGGCCGAGGUGCUGUAUGGUGGGCCUCCACCUUCAAGUUGAUUUGACCAAGAGAUAGAGGUUGUUAAUGGCCGCUUGGUCCUUGCAGGUGACGGCCAGGCUGUUCAGGAGGCCGAUCCUUCCACCGCCAUUCUGAACGUCGAAGAUUAGGGCGGUGACUUUAUGUAGUCUUCAGGGCGUGCCGUGUGAGGCUUUACCCUGGGCGACGUCUACUUGUGGGCGUCGGGAGGGUAUGCCGGUUAGGGCUACGUCCUGGUCGAGCUGUGUGUGGGACAUUUAGGUGUCGGGAGGGAAUGCCGUGUGAGACUUCAUCCUGGCCGAACCAUGGGUGGGAUGUUGGGGAGGGUAUGCCGUGUGAGGCUUUACCCUGGCCAACAUGUGUGGGCGUCGGGAGGGUAUGCCGAUUAGGGCUACAUCCUGGCCGAGCCGUGCGGGUCGUUCGCGGUCUGCACAAUUCUUUGUAGAAAACGCCUCGUUAAAACCUCUCUGAACGAUGGUGCUAUCGGGCGAGGAAAGAGUGCGUAUAUUUUAUUCAUGUUUAGCUGAAAUAAAAUUUUAGGUGCGUGGCAUUCCACGUCCUUGGUACAAUUUUUCCUGAUAGUUUUUGUAGGUGGUAGGCUCCCCCGUCUCCCACUUCUCGGAUUCGGAAUGACCCUUCCCAAUUUGAUGAGAACUUGCCGUCCGACUUUCUAGCGUUGUUGCGCAUUCUCCAUACGAGGUCGCCUUGGUGGAAGCUUCUGGGCCGAACCUUUGAGUUGUAUCUUCUUGAUUCUCAGAGUUUGCAUGCUACUUCUCGUAUCUUGCUUUUGUCAUGGAGUUCGUUUAGAAGGUCGAGGUCGACUGCUAGGCUUUCCUUGUUGAGGGAUAGAUCGAAGAGUUGGCGUCUAAUAGACGGUUCGCCGACCUCUACCGGUAUCAUAGCCUCGGUGCCGUAUGGGGUUUCUUGUGUGGUGGACUGUGGAGUGCAACGAUAUGCGCAAAUGACUUCAGGUAGCUCCUCCGUCCAUCUUCCUUUUGCGGUGCCGAGUCUCUUUUUUAGUUCGUUUAGCAGGACCUUGUUGGCCGCUUCUGCCUGUCCAUUCGUUUGCGGGUGUUCGACAGAGCUUGUGAGGGAUUUGAUGUCGAGGUUAUUGUAGAGGUCAGGAGGCCCUGGUCGAUGAACUAUCGGCCGUUAUCGGAUACUAUCGAGUGUGGUACUCUAACCGGCAUACUAUGUUUUUCCAUACGAAGUUUUGGACGUUGCGAGCGGUUAUGGUGGCUAAGGGCUCGGCCUCUAUCCAUUUUGUGAAGUAGUCUACAACGACCAAUAGGUGUUUCGUCCAUCUCCCACAUGGCGAACGGCCAGGGUAAUGUCAUGUUGUGCAGUUCUUCUGGUUUUUGGUGGUGGAGGGGACCGAAUUCUUGACAUUUUUGGCACAUCUUGACGUACUCCGCGCAAUCCCCAUGUACAAUCGGCCAAUAGUAUCCUGCUCGGAUGACUUUGGCCGCCAUAGUUCAGGCCCCAAAGUGGCUAUCGCACGCUCCAUCGUGGAUUUCUUGCAACAUAUAGUGGGUUUGCUCCUUGGUAAGGCACUUUAAGAGCGGUGUCGAGUACCCUCUUCGGUAUAGGUCCUGGCCGAUCAUGGUACAUCGAGCGCACUGCCGUCAGAUGCUUUUUUCAUCCCCCGACAGGCAUGUCCCGUGUUCUAGGUAUUGGAUGAUUGGGCUCAUCCAUGUGUGAGUUUCGGUGACUGUCAUGCAUUUGGCAUCGCCCACGCUAGGUUCUUGCUGGCGCAUUUGGACGACCGAUCGAUGGUGGCUUUGCUUUUUAGAAUAGGCGAAACGUGACAGUGCUUCCGCCCGUUCAUUUUUCUGUUGUGGUAUGUGUUCGACCGUGACCUUGUCGAACUUGGCAAUGGCGUUGUUGACUGUGUGAUAGUAUCGUUGGAGGAGGGGUUCUUUGACUUCAAAUUCUCCUUUUAUCUGUCCAACCACCAGCUGGGAGUCGUUCUUGCAUGUGACCUCUCAUGCUCCUAGGUCAUUUGCUAGGUUCAGGCCGACUAGUAUGGCUUUGUAUUCUGCUUGAUUAUUCGUUGCCUUGUAAUAGAAUUGAAGUGCUUGUUCGAUUAGGAGGUCCCCUGGGCCCUCCAGGACGACUCCUGCGCCUUAGGCUGUUUUGUUGGACGAACCGUCCACGUUGAGUACCCAUCUGGCCGGGGUAUCGGGGUGCGGGACUAGCUCUGCCGAGAAAUCUGCCAGGCAUUGAGAUUUGAUAGUGCCUCUUGCUUCGUACCGAAUGUCGAACUCGGAUACCUCGACUGACCAUCCUAUCAUGCGUCUUGCGAGGUCAGGUUUAGACAGUAUUUUGUAUAUGGGGUAAUUGGUUCUUACCGUAAUGGCAUGGUUUUGAAAGUACGGGCGCAUUCUUCACGCUCUCAGUACUAGGGCCAGCGCGACCUUCUCUAUCAUCUAGUACCUUGUUUCGGCCGCGUGGAGCGUCCGACUGACAAAGUAUACAGGGUGUUCCUCGUUGCUCACCUCUUGGACCAGGGCUGAACUGAUCGCUUCCUCAUAUACGGGCAGAUACACUAUGAUUAGUAGGUCAAACCUUGGUUUUUUAAUGAUGGCCGGUGACGACAAGAAUUCUUUGAGCUGGCCGAAGAUGUCUUCGCAUUCCUCAUUCCAUCUGAACUUGGAUGUUUUGCGGAGCAUUUGGGCUAUGGGCCUGAUUCGCUCGGCGAGACGAGGGACGAAUCUGGACAGUGUCGUCAGUCGGCCGAGCAGUUGUUGAAUUUCUUUCAAGUUUUUCAGGCUUCUCAUUUCAGUUAUUGCUUUGCAUUUGUCGGGGUUUGCCUCGAUUCCCCUGUGGGUUAGCAUGAAGCCGAGGAACUUACCGCCCUCUAUGCCGAACACGCAUUUUUCAGGGUUGAGGCGUAUGUUGACCCUUCUUAGGGCGUCGAAGACUUCUUGCAAGUCUUUCAUGUGUUGGCCACACGAGUCGGAUUUCACCACGAUGUCGUCCACAUAGACCUCCACGCUUCUGCCGAUCAUCUCCUUGAAAAUCUUGUCCAUGAGCCUUUGGUAAGUGGCUCCGGCGUUCUUCAGGCCGAACGUCAUUACCUUGUAGAAGUAGUUUGCACUGUCGGUCGUGAAGGCUUUUUUUUCCCUGUCUUUAUGGUGCAUGCUUAUUUGGUUGUAACCGGAGUAAGCAUCCAGGAAGCUCAGUACUUUGUGACCGGCCGCUCCGUCUACAAGUCGAUCGAUGUUGGGGAGGGGGUACGAGUCUUUGGGGCAUGCCUUGUUCAGAUCUUUAUAAUCUACACACAUUCGCCAUUUGCCGCUUGUCUUCUUGACCAUGACCACGUUGGCUAGCCAGGUGGAGUAUCGGGCUUCGGCAAUGAAGCCAGCCUUGAGGAGUUUUUCGGCCUCGGCUCUGGCUGUCAGCCUCUUGUCUACCCCAUGGUUCCUUUUUUUUCUGUGACACCGACCGUGCCUCCUUAUAUACUGAGAGGCAGUGAGUGAUGAUUUCCGGGUGGACGCCUGGGACAUCGGCAGCCGUCCAGGCGAAGAGGUCCGCGUUUUUCUUGAGGGUGCGAUGGACGAGCACGGCGUCGGCGACCACCAUGGUCGUGUCGAUGCUUGUGUAUCGCUCCUCCCCAUUGAGGGUCACUCGGCCUAGCUCGUCUUUGGCUUCCAGCCUCGGUUCGAUUUUUCUUGGGUCCAGGUCCGUCAUGGCGACAACGUGCUUGAGCAGGGGGGAGUGUCUUUGAGGGCUUCUCCCUCAGCUGGCUAUCUUGCACUUAGGUGAAUGGCUGCCUGCAUCCUUUUGCCGGGUUGGCUCCACUCGCAAGCUUUCUGCGUAGCAUUCUCUUGCGAUCUUCUGAUCUACGUGGAUCGUCAGGAUGUCGCCCGACAGGGAGGGGAAUUUCAUCGCAAGGUGGGGUGUGGAGACGAUUGCCCCAAGUUUGUUGAGGGACGAUCGUUCCAAAAGGAUGUUGUAGGAGGUGUUAACGUCUAUGACUAGAUAUCUGAUUCUCAAAGUCUUGCUUGCUUCUUCCAGGCCGAAGGUCGUAUACAGCUCGAUGUAACCUUUCAUGCCUACCCGCUCCCCUGAGAAACCAACCAUAUGGUUGUUGUAGGGCAUCAUUUCCUCUACUAGAAUUCACAUUGCUUUGAAAGUUUUCCAGUACAGGAUGUCGACCGAGCUCCCUUGGUCUACGAGGGCCUUCUUAAUGGUGAAGUUUUCGAUGUCGACCGAUAUCACCAUUGGAUCGUCCUGGGAGGGGUCUAUCCCUUUAAAGUCUUUGUCCGUGAAUGUAAUGGGUGGCAUCCUUCAUCGGACGGAGAAAAGGUUUACCUGAUAGACGGUGCGCAGAUGUUUUUUUCGCGCGCUGUUCGAACUGCCGCCUCCGACGAAUCCGCCUGUGAUGGUUUUGAUGACUUCGCGGCCUCUUCGGGUGUCGUCUUUGGGGGGGUCGUCCCUCCUUCCCGAUCGAUCGCUGCAUCGGUCAUCUUCCCACAGCCCUAGCGGUGUGCAAUCUCUUCUCCUUGGAGUGUCUUCUUUGCACGGGGAACGGCGGGAGGUGUGGCUGCUACGUACGAAGCGGCGCGGGUGCCCUCCUUGAAUGAGCUCCUCUAUCUUGUCUUUCAGAGCUUGGCACUCUUCGGUCGAAUGGUUGGUGUUCUUGUGGUAUCGACACUUUUGGUUGCGGUCAGCGUUUUCAAGGCUUAGGGCUCUCAUGGGUGGCGGAAUUAGCUCAACGCUGAGGGCCUCCUGUAGUAUUUUCCCUUUGUCGACAUUAAAGGGUGUGUACCGCGAGAAACGAGGCCCCCAAUUGUCCCGUUUAGGGUCGGUUCGGCCAGGCCUGGGCCUUCCUUAUCGUUCUCUGUCGUCCUUCUUAUCCCCGCUCGCCUCAGCACGAGCGAGGUUUCUGAACUCGCAAAGUUCUUCCAGUUGCAUGAACUUGGCUGCUCGGCGUCUGAGGUCGUCGAGGCUAGUCGCGGGUUGCAUACCCAAACUAUCGGCGAACGGCCCAGGCCGCAGGGCAAUCAACAUGUGGUGUAUUGCCACCUCAGGGCUGAGGUUUCGAAUGCUCAUGGCAGUUUUGCCAAACCGGUCGAUGAAUGUCCUCAGGGAUUCCCCCUUUUCUUGACGAAUACUAACCAGUGCUAUAGACGUUAGGUGGUGGGGGCAGCUUGUCGCGAACUGGACGUCGAACUUGGCCAUCAAGGUCUCGAAGCAGUCUAUUGAGUUUGGGGGGAGCUUGGUGAUCCAAGUUAGGGCUUCUCCCUUUAGAGAAGUAGGGAAGACUCGGCAUAAGAUCGUGUCGUCCGUUGUGUACAGACUCAUGUGGGUUGUGUAUGCAUCCACAUGUUCGUCGGGAUCGGUCAUCCCAUCAUAUCGGUCCCUGUUGAAGCCUUUCCACUUGUUUGGCAAGGGGUGUCCAUAAUGAGGUCAGUGAAGGGGUGGCGUCGUUCGAGGCCCGCGGUACCGGUGGUAUUCAUCGUUUUGUUGGGAUGAGACUCCCCAUCCAUCUCCAUGGUGAAAUGGUUCUUCAACUCUCUCUCGGCCUGGGGGCCGGCAGUUGUGGCAUAGGACCUUCUGGCUUGAUUCGUCAGUAUAAGGGACGACACCCCCUCCACCAGUUUUUUCAUACGUCUGUUCUCUUCCUGGAGGUUUCUGAUCUCCUCCUCGUUCUUCUUAGCAGCCUCCUCAUGUACUCUUUUCAUCUCCGUCAGCUCCUUCUGAAGACCACAUCAUCGCCGCUUGGUCUGUCUCGGACAUUCUUUCGCUUGCCAUGCUGCAGGUCGAUACCAUCUACUGUUGUGAUCUCUUCCUUCUCUCCUCAGCCCGACGAUGGGCGCCAAUUGUUCUCGAACGGGUUUGGGGACCAGGAGAACGAUUGACUUUGGGUGCUAUUCGGUCGGUCUUCUCACGUUCAACACUCCUUAUCUUGUCUCUUCCUCACCGUGCGGCUCCUCAGGCGGGUGGGGUACCUGUAGAUGGCACUCCAACGCUCAAGUCAGUGGGGUAAUAGCGUUCGGUUGUCAGAGCACUGUAGAUAAUAACGUACCUUUCUCCUUGGAAUGCGUGAUAUUUAUAUUACCUUGAUGGGCCCUUACUGUUGGGUUGGAUUAAGGAGUUGGUUAGUGAUUAGGGUUGAGUUAGGUCACUCUUAACCUUAGGUUAGUCUCACUAAUCCGGUCAACCUUUGACUUGAGCGUUGUAUGUCGGUCAGCCAUGCGUGCGACAUGGUCGACCUUGUCGUUUGGGCACCUCGGUCGGCCAUACCAGUACAAAACCAUUUUAUAAAUAAAAAAUUAUUAGUAUCUAAAGUAGUUUUUAAAUUCGUAUCUAACAUUUAGCUACCAAAGUUUUAACUACUAACUACUUAUAUUGUAAAUUAGUGUAUAUUAAUCGUUUAGACACUAAUUCAGAAUAUAAAAUAUUAGUACCUAAAACGUUUGUAGAUAGAUAUCAAUUUAGAAACUAUUUUACAAUAUUUUAUUAAUAAUAGAAACUACUUUAGAUACCAAUAAUUUUUUUAGUCUCUAAUUUAGUCAAUAUAGUGACUAAUUAUUUUUUGUCUCUAAAAUUAGUUACUAUUUAAUAAUUUUCUUGUAGGGAUCAAUCUCAUUUAUCUUUGCCUAACACAAUGAUCUCUUUUAUCAAUUUUCACCUUUUUAAUUAUAGUUAUCCUCAUUAGUGAUUCAUUUUUUUUUCUUGAAACAUACUUGGUAUACUAGUUCAUAAUUUAUCGUUAUUGUUCUAGUAGAAAAUAUAAUUGAUAAUGAAAAGUGCAUAAGUUAGUAUAUGUUCAUGUCAGCAAAAUAUAAGAUAGAUUGGUGAAUGACAGAUGCUAUUGCAAAUUUGCAUGUACUAUUGACAAAUGUGAUUUUGUCUGGCAUUGUAGAGAAGAAUAUUACUUUGAAGAAGAUUUGGGACACGUUCAUCAAAUUGUAUGAGGUUAAGUCACUUCAUAUAAGAAUGUUCUUAAAGAGAAAAAUCUAUAUUUUUCAAUAGAGUGAAUUUCUAGACCUUGAAGAUCAAGUCACAUCUUUAUUUGAUGUUUCCAAAACCUACAUUAUAGAUUGGAUGGCACGAAUUGUGUGUGUGCAUGUCUAGGAAGAUUUUGAUGUAUUUUGGUUGUUUCUUCUUUGUUGAAGAUGGUUGUUGCCCCUUCAAGACAUGUGUUUGAUGAAGCCAUUUGUGUAAAUUUCAUUUGUAUUUACAUUUGCUUUAAGAAUGUCUUAGGUAUAGUUUGGAGGUUGUUUAAGAGUAGGCUUUUUGCUGGGUAACUCACCUCUUAACCCCUGACCAUGUGAUAAGAGCAAGCACAAAUUUUUUGAAACUGUUUUUCACAUGUUUUGCAAAAAACACCCUUACUGCAUAAAAAUAAAUUUUAUGAAUGGAUUCUUUUUUAAACUGAUGCAUUGACUAAGUCUUUUGAAAAUCAGGUUUUAUGCAUCAAGUAUUUUGACUAAGUCUUCACUCUUUCAAAACGAAUGUGUUUCAAUAGUUAAGUCUUUUCUGUUAUCGUUUUGAAAAAUAAAUCUAUUCAUCUGUAAAUGAAUAGAUUCUUUUUAGUCUGGUGCAAUGUUUAUCUUAAAAGGUUUUUUCGUUUUGUCCUUGCACCAGAGUGGUUGACUAAGUCUCCUUCACAUAACAGAUUCUCUAACUGCUUUUGAAAAUAAAUCUGUUCAUUUUAUUUUCAAUAUGUUCUUUUUAUAACAGCUUUAACUGUUUUUUGAAAAUCUGUUAUAAGUUGUUUUUCUAUAAAAAGAAAACUUGUUCCUACGUUUAAAGGUGAAUCAUACAAUUGAGAAAAUAAGUUUUACAACUGAGAAUUAAGGAUUUACAAAGAAUUAACAUGUGUUCUUGAAAGAUUUUACAAAUUAAAAGCGUGCUUGUUCUUGGUUGGCUCUAAGGCUUGGUUAGAGGUGUUGGUACUAUGUGAGUAAUUUGUUCUACUGGUCUAAGGUAGAUUUCUGCAUCCUCUUUCAGGUGUAUUCGUUUCAUAUUUCAUUUCUUGUAAAAGUGUGAUUGUAAACUCUUCUUGAAGAGUGUGUGUGCUGAAAUAGUGUUUUUCAGCAAGUGUGUCAAGGUUCUUGUAGGGUUCAAGAACAAUGGUUGUGUAAGUGUGUUUGGUACGUUUGUUUAGUGGAUUUCACCUUGGAUUAGGUGAGACUGAAUGUAGCUCAUUUGAGUGAACCAGUAUCAUUGUUGUGUGUUAAUUUCUCUUCAUCCCUGCACUUGAUUUCUUGCUUAUCUGUUAAUCGGUCUAAAAUUGAACUUGUUCAAUUAAUAAUAAAUUUGUUCUUUCUAGGCUUGUUCCUUCUGUUCUUAUUUUCUGGAAAAUCAGUUUGGUUCUGUUAAGAAGAUAUAUGAACUAUUAAUAACUAGUGGAACAGUUUGGUUGUGAUAGGGUACCCAAUUGAUUGUCAAGCUAAUAAUUGAACCGUUAUCACUUAAAAAUUGAAGGUCACUGAUUUUGUUUUUCAUCAUAUCCUCUUAAAAAUAGUGUGUGUAUAGCUUGCAAAUCAAUCUGCAUAACUUCAAGAAUUUCUUAACUGGUAUAAACGCUUUAAUACAUAAAGAGUGUAAAAAUAAAUCUGUUCAUUGUUAAAUAAAUCGAUUUAUUUUCUGUGUACUGUGAUAAAAUUUAACUUUGUUCGAAAGUUUUUAAAGGUCAAUUCACCCCCCCUCUUGAACUUUGACACUAUUGAACCCAACAAUCUUCUUAACCAUGCAUUAUGAUCCAAGUCUGCUCGAAGAUUUUUUUUUAAACAAUUUGUUUUAAAAUCUUCUUAGUUUUUCAACUUGUUGUUCGAGAUAUUAAUUUGUUAAAAAUUAUCUUUAUUGAAGUCCUUAAGACUAUAGUAAGUAUUUUUAAUUGAUUAAUUUAUCACAUAAAAAAGUUAAAAUCAUUUAAGCUUUUCAACUGUUUUGUUUUUGUUGUCAUCUAGUCUAUUUUAUUUUGUGAAGAUAAACUAUGUUUUUAAAAAAUCAAUCUAUUUCAUGUUGUUGAUUUCUAUUGUUAAGUGAAAUCAACUUGUUAUUUUGUGUUAUCAACUUGUUGAAUUUUAACUUUUUAUGUUUUUUAUAUCAUAAUAUUUUUCAACAAUUAAAACUUUUGUUUUUUCAUAAAAUUCUUAUAAAAUAGUUUAUUGGUGACUUCAAAAAGUUGACAAACUUUAAUAAAAAAGAAUAGAGGGACUUUGUUUUGAAAUCUCAGAGAAACUCCUGUGUUCUUGGAUCAUUUUUUAUGUUUGUUGGAAAGACUUUUUUGUGUCAUUAACAAAAUUGUUUUAAGUGACACUUGUAAUUAACGGUGUAAAAAAUAUUUAUCGAAUAAAGGUCUAUAAAUAGGAUAUUUAUGUAUUAUUCUCAAAAUUUGUGAUAUUAAUGGAUAUGACUAAUGAAGUACAUUUUUCUAUGUCUUUGUUAAUUAACUUCAUUUUGAGGUUGUUCAUGCUUUUUAGGUUAUCUUUAGUGUUGAACCAAGUGUGUUCAAGCUUUGAAGAAUCCAAAUCCUUUGAAGGAUGAUGAAAGGUUGGUUGUGUUUGUUGUUGCUGAGCUGUCUUUUAGAUAGGAUCUGGAGUAGAAUUUAUGUAUAAUCCACUCUUGAUUGAAUCCAAAACAUAAACACUUUCAAUCCUUUUAAAAGAAAAGUGUUUUUCAAACUAAGUAAAAAACAACAUGUUGUUGUUUCGAAACAACCGAUUGUUUUAUACUUAGGUGUUUUUAGAAAGGUUGAAAACUGUUUUCAAUGGUUGACUUGCUGUCAAACCAAAACAACCAGUUGAUUCGUGGAAACAACCGAUUGUUUGUUUUGGUACCAUAACAAAAAACUGUUUUGUGCUUUGAUUGAGCAUUAAAUGAUUUUACAACUGUUUACGCUCCAGUUUUUAAUGAUUUGACAAAUCUUUAAAUGCAAUUAAUAGUUUGUUGAGAUUAUGCAACAAACAACUUUGUUUUAAAUACAGAAAAACAUAUUUUUGUUUUCAACAACUGAUUUGAGAUUUUGAAAAUUUGAGAAUUGCUUAGAGAUUGAAGUUGAUCAAAGAGUGUGAGAUAGGAUUUUCAUCUUGUAUUGAUUUCAGAUUUGUUCUGUAACAAGUGUAAUCCUUUGUAUCUUUGAAAGAAACUUUUUGUGUGUUGCUGAGAAGUGUUGUGUGUUCUUGAGGGGAUCAAGAUCAGCAUUCUUAGUGUUGUUGUGCUGGACCAAAGGAAAUGUGUGUCUUGAGGGGAUCAAGGUCACUUCUUUGGUUGUGUUGUAAGUGAUCUAGGGUUGAUUGCUUAGUGGAUUCCCCAGUGGUUUCUGGGAAGACUAGAUGUAGCUCUAUGUUUAGAGUGAACCAGUAUAAACCUCUGUGUGCAUUUUCUCUAUCCUUUAACUUUUUAAAUUCAGUUUUUAUAUUUGUAAACUAGUAUAAACAGCCGAUUGUUUUUCUGGUGUUGUGCUUUUUGCUUUGUGUUUUGGCAAACUGAUUUGCUUAUCAACUAUUUCUCGAAGUAAUUUCAUUCUUGACUUAAAAGUUUGCGUAAACCCUCUUUAAACCAUUCACCCCCCCCCCCCUCCUCUUGUUUAAAGCCAUACAUUCUUACAAUUGGUAUAAGAGCUUGGUUCUUGAAAUUUAUUCAAGUGUGAUCCUAAAACUGUUUUUAAUGGUUGAUAGACUACCUUUUGGGGAAGGUGCUUCAAACAAUAGACCAACUUUGUUUUGUUGUUUGAACUACCAAUUUUGGAAAGUAAGAAUGAAAAUCUUUGUGGAAUCACUUGACAAAGGUAUUUAGGAUGCAAUUGAAAAUGGUCCUUUUGUCCCAAAGAUUGAAAAAGAUGGAUCUUCCAUUGAAAAGCCUUGGUCUCAAUGGACUAAUUCUGAAAGAAAGAAGGCCAAAUUUGAUUGCAUUGUUAAAAACAUAAUAACCUCUGCUUUGAAUUCAUAUGAGUUUUUCAGGGUCUCUCAAUGCAAAACAGCAAAGGAAAUGUGGGACACCUUGGAUGUAACUCAUGAAGGUAUAAAUGAGGUGAAGAGAGCUAGGAAGCAUACUCAAUCCAAGAGUAUGAGAUGUUCAGAAUGCUCAAGGGUGAAACAAUUGCUGAAGUGCAAAAAAGAUUCACGCACACCAUCAAUCAUCUCAUGAGCCUUGACAAGACCUUUGAAAAGGAAGAGCUAAACAUCAAGAUUUUGAAAUGUCUUGAUAGAGCAUGGCAACCUAAGGUAACUCCAAUAUCUGAAUCUAAAGAUCUAACAUCAUUGAGCAUGGCUUCUUUGUUUGGCAAGCUUAGGGAACAUGAGUUAGAGAUGAAUCGACUCAAUGUUCAAGAAAGCGAAGACAAGCAUGUAAGGAGUAUUGCCUUAAAAGCUGUCAAGCACAAAGGCAAACAAGAAUCCCACGAUGAUAGUGAUGAAGAGAACCUUAGCUUGCUAUCCAGAAAGUUUAGCAAAUUCUUGAAGAGGAAUCGCAACAGGACAACAACAGAGAUAGGUAUGGAAACAAGAAAUCCAAUGAUUUUAAUUCCAAUAACUAUACUUGUUUUGGUUGUGGUGAGCAAGGGCACAUAAAAGCAGAUUGCCCAAACAAAAGCAAGGAGAAAAAGCCUAGCUACAACGAAAAGAAGGGCAAGACAAAAAGAGCCUACAUAACUUGGGAUGAGAAUGAUGUUUCCUCAUCAAGUUCAUCAUCAAGUGAAGAAGAAAGAGGAAACAUAUGUUUGAUUGCUGAAGAAGAUGACGAAUCUUGCAGCUCAAGUGAAGUAAGUUCUUGUGCUUCUUUAAAUUAACAAAAUUAUAGUGAAUUACUUGAAUCUUUUCAAGAAACUCACGAUGAAGCAAAUCGAUUGGUUCUUUCAAACAACCGAUUGAAAGAACUUAACAACUGGCUGGAAAAGAGAGUGAAGGCACUCUAAGAAGAGCUUGAAAAAUCUAAAAAGGAUUUUAAAAAUCUUGAAACACAUUUCAAAAACUCUUCUUGCAAGUGUGACACUCUCAUUUGCGAAAAUUGUGAAAACCUUGAGAAGAAAGUGCAUUAUCUUGUUAAUACUAUGGAUAAGCUUUCGAAAGGAAAAUCUAACUUUGAGAAUGUCUUGGCAUCUCAAAACUGUGUUUUUGGAAAAGCUGGUUUAGGUUUUAAUCCACAAAACAAACAAGAUAAGUUUAAAAAAAAAAAUCAAGAAAGCCAGUAAAACAACCGAUUAUUAAGUCUAAACAACCGGUUGUUACAUGCUUUUACUGCAUGAAAAAGGGCCAUUCAGUUAGGUUUUGCAAAAUAAGAAAGUUUUUUGUUCCCAGAGGCUUCAUGAAAUGGAUUCCUAAAGGAUGUGAGGUUUCAAAUGAGAAAAAGAAAUUAAUUGGACCCACAUUUGUGAAGGGGCCAAAUCUUGUUGCUUGAACUCAUGUUUGUGCAAGAAAUCUAAAGAAGUGUGAGGGACUGAGUCAUCUGAUCAAGUUCUUGGAAGAAAAAGAAUAACAUUGAAGCUGAAUCAAUGUUAUGUAUUUGUCCAAAGGCUCCUAACAGUUAAAUGAGGCUUCUUGAUCACAAAGCAUAUGGCUCAUUGAAAGAACAUCAUAAAGGAUAAGACCUUCCUUAUCUCUGUUCUUAAUCCCUUUUUUAAGUUCAUAUUCAUGAUUUUACAGCGUGGAGGAUUUUGCUAGGUAGACUCCCAACCUUUUGAUAAUUUAAUUCGGAGAGGUGUGGUAGUAAACUCUCCCCUUUGUGUGUUUUGUAAGGAAGUGCAAGAGACAACACAACAUCUCUUCAUAGAGUGCGGUUAUGCACAACGUGUUUGGUCUCUUUGUUUAAGAUGGAUAGGCACUGCGUAUGUUCAACAUAAAGACAUCUCCAUUUACUUUGAGAGUUUUUAUUUGUAUCAUCUCAAUGCCAAGCAGAAUCAGGUUUGGAAGGGAGUCUGGGCUACUAUAGUACGAAGUAUCUGGGAUCAAAGAAAUCUGGUUGUUUAUAAGCAAGGAAUAGUUGAUGCAGAAGAUAUUUUUCACUUAGCCCAACUAUUAGUGUGGCUUAAGCUGAGGUUUGGUACAAUUCCCUUUAACUAUGCAUUCUCGGUUUGGGUUCUCAAUCCAGACCAGUGCCUGCAAAGCUGCUUUUGUUGAGGGUAUUAUAAGAAACUCUUGUACUUCGAGAUUCUGAAGGAAGAUACAGGGCAAGGGGUAUGAAGAUACUGGUUUAGAGCAGUGAAAGGAAGGGUAGGGGGUGACUCCAGAGGUUGUAUUACAAAGGAGUCUUUCAGGAAGCAGGGGAAGAUAUCUCAGCUGUGUGGGAUGUAUUUUGGAGUAAACAUAUAGGACAUGCCACUGCUAGUAGUAUAAUUGUUGUGGGGAUGCCACUGUUAUUUUGUUUCUUGGUUGCUGGUUUUGCUACUGUAUAAGGAAGGCACUGAAUGAACGAAGCUGGCUUGUAAGUGUGGUAGUUUAUAGUAAGAAGACUGGAGUUGUGGUUGUCGUCUCUCAAUCUUAUGCAUUAGGAACUAAGCAUAAUAUUUGUACUAGACUGUGCUUUCUGCGGGCGAUCUUGGAGGAGCAACUUGGUGGCUUCUGGGAGCUAAUGAUAGCUACAAUGCACGGUUGAACUUAGCAUGAAUGUUCGCCAGUAGUGUUGCACGCUCAGCUAUUUAAAAUGAAACAUAGAGAGGGUGUUUAGUAUUAAAGGUGAGAGGUAAAAUACAAGAAUGGAUGGCAGUAGGUUUGGUAAGGAGGUUCAAAGCAAGCUCACAAUGAUCGCGGCAUCCAUAUCAAGCCAAUUUAUUCACGAUCCAUUCCUAGCAUUUCAAAUGUAUAUUCCAAGUUGAACCGAUGAGAGUGACGAUCAUAUGCAUCUAGCUAUCACAAGCACCAAAGGGUAGCAGGUGUUGAGAUGAGUCGAGCGGGUGCAGGGGUGAAAGCCUAGGAAUCUGAUUAGGUAAGUGAAUUGCUUAGCAAGGCAGUCAUAAAGGUUAAGAAUGGUUGGUGGAUGUGGAGGUUGCUGGUUUAGAAGGAUGUUUAGAAGGCAGGCUGUAAUUACUCUGAGGCAACAAGUUUACUUCUGGGCUUGGUAUGCAUGUGCAGGACCUAUGUUUAUGCAGGUGCAAGUUUAGUAACUUAGAUUGCAAGCUCUUUGGGUUGAUGUAAAAUCCUAUAGUUCGCUGGAAGGAUCCGAUGCAAAAUUGAAACAUAGAUAAAGUGCUUAUCAUCAAUGAGAAUAUAUCUCAGAUGCCUAAACGUGAAGACUGGAUGUUCAAAUCUGGAUUGGUAUGGAGCUGCCAUAAUAUCACCACGUUCUGCUGUUGGAACCUUGGAUUUGCUUUUGGUGACUUGCGGUGCCUCCAUCCAAUUUUGGCCACUUGUGUAGUUAAAUAGCACUGUGGUUGAUGAGAGUCAAGUAAAGGAGGUUUUUAUUGAUGAAGGAAGAGGCCAUUCACCAUCACACUUAAAGUUCUUCCUUCUAAUCUUCUCAAAAUUAAAAGAAGACAUAAAAUAAAGAGAGGCCCAAGCCCAAAGCCCAAGCCCAAGCCCAAGUCCAUCCUAUGAAGGGCAAGGCCAAGUAUUAAAUAAUAAAUAUUGUUGAAGGUGCUUAGAGGGAAACAUUAGAAACCUCUAUUGUUAAAGCAUCUUUUAGUCUUUAGUUAGGAGUCUUAGGGGGAGGGGUGUUAGUAGAUAGGUGUAGGAGUAAAUAAGGAGGUGCCAAAGUGAGAGAAGGGAUCACACCUUCCUCGUGCUUUGUUUUAGGCGCCAAUUCUAGAAGCUUUUUAGGAGGGAAAUUUGAAUUGUUUAGCUUGCAUUUUCAGCACCUUAGGCUAUAUAUAGAGGUGCUCUCUUUGUAAAAUUCAGAUUGGAAUUAAGAGUAAAGAAACUAUACUCAAUUUUUGAGUGAACAUUGGAGAGCUUUUGAGCCUUCUUCUCUAGUCUUAUCUUGAAGGAUCCAUGGGUGUCCUCAAGUGGCGGCAGCACACUCAUCUAGGAGCAACCAUCCUUCUAGUGGCGUGAUCACUCACCUUCUCUUCCAUCUCCAUAAGCUUUUCUCUUCUCCUUCCUUCCUACUCUUUCAAUUGUUCAUGUUUAGCUUGUGUUCUUGAGUUUUAGUUCGAUUAUUUUCAUUUUCCAGCAGCUGUCUUCUUCUUCUCUGUUUUUGGUUCGGUGCAUUUUAAUUUCCAGCACUUCUAAUUCAGUUUGCUUAUCUUUUGUUCCAUUUUGUUCGGUUCAAUUUGACUAUAAUUGGAACUUCCAUAUGAGUUUGGAUUUGGUGCUAGUUUUGGUGAGUUCUUGACUUAGAACAUUGAUCCAAUUCUAAGAAAAAGUGCCUAACUAUUGUCCAACUCAAGUUGAUUCCUAAGAAGGUCAAGAACCUUUCUCUUCUUUGCUAUUGGAAUCACAUCAUGUGGUAUCAUGAGUUUAGGUGUGUUCUUGUUUAAAUUUUGAGUUGUGUAGCACUUUAUUUCAACAGCUCUUUUAAUUUCUUGCAAUAUAAGUUUCUGUUUUAGGCUUAUUUUGAGUUUACUUGCUGUUUUAAUUCUUUUUCCUAUCAUAUGUUUGAGUAUUUUCCUUUUUGAAUCAUGUCAAGUUUUGUCUUAGUCAUGUUAUUCCAUAAUUGUCAUUACUUCUAGUAGUACUUUUAUUGUUUUUUAUUGUUUCUUGCUUUAGUGUCAUAUAAUUUUCUGAAUUGAUAUAUAUCCUUUGUGCAUUUUCUUUUUAGAAUUGAGUUCAUACUUGUAUUCUAGACCUAUACAAGUUCCAAUACAUCAUUUUCCAUUAUGUCUUUGCUAGUUCAUAAUUCUGUUUUUUAUUCCUAUUAGGAUUCCUCUGUUUCUGAAAAAAAAGUGCUUACUAUUUUUCCUUAUUGCAAUUGAUUUACUCAGUAGAAAAUUCUGAAAUUCUGGAUUUGUGAUAUUCAAAUUGUUAGAAAAGAUUAGAAAAAAGAAUCAUUCAAAAAUUCAAAGUACACAAAAAAUGAUAAAUAAAAUAAAAAAAGUGUGCAAUUCUGCCGAAAAGAAUACGGUAAUCUGGCACAAUUAAUUGGCUUACUGUUUUUAAUUGAUUCCAGUGCCAUUAUUGAGUUAACAUCUUGAAGUUUCUGUGGUUUAAAUUUCAUAAUCCAGUUCGCUCUACAUCAUUCCAGUUAAAUCAUUGAAUAUCAAGCACAGUUGCAUUAAAAAAAAAAAAAUCCAGUAGCUAAAUUUUUGUUUUCUUCAUCUACUCUAGUGCUUGUCCUUAAGUAUUCUUUUGUGUGCCUACUUUCUCAUUGAGUUCUUUAUUUUCUUGAUUGUCUUUCAUUCCUUACUCUUUGAGUUUCUCUUACAUAUAGUAUUCCUUUUGCAAUUACCUUUCUUUGCUUAUACCUUUUCUUGUUUGUCUUUAUUGUUUCAUUGGUUUUGUGGUGGUUGCCUUUGAGAUUGGUGUGCUUGCUUUGACAUCUUUCAUUUGAGGAUUCCAAGGCCUCAAGAUCAGAUUGGUGCAAGGACAUUAUUUCUUUGAGAGUGACCUAUUUUUCUACCUCAAUUCACUUCGGCAUUUUUUUGCUUAAAACACUCACUGUUUUUGCUAAUUUUUGUUUCUUAACUUGUUUGCUGUUUUUGUGUGUUUGCUGUUUUUUUUAUUUCCAAAAUGGCUGGAUUUUCAAGUGAUGCAUCAUACAAGCGGAAUUCUCCUUCCAAAGCUUUAAUCCUUGGUGAAUUACAUGAAGCUCAAAGAACCAUUAGACGGUUGGAGGAGAAAUUGCAAAAGAUGGAGGUGCAACAAGCUAGACCAUCUCCUUCAAUUCAUGAUGAGCAUCAUAGACCUUCAACAAGAGCUUCUUCCAAUGAUUUUGGCCGUGAAGAUGAGCAUAGGAGAAGGAGAACUCCACCCCAAGUCCAUGGACAAAGACAUCAUCACCAUGGGGAAAGACAACACUACGACAAUGGCUUCUAUCAUGAUGCAAAGUCUAGGCUUCCUUCAGUCAAGCUUCCUUGUUUUAAUGGCUCUAGUGAUCCUAAUGUAUAUUUAGAUUGGGAGGAUAAGUGUGAACAAAUAUUUGAGAUCCAUGAGAUCCAAGAUGAGCAUAAGCUUAAGCUAGCCACCCUAGAGUUUAGUGAUUAUGCCAUGAAAUGGUGGCAUGGAAUUGUAAAGGACAUUAUCUAUCACAAGGGUCCUCCCGUGGACUCUUGGAACUCUUUAAAGGAUUAAAUGCGCGCUAGGUUUGUGUCCCCACAUUUUAGGAAAGACCUCAUGUUGAGACUCCAACGGUUUCAACAAGGCACGCUAAAUGUGGAUGAAUAUUAUAAGGAGCUUGAGAUGCUUGUGCUUAAAAUUGAAUUAGAAGAAAGUGAGGAAGCUAUGAUUGCUAGGUUUGUGAGUGGUCUUAGGAAGGAUAUUCAAGACAUUGUUGAGUUGCAAGAGUAUUCAUCAUUGGGCUCUUUAGUUCAUCUUGCAAUGAAGGUGGAAGCCCAACUUGCAAAGAAAAAUAUUUUUAAAAAUAUUCCCAAAGAUGAUUACUACAACAAUUCUUGGAAGAACAAAAAGUCUUUUUCAAAAUUUCCUUCCAAAGAUUCUUCUUUCAAACCCAAGGAUCCUACGCCAUCUACUUCUAGGCCUAAAUCCCCAAUUAAAUCGUCUAGUCAAAGUGUUUUAAAUGUUUGGGAUUUGGUCACAUUGCUGCUAAUUGCCCUUCUAAACGAAGUAUGUACAUGCAUGAAGGCAUUGUAGUUAGUGAGCAUGAUUCCAAUUCACCUAGGCAUUCUUCACCUUCUAGACCAUCAAGUGAAAAUGAGAGUGAAAGUCCUUGUGAAGGUGACUUAUUGAUGGUAAGACGUAUGUUGGGCACAAUUCCAAAAUCUUUGAAUGAUACUCAAAGAGAAAAUAUUUUUCACACCCGAUGUCUUAUCAACAACAAGUUAUGUUCCUUGAUUAUUGAUGGGGGAAGUUGCACUAAUGUGGCUAGUACAAGAGUUGUGGAGAAGUUAGCCUUACCCACUAUCUCUCAUACCAAGCCCUACAAAUUACAAUGGCUUAGUGAAGUAGGUGAAAUCAUGGUGAAUAAACAAGUCCUCAUUAACUUUGAAAUAGGAAAGUAUAAAGAUGAGGUUUUAUGUGAUGUUGUGCCCAUGGAAGCAUCUCAUCUUCUUUUAGGAAGGCCUUGGCAAUAUGAUAGACAUGUUUUACAUAAUGGCCUAUCCAAUACAAUGUCUUUUUCCUUCCUAGGGCGCAAGGUUAUAUUAAAACCCCUCUCUCCCAAAGAGGUUCAUGAGGACCAAAUAAAAAUGAAAACUAAAAGAGAAAAUGAGAAAGAAAAAAAAGUAAAUACUACACCGAGUCACACCAUUUUCUCCUCCAAAUCCAUCAUGUUGACUCGUGCUAUGCCUCACAUUGACCCUCCAAGGUCUUCUUCUUCUUUAUCUUUUUCAUUACCCAAGGUGCCUAUUUCAACACCACUUGGUUAAAAUAUGUUAGGGACGAUUUUUUCAUACCUCCUAAUGGGUUUCACCAUUUAAGAGGUCUUUUUCCAAAAAACAUCAUCAUUCCCAAACAAAUUUUUCCAACUUGGUCGAUUUAUAGGACCUCCUUUUCUGCAAUCCCUUUGGUUCCAUCUGCUAAGUCAUGUAUUCCUUUUUCUUACACUUUUCAUUAUAAAAGUAAACUGACUUUGUUAUAUGCAGGGAUUCAGAAUUCGUGNNNNNNNNNNNNNNNNNNNNNNNNNNNNNNNNNNNNNNNNNNNNNNNNNNNNNNNNNNNNNNNNNNNNNNNNNNNNNNNNNNNNNNNNNNNNNNNNNNNNNNNNNNNNNNNNNNNNNNNNNNNNNNNNNNNNNNNNNNNNNNNNNNNNNNNNNNNNNNNNNNNNNNNNNNNNNNNNNNNNNNNNNNNNNNNNNNNNNNNNNNNNNNNNNNNNNNNNNNNNNNNNNNNNNNNNNNNNNNNNNNNNNNNNNNNNNNNNNNNNNNNNNNNNNNNNNNNNNNNNNNNNNNNNNNNNNNNNNNNNNNNNNNNNNNNNNNNNNNNNNNNNNNNNNNNNNNNNNNNNNNNNNNNNNNNNNNNNNNNNNNNNNNNNNNNNNNNNNNNNNNNNNNNNNNNNNNNNNNNNNNNNNNNNNNNNNNNNNNNNNNNNNNNNNNNNNNNNNNNNNNNNNNNNNNNNNNNNNNNNNNNNNNNNNNNNNNNNNNNNNNNNNNNNNNNNNNNNNNNNNNNNNNNNNNNNNNNNNNNNNNNNNNNNNNNNNNNUGGAGAGCUUUUGAGCCUUCUUCUCUAGUCUUACCUUGAAGGAUCCAUGGUGUCCUCAAGUGGCGGCAGCACACUCAUCUAGGAGCAACCAUCCUUCUAGUGGCGUGAUCACUCACCUUCUCUUCCAUCUCCAUAAGCUUUUCUCUUCUCCUUCCUUCCUACUCUUUCAAUUGUUCAUGUUUAGCUUGUGUUCUUGAGUUUUGGUUCGAUUAUUUUCAUUUUCCAGCAGCUGUCUUCUUCUUCUCUGUUUUUGGUUCGGUGCAUUUUAAUUUCCAGCACUUCUAAUUCAGUUUGCUUAUCUUUUGUUCCAUUUUGUUCGGUUCAAUUUGACUAUAAUUGGAACUUCCAUAUGAGUUUGGAUUUGGUGCUAGUUUUGGUGAGUUCUUGACUUAGAACAUUGAUCCAAUUCUAAGAAAAAGUGCCUAACUAUUGUCCAACUCAAGUUGAUUCCUAAGAAGGUCAAGAACUUUUCUCUUCUUUGCUAUUGGAAUCACAUCAGUGGUGGAAAGUGCACUUUUACUCAUAAUAGCUCUUUAGUAGGUUUUUUUGGUGCUCUGAAUGUCAAGGUUGGUACCAAUUUUUAUCUAGAUUAGGAGCACCUACUUGAUGUAUACGGGUUGGGACAUCCCUGAAAUGUCCCACUUUAAUUAUAUUUAUUCUUUGCUGAUCAAAAAAAAAAGUUCAUAUUCAUGAUUAAAUAUCUUCUUUAAAAUGUUCAAUUUCAUCUGCUUUGAAUUCUUUCUGCUCAUGAUUAAAAAUUCAAAAUUAGUUUUACUGCUGCAAAAAAACAACCGAUUGUUUUGUGUCUAACAACACUGUGAAGAAAUCAAUUUAAUUUCUAUUUUGAAUUUAUGUCUGUUGCAGAUCACAUAAAGAAAGAAUCCUUGGUCAAUGAACCUGUGUUGAAAGCUGAUCACGCUCAGAAAGAAGUUACAACAGUCAUAAAGGAAUAUAUUCCACAAACUUGAAAAUUUAAGAGCUUUUAUGACUAGUCAAAGAUCACAUGUGAUGACAAUGUGAUUUUCUGCUUUUUCUGACGUUUUCUGUGCAGGGCUUGGUCAAGUAUUUUCUCUCUGAAAAUCUGGUACCCACUCACGUCAUUGAAUGCUUUAUGAUUCUGUUUUUGCUAUAAAAUUUGUUGCAACUGAUCUCUUUCACAAGAACAACCAAUUGGGCCAUCUCUUGCAACAUCUCUUCAAUUCUUGUGUGAGCUUUUCUCUGCUUCUUCUCUGCCAUGAUGAAAUCAACUCCUCCCACCUCAAAGAGAGUUAAAACCAGAGCACUAAGGUCUGGAGGAAGUCUAGAAGGAUGGUUUUCUGGAGAUAAUGAUCUAAUUGAAAGGUAUAGGUUUGAGACUAGCACAAAAGUAAUAAACAACCCCAAAGUUGUUUGCUUUGAUUGGCUGAAAAGCCAAAAUCUAGAUAAUGUAAGGAGGCUGCUCAAAGAUCAAUUUCUCAGAAAUUUCUUGGAGAUGAAGGGGAACAUCUACCCAGAUUUGAUUAGAGUGUUCUACACAAAUCUCAAAUUUGAGGGAAACAACCUUGUCUCUCAUGUGAAGGGUGUAGAUAUGGAGAUCACCUAUGAUAUGUGGACUGCAGUGGCGGGUCUGAAAUAUUUUGGCCUCAGAAUCAACAAGGGGAACCUUGGUGUAGUGGAGGAUUUCAACAAAGUCCAAUACUACAAAAGUUGUUUGAAAAAUCAAAAUGCUCAAGUUAGGACUUGUUCGGUUGGAGGCUUGAGGCUUGAUGAAAGGUUGUUGGCCCUUAUUGUGACUUGGAUUCUAACUCCAAGGGGGAGCAAUCAUUUUGUCCUUACAUAGGAGGACCUUGUGUAUAUCUACUGCAUAAUGAAGAAGAUCAGAAUCAAUUGGAUCCACAUCAUCAAGGAGCACAUGCAAAAGGCAAUGAGGUUAAGUGACUAUCACUAUCCAUAUGUUGUUUUGAUUUCUAAAUUUUUGUUGUAUUUUGAAGUGAAUCUGGAAGAUGAAACAUCUGAGUUGGUGAAGUCAACUCAAGAGAUGAACAAUGGAUCUCUCAGCAAAAUGGGAUUCACCAAAAUAGGUGGCAAAUGGAUAAGCAAAGAUGGUGACUAUGGUGCCUUAUCAAGUGUUGCUGCUGAUCUUGAAGAAGAAGAACAUGCUGCUGAUAUGGAUUUUCAACAUGAAGAUCAUCCUGAAACAAAUCAAGAUGUUGGACCUAGUGUUGGAAAUCAGGAAGAUGGAAUGCCAACCAUGUCUUCUUUUGAGAGAUAUAUGGUCAAUAGGCUUGAUGGUUUUGCGGAGAAUUAAAGAAAUCUCCAUGAUCUGUGUGUAAGCAACUUCCAGAGCAUUAAUAACAAGUUCAACAACAUGGAUUCACGCUUCAUGACUUUGGAUGAACAGAUUAAAGCUGUUCAGAAUCAGAUUUAUGAUCUACAAUAUAUCAAAGAUGACUAAAGAAGGAAAAACAACCGGUUGAUGUCACGGAACAACCGAUUGUUUUUAUGGCUUGUAUCAGUUUCUUCUAUUUUCUUCUUUUGCUCUUUAAUUCUGUUUUAUUAAGAAGAAUUAUCUUGAUAUCUCUUCUUUUUGUCUAUUUGUGAAGACAAAUAGGGGGAGAUUUAUGCUGUGUGUUGUUCUCGGUUUUAAAUUCUGCAAAACAGUUUAUGAUUGUUUAAAGAAAGCCUUAUAGGUUUUUAUGUGCUCUGAUAUCUUGCUCUGAUAUACUGUUUCUGUUCUAACCCUAUAUCAUAAGUGUUUUGCUUAAACUGUGUCUUGCAGGAAAUGCUCCAGAUUCAAUCAAAUCCAACACAAGCAAUCAGGGAUUUGUCUUCAUUAAAUAGGUGGAGAUUGUUGAACCAAGUGUGUUCAAGCUUUGAAGAAUCCAAACCCUUUGAAGGAUGAUGAAAGGAUGGUUGUGCUUGUUGUUGUUGAGCUGUCUUUUAGAUAGGAUUUGGGGUAGACUUUAUGUAUAAUCCACUCUUGAUUGAAUCCAAAGCAUAAGCACUCUCAAUCCUUUUAAAAGAAAAUUGUUUUUUCAAACUAAGUAAAAAACAACCUGUUGUUUUGUCGAAACAACCGAUUGUUUUAUACUUAGGUGUUUUUAGAAAGGUUGAAAACUAUUUUCAAUGGUUGACUUGCUGUCAAAACCAAAACAACCGAUUGAUUCGUGGAAACAACCGAUUGUUUGUUUUGGUACCAUAACAGAAAACUGUUUUGUGCUUUGACUGAGCAUUAAAUGAUUUUAAAACUGUUUACGCUCUAGUUUUUAAUGCUUUGACCAAUCUUUAAAUGCAAUUAAUAGUUUGUUGAGAUUAUGCAACAAACAACUUUGUUUUAAAUACAGAAAAACAGAUUUGUGUUUUUAACAACUGAUUUAAGAUUUUGAAAAGUUGAGAAUUGCUUAGAGAUUGAAGUUGAUCAAAGAGUGUGAGAUAUGAUUUUGAUCUUGUAUUGAUUUCAGAUUUCUUCUGUAACAAGUGUAAUCCUUUGUAUCUUUGAAAGAAACUUUUUGUGUGUUGCUGAGAAGUGUUGUGUGUUCUUGAGGGGAUCAAGAUCAGCAUUCUUAGUGUUGUUGUGCUGGACCAAAGGAAGUGUGUAUCUUGAGAGGAUCAAGGUCACUUCUUUGGUUGUGUUGUAAGUGAUCUAGGGUUGAUUGCUUAGUGGAUUCCCCAGUGGUUUCUGGGAAGACUGGAUGUAGCUCUAGGUUUUGAGUGAACCAGUAUAAACCUCUGUGUGCAUUUUCUCUAUCUUUUAACUCUUUAAAUUCAGUUUUUAUAUUUGUAAACUGGUAUAAACAACCGAUUGUUUCUGCGAAACAACCGAUUAUUUUUCUAGUGCUUUGUUUUUUGCUUUGUGUUUUGGCAAACUGAUUUCCUUAUCAACUGUUUCUCGAAGUAAUUUCAUUCUUGACUUAAAAGUUUGCGGAAACCCUCUUUAAACCAUUCACCCCCCACCCCCCUCUAGUUUAAAGUCAUACAUUCUUACAUAUAGUUCCUUUACUUUAGAAUUACUUGUUUAAAAAUGUGAGUUUAUUUUCAUCAAGUAUACUUUUCUUUAUUCUAUUCACUAGUGCAGAAAAAGUUAAAAACGAUGGCUAUUUUAACCGUAAAACGACGACUUCCUAGCUGUUGUUGAUCAGUGCACAGUCUUAUGUUCCAAAGUAAAUAAGGCGGCUACUUAGUCGCCUUCUUAGAUUCAAACAAAGAAGGAGGCUAUGGUAAAAGUUGUUGUUUCAGACUUUCCUAAAAGAUCUAAAAUGCAGCUAUGAUAAAAAAUCGCCGUUAUAGACCCUCCUAAAAGGUCUAAAAUGGCGGCUUUUUACCAUUGUCGUUGUUUUAAAUGGAAUUUUUAUUUUAGUUCAUUUUGUUUAAUGCUAAUCCCAUCUAAAUUAACCAGUACCUGUACAAUUAAAACCCAUCCCAGUCCAGAUACAUUUAUUCAAAGAAUCAAAUUAUAUACAUUGAUAAAAAUGUAUUACAAACAUCUAAUUCCUACAUUAUUGAUUAGCUAUCCUAGAGUUUUGAUAAAUCACUAAUUUAUACUAGGAAAAAUCAUGAAAAAUUUUAGAAUUUUCUGAUUAGUGUAAGUAUGGGAACUAAAACCUUAAAAUACCUAAAAAAAUGCCUAAAUAAUACUACAAAUUUAAAAAGUAAUAGUAAAUGAUGGAUUUUUGGAAUUUUUGGUGGACCCAAUCCCCUUCGGUUAUUGGUAACAAGCUUCGUCUCCUCAUUUCGAGCAACUUUCAUUGUUUAUGCGUCUCCAUCCAACUUUUCUGCCAAAAGUUAUGACUGUUUCAAGUUUUUCAUAUUACUUCUUGGCAAUUCCAAAUCUAUCACUUUUGUCUUCAAUGUGAAGACUCCUCCGUCAAAUAUACACUAAAUGAAGUUUCCACACACAAAAAAUGGAUCAAAUAUCACUUUCUGCCUAUUUUUAAUGAAUUUUACAAUGAUUAAAAAAUAUAUAAAACACCACCAACCUUGUACGUGAAGGCGGUGGUGAAUAACAGCAACGACGACUAGCCAGCGACGAAAACCAAUGGAGGCACAAGGAAACCCUAAACAAUGAAACAAAAUAAGGAUGCAUGAAUGAAUAAAUAAGAGAAACAAAAAAAGAAACAAAUAAGCAAUGGAGAAUGCAAAAUGAGUGUGAGUGAAUGAGAGAAACUUGCAAAGACCUCGAAGAUGAAAAAGAAGUAGAGAAAGCACGAAGGCAAAGAAGGAAGACAAGCACAAAGAAGAGGAAAUACGAAAGUGGCGCGCUUUGAGUUAAGGUAAAAAAUAAAUAUAAGAUGGCGGCUAUAGCCGUCGUCUUAGACCAAAGUGUUUCGUCUAAGACGACAGAUUUACCACAUAACCCUCAUCUUAGACUCUUUUCAUUACAAAAAUACUACCACGUUUUAAAGGAUAGCAUUUGACAAUAUAAACGUUGUGAAUUGCUUGUCGUUUAAGAGACUUUUUGCAUUAAUAUAUAUAUAUAUAUAUAUAUAUAUAUAUAUAUAUAUAUUCACAAUGAAUGUGAUAUUCUAACGAAAUUGACAUCAACCGUUAAUAGUUUACGACAUGCUAAACUAAUAAAAAUAACAAAUAUAAGAGAAUUAGGUCAAAUCUAUGAAAAAAAAUUAUAAAUGACAAGAUUUCAAAAAUUCAAAUUUAUUCCUUAAAAAAGCUGUCGAAUAUAAGAGUUAAAGAAUUUCACCAAAGAAAAUCAUACUUGGUAUUAAUAGCCAAAUUAGCUUUUAAAAUCUAAAAUUUCACUUAUAGACUUGCAUUUACUCCAUCUACUUCUAAUCUUUCAAGAGAUCUCAAAGUUGGUAUAAAAAGUUUGAACCACAACAGUGAGUGACUUCUCUUCCUUGCUAUUUCUUCUCUCCAUCCAAUUUCACAAGUUCUUUCCUGUCGGAUGUCCUGUAUACUCCCAAUAAUGGUUCUUACCUAACUAUUCCUUGGAUUUACGGCUAUAGUCAUCAUUAUACCGAGCCACAGCAUAUAGUGCUUUUGAAUUGUAGCCAUCGAGUGACUGGGAAGCGCAAGUAUGUGGAUACCCGUGGAUGCAUGAAUUGGGAAUGGAAAGGCUACAUAUAUGCUAUGGCUGGUGACCUAAUUGCAGAGGACUUUGAAGUUGGAUGUCAUGUGAAGCUGGUUGCUCUCACAUCGUGGUGGGGUUUGGACACAAAUACAUAUUCCUAUAACAUGAUGCACACAGCGCUAGUCUAUGGAUUUGAGCUUUCAUGGGCUCCUAUGACCUGUGAGGAUCGUUGUGCACCUACUUACUGCUAUAUCAAUUCUUCCAGCCAGACCCUUGAAUGCGAAAAGGAAGGUAUAGGGCAGUGCAGGCUUUCUGUUUUUAAUGUUUCUGUUAAAUUGAGUUUGUUUAAUAUUUUUUUUUUUUAUAUUUACUAGCUAAACAUUCCAUCGGUACGAUUUGUGAUAUUAUAUCCUCUUAUAAAUUUUUAUAAAUACAUACAUAUUAUUUUUUAUUUUAUGUGAGCUUUUUAUUAUAUCAAAAUAAAAUAAUUAUAUUAUAUAUUAUAUUUAAUUGAUAUUAUAAUAAAAAAAAUUAUAAGGAAUCAAAUAUUUUAAAUAUUUAUGAUUUAAUUAUAUGUAAAAUGUGAAUAGUCAUUUUUUUUUUACAAUUAGUUUUUUUUACACUGUAUUUUUUUUAUUUUGUAAAUUUGUAUCGUAAUUUAAAAAUAUUAUUAAAGAUAAAAUAGAAAAAAAUUGUAUAUACAAUUAUAAUAAAUUAUAGAUAAAUAUAUCUAUAUAUUUUUAAAAAUCAAAUCAUACUAAAUCAUCAUUUUAUGAAAAAUAGUGGGGUUUCAAUCCACCUAUUUCCUUAAAAAAUUUCAAAACCAUCUGAAACCGUUUAAUUUAGUUUUUUCUUUAUAUAGUAAGUAAAUAAUGUAAACAUUAUUGAGUAAUUUCUGUGCAUCUUUGAUAUUGAUACUCUGUUCCUUUUUUGGGUGAAUAGGGAGGAGCAGACCUUCUUGGUGGCAGCUGUAUAAUUUGUGUAAGAAUUCUAUCUCUUUAGAUUGAAAUUGUACUUAAUAUCAAAAUCAGUUUUGAUUCUAAAUAAUCAUGAAAAAUUAUGAAAUAAAAAUUCAUUUUUAGAAAAAAAAAAAUUAGUAACUAUAAUAAUUAAAUUAAAGAUUAUUUUAGAGAUUAAAAAAAAUUAAUUUUUAAAUUAAUUUCUGUUAUUGUUAAAUAAUUUUUAAAUUAGUAUCUAAUUAGUUAAGAAGAUUUUAACUAUCAAUUAUUUAGAUUUUAAAUUUGGUAGAAAAAAUUUGGUAACUAAUUAGAUACCAAUUUAGAAAUCAUUUAUAAUAAAAACUAAUUUAGAAACCAAAAGUUUUUUUAGUUUCUAUUUCAUUAUUUUUUUUAGUGAAUUAUCAUAUUACCUAUUAUACAUUUUUUUUUUCAAAUUUUCAUGUUUAAAUAUAGUUGUAAUCUGUUAAUUUAAAUUUGAAUUUCUUUUAUAUGGGUUUUCUAAUUUUUUUUUCCUGCAUUUUGAAAAUGUUUUUUUUUUUUAUCUCUAUGUGUACAGUAUCAAAUAUGAUGAUUAAUAUUGUGUUUUCUAACUAUUUAUAAAACAUGAAUUUUAAUGAUUUUUGUUAAAAAAAUUAAAUUCGUAUUAUAGUUAAAAAAUUAUUAUUUGUGGAAGAUUUUUACCGUGAUGAUUAAGAAGAAUGAAACAAAAGAUAAUGACAUGAAAAGAAUGAGAAAUAAAAUUUCUAAUACUAUCUAUGUGAUGAAGUCUAAAGAUUCACGUCAUAAAAACGAUAAAAAUAUAAAUAUGAAAUUUAGAGACUAAACUAUCCUUAUUCUUAUAAUAAUCUGAUACCCGAAUGUACUCUAUGAAAUGUAUUUUGUCUUUUCUUUUUCUGCUCGCCAUUGAAUAUGUCUAAUGGGUGGGGUACCUGCAAAAACACUCAAACGCUUAAGUCGAUUUGGGUACAAGAGUGUUCAGUGAGUUUAAAACUAAAAAAGUCAUUACCUUUUAUACUCUUUCUUCCUGCACCUUCAUAUCUUCUUCUGUCACCUCCAUACACAACUUGAAAAUACAUUUUUAUCCUUCUCAUAUCACCCCCAUAUAGUAGUUUCCAGAUUAUGUAAUCCAGAAACUCAUUUAAAAAAAUACUUUCGGAUUACAUAAUCCAAAAGUUAAAUAAGACUUCCGAAUUAUGUAAUCCAGAAAUUAAUCAUGCAUAUGAAAAAAGGCUUUCGGAUUGUGUAAUCCGAAAGCUAAUUCCAAAUUUGAAAAAUAACUUCUGAAUUAUGUAAUCCGAAAUAGUAUAUAGGAGUAUUUUUGGAAAUUUGAAAAUAUAUGGAGGUGAGAGAAGAAGGUACGGAGGUGCAGAAAGAAACAGUCUACCUUUUAUCAUGAAAGUCUUAUCUUAUUUAUAGUGGGUCUUUUGUCUUAACUACGCUGGCCCAGGCCAAUAAUCCUUAAUGGUGUUUAAUUAUCCACUAAUUCCCAAGUUAUUCUAAUUAAUCAACUAGUCAACUACUUCUAUGUUGGCCGAGUGGCCGUUUUCCUUGCCAGCCACUCGGGGUUCAGAAACCGGAUGUGACAUAGGCCCUCAGGCUUGAGUUUCUAUUGGAAACGAAAAGUCUUUGAUCUGAGAGGUCGACAACCUUUUUUAUGUAUCCGUUGGCAUUGUCGUGUUAACUCUAUUUAUAUUAACAUUUAUUGUGCUAUUACUUUUGAAGUGGGCCCCACGUACUAUUCCUAACUGACACAUGAUUUAAGUGGCACUGUGGUCUCUUGAACAGUUGCACGAUGUAGACUGUUGAUAUGUGGUGAUCCAACUUGGGGUUGAUUGUCGGUUCGAAUUCCCAUGCAAUCUUCAAGUCUAUAAAUAGCACUAGGGUGAUCCCCUUUUCUUACUUUGUCCAUCUUUUUCUUUCUUUGAAAAAUCGCCAAGCAAGUUAAGGUAACCAUGUCUCCUUCCGGUAGUUUCACUCUAAGGCAUAGUUUGUUUUUAACCAUAGAAAAACGACCUAUUGUUUCUACUAGACCAACAUAGUCGAACCGGUAAAAACUUCUGCUACGAAAAAAGGUUAUGAUAUAAAAAAUUCAAGAUUUUUUUUUUAAAAAACACGAAAAUCAAGACAAUUUUAUACAUUCAGAACUUUCUUCCCAAAAUGGGAAGAAAGGUACGUAUAUAUAUUAUUUAAUUAAUUAAUUUUAAUUUACUUUUUUAUUUUUUAUUUUUUAUUUUAAAUUUAAAUUAUUAUUUUUUUAUUUAAAAUAAAAUUACAAUUUAAAUCUAAAAAAUAUAAUUAAAAUUAUACAAAAUAAUUAUUAUAUAAUAACAUAAUUAAUCAUAUUUUAUAUAUAGUAAGUUAUAAAUAAAAAUAAAAAUAAAAUUAAAAAUAAAUAUAUUUUUUAAUAAUAAAAAAUAAUUUUAUAUAAUAGUUAUAUUAAUUACAAAAGAGUAAAAAUAAAAAUAAAAUUUUUAUUUAAUAUAAAAUAAGUUUUUAUCAAAUAUUUAUAAUUAUAAAUAUUUAAAUAAUAUUUUAAUUAAAAAUGAUUAUAAUUUAUAAAUAAAUGAAUUAAAUUAAUUAUUUAACAAUUUUUAACUAUAAGGAUAAAUUUGUAAAUUUAUUUUUUAUCAAUUAAAAAUAAUAUAAUUUUAAUCUCAUCCAUCACAUCAUUUACAAAUUUUCAUAAACUUUCCCUACACUUUCCACUUUAUUUACCUUAAUCCAAACACUCUAACUUUCUUCACACUUUCCUUUCAAAUCAUCUCAAAUCCACUCUCCCAUUUCCACUCUCUAAUCCAAACAAAGAAUAAGAGUUUCUGGGGUUGGUAGCAUGUUGCGUCGUGAGGUGGUUCACCUUUUUAAAACAACUUUUGAUGGCACCGAAAGUUCCUCCGAGUCUUCCAGUAUUAACGGUGAAGCUAGUGUGGAAGGGGUUGACGAAGACGUUCGUCUCUCGGUCGACCCUGUUGGUGGUACUGUCGAGUUGGAUACACCUCCCCCUCGGACUUCUAGCUACAAAUGGGUUGACUCAAAUGUUUUUGGGUAUCCUUCUUGGUUUGGAACUACUGCUUCCUUGAAAGCUUUUAGUGUGAGUAUCGACAUGCUGGACCCGACUUCACCGGAUGGGGUUGUUUCCCUUCGAAGGUGCUCGCCAUCCGACUCAAUUUGUUUGGUCCCUAAGUCUUCCAAUUAUUUUUUCUUUUACUCUUUCCUAAUAACUGACGCUUAUUCAUUUCUCCUUGAUGAUUUUUCUAUUGGUGAAUGUGGCGUCAUCACAGCUCCACCCGAAUAGCUGGGUGUUUGUCCAAGCUUUCAGGCUUCUUUGUUUAUUUAUUAAUGUAAAAUCAACUCCCCAGGUAUUCCUGCAAAUAUAUAGUAUGAGGUCGGGUAACUGAGUAGGGUGGUUAUCCUUAAUAAGUCAACUAAGUUCGUGUUUGUUUGCCCCUUUACUUCUUCUUAUAAGAAUUUUAAAGGGAGAUUUUUUAAGGUUGUGAUCGGGGAGGAGGAUCGUCCCUUUUUUUAUGACAACGACUCUCCACGUUUUCCCUUUUGCUGGACUCGUAACCCCGCACGUUUUCGUGUAUGGGCGAGGUCGUCUCUGACCCGAGAGGACUUGGAUACUUUGUCUAUUUUAGACAAACUCCCUUGAAAACUCCUUACCCGACAACUGCUGCGAGUUUUUCUUUCAGCUACUCAACUUCAAGACAUCGAGGGUACGUUUUGUUUAUGCGAUUUGUGUUUUGAUUUUGUGUUUUGAUGUUUUUUGACUUUCUUCUUUUUCAUCUAUCAUGGUUGUCGCCACGUCAGGAGACGGGAAACUCUUCUAUAAAGAAUUGUUGAAACAGAGGCAAGCCGCCACUAGAAGGGGGUUAAUAGCUCAAGUUGAGGCAACCACCCCUUUUUGAACCAUUCCUGCUGCCGAGAAACUUCUUCCUAAAGAUCCUAGCUGGAAGAAAGCUCGUUAGGAGCACAAGAAAACCUCGCGACGACAUUCUGACAAGUCAUCUUUGGGCUGGUCUUAUAAGAGGCCUCAUGUUGAAGUUGGGUCGAGCUCAACUCCAGAUAUUCUCGACCGAGAUAUGUAUCUUAGCUAGAAAGUUUCUAUUUCUCUUAGCUCGUUGAGAAGGAGGAAUUCAUGGUUGCUUCCCCCUCAGAAAUGGCUGCGUCAUUCCUUGAACUGGGUGCCCGUACUUUCAUCCUCGGCAAACACAUGGGCUCAGUUCUAAAGGAGCGAGAUGGCACCAAAUUAUAGGGCCUAAAAACCGAACUGGCCGAGUUCGCUGCUUCCCUCCAACGUGCAAUUGAUUCCAACAACGCCCUACUUGGUAAAAACAAAGACCUCGCUAUCGAGCUAGCUCGGUUGAUGUUGGAAAAUGAUAUGCUCUUGGCACACUGCUUAUCGGCCAAAGAGAAGGAGAAGGAAGUGUUGGCUGAGCAGGAGAAGUUGGUUGUGUUUUCUUCGGCCGACACGGAAAGGGUUGACCAAUUGCAGGCGACUUCGCACAAGGUGGGUGAGGAUCUCCAACGUACUCAAGACUUCGUCCUUCACCAACACGAGUUAGGUUUCAACAAGAGGCUGGAACAAGCUGCGUUCUUUUACGACAUCCCCCUUGAUGAAGGGAAGUUUUGACGUAAAUAAGGAAUUUUACAAGGGGGAGUUGAUGCCUAUUACCGAUAUCCUAGAUGAGGGUGGUGAAGAGGAGUAUGGGCGACUUGCCACUCCUAAUGAUGAUGCCGGCAAGGCUUGAUGGUUUUUCGUUUUGAACUUUACUUUUGUUUGGUCGAGAUGAGCUCAUGCUUAUUUUGACAUCACUAAUGUGAACGAUUUGUUUUUUAUGAUUGGUCACUGUUGGCAGCUUUCUAUCUUGGACAUUGUAUUCACUUAUUAUAUUUAAUUACGAAUAAUUUUCUUGUUUUUACAACUUGCUCCUUUAUUCGUUUUUUUUUAUUAUUCGGCUCUUGGUUUAUUUUGUUGCACUUGUUUACUUGGUUGUUGUGCUUUCCGGCGUUUCGACUUUCUUUUACAAGGGAUCCAUUUUUGGAUUCUUCCUUGGUUUUCUUUUACUUUGUCGGUAGGGGUCCAUUUUUAGGAUUCUUCCUUAACCGAGAUGGUUGUGUGAAGGAAACUGAUUUCAUUCUCAUGCCUUGUACAACAUUUCCAGUUGGUCGUGCAAUAUGCUUUUAGGACGAGAGUGCAUUACAUUCUUAAAUAAAAUAAAAUUUAAAGUGGCUAACAUUCCACGUUCUUAGUACUGGUUGUCGAUCGAGGUGUUCUAGGCGGUAUGCUCCGUUGUGAAAAGCUUUCGAUUACAUGGAACGGGUCUUCUCAGUUUGAUGCUAAAUUUUUUUUGGUUUUGUCCUUCUGAUCAUCGCCCUUCAUUUUCCACACUAGAUCUCCGGGAUGAAAUUCUCUGGGUUUCAUUUUCACAUUAUAUCUUUGAGUUGCUCGUCUUUUGCAAGCUUCCUCUUGUAUUUUUGCUUUGUCUCAAAGCUCUUGCAGUAGAUCUAGCUCCGUUCUAAUGCAUUCUUCAUUGACCGUGAAGUCAGCCAGUUGUCUUCAGAUUGUUGGCUCCCCAACCUCGACUCGUAACAAGUGCCAUAUGUUAAGUUAUAUAGUGUUUCACCGGUUGAGGAUUGAGGGGUGCACCGAUAUGCCCAUAGUACCUCCAGUAGCUCUUCAGCCCAACGCCCUUUCGCUACUCCUAGCCUUUUCUUCAAUUCGUUUAAGAUAACCUUGUUAGCCGCCUCGACUUGUACAUUCGUCUGAGGGUGUUCAACUGAUAUUACUCUGUGUGUUAUGGCGAAGUCUUCGAAGUACUUUUUCAGCUUUCUGUCAGUAAAUCGGUAACCAUCGUAUGAGGUAUGCCAAAACGACAUAUAACGUUUUUCCAUACGAAUUGUUGUACUUGUGUCGUUGUUAUCCAAGCUAGCUGCUCGGCCUCGAUCCAUUUAGUGAAGUAAUCGAUUGUCACAAGGAGGAAUUUCCUUUGCUCAGAUGUCGGGGGAAAGGGACCAAUGAUGUUCAUUCCCCACAUAGCAAACGACCACAUGGAGUUGAUACUCUUAAGGUUAUGGAUGGGUAGACGGAUGCGAGGUCCGUGUUCCUGGAAAUUUUGCAUUUUUUGUUGAACUCGGUGCAAUCGGCCCUUAGUUCAGGCCAGUAAUAUCCUGCCCUGAGGACACGACUUGCCAUAUUACUUCCUCCCGAAUGAGUUUCACAGACCCUGUUAUGUGUCUCAUUCAUUACAUACUCCACUUCCGUUUUGCCUAAGCAUUUAAGCAAAGGUUCGAGAAGCCUCGCCUAUAUAGAUCUUGUAUGAUUAAUAGGAAUUGUGAUGCCUUACGGUGUAAUGCGGAGUCAGCUAUCUCUUUUCCUGCAUCUCGGACUUGGACUAUCUUUUUCAUGACGAAUAACCAACCUUGGGGGCCAGAAUUUGUGUUUAGGAAUUCCUUUGUUGACAUCGUCGAUCCGAGAAUACUUUGUAGAAUGAUUGUACUAAAUCCUUUCUUGUUUUUACCACUAGCGAGCUUUGUCAGUACGUCAGCCCGAGUAUUUUCCUCCCUCCUUAUAUGAUUCACUUCCACCUCUUUGAAGUCGGUCAUCAGGGCGGAUACUCAGUGGAAGUAUUUAAGCAGCAAAGGAUCCUUGAAUUGGUAUUCCUUCUUUACUUGGCUGACCGUCGACUGGGACUUGCUUCGACAUCUCACCUUUCGUGCUCCCAUAUCCCUGGCUAGGAGCAGGCCUGCAAUUAGCGCUUCAUACUCGUCCCGAUUAUUUGAUGCUCUGAAGCCAAAAUGAGGACUGCUCGAUCAUGAUGUUUCCCGGUACCUCUAGGACUAUCCCGACUCCGCUUCCCAUUUUAUUUGAUGAGUCGUCCACAUAUAGUGUCCACAAUUUGUCACUCACUUGAUUGUCUUGUAGCUCUGAAACAAAAUCUGCCAUACACUUGGAUUUCAUAGGUCCUCGGGGUUUGUACUUGAUGCCAAACUCGAACAACUCCACAGACCACGCAAUCAUUCUUCCCGCCAAAUCUAGUUUUUUUAGUACCUUGCUUAUCGGGAAGUCAGUUUUAACAAUCAUUUGAUGACUUUGAAAAUAAUGCCUCUAAGGCUCCAAGAGGUAUGCACCAGCACGAACGCCACUUUUUUUAUUGUUUGGUAAUGGGUCUCUAGGCCUUGCAACACGCGACUGACAAAGUAUACAGGCUUUUGGUCAGUCGUUCCUUGGGCAAUAGCGACGCUAAUGGCUUCAUCUGUCACAGCUAAGUACACUAGUAGUGGUUCUCCAUCUUUCGGUUUGCUGAGAACUAGCGGUGUAGUCAACCCUUUCUUGACCUCGGUGAAUGCGCCUUCGCACAUGUUGUUCUAAUUGAAUAUGUCCGCCUUUUGCAUUAGCUUAAGGAUGGGCCUUAUUUUCUCGGCUAACUUCGGAAAAAACCUUGAAAGUCAAGCUAGUUGGCCUACCAGUCUUUCCACGUCUUUAAGGUUUUGAGGGCUUCUCAUUUGCUCCAAGGCCUUGCACUUGUCUGGGUUACCCUCAAUGCCUCAACUCGUGAGCAAGAAGCCUAGGAAUUUUCCGCCUUCGACUCCGAACACGCAUUUGAACGGGUUAAGCCCCAUAUCAAACUUUCGAAGUUGGGAAAAUAUUUCUUCUAGAUCUUUGGCAUGUUGCUCCGAGUUCUUUGACUUUACAAUCAUAUCAUCUACAUACACCUCUACAUUCCUCCCUAUAUUCUCCUUGAACACCUAGUCCAUUAGCCUUUGAUACGUGGCUCUGACGUUCUUCAGGCCAAACGACAUUACUUCGUAGCAGAAGUUCACCUUAUCAGUCAUGAACGCAGUCUUUGAUUUAUCUGCUUCAUGCAUGGGUAUUUGGUUAUACCCAGAGUAGGCAUCCAAAAAACUCAUCACUUAGUGCCCCGCGACACCAUCAACCAACCUGUAAAUGCUAGGAAACAGGUAAGCAUCUUUCAGACAUGCUUUGUUCAGGUCCGUGUAGUCGGUACACAUACGUCAUUGACCGUUGCUCUUUUUUACGAGUAUGAUGUUGGCCAACCACGUAGUGUACUGGAUUUCUCAAAUGAACCUGGCCUCAAGUAACUUACCCACCCCCGCCUGCGUUGCUACCCUUCUCUCUUCUCCCAACCUCAUCUUUCUCUAAGCUACCGGCCUAGCCUCUUGGCAAAUGGCUAACCUGUGGGACAUGAUUUCAGGGUCAAUGCCCAGGAUGUCAUCCGCUGCCUAGGAGAAAAGAUCUUUAUUGUCAGUUAAGACCUGUACAAUCUUUAGUUUGUCUUCUUCGUCCAGGUUCGCAUUGAUCUACAUGUCCUGCCCUGUGUUGCCAAUUUGCCAUGGAACAGUUUCGUAUCUCGGUUCUACCUUCGAUUCGUCGUGUGGCCUUGGGUCGAAGUCACCAUUUCCUACAAUGGUAUUUAUCUCCUUUCUUCGUAGUCUGUACCUUUGCGUAAUUUUCAAGUUGGUCGCGUGGCCUUCCUGAGCGUUUUUCUGAUUUACUCUUACCUUUGCAAUUUUUCCACUUUCGGCUAGAAACUUCAUGGUUAAAUGUGGGAGUAAAAUGAGCCCCAAGCCAGUUCAGAGAGGGUCUUCCCAACUACAUGUUGUAUGAGGUAUCAGUGUCGAUGAUCACAUACUUAAUAUUGACAGUUUUUUGCCUCUUAUCCUCUCCAAACUUGGUAUACAUAUCGACGUACCCUAUUGUGUCCACCAUAUCCUCCGAAAAACCUACAAUUUGUUCGUCGAAAGGGAUUGCCACAUUGGAAGACAUUCCAUGUUUCUUGAAGGUUUUCAAAAAAAGGACGUCCAAAGAGCUCCCUUAGUUGACUAGAGUUUUCAUCACAAUAUAGUUGGCUACUUCGACUUUGAUUAUCAUGGGAUCAUCUUGGUCCAGAUCUAUUCUGUGGAAGUCUUCAUCCGAAAAGGUUAUCGGCGGCAUGGUCCUUUUUCUUCCAAUGAAGUUGACCAAGUGGAGGUUACGAAUGUGACAUUUUCGCAAUGAGUAAGACAUCUCUCCUCCCGCAAAUAACCUCUUGUGAUGGUGUUAAUGACCCUCUUAAGUGGUCUGUUCCUUCCUCUUUCUCUAUCAUCCCGUCUUUCAGGUGUUUUUGACUAUGAACGGUAGUCUCCAUGGCCUGUCCUCGGUUUGCGUCAGUCAAACCUUCCCUCCUUCCUCACGAAUCGCCUUAGUUGGCCGGCCUGUAUGAGCUCUUUUAUCUUAUCUUUCAGUGUGGCACAUUCUUAAGUAGUAUCGAAGUUUCGGUGACAUCUGCAAUGCCUAAUAUGAUCGACAUUGGGUGGUGUACAGGUCCUCUUUUGCGAUGGUAUCAAAUCCGCAUUUAGGGCCUCUUCUUGAACCUAGGAUCAUUCGAUCUUUAAGGAAGUAUAGUGCAGGAAUCUAGAUGGUUUGGAGAAUUCUUUGGGCCUCCUCUACGUGCGCAUUCCCUUAGGUGCCUCUCUCUUUUCUCUUCGAUUCUCAGCGUGGUUCGUGAGCUUGGUUUUAAAUUCUCGCAUUUCUUCUAGUUGCAUGAAUUUUGCAGUCCUUUGCCUCAACUCGUCUAGGCUGUUUGCCGGCUUCUUGCAUAGGCUGUUAGAGAAUGGUCCUGGUUUGAGAGCAGUCACCAGGUGGUGGAGCGCCAACUUCGGACUCAAGUCUCUCAUGGCAAGGGCUACUCUUCUGUAUCUAUCUAUAAAGGACUUAGUGUUUCAGUCCUUUCUUGCUGAAUGUUUACGAGAGCGAGAGAGGUUAGGUGGGGGGUGUGCUUGUAGCGAACUGAGCCGAGAACUUGGAUACUAAGGUAUUGAAUUAGUCAAUCGAAUGUGAGAGUAGGCGGGUGAACCAAUUCACUGCGGCUCCUUUUAACGAAAUGGGAAACACGCAACAUAAUAGGGCGUCGUCAGUAGUGUACAAGCUUGUUUAUGUUACGUAUGCAUCAACAUGUUCGUCCGGAUCGGUGCUCCCAUCAUAUUUAUCAAUGGACGGGCUCUUCCAUGUAGGUGGUAAUGAUACUUCCAUGAUGUUUUCAGUGAAGGGGUGCCGACGUGACGACAACCCUACAAUUGCUCUAAAAGCCGUAUAGCUAGUAUAAUAGGGUCAAGAACUAUUUUCUCCUUCCAGAUGUGUCUGAGUUUUGUUUUCGGACUGGCCGAGUUCCCUUCUAUAAAUGGUGUUUGUCCAAUCUCUAACCUUUUCUUCAUUAACAAGUUCUCGGCCUUCAAAGCCUUUAUCUCUCUCACGUUCUUUUGCUUCAUGUUUUCAAACUCUCUCUUCAUUUCCAUCAUCAUGACUAUUGGGUCCACUGAUGGUCCUUCGUGUUGUCGGCUGUUUCCUGUUAUGUUUCUCGUCGCUACCAUGUGGCUACUCGAUAGGUUUGUCUGAUGGGGGGGUAGCUGCAAAGACACUCCAACGCUCAAGUCAGUUUCGGUAGAUGAGUGUUUAGUGAGUUUAGAACUAGAAAAGUCAUUACCUUUUAUCAUGAGAGUCUUGUCUUAUUUAUAGCCUUCUAUUGGGCCUUCUGUCUUAAUUACGUUGGCUUAGGCCAAUAAUUCUUAACGGUGUUUAGUUAUCCAUCAAUCCCAAGUUAUUCUAAUUAAUCAACUAGGCUACUUCUACGUUUGGUAGAGGCCAUGUGGCCAUUUACCUUGCCGGCUGCUCGGGGUUCAGAAACCGGAUGUAACAAUACUUAAUUUAUUUUUUAUUAGUAAAGAAUCAAAUAAAUAAAACAAAACAUUUCAUAGAUGUUCCAACCUUUAUACAAAAUUAAGAUAAUGUUCUACUUUACCAGAUAAAUUUCUCCUACUAAACUUUAGGCUUUUCCAGCUAAGCCUUUCAAAAAAUGGAGCACAAGAUAAUUUAACAGGGGUGUCUUAAAGCCCACUAGAAAAGCAGGAAAAUAAAAUUGCACAAGAUUAUCAUAAGCACUAGCUGCAUCAAACCUAAAUCCUUAGGACAAAAUCAAUAAAAAACUGCCCCAAAAUUACAUUGCAACAAACCAUAAUGCAAGUUGUAUUAAUAUGCAACUCUCCUCUUCCUUUUUCAUUUGUCUUCACUGUUAGUUAGUAGUGUUGUUAGUCUGUUUUCACUCACUCUCUCAUACCCUUGCUUUUUCCUAUGCUUAGUCCUUUACUUGAUAUAACUUUCGUCUCUACAAUAUAUUUGCUUUCUCUCUAUCCUUCCACUCAAUCUCACAUGGUAUAUAGAGCCAUUAUGGUUGAACCUUCCUCAACCUCAGCUGAUACUUCUUCAAGCUCCACUACCACCCAAAAUUUUUCUGCUUCCGCUUUCUACCCUCACAUUUUCACCACUCCUAUUCACUUCAAACUCGAUGAAGAGAAUUAUCUCAUAUGGCAACAAUAGGUCCUUGCCACCUUACGCAGUCUCAAUCUUACCCAAUUCUUGGACUCUGCUUCUAUACCUCUCACGUAUUCUUCUGCUACUGAUGAAUCUAACUCCAUGCUUUCUCCUGCUUUUCGUUCUUUUUAUCAACAAGAUCAAGCAAUCGUUGGUUGGCUACUUUCCUCCAUCUCUCUAUCUCUCCUCACCAACAUGGUCGGUCUCUUUUCAUCACACCAAAUAUGGUCCAAUCUUCAAACCUAUUAUGCAUUAAGGACUCGUUCCCGUGUAAAGAAACUCAAUAUGCUUUUACAUGCUCCCAAGUGAGAUCGAUCCAUUCCUUUUUUUCUUCAAGAUUUCAAGAAAGCAGUUGACUCCUUGGCCGUUGUUGGGUCUCCCAUCACCAUUGAAGAUCAUAUUGAAGCAAUCUUAGAAGUUUUGCCUGAAGAAUAUGAUGCCUUUAUCACUUUGGUCACCUCCAUAACAUAUCCAUAUACCAAAGAACAAGUUGAAGCUCUUCUUUUAGUCCAAGAGCAUCUAGAAAAAUAUCCCACAACCACUGAUCUUCUUCAAGCACAAACAACUACAUUUUCUCGCUUCAAGUUCUUUCCAAAUAAUCAACGUAAUGCUCGUGGAUCCUCCUGAUCCUUGCUUCAUAAACAUUAUUUUUGAUCCACUAGUGCAAGACCCACCUCCAAACCUUCAUGGAUUGCUUCCUCCUUCUCCUCAAACUCUACCAACUCAUCCAAGAUUCAGUGCCAAAUCUGGUGGAAAAUUGGACAUUACGCUUAUGAUUGCUAGCAUAGAUAUGAACGUCACUCUACACCAUCUACUUCUACUAAUACUUCACAGUUUUCACCUAUUCCUAAUGACACUGAUGAGCCUUCCAUUCUUGGAUCACCUCCCACUUCUACACAUUCUUUUUGGUACCAAGACAGUGGUGCUUCGCAUCACUUCACUCAUGACGAUGCCAUUCUAACUACCAAAACUCCAUACACAGAAUCCGAAACAGUAAAAUUAGGUAAUGGUUCUAGUUUGUAUAUUAAAAAUUUUGGUAUUGCAGUAUAUACUAAUCCACGUAAUCAUUGCACAUUUUCUUUGAAUAACCUCUUCCAUGUUCCUCACAUAACUAAAAAUCUUCUCAAUGUAUCUCACUUUACUCUUGAUAAUGAUGUUUUCUUUGAAUUUCAUAGGGCACCAAGGAGAUCCUUCUUCGAGUAAUGUUUAGGAAUGAUUUAUAUGUGUUUUCAAAUUUUAUUCCUUUUUCUCCACCUAGUAUUAAUACUACUAUUGUUUCACAUGCAAAUGAUACAUACAAGUUAUGGCAUACACGAUUUGGACAUGCUCAUGCCAAUGUAAUUCAUCGUAUUAUGCAACACUAUAAUAUUGCUUUCUCUGAUAAGAAAAUGUUUUGUGAUUCUUGCAUUCUUGGAAAACAUCAUCAAUUACCUUUUUCUGACUCACACAAUUUAUACUGCCCCUCUUGAACUGAUUUACAUUGAUAUGUGGGGUCCAUCUUCCAUUGCCUCUUCCUACAUUUAUUUUCUUGAUGCCUACACUAAAUACACAUGGUUUUAUCUCUUACAUCAUAAAUCUCAGGCUACUGUUGUUUUUAAAUCUUUUAAACUCUUGGCUAAAAACCAAACUGGUUUUACUCUAAAAAAUAUCCAAACCGAUAAUGCUAAAGAAAUUUUGUGUUUAAAGUCAUAUCUUGUUGAACAUGGUAUCCACCAUCGUUUGAUUUUUUCCUACACCCAUGAGCAGAACAGAUCUAUUGAACGCAAGCAUCAUCACAUAACAAAUAUUGGCACGACUCUUCUUGCUCACGCCAAUCUCUCUAUAAAAUACUUGGGUGAGGCCUUCACCACUGCUAUGAAUAUUAUCAACGUUUUACAAUCAUCUGUUAUUAAUUUUGAUACUCCUUAUCAUUUACUUUUUAACAAACAACCUGAUUAUAAUUUUUAUAAAACUUUUAGUUGUGCAUGUUCCCCUCUCAUGCGUCCUUUUCACAAGAAUAAAUUAAACUUUUGUUCUUCUCUAUGUUUACUUCUUUUGGCUAUAAUCCACAAUACAAAGGUUAUGUUUGUGAAUCUAUAUCUGAAUGCUCACCCAUGAUCACCAGAGGUAAAUCUGGUAUUUUUAAACCUCGAGGUUUUAAUAUUGUGUUUACCAUUGUUCCUUUAAUGCUAAAAGAGGCUCUUCAAAAUCGUAAUUGGGUUGCCGCAAUGAAAGAAGAAUAUGAUGCUUUACGCGACAAUAAUACUUGGACCCCCACCUCACCACUAGAUGAUAUUCAACUCAUUGGUGGUAAGUGGGUGUUCAAAAAUAAGUGCAAUGCUGAUGGUUCUUUCCAACGUCACAAAGCUAGGCUUGUCGCCAAAGGAUUUCAUCAACAUGCCAGCAUCGAUUACUCAGAAACUUUUAGCCCUUUGAUCAAGCCAGCAACCAUAUGUAUUGUUUUAACUUUGUCCAACAAAUGGCCUAUUCACCAAAUUGACAUCAACAAUGCUUUUGUUUAUGGUGAUUUACAAGAACCGAUUUACAUGCUUCAACCGCCAGGUUUUGAAACAGAUUCCUAACUAGUACGCAAGCUUCACAAAGCAAUUUAUGGGCUAACACAAGCACCUAAAUCUUGGUUUCAAAAUCUAAGUCAUACUUUGUCUUCACUUGGUUUUUCUUCAACAAAAUCUGAUUCCUCUUUAUUUAUCAAAGCUGACACACAUGUUACAUUACUUGUUCUAAUUUAUGUUGAUGAUAUUAUGAUAACUGGCAGUUCUCUUAGUGUUAUACAAUCACUAAUUUUUUUUGCUACAAAAACACUUCGAACUCAAAGAUAUUGGUAGGCUCCAUUACUUCCUUGGCAUUGAAGCUUCUUGCACUACCAAUGGUUCUCUUCAUCUUUCUUAAAUGAAGUACAUCAAGGAUCUGCUACAAAAAUCAGGAAUGUUGUCAUCCAAACCACAACCAACGCCAAUGAUAUCCUCCAUUCAUCUCACACGGGAUGGCACCACAGUCAUUGAUGAUCCUUCUCUAUACAAAUCUAUUGUUGGCUCACUUCAAUAUAUCUCAUCACUCGUCCUGAAUUAUCAUAUAGCGUCAACAAAGUAUGCUAGUUUCUUCACCAUCCUCAACUUCACCAUUGGAAAGUUCUCAAAUGCAUAUUGAGAUAUUUUGCUGGUACUACAUCACAUGGUCUCUUACUUCAAACAAACAAAAGACUGUCUCUUGUAGCACCACAGGAGACGCGUAUCGCAGUAUUGUUGUGUCUUUAACUGAAAUUAAAUGGGUUCAUAAUCUUUUUCAAGAAAUAUGAAUACCAUAUCCUACACCGAAGAUUUACAGUGAUAACCUUGGUGUCAUUUUUCUUGUUGUUAAUCCUUUAAUGCACUUAAAACAUUUUGAUCUCGACCUUCAUUUUGUGCGUGACUUUAUUCAAUAGCAAGACCUGCAACUCUUACAUAUUCUUGGUCAUCACCAAAUCGUAGAUCUUCUCACUAAGCCUCUCACUAGGACUUCUUUUCAUAAGUUCAUGGUUAAACUAAUGAUUAUGCCUAACCCCAUCAUUAGUUUAUGGGGGAUAUUAGUUAGUAGUGUUUUUAGUGUUGUUAGUCUGUUUUCACUCACUCUUUCACACCUUUGCUUUCCCUGCAUGUAUAUAUAUCAUGUUCCUAGUCCUUUACGUAAUAUAACUUUCAUCUCUGUAAUAUAUACCUUUUGUUUUCUCUCUCUCUCUCCUUCAACUCAAUCUCACAUUCACUCCAUCAAGACCAGUGACUGGGACCUUCUUCAUAAUCUUGAAAUGCUUUUACACUAGAUGCAAUGCAUAUUCCUAUCACACUGAACCAUUCUUCUUCUCUUUCCCUCUGUUGUGUCUGCAUUCUGCAUCUUCUUGCUCCAACACAUUAACACUUCCUUCAUCGAACACCUUGUCUUCUUUGCCCCUAUCUUUCUUGCACUUUCCAGCUUUGCCACUAUUCAAUUAAACCAUGCCUUUCUUCAUGCACAUCCACCUCCUAGCUUGUCCUCACUGUUUGCACCCAUUUAAUUUCCCUCUCCCUGCAUUCUUAACAAAGCCUUACACAACAUCUAUUAUGUUUAGAAAUCACAUAGCUAAAAAAGAUAUCAACAUUAGAUUAUCAUCUUUGAUCCUUAGCAGGAAAUACUUAGAUAGAUUUUGCUUGGUUUCAUGUACAGAUAGGGGCCAGGCUUACCUACCUGUAGGGUACUUAUCUAGAUCAAUUCUUUACCAUCCCUUGCUUAAAAAAAUUCUAGGCCUUAGCUAUUUAAGGAGUGUAGACAAUUCAAAGGGUAUAAAACCCAAUCAGAGUAAGAAAAGUUAAAACCCAAUAUUUUCCUCUUCAUCCAUGACCAAGCUAGAAAUUGUGCUAAAUGGAAAAUCUCUUCAGCAUCCACCUUCCCAUCUUUGAAAAAAAUUCCAUUCCUUUGGUUCCAAAUACUCUAUAAAACUGCUACCCAUACUCCUUUCCACACUCUGUUCAUUUUGAAGUUAAAUUGAGGCAGAUUGAACUAAAGUAAAUGGUUCUUAAGGUUAUUAUGAUGGGCUUCUUAUAUCCCCACUCAUCACCCAUACCUAAUAUGCUACUUUACAUUCCACAAAAAGGUGAUGAGAGGUUUUCUCAACUUGAUUACAAAAGAUGGCACAUUAUUGAUGGCAAGCUAGUUCCUCUUCUUAAUUGAUUCACUCUUGUAGGAAUCUUACCCUUAAGGAUUCUCCAAGCUAUCAUUAACACAUUAGGUAAUGUGUGAAUGUCUCAUAAAAUAUCCAAAGCUGACAAGAUUCAAAAUGGGGUUUUUAUGGGCGGUUUAACAAAACAUGUACCAAUUACAAAAAAAAUAAUUUAGUGGGUACACUCUCUCUUUGCGGUAUUUGCAGACUUGACGAAAACAUUCACCUUCGUUUGCAAGUCAAACAACCUUAUCCUGAUAGUGAUGUUCUGUUUUGACAUUGUUGAGGUCUGUAAGAAGUUGUUGAACUUGUUCUCUUUCCCAUUCCAUGUUCCAGGACCAUCCUGUUUCAGACCAAGAGCCAACCUGUUGCAUCAAUUUCCCCUUAUCAUUAGAGAUGAGGUACAGUCUCAGGUAUACCUCCUUCAAUGGUUGAAUUCCCAACCAUUUAUCUUCCCAUAAUAAGAUAUCAUUACUUGUCCCUAAUUUCCAAGUUAGUUGUCUAUAAAACCAACUACUCAGGUGACCUUCUUCACACAGAUGACACAAAUCUUUCCACCAAGAUUUAGCUUUACUUGUAGGCUUUCUUCUAACAUUUUCAUUUUCCUCAUAUUUAGAUAACACCGUUUGUCUCCUAAACCCAGAUUUUUCUACUUUCAAUUUCCACAUCCACUUGGCGAUUAACGCUCUAUUAAAACAUGUAACACCUUUUAUCCCUAGACCUCCCUCACUUUUAGCUUUGCACACCGAUUCCCACUUUAUGCAUGCAAUUUUUCUCUUUUCGAAACCCCACCCCACAUAAACUUCCUCUGAAUACUUGUAAUCUCUUUACACACUGAUAACGGGACUUUAAAGAAUAGCUUUGAAGGCUGAUUUUAUCAGACAUACUCUUCCGACAAAGGAUAGUUUAUUUCCUAUCAAUUUAGUGAGUUUCUUCCUUACUUUAUCUACCACCUCUUUCCAAAACUCUCGCUUUCUAGGAUUCCCUCCAACCUAUACACCUAAGUACUUAAAAGGGAUAUUCAUGUGUGCACAAUUAAGCAUAUUGGCAAAGAUUAACAAUUGUUGACUCUCAAUUCCCGUAGCUCUUAGCCUUGUUUUGUGGAAGUUCACUUCAAGCCCAUAUUCAAAAUAUCUAAGGAUAGUCUCGAUAGUUAUAAUGUCUUGAUGUUUUGCUUGACAUACCACCAGAGUAUCGUCUACAAAUCGUAGCAAAGACACCCCAACCUGAUUAGAGCCAAUAUUCACCCCAUGAAGCUUGUUUUGAGACACAACUUAUCUUACGAUACCCGUCAAACCUUCCACAACCACCAAAAAAAGAAAAGGAGCUAUCAGGUCGCCUUGUUUUAGACCCCUUGUUGGUUUAAAUUCCGGAGUAGAACUACCAAUGAUUAGCACGGAAUCCUAAUCUAUUUAGCAUGUAAUACAAAAAAUCUCACCUAAUAGAGUCAUAAGCCUUUUCAUAGUUAACUUUUAUGGUUACUACUGGCUUAUUGCCCCUCCUUAACUCCUCCACCACUUCAUUUGCUACAACAAUACUUUCCACUAUACCCCUAUUUCUCAAGAAUGUAGAUUGUGAGUUGUCUAUAAUUUUAGAAAGGAUAUUUUCAAUCUAUUGGCUAGAAUUUUAGAUAUAAUGUUAUAUAUUUUGCAAAAAAAAAGAGAUAAAUUUGUAUUAACUAAUAUAUAUAUAUAUAUAUAUAAAUAUAUAUAUAUAUAUAUAUAUAUAAAUAUAUAUAUAUAUAUUAUAACAUUUUUCUUAAAUAAUCAAAUGUUUAUCAGUAAAACAUGAAAAUGCUUAACGAAGUGGGGUUUUAUAAAUAAAUGAACAAUAUGCAUAAAUGAAAAGCAAUGGUUGGUUGAAGUUGAUGAAAAGUAACAUCAUAGUUAAUUUCAGAAUGUUUUGUGUGAUCAUGAAAGACUUAAUUUUAAGCAAUUUGAAUAACAAAUGUCAUAAUACACGAGUUGGUCUAGAAAGAUAAAUACUAGGAAAGAGACUAAGGCAACCAAACUAUUUUAAUAAUAAUUAAAAUCAUAUCAGGAUAUUCAACUUUAACCGGAUGAGGGAGAAACUGUUUCUUCCAAUCUCCUAGAAAAAAUAAAAAUAAAAAUUAGAAUUUUUAAUUGGACAAGUGUUUAUUAUAGUAAGAAACAUACAUACCCUAUUAAAUUUAUGUAAAUCUUCUUUAUGAGUUGUGCUUAUCAGAUAUUGAUACUCUUUUCCUUUUUUGGGGGAAUAGAUGAAUAUUCACGUUUGAGGCCUCGGUGGAUGAAGUAUGUUUUUGGUAAGAAUUCUACCUCUUUGGAUUACCUAGGUUUGAAUGGUUACGUAAUACCAACAACUAAUUUUGAUUCUACAUAACUGUCAUAUUACCUAUUAUACAUUUUUUUUCCUUUUUUUUCAUGUUUAAAUAUAGUUUUUUAAUCUCCUAAUUUAAAUUUGAAAUUUUUUUAUGUUGUUCUUCUAAAUUAAAACUUCUUUCCCUUCCAUUUUAAAUUUCUAAAAUAUGAGUUUUAACAUUUUUAAAUUAAAAAUUUAAAUUAGUGAUAGAAUAUUAUUUGUAGAUAUUUUUAGCAGCCAUAACUAAGAACAUAUGAAAAAAAAGAGUAAUAGAAUUUUUAAUAUUAAUUUUAAGAAGUUUUUAAGACAUAACAAUCACAUAAAUAUAUAAAUAUUACAAUAGAUAAAGACUAAAUUUCCUUAAUUAAUAUAUAUAAUAUAACAUCUCUUUUAAAAUCAGCAUGCAUUGGUAUGAAACAUAAAAAGUUGUCAUUCAAAAAUUGAAAACGUUUGAUAAAGUGAGAUUUUGUAAAUAUAUUAACAAUCUACAUAGAUGAAGAAAUGAAAUAAAAUGUAAUGGUUUUAUGUUGAAGUUGAUGAAGAGUAAAAUGACAAUCAAUUUUAAAAAAAAAAUUAUACUCAUGAAAGAAUGAGUUAUGAGUAAUUUGAAUAUCAUUUUUCUUGUUGUCAUUAUAUUGAUCUAUAAAGAGAAACAUCCAUAUUAGAAAGAAGUCAAUGCAACCAAACUAUUUCAGUAAUGGCUAGAGUCAUGACACCAUAUUCAACUUCAGUAGAGGAACCAUAAACAUUAUCUUGUUUCUUGCUCUUUCAAAACAUAAGGGAAUCUUUUUAGAAAAAUGCAAAAAAAACAUGUAGUAGACUUAUGAUGAGUAAGGUCACCAAUCCAAUCAACAUUAAAAUAAGCACACAACUUCAAGGAAGAUGAUGAGGAAAAAAGAAAGCUCUGAAAUUAAGUACUACGAAGAUAUCUAAGAAUGCAUAAAACAACUAUGCAAAGCACUAGUAGGAAAAACAAGAAACUAACUCACAACAUGAACAANNNNNNNNNNNNNNNNNNNNNNNNNNNNNNNNNNNNNNNNNNNNNNNNNNNNNNNNNNNNNNNNNNNNNNNNNNNNNNNNNNNNNNNNNNNNNNNNNNNNNNNNNNNNNNNNNNNNNNNNNNNNNNNNNNNNNNNNNNNNNNNNNNNNNNNNNNNNNNNNNNNNNNNNNNNNNNNNNNNNNNNNNNNNNNNNNNNNNNNNNNNNNNNNNNNNNNNNNNNNNNNNNNNNNNNNNNNNNNNNNNNNNNNNNNNNNNNNNNNNNNNNNNNNNNNNNNNNNNNNNNNNNNNNNNNNNNNNNNNNNNNNNNNNNNNNNNNNNNNNNNNNNNNNNNNNNNNNNNNNNNNNNNNNNNNNNNNNNNNNNNNNNNNNNNNNNNNNNNNNNNNNNNNNNNNNNNNNNNNNNNNNNNNNNNNNNNNNNNNNNNNNNNNNNNNNNNNNNNNNNNNNNNNNNNNNNNNNNNNNNNNNNNNNNNNNNNNNNNNNNNNNNNNNNNNNNNNNNNNNNNNNNNNNNNNNNNNNNNNNNNNNNNNNNNNNNNNNNNNNNNNNNNNNNNNNNNNNNNNNNNNNNNNNNNNNNNNNNNNNNNNNNNNNNNNNNNNNNNNNNNNNNNNNNNNNNNNNNNNNNNNNNNNNNNNNNNNNNNNNNNNNNNNNNNNNNNNNNNNNNNNNNNNNNNNNNNNNNNNNNNNNNNNNNNNNNNNNNNNNNNNNNNNNNNGCAAGUGUGAGCACAUGGAAGCACAUGGAGCACAUGGCACAUGGGAGCACAUGGGAUGGUGGCUUCCAAAAUUCAGCACAUGUGAGGUAGGUUCUAGAAUUCUUCCAUGUGCUAGGAGUUCUAGAACCUUAUGCUCCACUUAGGCUAAUUGUGGGCUGGACCUAAGUUUAAUUAGGAGUAGGAAACUCUAAUUAAACUUAGGUUAGCAUUUUAGGUACCACUUUGCAUGUUUCAACACAUUUACAAAAAUAUUUAAACUAUGCUACUUUGACUAGAAAAACUAUGACACACUAGAGUUUAUGACAUGUAAAAUGUGUCAUCUUGACCCCUCUUUGACUAUGACUCUAGUGGUUGCCUCAAGGUAGCAUUUUGGUGGCCUCUCAAAGGGUUGGUGUUGGGGCCUCUUCCAUCAUCCCCUCCCUCUUGAAAAGGAUUUGUCCUCAAAUCCAUUGUUUCUUCUUCUUCAUGGCUAGGGAGAUGGAUGUAUAUGGCUGGAUGGUGUCCAUCAUUUCCUCCUUCUUGAGAAAAUCUAUCCUCGGAUCCACAGUGUUGAUCUCGGAUAGCAGUCUCUUGCUUCUUCAACUAUGUUGGUCCUCCCGGAUCAAACUUCCAUCUAGGGGAAUUAUCAAAUAAAGCAAAUGAGUUAGUUGAAGUAGUUACAUAUAAAUCAAUUUUAUGAAGUUGCCAUUUUUGUUUUUCUUUUGCUUUUGUCUUUUUGGUCAAACUUUUUUCUAAAUAUUUUCUCUUUUUGAUCGUUGUUAUGUGUUCUCUUAAUCCUCUANNNNNNNNNNNNNNNNNNNNNNNNNNNNNNNNNNNNNNNNNNNNNNNNNNNNNNNNNNNNNNNNNNNNNNNNNNNNNNNNNNNNNNNNNNNNNNNNNNNNNNNNNNNNNNNNNNNNNNNNNNNNNNNNNNNNNNNNNNNNNNNNNNNNNNNNNNNNNNNNNNNNNNNNNNNNNNNNNNNNNNNNNNNNNNNNNNNNNNNNNNNNNNNNNNNNNNNNNNNNNNNNNNNNNNNNNNNNNNNNNNNNNNNNNNNNNNNNNNNNNNNNNNNNNNNNNNNNNNNNNNNNNNNNNNNNNNNNNNNNNNNNNNNNNNNNNNNNNNNNNNNNNNNNNNNNNNNNNNNNNNNNNNNNNNNNNNNNNNNNNNNNNNNNNNNNNNNNNNNNNNNNNNNNNNNNNNNNNNNNNNNNNNNNNNNNNNNNNNNNNNNNNNNNNNNNNNNNNNNNNNNNNNNNNNNNNNNNNNNNNNNNNNNNNNNNNNNNCUCUUGAUUUUCUAUUUUUACAUUUUCAUCACUCUCACUAGCUUCUUUUUCUUGGCUACUAUUCUCAUCUUUGUCCCUUAAGAUCAUAGAUCUUUCAUUGGAACAUUGAGAUGCUAACUGAUCAUUACCAAGGUAUGUAAAACAUGGAAUUUUUCUAGCUUGAGUGUGUGAGAUAUGCUUGGAUAGGUUUUGGGAAAGUUCUAGAGAUGUUUCUUUUAUAUGCUCUUCCCCUCUAGGAGACUCAUCCUUGUCAUAAGAUACAUAGUAUGAACUUUGUUUUUGACUUGAUUGUUUUCUCAAAAUUUGUUUUUCAACUUUAAUGCUAAGUUGAAUCAAGUCAUUUAAAUCUCUAUGAGGUAAAAGUUCAACUUUGUUUCUUAUCUCAAGUUUGAGACCACUUAAAAACCUAGCUAUGGUGGUAUGGUUGUCUUCGUUAAUCCUUGCCCUCUUAAUAUAUGACAUCAUCUUUUUCCAAUAUUCUUCUACACUCAUAUUUCUUUGAUGAAGUCUUUGGAGCUUGUCCAUCAACUUCCUAUUGUAAAGUGAGGGAAUAUGGCGACAUCUCAAGGCUCCCCUAAGGUCAUUCCAAUAUGUAAUGGGAGGGUCCUUGUGGAUAUGUCUCUCUCUUUUUAGGGCAUGCCACCAAUACAUAGCAUCACCUUGAAAACUUAAGGUAGCUAAGGGUACUUUCUUUUCUUCACUCACAUGGUUGUAAGCAAACAAUUGCUCUACCCUCAUCUCCCAAUAUAGAUAUGUUUCUACAUCUUCUUUUCCAUAGAAAUGAGGUAUCUCUACCUUGACUUCCUUUAGGUUUUCUUGCCUCUCUUUUCUAGCUCUCCUAGGGCAUGGUUGAUGAUAUUCAUUUAUCCUAACACUUUCUUCCCCAAAAGAAUCAUAAACUUGAGAGCUAUAUGCAUAAGAAUGUAAUUUUUUUGAAAUUUGAGACUUCUCAUCUUUUGCUUCAGUCAAUUCAUUAGCUUUGGCCUCAUUCUCCAAUUGUUUAGAUGAAAUUGAUUUAAUAUCCUUGGAAAGUUGUUUUAAAAGAGAUUUCAAAGAUUUCACAUCACUUUUAAGAGAUUUAGAGGAGUGAGAAGACAUGACUAAAACUUUGUGUUUAGAAGUCCUUUACUUUAAGAAAGGAGAGGAAAGUUAAUGAAGGUAGUUUUCCAGGUAAGAGAGGUGAGUCACUAAGGACUACUUAAAUACCAAGUCUUGCCUUAGCCAACAACUAUCCCUCAAAAUCUUCACCAAAUUCUUUCUUUAGGUAAAUCACUUAGAACACAAUGAGGAUGGAGAAAUCAAAUUUUAUGCAAGAAAACAAUGCAAGCUAUCUAACAACUAAAACAAUUUAUUGAAGCUUUAAACAAAGAUAAGCACAAGCAAAUUAAGCAAAACUAAGCAAAUAUUGAUGUAAGGAAAAACAAUUAACAAAGGCUAAUCUAGAAAGCUUAAACUAGUCGUUUCCUAAGUGAGGCUUCUUAGACACUUUGAGCCUUUGAAGACACACUCACCGUCUAAUUCGUGAUUAAGCCACUAAUUAACAAGAGUAAGAUGUAAUUACAAUUCAAGAAAUGCAAAGAAAUUAAAUUGCACGAAUUAAAUUUCAGCAAGACACUCCUUUGACUUGUUGUUACUCUUCUUUGUUGUGCCCUUCAAGGUGUAUGGUGUAUUUUGGUAUUGUGUUUGUUGCUGCCCCUUGCCUUGAUCUUCUUUGAUUUAAGUAAUUAAAUUCUUCAAUACAGUACCUAUUAAGUAAAGUUAGACUCUCCUCAAGUCAAAUCCCACUCAACAAGCACCAAUUGAUAUUUAUCCACCAACAAAUUUAGAGGUCAAGAAAAGAAAGCAAGAAACAAUUAAAAUUUAAAAACAACACCACUGCAAUUGGAUUUAAAAAUGUGACACAACUAGAAGGAGUUCAGAAUGAAUUGGACAAGCAAAUAAAAAUAGGGACACAAAUAAUGGAUGGCACACAAAAGGAACCUAAAGAUUGGCACUAGAAUUGAUUUGAAAAACCAAAACAACACCACUGAAAAUAUUGUGGUCCAGAAAGCGUGACUUAAAUGAUUUAUGUUGAGCUGGCUAUUUUGUAUUUGUUUCUGAAAAUUUAAACACAAUCAAUUCAGUUUCUUAAAAAACUUUUGACGUUGGUUUCACUCCAAUCACAUGUGCCAAUUAAUUAUGAUAAUUUUUCCAAAAACAGUGUCCAAUUACCGCCAGGUGUAGUGCCAUAAUGCACACUUCUUUUGUAUGAUUUAUCUUUUUUUUUUCUAUUUCGUUUUUUCAACUGAUUAUUUUUUCUUUUUGUGCUAACACCUCAAACUAUUGAAAUCCAUAAGCUCAUAAUUUUUUUAUGACGUAUUUAAUUUUCAUAAAUCAAAACAGCCAAAACAGAUUUUGUGAAAACAAAGGAUUCUGAAAUCUGGAAUCAAAACAGAAACAUAUACUUCAAAAACACAAUGGAAUUAAUGUGAUGGAAUUUGUGUGGAUCUAGCACACAAAUAUGAACUCAAACUAAAAAGAAAAAUGCACCAAAGGAUCAAAUCAAAACAAGAAACAAAUAAAUCAAGAAAAGUACUACUAAGAUUUGUUGACAAAUUUUGGAAUCACAUGACUUGACAAAACUUAUAGAUUCAGAAAAUAAAAUGACUCAAACACAUCAUAUGAACCAAAUAGAAAUUCAAACAAGACUCAAAUAUCCUAAAAAAAAACAGCAACACAAUGUACCAAAGAAUCCUACACAAAAUUGAAAUAAGAUGCUCAAGCACAAUUUGAACAAAAACUACCGAUUGAAAUGCAUAGAAAAGCAUUCAAAUCAUAUUAAAAACAUAAAAAAAGCAAGACAAGAUGAACACAAGAUGAACAACUUGGAAAUAAGAAGAACUCAAGCAGAAAAAUGAAAAGAGAUACUUAUCUCUUGAAGACCAUAGCUCAUGAUACCAAAUGAUGGCAUUGAGCUCUUCUCUUUUGUGAUUUUUGGGUGGUGGCGGAAGCUUUGUGGUUUGUUGAUGGAGCAAGGCCCUCCUAAGAGGUGUGGAGGCCUUGAAGGUGCAUGAAGAGUAUGAAUUUAGGGAGGUUCGGCCAGCCCCUUUGAAGGUGAAAGUAUUAAAGAUUAAGACCUAAAUUCUAGGCAAGGAGUAAGGUAUGACUCAAGUUUGGCAGCAUAGCAAUACUCAAUUUAAUCUUACAAAAUGAGAGCCAAGCACCUCCUUAUAUAGGAUUGGAGUGCUGGAAUUUGAAGAGCCAAAUACAAAUGAAAUGCUAGCCAAAUUACAUGCAAGUGUGAGCACAUGGAAGCACAUGGAGCACAUGGCACAUGGGAGCACAUGGGAUGGUGGCUUCCAAAAUUCAGCACAUGUGAGGUAGGUUCUAGAAUUCUUCCAUGUGCUAGGAGUUCUAGAACCUUAUGCUUCACUNNNNNNNNNNNNNNNNNNNNNNNNNNNNNNNNNNNNNNNNNNNNNNNNNNNNNNNNNNNNNNNNNNNNNNNNNNNNNNNNNNNNNNNNNNNNNNNNNNNNAUUUUAGGUAUCACUUUGCAUGUUUCAACACAUUUACAAAAAUAUUUAAACUAUGCUACUUUGACUAGAAAAAUAAGAAAAACUAUGACACACUAGAGUCUAUGACAUGUAAAAUGAGUCAUCUUGACCCCUCUUUGACUAUGACUCUAGUGGUUGCCUCAAGGUAGCAUUUUGGUGGCCUCUCAAAGGGUUGAUGCUGGGGCCUCUUCCAUCAGAGAGAGAAGAUAACAUUUAGGAGAAUAUGUACCUUCAAUAUCCAACAAAUAAUGAAAAGAACUCAAAUCCUUUCAUUUUAAACUAUUUUUUCAACUACAAUUUCAACUAUAAUCCGAUCUACAUCAUCUGUGAUGAUUAUCAUGUCGUCAACAUAUAAAGAGAUAAUAAUACGGUCAUGAGAAGAAGUAUUCAAAAACAAACCAGAUUCACAAUCACUAGAACAAAAUCCAAGAGAUGCAAUAACUAUGGAGAACUUUUCAAACCAAGUUUAAGAGCUUGUUUGAGAAACACCUAGAGGAGGUAUCGUGUAUACCUCCUUUUAUAUAUCUUCAUUUAAGAAAUCAUUUUUAAUAUCCAACUAAAAAUAUCCUAUUGACGAAUAGAGACAACAAUAAUAAGAGUACAACUAUACAAAUGGUAGUCAUCUUAGAAACCGGGACAAAGAUUUAUGCAUGAUCUAUAACAUAUUCCUAAGAGAAUCCUUUAGCAACUAAACUAGUUUUGUAAUGCUCAACAAACCCAUCUAAAUUUGUUUUAAUUUUACAAAAAGCCAUUUUUUCUUGGAGGAAGAGAUAUCAAGUCUCAAGUAGCAGUCUCAUAUAAAGUAGAAAGUUUCUUUUACAUAGGCUAUUGCCAAAGUGAAUCAAGGACAAUUUUUUUAUAAGAAGAGGACUCAUAAAAAUUAUGAAUUAUGGUUAAGAGGAAAGCAAAGGAAGAAGAAUAAAAAGAAUAGACAAAAUUUGGUGAUUGGGUGGACUUAUGAACACAUGGAGGAUACCGAGAACGUGAAGGAUCAAUAAUCACAAGAGAUUUCAGGGAGUUUUGGGAGUUAAAAGAAAAUUAAUAUAAUGGAAUGUGUUCAAGGAAGACAACUUAACGAGAAAUAUAGAGUUUGUGGUUGGUAGGAUCAUGGCGAUGAUAAUUCUUUUGACAAUCCCCAUAACUAAGAAAAGCACAUAUUACAAAACUAGAGGACAAUUUAUUAUGUUCUUGUGGAUGAAGAAAAAAAUGUAGAACCAAAACCUUUCAAGGAAGAUUAAUUAGAAACACAACCAUACAACUUUUGAAAGGGAGACAUGAUGCAAUCUAAGCUUGCAUCUUCUUUUGUGGAUCUUUUUCUUCAUUGUUUUGAUUUGAAUAUCUUCUAUGAAUGAUGAAAACUAUUGCAGAAGCAUGAAGAAUUGUAAAAUUUUUGGAAGAAAUGAAAAUUAUGUUAGUUAAUCUAAGUGGGGUUAGGUCAACACUUAGUUUCUAGAGUGAGGUUAAGCCAAGACUACUAGGAGGAGUCUAGAAAUUUGUAUAACAAGAAGAUAACUCUAGAGAGAAUUUUGAAGAAGUAAAAGUGUCUUAAUUGGACAACAUUUCAUUACUCAAAUGAGAGUUUAAAAUCAUGUACAAGAGACUCUUAUUUAUAGGAGAAAGUCUUGCCAAACCUCUCAAAUGAGAGUGUGACAAGUGUCACACCUUAUUGGUGCAAAUCCUCUGCAUUGAGGAGAAGGCAUGUGGAGCCUCAUGCCUUCCUUGCCUACAUUUCUAUUUACACCUCUUUUUUACUAUUAUACACUCAACUUUCUUUUCUAUUUACAUCAUUCUCUACUUUGGCCCAAAAUACAAGACCCAAAACUUCCUAACUACUUUAUACAAAUUUUACAAGGCUAAGAAGAAGAAAAACACUUUACAAUAUCUUCAAUAAGUCUCAAUCUUUGUCUAUCUUCUCAACUGAAAGUUUCGAGGUCGGAUGAUUUUCAUUAAGACAUACCUGAGAUAACAAAAGAUGAAAUUUGAAUAAUAACACGAACAAAAUAAGACAUACCUAAAUCAUACAAUAAAAGAAAUUGGUAUAUUCAAGAUUUCUUUCAGCAACCCCCUUAUGUUGAGGAGUAUCAAUACAAGUUUGAUGAAGAGUUCCACUGAUGAUAAGUAAUUCACAAAAAUUAUUAGAACACCACCCAAAUCUCAUUGAAAACAUUUAAUAAAAACAUUAUGUUUGGUUUUAAUCAUAGUAUGAAACAUAAGAUAUACAUAAAAAAAAAAACUCAAAACAAUGUUUCAUAAGAUAAACCUAAUAAUAACAAAUAUGUUCAUCAAUAUAAGGAUACAUAAUAGUGAGAUCCACCUUUGUUAGGAACCAAAGAUGGACCCUGUGCAUGAUAAUGAGUCAAUUCAAAAAGGUGUAUGAGACGUAAAAACACACUUGAUAAAAGGUAAAGUAGUAAAUUUGACAAGUUUACAACCACAAUAAUUAGAGAUAUCAUUGGUUUGUAGCUUGCCUAAAACUCCAGUGGAGACCAAGUAAUUUAACUUAGUGAAAGAAACAUGUCCAAUACAUAAAAAUGAUAAAUCAAAAUGGAGGUUUCAAUAAUUGGAUUCUUUAGCUCAUCUACUAUAUAAAAUCCUCAUACCUACAACUUGUCUGAAUCAACCUCCUGAAUUGAGGAUCCUUCACAUAAAAAUUAGUAAAAGAAAAAAGAAAACGAGUAAGUAAAGUCACAUAGUUGAGCGACACAAACAAGAUUUAAAGUGAGGUUAGGAAUAUAAUAAACAUCUGACAAAAUAAAUGUGGAGACAAAUCCAAUAUCUACUAAUGGCAUUGAGGAACCAUGAGUAGUCCAAAUAGAUAUAGGUGAGACGAAAAUUGAGGACUAAAAAACAUAAGAUCAUAUGACAUGUGAUGUGAGACAUCAAAAUCAAGGAUCCAUAAGAAAUGAGACAUAUUUAUGAAUUAGAAUAAAAAUUUUAAGAAUUAUGACUUGUGACUAAGUAGUAAGAAAGUUUUGAAAUUCUUCUACAAUAUCAAAUACACUAAUGAAAUUCAAAGAUAACACAGGACACAAAUUAGAUUGCAAAUAGGACCUUGAACCCCUUAAAACUCCAUUGUGUACAAUAGCUCAAACAAUAUGAAAGGAUAUGUGGAAAUCUCACAUUAUUUAUCGAACCAGAUGAGUUUACUAGUAAAUGAUUAUCAAACCAACUAUGACCUUUAACUUAAAACCAAUUGACAUUAUGUGAAGUUGUUUAUACAUAUAUAAACUGCACUCCCAUACUUGAUGCAGGCCAUGUAAGACUUCCCAACACCCAUGUUUGUAGAAUCAUGCGAAUCCACUAGUAGUAUCAAAUGAAUUAUAGAUUCUAGCUCUCUGAUAAUAAUAAAACAAAAAUAUAAUGACACAUUAAAAGGGAGGAACGAUUUCUUAUAUUAAUCUUAAUAGAAAGUCUAAAAAAACAUAACAAAUAUACAAAUAUGACAAUAAUAUAAAAAUUAACCUACCCUUAAUAUAUAUAAUAUUAUGUUAACACAUGGUAAAUAAAAUUAGGGUAAAUAGGCGUAUUAAGAUAUGGAGGACCGAGAUGUUUCUGAAUCGUGACUCAAAAUUUACAUAUCAUGGAAGAAAGAAGAAAUAGAUGGGAGAGGAAGUAAAGCAAAAGAAAUUUAAAAAUCUCAAACCAGAAGAUCAUGUCUAAACAAAUCAUCCUUGAAACCUAAAAACUCAUCAUCAACCAAUUAAUUCUUCAUCUUUAUUUCCUAUAAAUUCAAUAUUCCAAAAACACGCUUUAUUUUUAUUUUUUUAUUUUCUAGUUUAAAAGUCAAAAACCGUCUUUAAAAUUUAAAUUUAGACAGUUAAAAAUCGCAGUAAAUUGGAAAUCCAAAAUCACCUUACGUGUCUAGAAGAAGAUAAAAAUAAUAUUUUCUAAGUUAUGUAACUACAAAAUAUUUUUUUAAAUGUAAUGAAUAAAAAAGUGAGCUAGAUUUGAGGGAAAAACAUAUUUAAACUUUUUUAUAAGUUUAAAAUAUAAGUAAAUUCAAAUUCAGCAGUUAUGUAGUACAACAGUUCCUCGAGUGGCAUCAUGCAUGUUGUAACACCCCAUAAUUUACCUAUAACUAUUACAAUACCGAUUCUACAUAUUUCUAUACAAGCUUACAGUUUUUCAAAAUAUUCCUAAUACGUGAUUAGGACAUAUAGAAAUACAAAUAUUUACAAUAUAAGUUUCAAAAUCAACGACUUAAAACUCUUCUGAUCCUCAGACACCUGUAAGAUCAUCUGCUCGUGUACGUAGUACAGUCAUCGCAGUUCAAACACAACAAGAAAAGCAAGGGUAAGCUAGUGAAAAUAGAAUUUUAUAAUGUACGCAAUUAAAUCAAAAGAGAAAACCAAAUUACAUGAUCAAUUUCUCAAAUUAUACAAUCUUCUUCAAAUCCCAACAUUAGAACAAUCACAUAGAUCUCACAUGGAUCUACACAUCCAAGAUAUUCAACAAACAACGUCUUCCGGAAGACCCGUAUUAAGUAAGUCCUACCAGAGACUAACACCUGAUCCAAAGAUUACCAGCGAAUCCAACAGAAAGGAUCAAGGUAAGUUCAAUACAACCCAAGCCGUGCAUCCAUAUGUCACGGUGUGCAUGAACUCCCCCAUCAGCUUCUCACCACCUGAUAUCUUAGUCUAUGUGACUUAGAUCAUCAGUGAAGCUCGGAGAUCUCUGUUACCACAUAGGCAUCAAUACUUAAUACACAGCAAACAUCAGUCCAUACAUUAUCCCAAAUGUAUGAAUUCAAUUCCAUACCAUUCCGUCAUACAAUAUCAUUCAAAAAGUGAUCCACAAUAUUCAAAAGCGUAAUUAACAUAAAAAACAACACUUAAAUAUUAAACCAUCAAAAUAUAAUAUUUUUACAAAUUUAAAUAAUAUAUAAACAAACAACCCAAUAUAUAAACACACAACAUCCCUGCAAGAAAAAAUGAAUAUUGGGACCACGUCCCUUCCGCAUUCAGAUCUUCUAUCCUAGGGUGCUAUUAAAAAUUAAAUUUAGCUUCCCUUACCUCAAUUGCUUGCUUUCCAAGCAACUUUUAGAAUUUUAUUCCCCACCGUUUGGAUAAGCUUCAAGAUUUACGGGCCUAAUGCAAAUUAUCCAAACAGAACAAAAUUUCAGUAUAUAAUAGAAUAAGUUGAGAGGAUUAAACUUCUCAACUGACCCCACCAAGAUUAAUGACUAAAUCCUAAGGAAAAACAGAGAACACAGGAUAUUUAGAGUAAAAAUGAACUUACUCUGUUUGAAAAUCUGAUCGGGUAGAAAUGUUCUUUAACUCCUCUGCUACAGCGUGGUAUGAUCAGAUUCUAAAAUAGAUGAAGAUUGGGAGAGAAAUUAAGAGAGAGGGAGAGAAGAGAAUUGGAGAGAGAAAGAAAAAAAAAAUUGUGGUGGGAAAGAAGGGGCUUCUCUGCCCCUUUAUUUUUAUUUUUUUUGAACGUUCUUACACAUGUUCCUCCUUAAAGAUAUUAGUUAAUUCAGACAAGUGUGGAUUACUCACGUAACAAAUUUAAACAAAGAUUUCACAAUAAGAAAUAACAUAAUGCAACAAAUGAGUAUUUAAAACACCAACUUGUUCCCUAGAUUUUACAUUACUUUUUAUUUUGACCCUUUACAUAAAAGAAUAUUUUACUUUUAAUUGUGUCAGAUUAUUUAUUAACUCAAAGAUUGUUUUUUAUUUUACAGGGACUAUUUAUAGUAUCAAAGUAGGUGAGUUCCUCUAUUUGUAUAUUUGUUUUAGGUAAAAAUUUAUUCCUCUAUUUAUAUAUGUUAUAAGUAAUAAGUAUGGUGGAACAAGUUUCUUUAUAAAUAUAUUUAUUUGAAUAAAAAUAUAAAAACAUUAAAUAAAUUAUUUAAAAGUUAAAACUAAUUUAUAUUUAAACUAUUUUUUAGACAUUCUUUAAUAUAACCUUUUUAAUUUCCAAUUUAUAAACAAUUUGAUUUAAUUUUAAAAAAAUUAUUUUUCUUUUAUAAAAAUACUUAUAAAAAAUUGUACAAAUAUAACUAAUAUUAUUUAUAAACUAUUUUUGCCAAAACAGUCCUAUAAUAAUUUUUUAUUAUGAUGAGAUCUAUUACUUUGAUUUUUAACUCUUCCAAUGACAUACUUUAAAGAUAAGAAUUUGUGUACAGGUUCUAGGAGAGUAAUUGUUUUCAUUUUUAUUGACUAUUAUAUGUUAACUGAACAACUUCCUUUAUUAAUACUAAGAAAACUCAUAUCCACAUUUUUAUUUCAUUAAAAUAAUAUAAUUUUGCAAACAAGAUAUUAAAAAAAUAUUAAAAUUAUAAAAUUUAUAUUUAUAUAAUUUUGUAAAAAUAAGAUUAAAAUAAUAUAUAUGGUUAUACAACUAUAUAUAGAGGAUAAUUAUUUUUAACCAAUUCUGAGUGUCAUCUUUUAAAAAUAAAAUUAAUGUUAGACAACACAUGUUAUUAUAUGAAAGAGAGACUAGAUUAGACUGACGUAAAAAAAACAAAAAAAAAAAUAACACUCAAGAGCAACCUAAGUAUUUACAUUGAGAGUUUAAACCAAAAAAUAAAAAAAUUAAAUAAAGACAAAAAUAAAAAUAAAAGAAGAUUUUUUAAUAUGUAGCUCCAUAAAGAUAGCACGGAUAAACGAUUGAAUUCCAAAAUCCUAUGAUAUUAAUGCACAUCUAGACCAUUACUUUUGUUGGGUUGACUUGCUUUAGAGGUUUUAUUAUUGGCUUUCACUCCGACUUUAGAAGGACGUCCCAAUCUCCUGAAAGUUCGAACUGGUUCAUUGUCUUCACUUAAUGAUUUCUCCUUAUCCAUCUUUUCAGCUCCGAACUUAGAAACCAAAUUGGCUUCUUCUAAGAAAAUGUCAGCCAAGGUAGAUUCAACUAUACUCAUUACCAAGAUGGUCGAACAUGUAUCUUGAGUCUCUUAUUCACCAUCUAAACGAGAUUCAAAACAAUUUGCAAGGCCAAAUUUUGAGAAAUAGAUUUAAAAGUAACUCAUUUGACAACUGCAAAUUUAGGACUUUUGCAUUAGUUGCAAAUUUGAGAUGAAAAAAUCCUUCAAAACAGACUAAAUCUUUCAAGAGGCAAGGAGUCUUUUUUUUUUGUAGCAAAUCACUUGAUUCGUGGAAAUUCUCCAAAGAGAGUAUAUCAAAAAAAAUAUCAUCCUGAGAUCGUGAACCAGACCUUAUAUCAACAAUUAAAACAAAGAAACAUUAUCAACAACAAAUAAUUCUUUUGUAGAUUUCUUAAACUUUUGACCAACAAGAGAUCCAACCUCCACUUGGCCAACAAAAACUUCAAUUAAGCGUAUCAAGAUUAAUAGCAGCUCCCUCAACUUCCACCACCUUUGCCUUAUGAACAAGUACAUCAUAUUUCUAUACCUCUACUGCAGAAUUUUGUUUCUCUAUGACACUAACCACUUCCUUGUGAGGGGCAUUUUUAAUUUCUUUUGGUAUGGAUAGUCACAGGUUUAUACUCUGCAACAAGUUUGGAUAAAAUAGUAGACGGUUUGAUUAUGUCAUUAAGGUUAUUAGGAUUGUUAGAAUAUAGGGCUGAAACAAAAGGGGGUGAAAUGUUUUCGCAAGAUUUUCAAAAAGGCUGGAAGUAGAUUGAAAAGAUCAGUUAAAUCAAUCAAUUGAUUUAUUUGUUCAACUGGUUACUUAAUAGAUUACAGUUAUGUGAAAAAUAUAAACCUAUUGUUUUUUACAAAUCAACUAAUUGUUUAAUGUAGAACACACAUAGAAGUAUUUAAAACAUUUUAUUAGGGAAGAGAGAUUCACACAAAGAAAUUUAUAUUGGUUCACUAUAAACCAAGAGCUACAUCAAAUCCCCUGCAAACCACUGGGAAUUCACUAAGUAAUCAAAAAAUAUAUUACACAACCAAGAGUGUUGAUCUUGAAUCCUUCAAGAACACACAACACUUAACAAAAACACAGUUUCUAGAAACACAAUAUGAAAUUGUUUUACACACAAUACAAAUUAAAAGAAUGAAUUAGAAUACACCUAAGCUUUAUACAGUUGAAAAACAAUAGAACAAAAAACUCAUAAUCAUAUUUCACACAGAAGCAAUGAUCCAAAACUUCAAGAAUGAUUAAAAGCUCUUUCAUCUUCUCUCUUGAAAAACAUGUUCAAUAAACUCUCUUCUUCUUUUUGAAAUGAUCAGAAAACAGUCUUUAUAUAGACUUUAAAAGAUGGUUAAAACAGUUUGAUCAUUAAAUGAAAUCUAUUACAAACAUUUAAAAACAUUUGAAAAUCAUAACAAAAUUUUGUUAAAAUCACUUAAUUAAUUUUUAGAACAAACUUAUUGUUUUCACUUUCGGUUAAAAACUCAACAUAAAAAGUUUGUUCAUUUAUCGAAAUAACUGACUAUUUUUUCUUUACAAAAAAGACAAAAGAAAACAAAUCAUUUUUAAAUCUUUUUAAAAACCUUAAAUGUAAUUCAAUCGGUUGUCGUGAUAAAUUAACCAUUUGAAAAACUUGUUGUAGUCACCAAAUUAGAACAAAAGCUUUUUCAACGAUUUAAAACACGAAACAACUAACUAAAAUUAACACAAAUUUGAAAAACAAAACUUUCAAAAAAGAUUUCAAAUCAUACGAACUUGGAUCAUAACUAAGUGCAAAUUAACAACUCAAAAUCUACCUAACUACACACAACAACAGAUUCUUCAAGCUGGAUUUGGAAAUCAUCAAAGCAACCUUGUUCAAUAAGGAUGUAGUCUACAUUUAGAAAUAUCAUACCCUGUCAUUUUACACAAAGAGAAAAAUGGAGGCAACUUCUCAAAUUCAAUAUCUACAAAAAAGCAAAACCAAGUAUUUCCACCAAAAUUUGAUUAGAGAAAGCAUAUAACAUAUCAAAUAAGCAAAAAAAACCUCUAAAUUUAUUCAUGGUGCGGUCAUCAAGGGAAAAAGGAGUACUAAUCCAUUUCUCUAUAGAGAAAAUUCUUUUUGGUUUCCAAUAUUCCAUAGGAAGACUGGAUUUUCACUCAACAUGGAGCUUUGGUGAGUUUCAUUUAAGAUGGCACAAAGUCUGGUUCAAGCAAAGACUAUCAAGAUACCCAAAUUGAGAUUCCAUAACCUCAUUGCUAGGACUCUUCUAAUGUCUUCAAGAGAAGAAAAAACAAAUUCAUAAAACCCUUUUCUCAAAGGAAUAACUUUCCAAAAUCCUUAAGACUUACAUGCAAGAUCCAACUUUUUGCUCAUGUUCAUAUGAGUAAGAGGUUUGUCACCUUUGGAUAGUACUAUUCUUCCAUGAAGGUGAUUUUUACCUUCUUCAAGACCUACGAGAUACACAUCUACAUCAAUUUGAAUAGAUAUCAAAUCUCCAUUAAUGCAAGAAGAAGAUAACAGUGAAAGAGGGAUAUCACCAACAUUAUUCAAGGUUUGUGCAAAAUUCAUCUUUUGUGCUUAAGUCGUAUAAGAAUAACUCACUACAAAAAAAAUCAGUAUUAUCUACGGAUUUUUACUCACGGAUCUGAGUCCGUAGGUAAAUUCAGCAUUACCUACGGAUAUUGCCUACGAACAACAUUACCUACGGACAUUACCUACAGAUUCUGAAUCCGUAGGUAAAUUCAGCAUUACCUACCAACUAUGACCCACGAAUUCUGAAUCCGUAGGUAAAUUCAGCAUUAUCUACCAACUAUUACCUACGAAUCUUAUUACCUACCAACUAUUACUCACAAAUCUCUAUUACUUACGAAUUAUCACCCAGUAAUCUCUAUUACCUACCAACUAUUAUCAUAAUAAUUAUAUACAUAAUAUUAAAAAUAUUAAUAUAAUAUGAAAAAUUAUAAAAACAUAAUUCAUAUUCAUAACUAAUAAUAAUCAUAACUAAUUUAUACAUAUUAUUAAUAUUAAUAUAAUAAUUUAAAUAAUAUAAAUAGUAUUAUAUUAAUAAUAAUAAUAUUAAUGAUAUUAGUAAUAUAACAAAAUUAAUAAUAUCAAUAAUAAUAACAUUAAUAAUAUAAAUAGUAUUAAUAAAAAUAUAUAUAAAAUUAACAUUUUUUAUAAUAUUAAUAAUAUUAACACUAUUUAUAAUAUUAAUAAAUAUUUAUAAUAUUAAUCAUAUUAAAUAAUAUUAAUCAUAUUAAAUAAUAUUAAUAAUAUUUAAUAAUAUUAAACAAUAUUAAUAAUGAUAUUAAUUUUUAUUUUAUUAAUUAUAUUAAUAUUGAUAAUCAUACUUAUAAAUAUAAUAAUAAUCAUACAUGACAACAAAACUUGACUGGUGUAAUGGUUAAAACUUCUAUGGACAUAUUUCAAGGGACUUGGCUUCGAGUCCCACCUGCUGCAGUUGAAGUGCCACUAUAGGAGGACAAAACUUUGCUUAACCACCGAGGACAAAACUUUGUUGUAAUGGUCUAACUUUCCCAUUUAAAAUAACAUAAAUAUACAUUUUCUUUUAACUUUUAAAUCAUUCUUUUAGAAAUACUUUUUAAAAUUUUAUUAUCUGCAAUAACAUUAAUAAAGAUAAUAUUCUCUUUGGUACAUAAAUUCUCACUGUCUUAUCCUUUGAUAUUUUUUAAAACUAAAAUAACUACUUAUAUAACACAUUACCUACAAAAUAAGAAAUUAUUGUUUACAAAAUUAUAAAAAUUAUUUUUAAUUAUUUUUAAUUGGACAAUUUUAUCCUUUAUUAAUAAAAAUAGUUUAUUUAUUUAUUUAAUAAAAUAAAUUUAUUUAUUUAUUUUAAAAUAACUAAAGAACUUAUCUAUUAAAAAAUAAUGUUUAUAUAAUUUUUUAAUCCUAUUUUUAUCCUUUGAGCAGCGAUUUUUUAAAGCCAAAAUAACUAUGUAUAUAAAUAAACUACCUAUAAAAUCAGAAAAUAAUUUAUCUAAAAACUUAUAAAAGUUAUUUAUAAUUAUUUUUAAUUGGACAGUUUACCUUUUAAUAAAUAAAAUUUAUAUUUUUUAUUUAUUUAAUAAAAUAAAUAAUUGGAUAAAUCAUCUUUAUUUUAAUAAAAUUAAAGAACUUUUUUUUUUAAAUAACAGCUAUAUAAUUUUACAAUACUAUUUUUACAAAAUAAUAUAUAUUAAUUUAUAUUAUUUUUUAAUUAAAUAUUCAUAAAAAUAAAAUAAAAGACUAUAAAAGUAUUAAAAUUAUAAAAUUAUCUAUUUGAAUAUAAUAAAGAUGUGAUUACACAUGUGAGAAAAAUGUGUUUUCGUUAGUUUGAAUAUAAGCGCGAGAACUACUGUGUUUCUACUACUUUUUAAGUAAAAAAAGUUAUUGUUUUGAUAGAAAUAUAUUAUUUAAUUAUUAUUUUAUUAAUUAAAUAAAAUAUUUUUAUUUAUUAAGAGAUAAAAUUAUCUAAUUAAAAAUGACGUUAAAGAUAGUUAUCUAUUCUUCUUAUGAAAUAUGUAUUCUUUUUAUUUAAUGAUAUAUAUUAUUUUUAGUAGAAAUAAAUUAUUCAAUUACUUGUUUUAUUAAAUAAAAUAUAUACUUUUAUCUAUUAAAGAAUAAAUUUUUAAUUAAAACAUAACAUAAAAAAUAAUUAUAAAAAAUGUAUUGGCACUAUAUAAUACCAUAAAUGAUGAAAAUAAUAAUAAUAAUAAUAAUAAUAAUAAUAAGUAUAAAUAACUUUAAAAGUUUAAAGAUUUAAUUAUUAUUAUUAUAUUAAUAAAAAGAAGUUGAUAAGUGAUUUUUGUUUUAUUUUAAGGAAAGUAUUUUUUUUCUUUAUUUUAACAUGAUGACAUUUGCGAUUUUAAUUCACAGGCUUGGUUAUUGGAGCAAACAAAAAUAUUUUAUAUUAUGGUGCACAUCAAUUAGUAUUAAUUAGGUUGGGACAGUAUGUUCUACCAUACUUCAUACUUAGAUAUGUUGUUGGCACCAUAUUGUUUAGUGCUCUUUUGACAUAUAAGUGGAGAAGAAGGCAUUAGUCAGAAUACGAAAAUAUUGAAAGUUAUUUAGAGCAAAAUAGUUUGAUGCUUAUUCGAUACACAUACAAGGAGAUUAAGAAGAUGGCCACAGGUUUUAAUGAAAAAUUAGGUGAAGGAGGUUAUGGCUCUGUAUUCAAGGGAAAGUUGCGUAGUGAACCUUCUGUUGCUAUAAAAGUGUUACGAAAGUCAAAAGGUAAUGGACAAGACUUUAUCAAUGAAGUUGCAACCAUUGGAAGAAUACAUCAUCAAAAUGUAGUGCAGUUAAUUGGAUAUUGUGCUGAAGGCUCAAAACGUGCCCUUGUUUAUGAGUUCAUGCCCAAUGGAUCUCUUGACAAAUUUAUAUUUUCAAGUGAAGGAAAUACGCAUUUAACUUAUGACACAAUAUAUAAUAUAGCAAUGGGAGUAGCACAUGGGAUUACAUAUUUACACCAUGGUUGUGAGAUGCAGAUUUUGCAUUUUGACAUCAAACCCCACAACAUCCUACUUGAUGAAAAAUUCACCCCAAAAGUCUCUGACUUCGGAUUGGCAAAACUAUAUCCAAUAGACAAGAGUGUUGUGACUAUGACAGCAGCAAGAGGGACAAUUGGAUACAUGGCUCCAGAAUUGUUUUAUACAAAUAUUGGAAAAAUAUCAGAUAAGUCUGAUGUUUAUAGUUUUGGAAUGCUUUUGAUGGAGAUAGCAAGUAAGAGGAAAAACUUAAACCCUCAUGCAGAGCGUUCAAGCCAACUUUACUUUCCCUUUUGGAUUUAUGAUCAACUUGACAAAGAGAAAGAUAUAGAAAUGGAAGAUGUCAUAGAGGAAGAGAAGAAAAUUGCAAAAAAACUGAUGAUAGUUUCACUUUGGUGCAUACAAUUAAAACCAAAUGAUCGUCCUUCCAUUAAUAAAGUAGUCGAAAUGCUUGAAGGAGACAUUGAGAACCUUAAAAUACCUCCAAAGCCUUCUCUAUAUCCACAUGAAACAUUGGAAAAACUUUGCUCUAACCAAACAACAUUGCCUCAGUUCAUUAGUUCUUCAACCAAUUCCAUGGAGAUUGCCACUAAUGCUCCACUGGAUGAAAGUACACUACAAGAAAAUCAUCAUGAAAUAGAAACCAAUUUUUAGAGACCAAAAUAAUUAGUUGCAAUAGUAACUAAAUUAGAGACCAUUUUAGAAACUAAAAAAAAAAUAUAGGUUUCUAAAUUAGUUUUUAUUAUUGUUAAAUAGUUUCUAAAUUAAUAUCUAAUUAGCAACCAAAGUUUUUGCUACCAAAUUUAUAAACUAAAUAAUUGGUAGUUAAAACAUUGGUUGCUAAUUAGAUACCAAUUUAAAAACUAUUUAACAAUAAUAGAAACUAAUUUAGAAACCAAUUUUUUUUUUUAGUUUUUAAAAUGGUAUCUAAUUUAGUUAUUAUUGCAACUAAUUAUUUUAGUAUCUAAAAAUUGGUUUUUAUUUCAUGAUUUUAUUGUAUUUUAUGAUUUUAUUGUAAUGGUAUUUGAUAAUGCAUAUUAAUUGUUUAUUUGCAUCCAACUUAUUGACUUGAACAUUGUUUUAGAGUUUGUUCAUUAAUAAUAUUUACAUAUUGUUUGAGCUAUUUUCUAUUGUUGUAUACUUAAAAGUUUAAAAUAAUAAAUUUAAACAUUUGUUAAAAGUUUUCAUAUAUGUUCAUUAUACUAAAGUAGUUGUAGCAUCCUAAGUUUUUUAUUAACUGUUAUUUAAAACUUGAUCAAAUAUAAUAACAAGUGAAUUUAGUUAAAAUAAUAAAUUAAAUAGGUAUAUUUUCUGGUAAGUGCAUGUACUAAAUUCUACAAUAAUUAAGAUUGUGUUGUAAGCUUGAUAAUAGUAAAGGAUUGUAUGUGAAAGUAAUCAAAGAAUUCAUCAAAUCAAAUAUAAUUUGUUACUUUAAUUAGUUUUAUUUUAAUUUGCUUCUAAACACGUAUUUUAAGAAAAGUUUUGAUGAGUGUGAAAUAAAUAGUCUUUCUAAUAUCCCAAAUGACAUUAAACCAUUAACUUAUAUGCGAGUUUUUUUAACUAAAAUUUCUCCAAUAAAUAAAUAAAUAAAACCAUGUGUACAAUGUUACCAACUUCCAUCAUAGGACAAAAAUUCAUUGCCUAAUCUCAUAAUGGUGGAACAACUAUUAGUAACUUUAUAAUUAAGUUGGGUCACGCAUCAUUGAAUUUUUUUAAGCAAUAAUCUUAAUACUUUUAUACACUAUACAAAAAUUUAUGUUUAAUGGUCUUUUGUUUUAUUUUAUUAGCAUUUUAAACCCGUAAACUUAUUAUUUACAAUCCUAAAAACUGUAGCAAAACAUUAGUGAUAAAUAAUUUAUUACAAUCAUUAUUAACACAAAAUUAAUUACUUGUGUAAUUCUAAAAUCUCUUAAUAUCAAACAUUAUACAUGCAACUUCAUUAACGCUAUAAUAUUAUUUACGAUUUUCUAAGUCCUGAGGCUGCAUUUGACAAUAUCAAGAUAACAAACGAAUAUGAAUCUUCUUUUCACCUUUCAUUUCACGAAAAUCCUACAAGAUAAGUUAAUCAAAUGUUUCAUCUAACGCCAUAAUCUAACAAAUUUUACAUAAGCAAAUUGAAUUUAGAGUUUUGUUAACAUGUUUUUGGAGAACUUCAAUAUAAGACGAAUUGGGUUGGAAGAAAUAAUUGAAAUAACUCUUGCAUGACAUACAUGCUCCUAAUAUGACAAAAUAAUUUGUAUUGAAGAAAUGGAGUAUUUAAGAAAGGCAUGUGAGAAUAAUAAUCAAGUAUUUCAUCUAAAAUGUUUGAAAGUAGUUGCACCAAAACUCAAAUCAAUUAAAAGGAAAAAAAUUUAUCUAGGGUCUUAACAAACCCUUUCGACAAAACUACUUAUCAUAAGACUAAUAAAAAUCUUAGCACAUAGAUUAACAAGACUACAAACUUAGGUUUCUUUUUUAUGAUAUUCAUUUACUCGGAUAAGAAUAAAAAUAUUUUUUUUUUCAUUUGGUAUUGUUCAUGGCAUGACAAAUUUAAUGGAAGAGAUGUAAGCUUGAUUAUAUUCUUUUCUUCUACUCCAUUAGAAACCCUUUAGAUAUAAAUUAUUGAACUAUAUUUUACAAUUUACGUGAAAGAUUUACCCUUUCAUCAUCUCUAACAAACUAAUCCUAAAAAUUAUAACUCAAUUGGAAUGAAAUUUUGGAAUUAGAGUUCAAAAUGAAAAGAAUGCAAUCAUAAUAAUUUGUUUAUAAAUAAGAACAUUACAAUGCGAUAAAUACUUGCACUCUUCAAAAUAAAUGAAAAGCAAGCCUGAUGAAUGAAUAACAAAUUAUAAUAUUCUUUAUCAAGUAAGGUUUCUUUAAUCUCAUUGUUUUGUUUUGAUUGGUAUUGUUUGACCAUAAUACGGUGUUCUUGAUAUUACCUUAUAUAUGACAUGAUUUUAAGAAAUGAGAAUUUAAAUUAUUUGUAGUUAGAGGUUUGGUCUUGAGAAUUUAAAAAAGUGGUAUUUGAACUAGAUUAAUUGGUCUCAUACAUUGGAGCUCAUUUAUCCGUAUUAGUCACUAUGAAGAUAGUUUAAAUCUAUGCACGUGAAUCAAAUAGUGAGUCUUACUAUAUAUAUGUAUAACUUCACCAUCUGUGCCAUACAAAUUACUACCUAAUAUUUAUUCUCGCUAUCUUUUUCAUGUUUCUUAUUUGUUCUUCUUAAUGAAAAUGAUAGAAAACUCUUUAAAUACAUAUCUCCGUUGUCCUCGUAUGUUGGACAACUUUUUGUAACAUCCAUAAAUCUUUAAUCCCCACAACAAUUUUUCUUUGCAGCAAAAUAAUGAAAAAGAAUAAGUUUUCUUAGGUUUUUAAUCUACUUAGCACAAGUCAAAUUGGCUAAGUCAUUUUUAGCCUUGCACCAAAAUUGUCUCUAGAGAAAAUAUGCUCAGCACAUGAGGGUUGUGUUGAGCAAUUUUUUUCUUGUUGAAUGCCUUUCUCCAUACUUGCACUUGGGAGAAAAUCUUCUCUUCGCGUGAGGGUUGUGUUCAACAAAUUUAAGGUGGUGGAAAUGUAAUUUUUAGCAAUCCGCUCAAUGGUUUGAAAUUCGUUCAACGAAAUGGCCCUUACUAAAUGAGUAUGAAUAACCCUUAUUUGUCUUCUUUGUAAAAUUUAUCAUGUAGUAAUGCAUCUACUCCAGUAAUAAUGCAUAAAUCAAACUAUUGUAAGUCAAGGGAUCAAUUAUGAUAGUUUUCUUUCUAGGUAACCAUGAUUAAGGAAUUAACUUGGUUUGAUAGUGAACUUGAAUCACAUUGUGUUUAUAAAUAACUAAGUACAUAAAGGUUACAACGUUUAUUCAAUCUAAACACUUUUAUCAAUCUAAGAUCAUCUCCUUUUUACACCAAGUUUUAACCUCACAAAUGUUAUCUUCAGUUUAACUCACCAUCAUUUGUACAAUUUUACAUGAUUAUUUUCACACUUUAUAAUGAAAGACACAUCUGUUAUAAUUAUAGUCCUUGAGGAUACGACAAUCCCUUUAUCGGUUGUACUACACCCGAUCCACUUGUCGAGAAAUAACCCAUCAAUGCCUACCUUUCCAAAAUUCAUGAAAGAGUUGCUGAAAAAUGAGACAAUUAUUGAGGAGGAAACUAUGAAAUUAGAAUCAAGUUGGAGUGCAAUAAUUUAAAAAUAUUUUACCUCCCAAGUAGAAGGAUCAUACCCAUCAUCAUAAGGAAGUUAUCAAUGGGAAAGACAUUCUUGAUCUAAGGGCUAACAUUAAUUUAAUGUCCUUAUCCAUGCUCUCAAAGAUAGGAAAGGUAAAAGUAAAAUCCAAGCAAAUAACCUUUCAAUUGACAGACAAAACAGUUAAAAUUCCCCUCAAGAUGGUGGUGACCAUGUUGGUUAAGGUUUGCAUAUUUAUUUUUCGUGCAGAUUUUGUUAUUAUGAUGUAGAAGAAGACGUAGAGGUGCCCAUUAUUUUUGAAAAUAUCCUUUAUGACAACUACAAGAGCUUUAAUUGAUGUUUAAUAGUGCCCUUAGUUAUGGGUACCGAUGACUUUAUAUGGCAAGUGUACCGCGUUGUCAAAAGUAAUAAUGUGUCCCUAAGAACCCACAAGGAAUAGUUGAAUAAUCAAGUAAAAGAUUCACUAAAUAUAAAACAAAAUAAUAAAAUUGUGUUGGGAUUUGUUAAGAUGGCAAUGAUUAAUAAGAAAACAAGCUAAAGAGUUUGUUGUUUCAAUUGGAAAAAUAGGGAUUGGGUUUUAUCUUUCUCACUCUUUUGUAUUUUGAUUGACAAAAACAAUAUUGUGUCCUUUGAUUGAUAUUGAUGUUCGUAUAAAAAUAAUUUAUAUCGACUCCUCGCAUAUUUGUAAAAACAACUUAUUAUUAAGAUCAGGCGUUGAUAGCAAUUAACAUUUCAAAUCUAUUCUAAGCAUUCAAAUAUGUUAAGCAUUCUCAUUUAGGUCAAAACCUUAGAAGUACUUUCUAGUCAAAUCUAAAUUUCUAGAUCAAGCAUUAUAAACAAAAUAAUAAUACCAAUCAUCAAUCAAGAACAAAAUAUUUAGAGAUCACCUCAGUACAUCCGAGUUUAAACAGAUUACUCUCAAUCCUAAAGGGUAGAAUUAGCCACACAUCUUCUAACACCUUCUAUUCUCCCAAUUGGAUUACAAUUCACUCAAUGGUGUUUUCCUCUCAAUCUUGCACCCUAGGGUUGUGCCUCAAGCCCCCUAUUUAACCUAAUUUGUUUGGGCUUAAGUGGAUUCUCGCUUAAGCGAGAUUGGUCUCGCUUGAGCGGGCAAAACAACGUCCAACCCAACUUCACUGGUGUUAUCUCGCUCAAGCGAGAUAUAGCUCGCUUGAGCGAGCUCCCCUGGUGACAGUUGAUUCUUUUGCGUGUUUGGGCAACUUUGGUAAGUGCUGAGGCAUUCCAACUUUCUCUUUUUAACUUUGUAUAUUUUCCUUUUGCCCAAUUAUCUCCAUUCUCCCCUAGAAUCCUGAAAUUAACACAAAAUUUGGGAAUAAAUCGUUCCUAUUCAAUUAAAGAUCACAAAAUAUGUAAAAAGGUAUAAAGUUGUAAAUUAGGGGUUAUUUUACACUUAUUUUAGCAAUUAAUACUCAUAAGUGUCUCUAUCUUAAUAUGAAAUAUUACUAAAAUUUGACACUUCUCAGGUACAUGAUGAAGAUAUUACUUUACUGGUCUUCAAAGCUAAGAAAAACCCCAAAAGAAAAAGAGACGUGUUUCACAUAAAGGUACUUAAUAAGACUUCUUUCCAUGCGUCAAGCUAAUGAUGUAAAAGACAAAUUGGCUAGGAGGCAACCCAAUGGUAAGUUUUUUCUUUUUUUUCUUUUAUUUGUCAUGUUUUCCUUAUUUCAUUUACCCCUUUUAUUAAAAAAAAUCUUAAAAUUAAAAAUUAAAAAAAUUGUAUCUUUGAUUACACUCUUCAGAUUGCUUGUCCAGUGGGCUUCGAGAUCAGGGUCCCCCUUAUGUUGUGUUUGUUUCCAAGUAUGAGGAGGGAGGGGAGGAGGAAGUGGGUGUUUUUUUGUGUUUGUUUCAAUGGUUUUGAGAGUGAGGGACUGGAUGGGAGAGAGGGUUGAGGUCUUUUUUUAUUCUUCACACAAAUGAAGAGAUUUGUGAUGAUUCAUGUAAGAUUUUUGUAUUUUACCCAAACACCCUUGUGUAUGCAUUUUAUUACAAUAUACAAAAUUAAGUAUUACAUAAAUUUAUUUAAUAAUUUCAAAAAUAUUUAAUUAUAUUAUUAAUAACAACAUAUAUUUAUAAAUAAUGAAAAUAAAAAAAAUAAAAUUAUAAUAUCAACAAAACAUAUAUAGUUAUAUAAAAUAACAAAUGAAUAUAAUAAUAAAUAUUAUUUUCAUAAAUUUUAAUAUAUUUAAUAAAUUUAUUUCAAUUUAACACAAAAAUAUAUUUUAAUAUAUUUUUUAAUUUUUUAUUUAAAAAAAUAUAAGUAAUUAUGGAUAUUAUAUAUUAAAAAAAUUAAUUAAUUCAAACCUAAAAAAAAUCAUAAUUCAUUAUUUAAAUAUUUUUUAAAAUAAGGAUAAAUUUGUAAACUUACAAUAAAUCAUUCUCACAAAUCCACUUUAUCCUCCUUCAAUUCAAACAAUCUCACAUAUUCUUACACAUCCUCUCUAAUUCUCACAAAUCUACUCCUCCCUCUCCACAAGUUGUCUCCUCAAUCCAAACCCAGCAUAGGAAGGACAAUGAGAUAGGAAGGAUAGGGCUAAUACUUACACCCUACCCAUCCCGUCUAAAUUUUUUUGCCUCAUUAUUCACCCUGCUACUUCUCGGUAUCCACGAAAAAAUAUUUGUUAAUUUUUUUAUACAAGUGGGUAUUCAUUGUUACCAAUGUAUUUUUUUUAAAUAUUUAAAUAAAAAUAUUUUAAAAAUUAAAAUACAAAGUUAGAUAAAAAUAAUUUUUUUAAAUUAUAAUUCAAAAUGUUUUGAAACAAAUUGUAAAUAAAUUCCAUAACAAGAAUAUUAUUGUAAAUAAAUUUGGUCUUUCUAAAAAAUAAAUUAAAUAAAUUUCACCAUAAAAUAUGUUUUGAAAAAAAAUAAUCUUUUUAAAGACAACUUCAAUUUCCUUAUUCUAAAUAAAAGAGUAUAUAUAUGAAAUUAAAUUUUACAAAUUAAAUUUUCAGGCAUAUUGUGAGUACAAAUUCUUCUGUCAUCCCUAACUCCAUUGACGAAGUAAUUGGAGUUGUUACUAGUAUGGAGACCUCAUCCAAGGAAGGGAUGGAUGCACAAGACGAUGUAUGUGAGACAUCCAAGGAUUAAAGCUUGGUUAAGGGCCAAAUUUCUUUUUCCUUUUUCAUCUUUUAUUUCCUUUUAUUUAUGUGCUUUAUUUUCUUCAUUUUUCUUUAUUUGAUUUCCUUGUACUUUUGCUACUGAUGAUUUCCUUUCUAGUUGCUUUUAUUUGUAUUUUUUGUUAUUUUUGUUAUUUUUUUAUUGAAAUCUAAUUCAUGGAAUGAUUAAAAAUUUCAUUUUCUUGUUAAUGAAAAAUUAUCUAUUUUGGGUAAAAGCAAAAGUUCUUGUGUUUUAAUGGGUGUUAAAUUGUUUACUAUUGGUUUUAUUUAUUAAGGACUAGCAAAUAUGACUUGAAAAGUUGAAUCAACAAGCUCAACCAUGUGAGUUAAGUGAUAUGUUGUUGAGUGUUCAUGUUUCUUCUCCUUUAUGCAAACAAUUGGUCUUAUUUAAUUUUUUAAUUUAUUUGAUACAUUGUGUGUUAGGAUAUGAUCAAGACCUUCCUUCUUUUUAUGAGCCAUUAGAAAAAAAGUCAUCUUGAAAAAUCUUUACACUUAUCACCCCUUAGUUAAACUAUGAAAUUAUUGGAGACAUAAAAUCAUAUUUUCCUUUUCAUUUUUCUCUUUUCUUCCUUUUGAAUUACCAAAUUACUUUUUGUUUUUAUCUAUUCGUGUUUCAUUCUAUUCUUUGAUAGAUGUUCUUGUUCAUUGCAAACUUAAUUCGGUAACUAUACCGAGUUAGAAAUAAUAAUUCUUCCUUUUGAAUUACCAAAUUACUUUUUGUUUUUAUCUAUUCGUGUUUCAUUCUAUUCUUUGAUAGAUGUUCUUGUUCAUUGCAAACUUAAUUCGGUAACUAUACCGAGUUAGAAAUAAUAAUGUAUCUCAAGAGACGGAUAUCGAAUUCACAAGGAACAAUCUCAAAAUUUUAAUGUAUAACAUUUACUAAAUAUUGAAAUAUAUGUACAAAAGUUCAAUUCAAAAUAUGUUGACAUUGUUUACAUAAAGUUUGCAUGUAAAUUAAAUAAAGCAAAUUAAAAGAUUUUUAAGAAUUAAAUUAAUAGAAUUGAGAUUGAAGUUAAAAAUCAGUUAUUUUCUUGCUAUUAUAAUUGUUUGAUUGUUGAGCUUUGUCCUUACUAUCCUUUUUCAAGAACUUCCCAAAUUUCCUUGUGACACUACAAAAAAAAUUAAUAUUGUGACGAUUAUUUUCGUAUAAAUUGACGUUUAUAACCGCCACAAUAUACACUUGUGGCGGUUUUACGCUACCCGUCGCAAAACCCGUCACUUUAAACAUAAUGUAAAUAGUGACUGUUUUUAUAUGUAAAUAGUGUCAGUUAUAACUGUCGCAAUUUACAUUCAUCGAAGAAUAUUCUUGCACCAUAAUAUACGUAAGUAGUGACUUUUUAACUGACGUAAUUUUAAUUCUGAAUAAAUAAAAUUUAACCACCAUUUUUUUAUAAUCUGUUUUAUAAUUUGUUUUAUACAAUUAUAAAAUUUAACCACCACUUUUUUAUUAUCUGUUUUAUACAAUUAUAAAAUUUAACCACCACUUUUUCAUAAUAAAAUAAAAUAAUGUAUAAAGUUAUAAUCAUCCAUUAAUUUCAUCGAAAAUUAAAGCACACAUAAUAAAUGUUCAAAAGUUUAUAUGUAAUUGAAAAUUAAAACACAUAAAAUGUUCAAAAAUCCCUAAUCAAGUUUAAAAUUAAAGCACACAUCCUUAAUCAGUUUUGCUUCCAGCACUUGAUCCUAUUACUUGAUUAGGUGAUAGAACACCACUUCCAUAAUCUCAUGCCUGAAAAUAAAUAAUUUUAAGUUAAUGAAUUUGUAUGUUUAUAAUUAUAAAAUAAAAGACACCAAUAAAUAUUUAAAUACUUCAUUGGUGGAUGCAUGAACCAAAUUAGUUGUCAUUGCAGUAAAAUGUUCUGGAACAUCUUUUCUUGAAGCAAUAUAUACAAGAAAAGUGUUCAUUUGAUGAUUUUUCCCAGUUGCAAGCUCAUUUUCCAUUUAAGUUAGCUUGUCCUCCACAUUUGACAAAGUUGAACUAGAAGAAGCAUGGUUCAUACCACUUAGCCUUGUUGUGGAUCCUUUGAAAGCAAAGCUGGGACAAGCUCCAUAUGAUAGCCCUCUAACUCGACCCGGAUGCUCCUUACCAAAUAUUGUUAGAAUAUAUGUCCUUAAACGAGAGGGGGGUGAAUUGUUUAAGAGAGGUUUUUGAAAUCCUUUUAAAGUUUAACAAAAUUCUUUGUAUGAAUCCAGAACAUAAAUUAGGUUAGCCAAUAACAAAAUCAAUAAAAAGCAAAGCAACAGAAAAACAAUCGGUUGUUUCUGCGAAACAAUCGGUUGUUUAUACCAGUAAAACUUAAAACAUAAUUUAAUUGAGUUUAAGGGUAAGAGAAAGAUACACCAACAGUUUAUACUGGUUCACUCUUAAACCAAGAGCUACAUCCAGUCCCCAGAAAACCAUUGGGUAAUCCACUAAGUAAUCAAACCAGAUUACAACACACAAUCCACCAAAGCAGUGACCUUAAACCCUUCAAGAAACACACUCACUUUGGCAAAUCACACACCAAGAACUCACAACACUCCUUGGCAACACAACACCAGAAAUACAGAAGGUUGAGAAGAGAUUACACUUGUCUACAGAACAAUCUGAAAUCAAAUACAAAUGCAAUCACAUUCCACUCUCUUAGAAAACCCAAAACUUUGAUGUGAAUGUUCAAAUCUUGAAUCAACUCUUUCACAAUUGAAAAACUCAAAUCUAUUUCUCUUAGUUGUUUGAAAACAUAAACAAACUAUUUAUAUUUUCCAAAGAUUGGUCAAAGCAUUUAAUGAAGGAGCGUAUUCAGUUGGAAAUCAUUUAAAGCACAUUCAACCACAAAAACAAAAUUAUGUUAGGAUUUUCAAAGAAACAAUCGGUUGAAACCACGAAACAACCGAUUGUUUGGUUUGCAGUUAAGUCAACCAAACUUAAACAAUUUUCAACCUUUUCAAAAACUCCUAAGAGUAAAACAACUGGUUGAUUUGACAAAACAACAGGUUGUUUUUCACUUAGUUGGAAAAACACUUUAUUUCAAAAAGGAUUUAAAACACAUUAGCUUUAGAUUCAACAAAGGAGCGGAUUACAAAUAAAACUACCCAGAUCCCUCCCAAAACACAGCAGCAACACAACCUUGCAUCAAACACAUAGGAUUUGGAUUCUUCAAAGCAUAAUUUGAAUUCUUCAAAGCACUUGAUCACUCUUGAUCAACAAAUAUGAUACCAAUUGGAUCUUCUGGAGAUAUAUUUGAACUAAAUGUUGCGGUUUUUUAGUGUAAUGUUUUAGAGAAAUGUGGCAAUUGGGAAGAAAAAAAGUUCUAUGGUUGUAAAGUGAACUCACUGAAGCAUACCAGCUUGUGACUAGGAUCUAUAGGAAAUAACUAUAGAAAAUGGGGAAUAAAAAUGUAAGUUUACCUGGAAAGUGUUAAACAAUAAGUGAAAAGUUUACCUGAAAAAUAAUGUUAUUCCAUUAUAAAUUACCAGGUGACCAAAAAUCUGAAUAACAAUAAAGUAAUGCCAAUAUGUAUGUUAUUCUAGAAAAAUACUUACUUUUUCUCCUUCCCUAUUCGGAUCAAGAAGAGGUUUAUGUUCAGAAGCAAGAAGAGCAGGUGCACUAUUCCAAAGCUUUCUCCAUAAAUUUCCAUGUUCAGACAUUCUCUUUGAAAGCUUCCCUUGUGCAGGCCAACUAUCUUUUGACUUGUUAAUGUCAAGAGCACUGGAUGAUGAUGAUUUACUUUCCUCAUGGUCAUCAUACUCUUCCCAAUCCCCAUGUGAAUGUCACCGAAUAAAAUCUUCAAAGAUAACAUCUGGAUUUGUUGCCUUUAAAGAUCAUGUAUCCUUAUAUUGAAGAAUUUUUGCAUAAAAAACUUCAUUAUAUACACAUACACACAUACAAUUCCAUUUGGAUAAGAGUAAACUAAACUAGUAGUACCAAGCAUAUUAAGAGUAAAUUCUAUGGGAUUGAGUUAGAUCCAAACCCAAAUUCUAAGAGUAUGAUAUUGUGAACAUGACCUCAUGAGUGAAAAAUUAGAUUAAUGAAAACAUCAUUCCGUUAUAUUGAUGAGGCAGGUACAACAAAUUAGAAAGCAUUGUGCACAUGAUUGUCUAGUAAAUGUAUGAUUUUUAAAUUAGUUUUUAACAUCACAUGCCUAGAAAUUAGAAUUAAUUGUAUUCUUUUAGAAAACAGAGGAACUCAAGACAUGAUCAAUACCUACCCAGUGUUAUUACAAACAUAUAUGUUAUUACCUAUCCAUUAUCAACAAAAGUACAUGUAAUUAUUACCUGAAGUUAAGAUAUCCUUUUCCAGCUUAGUAGAGAAAUUCUGAAAAUAAAAAGGAAUUGCUAAGUAAUGAUGUAAAAUAUGAAAUAGAAGUAGGUUGAAAGUUUCACUAUCACUACAGUCACUUGAGUCUUGAUCAAUGUUUCACAAUCCACCAAAGCAAUGCUUUUCACAUGCUUUUCUUCAUUCUCUUGGUCAUUCGAUUGAUUCAUCUCAAGCUCAUGCUCCUUGAGCUUUCUAAACAAGGAUGGAGUGAUCAAUGUAGUUAGAUCCUUUGAUUCAGAAAUGGUAGUGACCUUUGAUUGCUAAGAUUUGUCCAAGCAUUUUAGGAUCUAGAUGUUCAAAGACUUUGCCAAUCCCAUUGAGAUGAUUUACUAUGUGAGUAAAUCUCUUACGCACAUUAGAGAUUAUUUCCCCUUUCAGCAUCCUAAACAACUCGUACUCUUGGAUCAAGGCAUGCUUCCUUUCCCUCUUUACGUUUGUUGUACCUUCAUGAGUCACCUCAAGGAUGUCUCACAUCUCCUUUGCUAAUCCACACUGAGAAACCCUGAAAAAUUCAUGUGAGUUCAAAGUAUAGGUUAUGAUGUUUUUGGAAACACAAUCAUAUUGAGCCUUUUUUUUUCUUCACUCUUAGUUCAUUGGGACCAAGAUUUUUCAAUAAAAACAUCAUUUUUUCAAGCUUAGGAAUAAAAGAACCAUUGAUGAUAGCACCCCUUAUUCACCCAUCAAUUGACUCAACAAAAAAUUUCAUUCUUACCUUCCAGAAUUGAUAGUUCAGCACACAAAACAAAGGUGGUCUGUUUAUAGAUGCACCCUUCGAAAAGGGUAUUUUUUCAGCCAGUUUUCAAAAAGAUCUAGGAUUGAAACUUGAGUAACUUUCAAGAACCUGACUUCUGAUGUCAAUUGUUAGAAUGUAUGGACUAAAUAAGAGGAGGUGAAUUGUUUUCACAAGAUUUUCACAAAAAUUGGAAAUAGAGUGAAAAUAUCUGUAAAAUCAAUCAAUUGAUUUAUCUGUUCAACUAGAUUAUUAACAAAUUAAAAAUUCUUUAAGAAAUAUCAACCAAUUGUUUUAUCGAAAGUAUUGAUUGUUUAAUGCAGCAUAAUAGAACAAAUUAUAUAGCAGUUUAUCAGAGAAUAAAAGAGAGAUUUAUACUAGUUCACUCUUAACCAAGAGUUACAUCCAAUCCUCAGCUAACCACUGAGAAUUCACUAUGAAAUCCAACCCAGAUUACAAAACCACACCAAAAAUGUUGAUCUUGAAUUCCUAAAGAACACACAACAUUCUUAGCCAUAACCAUAAUUUCCAUAACCACUUUCAAAAAUCGUUUUACACACAAUUACAGAUUCUAAGAAAGAAAUAGAAUACACCUGGGCUUUUCAAAGCAGUAGAAAUUGAAUAGAAAACCCAAAUAUACAAGCAAUGAUCCAAGACUCUUAGAAUGAGUAAAAAUUCUUUGAUCUUUUCUUGAAAACAUUUUUAUCAAAACUCCUUAUUUUCCAAAUGAUAAAAAACCAACCUUUAUAUAGACUUUAAAAAGAGGUCAAAACUGUUAGAUCAUUAAUUGAAACAGUUUAAAAGCAUUUAAAAACAGUUUCAAAAACUGUAACAAAAUUAUGUUAAAAACACUUUAUUGACUUUCAAAACAAACUAUUUGAUUUCUUUUUCUGGUAAAGACAACACAUAAAACAGUCAGUUCAAUUAUCGAAAUAACCGACUAUUUUGGAUUUAUAGAAAAGACAAAAGGAAACAAAUCAUUUUUAAAUCCUUUUAAAAAAACACUAAGUGCAAUUCAAUUGGUUCUCGUGAUAAAUCAUCCGGUUGAAAAACUUUUGUAGUCACCAUACUUUGAACCAACGCUUUUUCAACUGAUUUAAAUCAUGAAACAACUAACUAAAGUUAACAUAAAUUUUAGAAAACAAAACUUUCAAAAGAAAUUUAGAAUCAAAUGAACUUGGAUCGUAACUAGGUGUGAAUUAAUAUUCAAAAUCUACUAAACAACACACACACAACAAGAAAUCCUUCAAGUCUUUAAAGCAGAUUUGGAAACAUCAAAGUACCUUGUUCAACAAUUAUGAAUAGAGAUGUCACUUAGCCCAAGUGCAAUUAAGUUAAAUAAGGGCAUAAGAAUGAAAGAAAGGGAGAAAAAAGAAACCCUAGGAAGUAGUUGAUAAGUGUCUAAUUUCAGUUAUAUUUCAUAUUAAAAUAUAUGCACUUAUGAAGAUUUAUUGCUAAUUUACAUAUAAAAUAAUCCUUAAUUUAUGAAUACAUUUUUACAUUUUUUAUGAGCUUUAUUUGAAUAAGAGCAUUUUAUUCUCAAAUUUGGUGUUAAUUGCAGAGUUUUAGGGAAGAUUGAAGAUUUGAAGUAAAGGAGAAUAAUUUGAGCUAAAAAGAGAAAGUUGGAAGGUCCCAGAAUGGAAAAGGAUGCAAAGAAAGAUUGAGCUUUUUUUAUGUUUUAUCACUUAGCCCAUUAGCGCGACACAUGAAGCCACCCAACCCUAGAAAAUUAGGAUAAAUAGGGGGCUAGAGGUUCAACCCUAGAGUGCCAGAUUGAGAGGAAAACACCAUAGAGUGAAUUGAAACCCAAUUGGGAGAAUGGAAGGUGCUAGAAGUAUGCGUGGCUAAUUCUACCCUUUUGGAUUAGGAGUAAUAUGCUCAAACUUUUAUGUAUUAAGGUGAUAUCUUAUAUAUUCAUAUUCAGUUCUUGAUUGAUUAUUGGUAUUGUUGUUUUACUUUUAACUUUCCGUGACAAAUUGAGAAUCUUAAAUCUGACCGAGAAGUAUUUUUAGGGUUCAGACCUGAACAUCAAUACUUAACAUAUUUGAGUGCUAGAGAUAGACUUGAAAUGUCAAUUGCCAUUAAUGUCUAAUUGUGAUUUCUAAGUUGUUUUUAUAAGUAUGCGAGAGUUUUAUAUGUGAGAGAUCGAUAGAAAUGAAUUUUCUACGGCCAUCAAUUUCAAUCAAAGAACUCAAUAUUAGCUGCUAAUCAAAAUACAUGAGAGUGGGAGAGAUGAAAUCUAAUCCCUAUUUUUCCAAUUGAAGCAACUAAUUCUUUGUUUGUUUUCUUAUUGAUUAGUGCCACCACAAUCACUUCAAAACUAUUUUUAUUAUUUUAUUGCUAUAUUUAGCGAAUUUUGUACUCGAUAAUUCACUGUUCCUUGUGGGAUCGAUAUCCGUCCUUAGGGACAAUUAUUAUUUCUGACAAAUGCGAUGCACUUGCCGUAAAAUGUCAUCAGUAGUCGUCAGUGAGAAACAUUUUGGAUUUCUUUCUUUUGCUUUGGUGCAGGUAAUGGCCACCAUAGGGGGCUAAUUCCUUUUUUUUUUGAGAUUGAAUGUAAUAUUUUUAAACUCUAAUGAAUCUCGAUAAUAUUUAUAUAUGAUAUUUUUUUCUUAUUUGAUAUUGGUAUUGUCAUUUUAUGCUUAAAGCUUGAAUUUUCAUUCAUGAACUUGAUUAUUAUUUUUUGUGCUUAAAACUUGAAUUUUUAUUCAUGAACUUGAUGAUUGGAUCAAGUGCUUAGUGCUUGAAUUUUUAUUCAUGAACUUCAUUCUUGUAUUUUGUGCUUAAAACUUGAGUUUUUAUUCAUGAACUUGAUUCUUGAAUUUAACUAAAACGUACUUCUAAGAAUCUGACCUAAAUCUGACCUAAAUGAGAAUAUUUGAUAUGUUUUGAUACUAGACAUAGAAUAUAUCAAUUGCUAUAUAACAUCUUUUCUCAAUGAUGAGAAUGUUUCCUAAAUACUUAAGUCAUCAAUAUUUAGGAGAUAAUCUUAAUUUCAUAAUUGAGACAUCAAUAUGAAUGACUCUUAUAUGUUGCAUCAUCAAUUAAUUCAAAAUAUUGGAUGUUUCUAUUUAUCCAUGAUUCAGAAGAAUGAGAAAGAUUAACUUCAAUCCUGAUUUUAUCAAUUGAGUUCUUCUAAGUAUUUACUCUGUUUUCAUUUAAUUUUUACGCAAAUUUAUUUUUAUAGUGUCAAUAUCUUUUCAAUUAAAUUUUUGCACAUAUCUUGAUAUUUAGUGAACGUUAUAAAAAUAGGUAAGUUCUAACCACAAAGACAAGAAAACCUACAUAGCAAAACCAUCAUCAAUCAGGUAUUUUUUUUUCUACAGACAGGUUAAAAAAAUUUCUCCUAGGUAAAUAUAUAUUUUUUCUUAUAGUGGAAUGAGACGACAAUACUUGACAAAAUACUCUACCUCUAGUUUAACAAUUUCCUUUAUUUCAUUAUUGUUUCUAACACUACAAAAUACCUUUAUAGACUAGAUGUUAUAGAUUUCGUCAUAUUUCAUAAAAUAAUAGACUAUAAUUUUCUACAAGUUAAACAUUAUUUUUUGCCGGUAAAUCAUUCCUGAAUUACUUCCAACUGCAAAGGUCGUCUUGUGGAACUGAGUCCCUUAGUUGUAGUGGAAGUUGUUGAGUGAAAUGGAUUAGGAGGCACAACCAACUGGUUUUCCUCUUCAGUUUCUAGCAUGUGUAUCACAGAUUUUAUGGAUGGACGGUUCACUGGCUCCCACUGAAUACACCAAAGUCCAAUAAUUGCUAGUUUCUUUGCAAUCUUAACAUCAUCUUCAUCCUCAACAUGGAUAUGUACAUCUCCAUCAACCAAGUUAUGGAUCCAAUCUGGGUAUAGAACUUGGAAAUUUUGUGGAGAAGACAUGUCCACAUUCUUUCUCCCACCAACCAUUUCUAACAACAACAUUCCAUAACUGUAAAUAUCAGACUUGUAAGACACGUUCCCAAAGUUUCUGGAGAAGACUUCAGGUGCAAUGUAUCCCAAAGUUCCUCUAGCAGCUGUCAUGGACACCAAACUGGGAUUCUUGGAACACAGUUUGGCCAAGCCAAAAUCAGAUAUUUUUGGAGUGAAGUUGUGAUCAAGUAACACGUUGUGAGGAUUUAUGUCAAAGUGAAUAAUGGGAUGAUUGCAACCUUGAUGAAGAUACUCAAUCCCUUUAGCUAUACCAAGAGCAACGUGUUGAAGCUUCUCCCAUCCAAGGAAAUGGUCCUUGUCUUCUGGUGGAAAUAUGAAGCUUUGUAAGGAACCGUUUGGAAAGAAAUUGUAGACAAGAGCACGAUGGGGUCCAUCUGCACAGAAGCCAAGCAAACGCACCAUGUUGAUGUGAUGGAUUUUGCCCAUAAUUCCGACUUCGUUGAUGAACUCGUUCCCCUCUCCCUCUGUACUGUUGAGGAUCUUCACAGCCACGGGAAUCUCACUCGAAAGUUUUCCUCUGAACACAGCUCCAUGAGCUCCUUCCCCUAGCUUUUCCUUGAAGCCAUUGGUGAUUCUUUUCAGGUCAGCGUAGGUGAAUCUUGCAGGCUUUUGUGCCCUGUAGUCCUCUAAAAACAUUUCCACUCUUGCUUGGUCUUCUUUCUUUUUCCUAAAAUAGAGGAUGCUCUUGAAGACAGCAAUGACCACCAGCCCCAAAAGGAUCGAACCUAGAAUAGCAGUUGGAGACGUCAUUAAAAAAAAGAAAGAUUUAUGUACUUGUUUCAGUCUUUACACUUAACCAUUGGUUGUUUCAAUUAAUACGCUUAUACUUUUUAAUGCAUUCAAUUGUUGACAUCCUAAAUUGUAGGAAUAAGGAGUUGAACUAUAUUAAAAAGCGAAUGUGUAAGAGUCUCUGAUGUUACCUGUAGAAGCAAAAAUAAAAGAUUUUGGAACGUGAAUUCUCUUCGGUUUGCAUUCAAAACAAUCGAUGUCUCCUGUGCUGCUGUUGGUCUUCCAUGUACAUCUGUUGCGUUUACCUUUGCACUCAGCACAAUUUGGUUUGGGCCAUCUCAAAUACAAGAUACCCGACUCUAAAGAUGGGAUUGGCGCAGUGAGGUCGAACAUCUUGGUACAGGAUGUUAGAUCCAAUUGGAGGACACUUUCAAAAGAAUUAAAAAUGUAAAUAGGACAGGAGACCAUGUCUUGUGAAUCUGAGCCAUCCUCGUAUUGGUGUCUGAGGUGUGGAUUCUCAGCUGAAGUGCAGUUGAAGAAGCUCAAGUUAUUGUGUGGUCUUUCAUAUGGUGAUUCAAAUUGAUAACUUCGAAUAAAAUUGAUUGUUUGGUUAAACUUGUUGGAAAAGCAGUUUUCGGGGUCCGUUAAGCUAAAUACCUGACGUCGGUAGCUUAUCUGACUGACUAGGAGUUUCAUCGUACGAAUCGCAAGCAUGGUCUGAUUAUUUUCAGUGCAAGAAAGACAAAUACGGGGAUAACCGCAUGGCUCGCCCAUCUCCUUGAUGAGUUGGAAGGGAAAUCUGAUAGGGGGUUGGUUCGGCCCACAAGACAAUUCCUUAUCGCACUCGUUAUGAGCGCUGCUGACAGUUCUGAUAAGAAGAAGCAUUAGUAGUAGCAACAGCAAUUGCGUCAUCAAUGCAGAAUCAUGUUGGAGGAGCAACAUACUUGCCAUUUUGUUUUCUUACGGGAAACAGCUUCCUCUUUUAGUUUAUGUUAACACUUCUAAUUUGUAUUUGUUUUUACAUUUGCAAUCAGUUGCAGAAAUCACAGAAAAGAUAAAAAAAGACUUAUGAUUUCUCAUUAGUCAAAGUCUUGCUGAUAAAAAAUAAAAAUUAGUCAAAGUCUGCGUUUUAAAAUAGUUCUUUUAAUGGAAAAAUGAAUACCCUUAAUUUGGUCCGUACGUGUCACAUUUAGUUGUAUGAAUGUCAAGGAAGGUGCAUAUUAAGUGCCAAGAAUUGACUCCCCCAAACAACAAUAAUGCACUGAGAGUCAAUCUCGUAUACAAGACCACCUCAUCAAAUUCUUCGAAAUUCACUGCCAAAAACGUCCUAUAUCUUCCAUGCGUAAUAAUGCAGAAAAGUCAAGCCAAAGACUAAUGAACAGUGCAUAUGACAGUAACAAAAGUUUCUUCCAAGAAAUAAAUGAAGUUUGUUCCAAGAAACACAUAAAGACCACUACGUACUCUCUCUUUACUUCCAAUUUAAAAAAGAAAAACUAAUGAACUUAAAUAUAAGCAAAUUUCAACAUCCUAAACCAUACUUAUCUUUAAACAUAAGCGCAUCUUCCAAUAAAUAUAAUUGGAAUGAUUUAGUAAAAGUAUCUCUAUUGGUUGAAAAUGAAACUAUUAAAUAAACUUAACUACUUAGAAGUGACAUUAAUGAAAAAAAAAAAUUUGUGGUCUUUCAUAAAAAGUAGUUAUUAAAAUUUCGAAUUUUUAAAGAAAAAAAAAAUAGUGAAGAAACUCCAUAUGUAGUCACAAACGUAAAAUGACUUGCAAUAUCUCUUUGUUUUAAAAGCUCACGCUUAGACAUAUGAUAUAUAGUCGUUAGCAUUACAAAUUACAACUUAAAGACUUAUAAAUACUUUUACCUUUUUUUACCAAGAAUGUUCUCUUGUUUGACAAUCAAGAGGAUUUCUCAAAAAAAAUUCAAAUCUCUUUGAAGAGUAUGUCUAAGUUACUUUUUGUUAAACUCCUCCUUAUCUUAGAAAUAAAAAAACUAAAGACAUUUAUAUACGAUAUUUUUAGUUUUCGAUGUGUAUUAUAAAUGCUUAGACUUUAUAUUAACUUUAUUUGUCCAAAUAAAAACCUACAAAGUGUAAAACCAAAUCGCUUGUGUUUUUGGAUCAAACUAGGCAUGCAUAGUUGCAUAUAUUCAAUAAAACAAAACAGAUAACCAAUUAUGUAUGUCAAUAAUUAAUAUUAAUAAACUACAAAUCAAAAACAAAUUUAAAGGAUAUGUAAUUUAAAUAUUUGAUGUAUCAAAUAUUUAUUCUAAUUAUUACACUUUUUAUUAUUUAAUGAGUGACUUUUUCAUUUGUUAUGUAGUUCAAAUCAAAGAAAAAAUAUUCAACAUGAAAUAACUAAUAUUUUACAUAAUUUAUUACACAUAACUAAUUUUUUUAUUAAACAUAAUAAAUAUUUUAAAAAAAUAGAUAUAAUCCUAGUUGAAAUUGAGAAAUAAAAAAUUCUAAAAAGAAAUAAAAUUUAAAUCUAAUUAAUCAACUAGCUUAAAUAAAAUGACUUGUCUAAAUAAAAUAAAAUAAAAACAUAUAUAAUUUUUAAAAAUAAAUACAAAUGAUAAAUUUUGUAAUAAAAAAAUUAAUGACUUUUUAAAAGGUUUAAAAUUAUAAUUACAUAAAAUAUACUUUUAAAUAUAUAAAUUUAUUUAUAUAAUAAAACUUGUUUAUUUAUUUAUUUUAUAUCAUUUUAUAAUUGAAAUUUUGAUGGAUUUACUACAAGCAGUCAUGAAUUAGAACCAGUUGACUCUAGUAAAAACUUAUACUAUAUAUAGUUGUUGAAAAAAAAUUAUAUCUCAAAUUUGAUUUUUUUACUGUUUUAUUUACGCAAAAUGAUUAUUUGACAACUCCUCUUGUCAGAUUACAACGUUUAUUUUUAUAAAAGUUUUCAUGUAAGGCAUCACUAUGCUACUUGAUAUCUCAGCUAGGCUGACACCUCAAGUAACAACAAUCAUUUGUCAUCACAUGAAAAAAAUAUUAUUAAAAAAAAGAAAAUACAAAAAUAUUAGGGGACUAGACCAAAACCUAUAUGUUAACAGAAACGAUACAUAGGUAGACUAUACCUAUUAAUAAAGAAUUCUAAGAACAUACUAGAUGGAAACCUAUUGUACUAAUGAAAGGAUUCUCUAUGAAUAAAUCCUAACACUAGUGCAAAAUGAAGAAAAGACUGCUAUUUAUUUAGUGCGGUUUUGUGCUUACAUGCAUUUGUAAAAAACGCGGUGGCAUUUUUGAAAUUAUGUUGAUAUACAAAUGCGGCUUUACCAAGUAGCCGCAGUUGUAAAUCUUUUUUACCCUAACAUCUGGAGCGCGCCACAUUUUUUCAUACUUUCUUUCUCCUCUCUGUGUUUCCUUUCAUUGUUCCUACUCCGUUCCAACUCGCGUUUGCGCUAUUUCUGCUCCAUUCAAUCUGUUCUUCUCAACUUCAUUCAUUUUGUAAGUUCUUCGUUCUCGUUUUGUGCUGCACCGAAUGUAUAUAGAAUUUUUUUCGUUUUUCUUUGGUUUGGUUUAGCUAUUGUUACAUUGCCUUCGUGUGGGUUUGAUGGGUUUUUCUCUUUGCUCCGUCGCAGCUUCAUUGUCCGCCACUACUUCCGUUGCCGCCGCCCCCGCUUCCGCUCCUUGUGCACUUUUCACCAACGAAGCCUUCUCACACAAGGUUUGUGGGUUUUUUAAAUUUUUUUAUUUUUUUUGAAUGUUAUGAAUUUGUUUUUUUUUUUAUGUAUUAUAAUUUUUAUUUUUUAAAAUUUAUAUUAUUCAGUAUUUAUUAUAAUUUGUACUUAUGUUAUGUUAGUUAUUAGUUUUGAAUAGAAUUAUCGUUAUUGUAUUGAGUCUGAGGGUGUUCGACCCUCGACAAUAAUACGUGCUGGGAUUGAGUCCGAGGGUGUUCGACCCUUGGCAAACAUGUGAGAUAGAACCCUGAUUCUGAAUGACUAUUGCAGAAUAUAUAAUGGAUCGAAAUUUGAUGAAUUGUGUUCGUAUAAGUGAGGAGUACGAAAGAGGAGUAGAAGAAUUUAUACAAUUUGCACAACGUAACGCGAUUAAUAGUGGUCAUGAUGGAGCAAAGAUCAGGUGUUCGUGUGUUAAUUGUUUGAAUGGAAGGAUACUGGAUGUUAAUAUAAUGAGGAAGCACCUGUUAUGUGAUGGGUUUCUUCAAUCUUAUACAACUACGACAUGGCAUGGUGAAUUAUUAAAUUUACCACGUGUUUCUGCAACUGAAGAAUACGUGGGGUCCACCAUGGAUGAAGCAGUACACGAUGAUGUAGAUGAUGAUUGAUUUAGAGGACAUGAUUUGUGAUGUAGGAGCUGAGUCUUUUGCAAAAGCGCAUGGAUAUGGAAGUAUGUCAAGCGAUGCAGAGACUCCAUUGUAUCCUGGAUCAACUAACUUCACACGGUCGUCGGUGGUGUUAAGACUAAUGAAUUUGAAGGCAAUAAAUGGAUGGACUGAUAAAAGCUUCACGAAAUUGCUACAAUUGUUGAAGGAUAUGCUUCCAAAGGGAAAUACUCUACCUAAUCGUAAUUAUGAGGCCAAAAAGAUUCUUUGUCCAAUGGGUAUGGAUUAUAAAAAGAUACAUGCAUGUCCUAAUGAUUGUAUAUUAUACCGGAAAGAUUUUGAAUUGUUGAAAAGUUGUCUUAGGUGUGGGUUAUCACGUUAUAAAUUGAAAUAAAAAGAUGAUGAUACUAUUGAAGAUAUAGAAAAGCAUGGACCCCCAAUGAAGGUUAUGUGGUAUCUUCCCAUCAUUCCAAGGAUGAAGCGUUUGUUUGCAAACCCAAACGAUGCUAAGAAUCUUAGAUGGCAUGUAGAUGAGAGGAAAUGUGAUGGCAUGUACCUGUUGAAUCAAGUGUGUUCAAGCUUUGAAGAAUCCAAAUCCUUUGUGUUUGAUGAAAGGCUGAAGGUGCUUGCUGUUGUUGAGGUGCUUUAGAAUAGAAUCUGGGGUAGAUUAUAUUUUUAAUCCACUCUUUGUUGAAUCUAAAGCUUAAGUGUUUUCAAAUCUUUUAAGUUUAAAGUGUUUUUCAAACUAAGUGAAAAACAACCUGUUGUUUUGUCGAAACAACCGAUUGUUUUAUACUUAGGUGUUUUUGAAAAAAUUUGAAAACUGUUUUGGAUGGUUGACUUGCUGUCAAACCCAAACAACCGAUUGAUUCGCUAUUUCAACCGAUUGUUUGUUUGGAAUCCUAACAGAAAACUGUUUUGUUUGUUAAAAGAGCUUUAAUUGAUUUCAUAACUUAAUACACUCCUGCUUUAAAUGCUUUGACCAAGAUUUGAAUACCAUAAAUAGUUUGUUAAUGUUUUAUAACAAACAACAAGAAAGAAAAACAUAUUUGAGUUUUUCUAAGAGAUUUUGAAGCAUUUCAGUUUGAACCUUGAGCUUUGGUUAUUCAAGAGAGAAGUGGAAUAGGAUUACUCUGUAUUGAUUUCAAUUGAUUCUGUAACAGUGUAAUUCGUUCUGUGAUUUGUGUACAUUCUGGUGUUGUAAAGCCAAGAAGGGUUGUGUGCUCUUGAGGUUGUCAAGAUCAACAUUCUUGGUGGUGUAUGUGCUGAGCCAAAGGAAGUGUGUGUCUUGAGGGGAUCAAGGUCACUUCUUUGGUGGUGUGUGUAUGUAAUCUGGAUUUGAUUACCUAGUGGAUUCCCCAGUGGUUUCUGGGAAACUGGAUGUAGCUCUUGGGUUAAGAGUGAUCCAGUAAAAACUGUUUGUGCAUUUCUCUCUUCCUUAAAUUCUUUAAUUUCAAUUGUUGUUAUAUGCUGGUAUAAACAACCGAUUGUUUUUCUGUUGCUUUUCUGUUUUGAGCUUUGUUCUUGGCAAACUGAAUUCCUAAAUCUGGUUUCUUGCAAAGAAUUUCAUUCUAUCCUGAAAAGUUUGCGAAAACCCUCUUUAAACCAUUCACCUCCCCCCCCCCCCUCUAGUUUAAAGCCAUACAUUCUAACAGUACCGACAUCCAGCUGAUUCUAUUCAGUGGAAGAAAUUUGAUGUUGAGUUUCCAAAGUUUGGUAAAGAAUCAAGAAAUAUCCGACUUGGUUUAGCUACAGACGGAAUGAAUUCGUUUGGUAAUAUGAGUACAAAUCACAGUUCAUGGCCUGUUUUACUAGUUAUUUACAACUUACCUCUUGGAUUGUGCAUGAAGCGAAAAUACAUGAUGUUGUCUAUGAUGAUAUCCGGUCUGAAACAGCCAGGGAAUGAUAUUGAUGUAUAUCUAAGUCCUCUGAUUGAAGAUUUGAAGUUAAUGUAGGACUAGGGUGUUGAAGUAUUUGACAGAUUUGCUAAUGAAACUUUCAAGCUUCAUGCCAUGUUAUUUUGCACCAUCAAUGACUUUCCGGCAUAUGGUAACUUAUCAGGUUAUAGUGUUAAUUGUCAUAAAGCAUGUCCAAUAUGCGAAGAAGACACUGCUUCUCAACAAUUGAAACAUGGAAGGAAAACAGUAUAUCUUCGACAUCGGAGGUUUCUUAGAAGUCAUCAUCCUUACUGGAGGUUGAAAAAAGCCUUUAAUGGACAUCAAGAGGCUAGUGGUCCACCAACUCCAUUAACCGGUGUUGAGGUUUACGAAAAGGUAAAUAACAUAGACCACACCUUCGGUAAGUAAAAAAAAAAGUCAUUUGUGACAAACAUUUGGAAGAAGAAAUCAAUCUUCUUUGAUCUUCCGUACUGGUCGAGGUUAAAAGUCAGACAUUGUAUAGAUGUAAUGCAUGUUGAGAAGAAUGUGUGUGAUAGCUUAAUUGGUACACUUCUUAACAUUACGGGAAGACAAAGGAUGGUCUAAAUGCUCGUUUAGAUUUGAUUGAGAUGAACAUACGCGGCGAGUUGGCACCCAUAGAAAUGGGUAAGCAUACAUAUUUGCCCCCAGCCUGUUACACAAUGUCAAAAGAUGAAAAAAUUAGUUUUUGUCAAUGUCUAAAGGGUGUGAAAGUGCCACAAGGACAUUCCUCAAAUGUGAAGAGCCUAGUGUCAAUGCAAGAUUUGAAGUUAAUUGGGUUGAAGUCUCAUGAUUGUCACAUCUUGAUGCAACAGUUGUUGCCGGUAGCUAUCUAUGGGAUCUUACCAAAAAAUGUUAGACAUACCAUAACCUGUUUGUGCUCAUUCUUCUCUUCCAUCUAUUGUAAAGUCAUUGAUCCAUCAAAACUAUAUGAACUUCAAAAUGAAAUUGUUGUUAUCUUGUGUGAAUUAGAGAUGUUUUUUCCUCCAUCUUUUUUUGACAUCAUGGUUCAUCUAGUGGUGCAUCUGGUAAGAGAGGUUAAAUUGUGUGGACCAGUGUACUUAAGAUGGAUGUAUCCUGUUGAGCGGUAUAUGAAAAUUUUGAAAGGUUAUGUGAAAAAUCAUUAUCGUCUAGAGGCUUCAAUGAUUGAAAGGUACAUAGCUGAAGAAAGUAUUGAAUUUUGUUCAGAGUACAUGACAAAAGCAAAUCCAAUGGGUCUUCCAGCUAAUUCAUGGCACCACAGGCGUUCUACAAUUAAAUAUUUAUGUGGUGUGAAUAUUCUAAGCGAAUCUCGACCAGAAGUCUUGCAAGCACAUUUGUACAUAUUGAAUAACACAGAUGAAGUUAUACCUUACAUAGAAGCUCAUAAAGCCAUUUUGAAGGCAAAUAACCCAAGACAAGCAAAGAAAUAGGUCUUGAUAGAACAUAAUAGAACUUUCAUGCCUUGGUUUAAAGACGAGGUGAUGAGAGUCAAGUAAAGGAGGUUUUUAUUAAUGAAGGAAGAGGCAAUUCACCAUCACACUUGAAGUUCUUCCUUCUAGUCUUCUCAAAAUUAAAAGAAGACAUAAAAUAAAGAGAGGCCCAAGCCCAAAGCCCAAGCCCAAAGCCCAAGCCCAAACCCAAGUCCAUCCUAUAAAGGGCAAGGCCAAGUAUUAAAUAAUAAAGAAUAUUGUUGAAGGUGCUUAGAGGGAAACAUUAGAAACCUCUAUUGUUAAAGCAUCUUUUAGUCUUUAGUUAGGAGUCUUAGGGGGGGUGUGUUAGUAGAUAGGUGUAGGAGUAGAAAAUAAGGUGCCAAAGUGAAGGAAGAGGUCACACCUUCCUCAUGCUUUGUUUUAGGCACAAAUUCUAGAAGCUUUUUAGAAGGGAGUUUUUGAAUUUGUGUAGCUUACAUUUCAGCACCUUAGGCUAUAAAUAGAGGUGCUCUCUUUGUAAAUUUCAGAUUGGAAUUAAUCUAAGAAAACUCUACUCAAAUUUUGAGUGAACCUUGGAGAGCUUUUGGAGCCUUCUUCUCUAGUCUUAUCUUGAUGGAUCAAUGGAGUCCUCAAGUGGCGGCAUCACUCUCAUCUAGGAGCAUUCCACACUUCUAGUGGCGAGAUCAUCCAUCCUCCUUCCAUCUUUAUGAGCAUUUCUUCUCUCCUUCCUUUCUUCUUUGUUAAUUCUUUGUUUUAAGCUUGUUGUCUUGUUUUUGGUUCGGCUGUUCUUAAUUUUCCAGCACCUAUGUUUUGUUCUUUGCCUUUUAAUUUCAUUUUGUUCGGUUGAAAUGUGUUCUUAUGCAAUUCUGUUCGGUACUUCUUAAUUCUACCUCUUUUGUUUAGUUCAAUUUGACUAUAAUUGGUUCAUCCAAAUGAGUUUGGGAUUUGGUAAUUAGUUCAAUUUUGGUGAGUUCUUGUCUUAGAACAAUGAUCCAACUCUAAGAAAAGUGCCUCUAUAAUGUUCAACUCAAGGUGAUUCCUAAGAAGGUCAAGAACCUUUCUCUAUAUGGCUAGUGGAAUCACAUCACGAGGUGUUCAAGGAUUAAACGGCAUCAGAGACCUUGACCUGGUUGGUUGCUGGAUUGAAGUUUGAUGUCAUCUCAUGUACAGCGUUAAUACAAAAAACCUCGUUAGUAGAUGGUUAAUUAGUAACAUACAAAUUUAAGUUUAUAGUGUACUUACGUAUCAAUGAUAUCCUUAAAUUUUGUGGGUAUCUUCUUGUGUAGGGAACAAAACCACACAACAGUCUUAUCAACCAUUGAUAAGACAAGUAACUGCCAAUGAUGCCUAUAUCAUCCAUGAAAAGAGUUAGUAAAUAUGUAAAACAUGAAAUAGUAAUAAUUGAUGACAUAUAAUUAAACUUACUCAUUAAUAUAAGGGCAUAAAUAAAUUUGUUUUUCCUCUUUUUCCAGGGUGUUAGUGAUGUAUGCUUUGAGUCUCAUAUGACCUUGGUCCAACGGAAUUAGUAUAUGCAGGAUCUAAGAAUCCAUACGCAUUUUCCUUCCCCUAAGUGAGACAAACUCCAUGCAAAAACCUACAAGUUAUUAGUUAAAGCAUAAUAUAUAAUAAUUUAACAUAAAGUAAAUUGAAUAAUAGGUAAAUAUACUUACAUCAUAAAAAAUUGAAUUAUAUUUAUAUUGAGCUCCUGAUUCCCAGAUACAAAUUCUAAUAAAUCUGUGUUGUACAUCAUGAGUGGUAGUUCAGUGUUUAUUUGAAAAAAUGUAUCAUCCCACGAAACUGCAAAAGGUUCAUUACCAAUCUGACUAGCAAUGAGACCUAUAUGUGGGUUUUUGGAAGAUUAAGGCUCAACCAUCAACUCUUUUUACUGCUUGGAAGGUUAUGGAAGACAAGAUUUUUAUUAGAGCGAAAUUGGCAAAAAGAGGGAUCAGGAUGGAUAGUUGCAUUUGUUGUUUGUGUGGGAGGAAGAAGAAACUACGUCUCACCUUUUCUGCACGUGCAGAGUGGCUUGGCUAGUAUGGUCCAAGUGUUAUGAGUGGAUGGGGGUGACAUCGACUGAUCAUUGGGAGCCAAAAAUGCAUUUUUUAAAUUUCAAGAGUAGCGAGGUGAAUAAAAGGGUUAAUCAGUUGUGGGGUUGUGUGUGGGGAGUCGUGGUAGCUGAGUUGUGGAAUCAUAGAAAUAGGAAGAUCUUUAAAAAUGGUAGGACUGAUUACAUUGUAAUUUUCACAAUGGUGCAGCUUAAGGUAUGGUCUUGGAUGUUAUCCAAAAUCCAUAGCGUAGGUUUUUCGAAUUCUGAUUGGUGCCUUAAGCCUCUGGUAUGUAUGAGGUCUGUGAGAAAUUGCUAGGUGGAUUUUGCAGGGUGGGGUUUAUAGGGGAUCUGUAAGGGGUUUUUUUGGUUGUCUGAGUUGAUUGUUUCUGUUUCGCAAGAAACUAAGUCGUAAGUUGUUUGUAUAAGGGUUGAGGUAUCUCUUAAAUACCUUCAUUUUAUUAAUGUGUUUCUUAUUAAUAAAAAAAAAAGGAAUAGUUUCAUCGUAGGAAGCGUAAUCAUGGUCUCAUUUUUUUUAGUGCAAGAAAGACAAGGAAGGGAAUAACUACAUGGCUUGUCCAUUAUCUCCGUGAUGAGUUUGAAGAAAAAUCUAAUGAAGGGUUUGUUUAGCCCACAAGAGAAUGUGAUUAGAAAAAUAUAAUUUUUUAUUUUACAGUUACUUUUUAAAUUAGAAUAUAAUUUUUUUAAAUAGUCUCAUAAUAGACUUAUUAAAUUUUAUCUUUUAUUUUAUAAAAUCUAUAAUAUAAAUGACAUUUAAAAUUAGAAUUAAAACUAAUAAUUAUUUACCAUUUAAAUUUCCAAAUAAAAUUGAUAACGAGUUUCGGGUUUGGUUUAAUGCUAAGAGAGAAUUCCUCAACGCAUUCGUUAUGAGCGCUGCUAGGUAUGAAAAGAAGAAGCAUUAACAGUAGCAAUAGCGUCAUCAAUGCAGAAUCACGUCGGAAGACCAACACACGUUUUCUUACUUGAAAACAGCUGUUAUUUUUUAACAAACAAAGCAGGGUGCCACUUUUAGUUUAUGCUAACACUUCUAAUUUCUAUUUUUUUUUUUAACUUUUUUGCAAUCAGUUGCAGUAGAAAAGAUAAAAAAGACUUAUGAUUAUUAGUCAAAGUCUGCGUUUCCAAACAAUUCUUUUGAAGGAAAAAUGAAGUCCCUUAAUUUGGUUCGUGUCACAAUUAUCGAUAACAAUUGGCUUACAUUUAGUUGUAUGAAUGUCAAGGAAGGUGCAUAUUAAGGGUGUGUUUGGAUUAGGGGGUGUGGGGGAGUGGAAAGUUGAGGGUGAGUGGGAGUGGAAGUGUGAAGAAAGUGUGAAGAAAGUUGAGGUUGUUUGGAUUGGGGUAUGUUAGAGUGGAUGUGUGAGGAAAGUUUAUUGGAAAUUGUGAGUGAUGUGAUAGUUGUAAGAAUAUUAUAAAUUAUUUUGAAUAGUAAAGUUUGUGGGAUUACAAUUUUACCCUUGUAUAUAUAAAAAAAUAAUGAUUAAUCCUAUUUCAUAUUUUAGUUAAUUAUAAUUUAAAAUUAAAGUAUAAUUAUAUUAUUUAACAUUUUAUUAAUUAAGAAUUAUUUUUUAUUUAAGUUAAUUUGUUUACAUAAUUUUAAUAUUAUAAAUGAUUUUAUAAAUUAUGUUAUGUUAUAUAUAUACAAAUAUAUAUAAAAUUAAUUUUNNNNNNNNNNNNNNNNNNNNNNNNNNNNNNNNNNNNNNNNNNNNNNNNNNNNNNNNNNNNNNNNNNNNNNNNNNNNNNNNNNNNNNNNNNNNNNNNNNNNNNNNNNNNNNNNNNNNNNNNNNNNNNNNNNNNNNUUAAUUAGAAAAAGAAAAGACAUUCCUAGUAAUAACAUUUGAAUCCUUCUUGUGGAGAUCUUCAAACGGUUUUCUAGAAGACAUAUCUUAUUCCGUUGUAUGAUAAUAAUUUCAUCUUUUCAUCGGCAACGUCUUCAAUGCACCAUUUGAAAAAAUUACAGCCUAGAACCAUGCCACUUCUAAUCUGUUUUGAAGAAACCAAUAAAAUUGAACAAUGAAUAAGUUUAAAAUAACAUUCUUAAGUUUGUUUGAAACCUAAUUGAAUAAAUUUUACCUUGUAGUUGGGACAACCCCAAAAUUUUUUCCCAGCAUUUUUUUGUGUUGUCGCUAUUCUCAAAACAGCAAAUUGUCCACAAUGACAAAUAGGAUCAACGAAGGCACUUGUGGUCCCAGUAGCAUGGGUAAAAGUACCACGUUUUUGCACACUACAACCAGUACAACUAGAUGACGACGUGUUGUGAUACGUAGACAUUAAUGACACUUAACCAAUGUUGUCGAAGUAAUAAGAUGGUAAAAAAGUUGCAUUAAAAACAAUAUGAUUAUGUAAAUAAGUAGCAUAAAACCUUAACAAUAACAAUGUCAACGUCAAAAAUAACAAAUACAAUUCAUCAAUGUUCAACAUGAAACUUAGAAAUAAAAAUAACAAUGACAAUAACAUAAUAAUAACACACUCAAUGGCCUUGAUGACGUCGAAUGUCAGCCAGAGUAACCUCCAUUCUGUCCAAUCGGGUAUUCAUUCUUUCCAUGCCAGACAAAAUCUGAUUUAACAAUUCCCUUUGAGUGGGGUUUUCCUCCUCAGGUUGACCACCUUCAUCAUCUUGUGGUGGCAAUUCAUCCUCUUCAUCAUCUUCUUCGUUUGCAUGUUGUGGUCUACCAAGUUGCCAUAUGCCAUUGACCUGGAAUAUAUUUAAUUUUGUCAUACUUUUUUUGCCAAAGUAAUGAUUCCAGCCUAGCAUUGUUGCUUGUUCAUUGGACAAGUCAAAGCCAUACACCUGCAAGAUCCUCGUUAUCAAAUUUGCAUAUGGGAGAGGCAUCUUGUUAUCCCGGCAUUUGAUGAUCUGUUGCAUUAUGUAAUGAGGCCAAUUAAUGCGUACAUUAUUCUUGAUUAACCACAUCAUGAAAAUAUAUUCAUUCAGCAGUUGUGCAUNNNNNNNNNNNNNNNNNNNNNNNNNNNNNNNNNNNNNNNNNNNNNNNNNNNNNNNNNNNNNNNNNNNNNNNNNNNNNNNNNNNNNNNNNNNNNNNNNNNNNNNNNNNNNNNNNNNNNNNNNNNNNNNNNNNNNNNNNNNNNNNNNNNNNNNNNNNNNNNNNNNNNNNNNNUUAACUUAAGACCGUCAUAUUGUAGAUGAGCAAUGGUCAUCCAAUCCACUUCUUUGAUGUGUAUCAUUUUGCCGCAAAUCUCAAUGGCAAGGUGACCAGCAGGUGUGAAUUUUGCAUUUGUAUAAAAAACCCUUACCAAAUCCUCAUAAUACGGAAGAUUAAUUCCGAGGAAAGGUUGUAAACCUUGCCAAUUCAGAAGAUUUUGGAAUUGAAAUCCUGGACCAGCAAAAAAUGGAGUAUGCAUCACUUUUGGUGGUAAUACUGGUCUUGCGUGAAAGUUCUUUUCAAAAACCACCAUUUGACGCCUGGUACUGAAGUAUCUUGAAUAAUCAAGAACUUCUGGAAUCCUCGUUGGUGNNNNNNNNNNNNNNNNNNNNNNNNNNNNNNNNNNNNNNNNNNNNNNNNNNNNNNNNNNNNNNNNNNNNNNNNNNNNNNNNNNNNNNNNNNNNNNNNNNNNNNNNNNNNNNNNNNNNNNNNNNNNNNNNNNNNNNNNNNNNNNNNNNNNNNNNNNNNNCAAAAUAUUACAUUGCAAAUGAAAGUAGGAGUUCACAAAACAAAAUAUUAGAUGUCCAAUAACUAAUACAGACAGUCAAAUAUUACAUACCCAAUAAGUAAGAAAGAGAGUCAAAUAUUACAUGUCCAGCUACUAACAAAGACAGUCAAAUAUUAGAUUAAUAAUAAUUAAAGGUAACCCCACGCAGAGAUAUGAAAUCAAUGCCUAGUCAUAAAGCCAAACAAUUUUGUCAUUCGACGCUCAUAUGGCAUCCCAAAUAGUUGCUUAACUCUUCGGGGAUGGUCACAUAAAAACUCAUAGCAUUGAUCCAUGAGUUGUUCAUCUUGAAUGUUUAGUUCCACGAGCAUUGCCCAAAUAUCAGACUCUGAGUACUGGUACGAGGCAUGGCGUCGAUGGUGGUGUACAUGCUCAGCAUAUAGGUCGUUUCUUCGUCUAAUUUCGGCAGCUAUAUCUUGAGCUGCCGUUGCCUGUGCACGAGCAAUAUUAACCAACUGAGAGGCAUUUUUAUUUCCAUCCUUCAUUGAUGACACGCAUUGUUGAAGAUUAGUAUUCAACAUUGCAAAUUGUUCAUCAAUGUCGUNNNNNNNNNNNNNNNNNNNNNNNNNNNNNNNNNNNNNNNNNNNNNNNNNNNNNNNNNNNNNNNNNNNNNNNNNNNNNNNNNNNNNNNNNNNNNNNNNNNNNNNNNNNNNNNNNNNNNNNNNNNNNNNNNNNNNNNNNNNNNNNNNNNNNNNNNNNNNNNNNNNNNNNNNNNNNNNNNNNNNNNNNNNNNNNNNNNNNNNNNNNNNNNNNNNNNNNNNNNNNNNNNNNNNNNNNNNNNNNNNNNNNNNNNNNNNNNNNNNNNNNNNNNNNNNNNNNNNNNNNNNNNNNNNNNNNNNNNNNNNNNNNNNNNNNNNNNNNNNNNNNNNNNNNNNNNNNNNNNNNNNNNNNNNNNNNNNNNNNNNNNNNNNNNNNNNNNNNNNNNNNNNNNNNNNNNNNNNNNNNNNNNNNNNNNNNNNNNNNNNNNNNNNNNNNNNNNNNNNNNNNNNNNNNNNNNNNNNNNNNNNNNNNNNNNNNNNNNNNNNNNNNNNNNNNNNNNNNNNNNNNNNNNNNNNNNNNNNNNNNNNNNNNNNNNNNNNNNNNNNNNNNNNNNNNNNNNNNNNNNNNNNNNNNNNNNNNNNNNNNNNNNNNNNNNNNNNNNNNNNNNNNNNNNNNNNNNNNNNNNNNNNNNNNNNNNNNNNNNNNNNNNNNNNNNNNNNNNNNNNNNNNNNNNNNNNNNNNNNNNNNNNNNNNNNNNNNNNNNNNNNNNNNNNNNNNNNNNNNNNNNNNNNNNNNNNNNNNNNNNNNNNNNNNNNNNNNNNNNNNNNNNNNNNNNNNNNNNNNNNNNNNNNNNNNNNNNNNNNNNNNNNNNNNNNNNNNNNNNNNNNNNNNNNNNNNNNNNNNNNNNNNNNNNNNNNNNNNNNNNNNNNNNNNNNNNNNNNNNNNNNNNNNNNNNNNNNNNNNNNNNNNNNNNNNNNNNNNNNNNNNNNNNNNNNNNNNNNNNNNNNNNNNNNNNNNNNNNNNNNNNNNNNNNNNNNNNNNNNNNNNNNNNNNNNNNNNNNNNNNNNNNNNNNNNNNNNNNNNNNNNNNNNNNNNNNNNNNNNNNNNNNNNNNNNNNNNNNNNNNNNNNNNNNNNNNNNNNNNNNNNNNNNNNNNNNNNNNNNNNNNNNNNNNNNNNNNNNNNNNNNNNNNNNNNNNNNNNNNNNNNNNNNNNNNNNNNNNNNNNNNNNNNNNNNNNNNNNNNNNNNNNNNNNNNNNNNNNNNNNNNNNNNNNNNNNNNNNNNNNNNNNNNNNNNNNNNNNNNNNNNNNNNNNNNNNNNNNNNNNNNNNNNNNNNNNNNNNNNNNNNNNNNNNNNNNNNNNNNNNNNNNNNNNNNNNNNNNNNNNNNNNNNNNNNNNNNNNNNNNNNNNNNNNNNNNNNNNNNNNNNNNNNNNNNNNNNNNNNNNNNNNNNNNNNNNNNNNNNNNNNNNNNNNNNNNNNNNNNNNNNNNNNNNNNNNNNNNNNNNNNNNNNNNNNNNNNNNNNNNNNNNNNNNNNNNNNNNNNNNNNNNNNNNNNNNNNNNNNNNNNNNNNNNNNNNNNNNNNNNNNNNNNNNNNNNNNNNNNNNNNNNNNNNNNNNNNNNNNNNNNNNNNNNNNNNNNNNNNNNNNNNNNNNNNNNNNNNNNNNNNNNNNNNNNNNNNNNNNNNNNNNNNNNNNNNNNNNNNNNNNNNNNNNNNNNNNNNNNNNNNNNNNNNNNNNNNNNNNNNNNNNNNNNNNNNNNNNNNNNNNNNNNNNNNNNNNNNNNNNNAAUCGACUGUUGUUAAGGAUGUGUGGUUCUACAACCGUUCCAUUUGGUUGAAUUAAAAAUUCCCCCUGCAACCUUAAAAUGGCACUCAAAACAUUAUGAAAGUGACGGGAAACUGUUUCUCCAGACCGAUGGAAAAAGAAUGACACACUUCGAUUCUUCACAUUAUGCCCAAUAAUGUGAAGAAAUUUCGCUACUUGUUCUUCCACGGUUGAUCGAUAUGCAUCUUUAACAAGUCCAGUUCCCCGUAUUCGUUCACAUAAUUUAAUGAAAGCUUCUGGUCCCAUGCGAAUAAUGUGACGAGACUGUUCAGUGUGAACCAAGUACUCCAUCAAUUCUUGUCUGCGACGCUCUUUUUGUGGUUGGGAGUCACUGAUACAGUUGCUUGUAGUAGGCAUUGUGCGUAACAAUUUCAAUCCAAAGGCAAUCAUACAAAGAAUCAUGACUGAUGCACCUUCAUUAUUUUUUUUUAUUUGUUCUUCGAUUUGUGAAAUUAAGUUCAUGUUCGCCGCAACAAGAUCGUCAUAAAUUGCANNNNNNNNNNNNNNNNNNNNNNNNNNNNNNNNNNNNNNNNNNNNNNNNNNNNNNNNNNNNNNNNNNNNNNNNNNNNNNNNNNNNNNNNNNNNNNNNNNNNNNNNNNNNNNNNNNNNNNNNNNNNNNNNNNNNNNNNNNNNNNNNNNNNNNNNNNNNNNNNNNNNNNNNNNNNNNNNNNNNNNNNNNNNNNNNNNNNNNNNNNNNNNNNNNNNNNNNNNNNNNNNNNNNNNNNNNNNNNNNNNNNNNNNNNNNNNNNNNNNNNNNNNNNNNNNNNNNNNNNNNNNNNNNNNNNNNNNNNNNNNNNNNNNNNNNNNNNNNNNNNNNNNNNNNNNNNNNNNNNNNNNNNNNNNNNNNNNNNNNNNNNNNNNNNNNNNNNNNNNNNNNNNNNNNNNNNNNNNNNNNNNNNNNNNNNNNNNNNNNNNNNNNNNNNNNNNNNNNNNNNNNNNNNNNNNNNNNNNNNNNNNNNNNNNNNNNNNNNNNNNNNNNNNNNNNNNNNNNNNNNNNNNNNNNNNNNNNNNNNNNNNNNNNNNNNNNNNNNNNNNNNNNNNNNNNNNNNNNNNNNNNNNNNNNNNNNNNNNNNNNNNNNNNNNNNNNNNNNNNNNNNNNNNNNNNNNNNNNNNNNNNNNNNNNNNNNNNNNNNNNNNNNNNNNNNNNNNNNNNNNNNNNNNNNNNNNNNNNNNNNNNNNNNNNNNNNNNNNNNNNNNNNNNNNNNNNNNNNNNNNNNNNNNNNNNNNNNNNNNNNNNNNNNNNNNNNNNNNNNNNNNNNNNNNNNNNNNNNNNNNNNNNNNNNNNNNNNNNNNNNNNNNNNNNNNNNNNNNNNNNNNNNNNNNNNNNNNNNNNNNNNNNNNNNNNNNNNNNNNNNNNNNNNNNNNNNNNNNNNNNNNNNNNNNNNNNNNNNNNNNNNNNNNNNNNNNNNNNNNNNNNNNNNNNNNNNNNNNNNNNNNNNNNNNNNNNNNNNNNNNNNNNNNNNNNNNNNNNNNNNNNNNNNNNNNNNNNNNNNNNNNNNNNNNNNNNNNNNNNNNNNNNNNNNNNNNNNNNNNNNNNNNNNNNNNNNNNNNNNNNNNNNNNNNNNNNNNNNNNNNNNNNNNNNNNNNNNNNNNNNNNNNNNNNNNNNNNNNNNNNNNNNNNNNNNNNNNNNNNNNNNNNNNNNNNNNNNNNNNNNNNNNNNNNNNNNNNNNNNNNNNNNNNNNNNNNNNNNNNNNNNNNNNNNNNNNNNNNNNNNNNNNNNNNNNNNNNNNNNNNNNNNNNNNNNNNNNNNNNNNNNNNNNNNNNNNNNNNNNNNNNNNNNNNNNNNNNNNNNNNNNNNNNNNNNNNNNNNNNNNNNNNNNNNNNNNNNNNNNNNNNNNNNNNNNNNNNNNNNNNNNNNNNNNNNNNNNNNNNNNNNNNNNNNNNNNNNNNNNNNNNNNNNNNNNNNNNNNNNNNNNNNNNNNNNNNNNNNNNNNNNNNNNNNNNNNNNNNNNNNNNNNNNNNNNNNNNNNNNNNNNNNNNNNNNNNNNNNNNNNNNNNNNNNNNNNNNNNNNNNNNNNNNNNNNNNNNNNNNNNNNNNNNNNNNNNNNNNNNNNNNNNNNNNNNNNNNNNNNNNNNNNNNNNNNNNNNNNNNNNNNNNNNNNNNNNNNNNNNNNNNNNNNNNNNNNNNNNNNNNNNNNNNNNNNNNNNNNNNNNNNNNNNNNNNNNNNNNNNNNNNNNNNNNNNNNNNNNNNNNNNNNNNNNNNNNNNNNNNNNNNNNNNNNNNNNNNNNNNNNNNNNNNNNNNNNNNNNNNNNNNNNNNNNNNNNNNNNNNNNNNNNNNNNNNNNNNNNNNNNNNNNNNNNNNNNNNNNNNNNNNACACACAUCACAUAAUCGAUUAUCAAAGCAUAAUCGAUUAUGCUAAUAGGCUAAAAAAAGACCAUAAUCGAUUAUCCCAAACAGAUAAUCGAUUAUCACCCAUUUUACACACUAUACAUAAUCGAUUAUCCCUCGAAAAAUUUGCAGAUUCCACCAUAAUCGAUUAUUUUGCCUAUGAUAUUUGACCCAUAAUCGAUUAACCGUUGAAUGAAACAUAUGAACUCACCUCAGAUGAACCCACAGAUGAACCAGAUGAAGGCACAGAUGAACCCAGAGAUGAACACACCACUUUCAGAUGAAUAACCUCUACGUUAAUGAAGCCCCUAACACACACUAUCACUUACGAAUCUCUCCAACUACACACUCUAUGCUUCGCUCUGCUCUUCGCUUAGCUGUGAAUUGUUUCACUCAGAAGCAACGUUUUAUAAAGAAAAACCAGGAACCUCACACACCUACCUCUCACCCACUUCAUUCAUGAGGUCUCAAACUUUAAGGUGGUCAAUAGAUUCCUGAACCAAGUCAGGAAUCUCUUGCUGUUCACGUCGCAUCUUGUUGUUCACUUGGCAUGCAUGCAGAGGCAUGUGCUUCUUGAAUCCAGCAACAAAAAAGCAAAAAAGUGAGGGCAAGAUUGGAAAUGGGUGGUGAUGAUUUGGCACUUCCACUGCACAGUGACACUUUCUCUUCACCUUUCAGAAGAAACCAAAUUCGCUCAACUUUCUCUUUCGCUGCACUCUCACCCGCAACAAACCAUAGAACCAAAUGGGGUGCUGUUGUGACUUCCGUCGUCGACAACAGUACCACCCCUGGAUCCAAACACACCCUAAGUGCCAAGAAUUGACUCCCCCAAACAACUAUAAUGCAGUGAGAGUCAAUCUCGUAUACAAGACCACCUUAUCAAAUUCUUCGAAAUUCACAGUCACACAAGUCCAAUCGUGUGAUGGAAGGUUUGGGUAUAGUGUCUGAAAUUUCUUCUAUGAUCACAUUGUCCUGUAUCUUUCACGCGUAAUAAUACAGAAAACUUAAGCCAAACACUAGUGAAUGGUGCAUUUGACAAUAACAAAAGUUUGUUCCAAGAAAUAACUGAAAUUUGUUCAAGAAACACAUAAAGAUUAAAGAUUAAUCUUUACUUUCAAUUUUUUUUAAAAAAACUAACGAGCUUAAGAAUAAGCAAAUUUCAACAUCCUAAACUAUAGUUAUCUUUAAAAGUAAUUAUAUUUUUCAAUAUAUAUGAUUUAGAUUCUAAGUUGAUAGUUAAAAUUUUUAUAAAACUAAUUAAAUAUUAAUUUAAAGACUAAUUUAUAAAUUUUAUUAAUAAUAAAAAUUACACUCUACACCCUUAAUUUUCUUGGUCUUGUGAUUGACCACCUUCAAGUAGGUAGAUCUAUUAAAUGAUUUUCCUACAACAUUAAGGUACUGUUUGUUUCUGCAUUAAGGUUCCUAGAAACACGCAGAAAUACUAUUUAGUAAGAAUUGAGAGGAAAGCGUGAAAUUCAAAAAGAACAAAUACAUUAAUCGAGAAAGAAUCAUUGCUUAAACUUUCUAUUUAAAACUGCGAAGAAAGUUCAAAAAAAAUUUAUUUUUAAUAGAUUAAUCUUUUAUAAUAUAAUUUACUUUUAUUAAUAAUUACAUUUUGUAAAUAAAUAAUUAAAAUGAUGAAUAAAUGUUAAUGUUUUAUUUUAAUUAAAUAUUGAAAUAAAGUACUUUAUUUUAUAUUAAAAUUUAAAUUAAUUUAUUAUCAUUUUAAAAUUUAACUUUUUUAUAUAUUAAAAAUUAUAAUAAUUUAUUUAUUUAUUUUAAUUUACAAUUUAUUUUAAUUUUGUUUACAUUUUUAAAAUUUUGUUUUUACAUUACAUUUUUAAAAAUAAUAAUAAUAAAAAUAAAUUAUAAACAAUAAUAAUAAAAAUAAAAAUAAAUAUAAAUAUAAAUUACAUUUUUUAUAAUAAUUAAAAUAAAUUUAUUAAAUAAUAAUAUUAACAGUAAAAAAAAUAAUUUUGAUUUUCAUUUGAUUUUAUAAAAAAUAUGUAUUUAUAAAAUUUUAAUUAACUAAAAUUUACAAAAAAUAUCUCAUGUUUACAUAUUUAAUAAUUUUUAAAUAUAAUAGUAAAUUUAUAAACUUACAUUUUUAUCAAUUAAAAAAUAUAAUUUCAAUUACACUCAUCACAUCAUUCACAAACUUUUAUAAACUUUCCCUACACUUUUCACUCUAUUUACCUUAAUCCAAACACCCUAAUUUUGUUUACACUUUCUCUUCAAAUCAUCUCAACUUCACUCCCUAAUCCAAACAGAGCAUAAAAGUAUUUGGCUAUGUGAUUUAUCAAGCCUAGACAAGUAACUGACUUCACAAGACUGUCAUUCUGUUUUUUCAAAAAAUUUGUUUGGGUGGAGUAGCUUGAAACAUGUUCUUUAAAAGAUUUUGAUUUUAACACUUUAAAGAGAAAUCCUCUUUAGAGAAAUAAAUAGACAAAUAUUCUUUACAUACAAAGAAUAGUCAUUUAUAAAUUCUUGAUGUGUAUUAUAAAUGUUUAGACUUUGUAUCAACUUUAUUUGUACAAAUAAAAACUUAUUAGGCGAAGUGUACAACCAAAACUAUUGUGUUUUUUUUUGGGUAAAAGUAAGUAUGCAUAGUUGCAUAUAUUCAAUAAGACAAAACAGAUAACCAAGAAUUGCUUGCAUAUGUCAAGAAUUAAUUUAAUGAACUACAAUUCAAAAACAAAUUUAAAGGAUAUGAACUUUGAUGUAGCAAAUAUUUAUUCUAAUCAUUACACUUUUUAUUAUUUAUUGAGUAAAUUUUUCAUUUGUUAUGUAGUUCAAAUUAAAGAAAAAAUAUUGAACAUGAAAUAACAAAUAUUUUAUUACAUAAUUUAUUACACAUAACUAAUAUUUGAUUAAACAUAAUAAAUAUUGUAAAAAAAUUAGAUAUAACCCUAGUUGAAAUUGAGAAAUAAAAAAAAAUCUAAAAAAAUAAAUUUUAAAUCUAAUUAACCAACUAGCUUAAAUAAAAUGACUUGUCUAAAUAAAAUUAAAAAAAAAUACCUAAUUUUUAAAAAUAAAUACAAAUGAUAAAUUUUGUAAGAAAAAAAUUAAUGACUUUUUAAAAGGUUUAAAAUUAUAAUUAUAUAAAACAUACUUUUAAAUAUAUAAAUUUUAUUUAUAUAAUAAAACUUGUUUAUUUAUUUAUUUUAUAUCAUUUUAUAAUUGACAAUUUGCUGGAUUUACUACAAGCAGUCAUGAAUUAGAACCAGUUGACUCCAGUAAAAACUUAUACUAUAGUUGUUGCAAAAAAAAAAAUUAUAUCUCAAAUUUGGUUUUUUUGAUUGAUUUAUUUACUGUUCUUGUGUACAUGAAAUUUGACCACUUUAAAUAUCAGACUGGAUUGUGUUGGCAGUAGAAGUUUAAACAAAAGAGUUUGGGCGUAACCAUGUGGAGAGAGAGAGCUUUGAUAAUCUUGGUGUUUCUGCUCCACCUAAUUCAUGGAGAAGAUGCUUGCCCUUCCUCUUCCUGUGGGAAAAUCAGCAACAUAUCUUAUCCAUUCCGAUUGAAAGGAGACGCAAAAGGGUGCGGUCUCACCGGCUAUGAGCUAUCUUGUAAAAACAAUAUAGCGCUCUUCUCUUUGUACUCGGGAACAUUUCAUGUGCAGGCCAUCAACUACAAUAAUUUCACAAUCCGAGUGGUGGAUCCUGGACUUCAACAAACAAACUGCUCUUCUCUUCCUCGCUAUUUCUUCUCUCCAUCCAAUUUCACUAAUUCUUACCAACUAAUUCCUCCGUUUCACCGGUAUUAUCGUCCCAAGGAUAGUUCUCUUUACCAAACAAUUCAUUGGGUUGACUGGUAUUAUCGUACUGAGCCACUUGUUUAUGAGCAUAUAGUGUUUUUGAAUUGUAGCCAUAGAGUGAUUGGGAAGCUUAAGUAUGUGGAUACUGAUGGAUGCCUGAAUUGGGAGUCCAAAGGCUACAUAUACGCUAUUGCUGGUGACCUAAUUGCAGAGGACUUUGAAGUUGGUUGUCAUGUGAAGCUGGUUUCUCCCACAUCUUGGAGGGGUUUGGACACAAAUACAUAUUUCUAUGACAUGAUGCACACAGCACUACUCUAUGGAUUUGAGCAUUCAUGGAUUCCUCUCGCCUGUGAGGGUCGUUGUGUAGAUUAUUAUAACUGCUAUUUCAGUUCUUCCAGCCAGACCCUUGAAUGCUACAAUGAAGGUAGGACAGUUCAGGCUCUGUUUUUAAUGUUUCUUUUAAAUUUGAGUUUGUUUAAUUCUUUUUUUAUAUUUACUAGCUAAACACUCUAUCUCUAUCUGUGCAUUUUUUUAUUAUAUUCUCUUAUAAAUUUUUAUAAGUAUAUGUAAUCAUUUUUUAUUUUAUGUGAGCUUUUUAUUACAUCAAAAUAAAAUAAUUAGAUAUAUUAUUUAUCAUAUUGAAUUUAUAUUAUAAUAAAAUAUAAUUAUAAGGAAUCAAAUAUUUAUAAUUUAAUUAUAUGUAAAAUGUGAAUAGUUAUAUUUUUACAAUUAUUUUUCCCACUGUAUUUUUUUAUUAUUUUUGUAAUUUGUAUUGUAAUUUAAAAAUAGUAUUAAAGAUAAAAUAGAAAAAAAUUGUACACACAAAAUCAAAAAAUAUUAUUAAAUAUUAUUAUAAAUCAUAGUAUUUAAAGAAAUCAAACCAUACUAAAUCAUUUUAUAACAAUAGUUCGGUUUCAAUCCACCUAUUUCCCUAAAAAAUUUCAAAACCAUCUAAAACAGUUUAAUUUAGUAAGUAAAUACUGUAAAAAUUAUUAAGUAAUUUAUGUGCAUCUUUGAUAUUUUCUUUUUUUUUUUGGGUGAAUAGGAGGACCUAGGUGGCGGACUUUUUUUUUUUAAGAAUUCUAUCUAUUUGGAUUGCCUUAGUUUGAGUUGUACUUAAUAUUAAAAACCAAUUUUGAUUCUACAUAAUUAUCAUAUUACCUGUUAUACAUUUUUUUUCAAAUUUUCAUGUUUAAAUAUAGAUUUAAUCUCUUAAUUUAAAUUUGAAUUUUUUUAUAUUGGAUUUCUAAAUUAAAAUUAUUUUUUCCUCCAUUUUGAAAAUGUUUUUUUUAUCUCUAUGUGUGUACAGUGUCAAAUAUGAUGUGAUUAAUAUUGUGUUUUCUAACUAUUUAUAAAAUAUUAAUUUUAAUGAUUUUUAUUAAAAAAUUAAAUUCGUAUUAUAGUUUAAAAAAAUAUUAUUUGUGGAAGAGUUUAACAAUGAUGAUUGAGAAGAAUGAAACAAAAUAUAAUAAUGACAUAUGAAAAAAUUGAGAAAUAAAGUUUCUAAUACUAGCUAUGUAAUGAAGUCUGAAGAUUGAAGGCAUAUACUAAACUAUCCUUAACUAAUAUUAAUAUAUAUAUAUAUAUAUAAUGUAACAUUUUCCUUAAAUUAUCAAAAUUUUAUCAGUAAAACAUGAAAAUGCUUAAUAAAAUGGGGUUUAUAAAUAAAUUAACAAUAUGCAUUGAAAAGCUCUCUUAAUUAGGCUAAGUGUUGGGUUUAGUGUGGGCUUAAUUUUCGCACACACCCUUUGUUUUUAAAAAGAAUUGAAACCUCUCUUAUCUUUCACUUUAUUUAUUGAUUUUUUAUUAUUGAUAAAAAAAAUUAUUGAUGAAAAGUAAUAUAAUUAUUUCAAGUUAAAGUUGGUGAAAAGUAAAAUAAUAAUUAACUUCAGUAUGUUUUGUGUGAUGAUGAAAGACUUAAUUAUGAGUAAUUUGAAUAGCAAAUGUUAUCAUAAUACAUAUUAUAGUUGCUCUAGAAAGAGAAAUAACAUGAAAGAACUACUUUAAUAAUAAUUAAAUUGAACUUUAAAAGAAAAACGAGAAAAUAGUUCUUCCUUUUUCAAGAUAUUAGAAAAUCUCCUAGAAAAAAAUACAAAAACUUUAGAAUUUUUAAUUGGACAAGUGUUUAUUAUAGUAAGAAAAGUACAUACCCUACCAAAUUUAUUUUUACUUCUUCCUUAUGAGUUUGUGCUUCUCUGAUAUUGAUGCUCUGUUACUUGUUUUUGGGUGAAUAGAACCUUUGAAGCCUUCGUGGGGGCUGUACGUUUUAGGUAAGAAUUCUACCUCUUUGGAUUACCUAUGUUUGAAUUGUUACGUAAUACCAACAACUAAUUUUCAUUCUACAUAACUAUCAUGUACCUAUGUUUGAAUUGUUACGUAAUACAUUUUUUUUUUCAAGUUUGAACAUAGUUUUUUAAUCUCCUAAUUUAAAUUUGAAUUUUUUUAUAUUAUUCUUCUAAAUUAAAACUGUUUUCCCUUCCAUUUUAAAUUUAUAAAAUAUGAGUUUUAACAAUUUUUAAUUAAAAAUUUAAAUUAGUGAUAAAAUAUUAUUUAUUGAUAUUUUUAGCAGCUAUAACUAACAAGAAAUAAAGAUAAGAACAUAGGAAAAAGAAGAGUAAUAGAAUUUUUAAUAUUAAUCUUAUUAAAAAGUAUUUUAGACAUAACAAUGACAUAAAUAUAUAAAUAUUACAAUAGAGAAAGAGUAAAUUAUCCCAACUAAUUAAUAUAUAUAUAUAGGUAUAAUUACCUUAUUGGUCCCUACAUUUAGGGUCAAUAUUCAAUUUAGUAUAUUGGUUUUUAAAAAAAUAAUUUGGUACUUAUGUUUUUUAAAAAGUACCCAAAAUUGGUCAUUUUUGUUAAAUUCCACCUUAUGACGUCAAGUGUUGCUUUUGUGGCAAAGAGAAGUGGGAUGAGGUGUUGUGUGAGGUGGCAAAGUGGAGUGGAUUGAUAGAUUAAUGAAAAAUCAUUUGGGGGAUUAGGGUUUUUUGAAUUCGGGUAUUAUGGUUUUUUGAAUUGCAAUGAGUGAGUGGGCAAUUGGGAUUAAGACUUUUUAAUUGCAAUAGUGUGGUUGCACCAAAUGUCAGAAGCGUACCUUCAUUAUCAUCAUCAGAAACAUAGCAAGAAAGUUUCUCAAAUGGAUAGGAUAUCGUUGCUUAAGAGAGUAUUAUUGAGUUCCAAUCCAUAUUUGGUACUGUUGCAAUUCAGUCGUCUUUUCAACAAAUAAAGGGCCUCACGCCAAAAGCGUUAUUGCAUUUACAUUUGUGUUUCACUUCCCCGCCCAUAAAAAAUCAGAAAAGCACUCCUAUUUUUCCCUCAAUCCACAAUCCAUAGAGAAAAUUAACAAAAAAAAAAAGAAAAAGUUUGUUGGUGAAGAAGCAGAACAAUGGAGGAAGAAGAACGAUAGAAGCUUUCAGAUCUGGUGAAAGAGCUAGUCCACCGCUUGCUCUCCCAAAACCUCCCUUCCAAUUCCCUACCGCUAAACCCUAACUCCCCUGAAUUCCGCAACUCUCUCCACUACGCCCUCCACCUCGCCACCCACGCUCACUCCCCAGACGCACCCUGACCUGUUCUCCAAAUUUUCUUAUGAGUUUGGGUUUAGGGUUUGUGCAUAGGAAAAAUAAUAUUCAAAGGUUAAAAAUAAAUAUAAUUAAUAAUUAAUUAUAAAUGUACGUGGAGUCCAUCUACGCACAACUGUGCCAUAUAGUGUGCUACGUAAUUCAUCACUUGACGCCGUAAGGUGGGAUUUAACGGAAAUGACCAAUUUGGGGGGCACCUUUUAAAAAACAUAAGAACCAAAUUGAUUUUUUUUAAAACCACUAUAGUAAAUUGAAUAUUGACCCUAAAUGUAGGGACAAAAGGUAAUUAUAUCAUAUAUAUAAUAUAACAUCUCUCUUAAAAUCAGUAUGCAUUAGUAUGAAACAUCAAAAGUUUGUCGUUCAAAAAUUGAAAAUGUUGAUAAAGUGAGAUUUUUUAAAUAAAUCAACAAUCUACAUAGGUGAAGAAAUGAAAGAAAAUGCAAUGGUUCUAUGUAAAGUUGAUGAAGAGUGAAGUGACAAUCAAUUUCAAUAUUUCUUUUCACACUCAUGAAAGACUGAGUUAUGAGCAAUUUGAAUAAAAAUUUUCUUGUUGUUAUGAUACAUAAGGGUUGGUCUAUAUAAAGAGAAAAAUCCAUAAUAGAAAGAAGCCAAUGCAACCAAACUAUCUCAGUAGUGGUUAGAGUCAUGGCACAAUAUUCAACUUUAGUAGAGGAACAUUAUCUUAUUAAUUUCUUGCUCUUUCAAGAGAUAAGAGAAUCUUUUAGAAAAAUGCAAAAAACAUGUAGUAGACUUAUGAUGAGUAAGGUCAUCAAUCCAAUCAACAUUAGAAUAAGAACAAAACUUCAAGGAAGAUGAUGAGGGAAAGAGAAAGCUUUGAAACUAAGUCCCAGGAAAAUAUCUAAGAAUGGAAAGAAUAAUUAUCCAAGACACUGUAGUAGGAGAAACAAGAAACUAACUCACAACAUGAACAACAUAAGAAAUAUCAAGAUGAGUAAUGGGUGGAUAUAAUAAAAUAUCAACAAUAGUAUGAUACAUGGUGAGGUUAUAUAGAGAGACACCAUCAAAAGAAGUAUAUUUCACACUAAGCUCAAUAGGGGUAUCAAUUGUAUGAGUAUCAGAGAGAUGAGUUUCAAUCUCUAAGAAAUAACGAAAAGAACUCAAAUCCUUUCUUUAAACUAUUUUUUCAAUUACAAUUUUAACUACAAUUUUGACCUUGUAGAGUUUUGGGAGUUAGAAGAAAAUGAAUAUAGUGGUAUGUGCUAAAGGAAAACAACAUAACGAGAAAUAUAAUAUAGAGUUUGUGAUUGGUAGGAUCAUGAUGAUGAUAAUUCUUUUGACAACUCCCAUAACAAAGAAAAGCACAUAUUACAAAACUAAAGGACAAUUUAUUAUGUUCUACUUGUGGAUGAAGAAAAAUAAAAUAGAACCAAAACCUUUCAAGGAAGAGUAAUAAGAAACACAACCAUAGAACUUUCGAAGGGAGACAUACCUGAGAUAACAAAAGAGGAAAUUGGUUAAUAACAUGGAAAAAAAUAAGAACAACCUCAUCUGAAGUUUCAUUGGGAACUAAAUCAUAUAAUAAAAAAAAUGAGUAGAUUCAAGAAUGUAGUAAUGUUUUCUUUCAACAACUCCAUUCUUUUGCGGAGUACCAGUACAAGAAGUUUGAUAAAGGGUUCCAUUGAUGGUAAGUAGUUCACAAAAAUUUAUUAGAAGUGUAAUCACAUUGAAAACAUUUAAUAAAAACAUUAUAUAUGUUUGCUUUUAAUCAUAUACAUAAAAAAAAACUCAUAACAAUGUUUCAUAAGAUAAACCUAACAAUAGAAAAUAUGAUCAUUAAUAGAAAGAGACAUAAUAGUGGGAUUUGCCUUUGGUAGGAACCAAAGAUGGACUCUGUGCAUCAUAAUGAACCAAGUCAAAAAGGUGUAUGAGACGUAAAAAAUGCUUUAGAUAAAAGGUAAAGUAGUAAAAUUGACAAGUUUGAAACCGCAACAAUUAGAGAUGUUACUGGUUUGUAACUUGCCUAAAACUUUAGUGGAAACUAAGUAAUUUAACCUAGUAAAAGAAUCUAAAUAAUUGGUAGUUAAAACCUUGGUAGCUAAUUAGAGAUUAAUUUAGAAACUAUUUAACAAUAAUAUAAACUAAUUUAGAAACAAAAAGAAAAUUUAGUCUCUAAAAUAUCUCUAAUUUAUUCACUAUAUCAACUAAUUAUUUUUUAUCUCUAAAAUUAAUUUUUAUUUAAUAAUUUUCUUGUAGUGAAAUAGAUAUAGGUGACACGAAACUUGAGGAAAAAAAAAACUUAAUCAUACGACAUGUAAUGUGAGACAUCAAAACCAAAAAUUUAAAUGAUAGGAGACGUACUUGAUGAAUUAGAGUAAGACACAACUUUUAAGGAUUAUGGCUUGUGACUAAGUAGUAAGACUUUUUUGAAAUUGUUCUGCAAUAUCAGAUACACUAAUAAAAUUCAAAGAAUCCUCAUUUUCACCGACAAUAUUAAUUUCACUAUAAAAUAUCAAAGAAUAAUAAAACAAAGAUGACCAAAAAGCAAAGUAAAAAAAGACGAUCUAGACCAAAUCAAAGUAGAAAUAGAAAGGAAGAAGAGAGAGUUACGCAAGACAAAUACAAUAGUCAUGGUGUAAAAAAGACACAAACUAGGUCAUAUUGCAAAUAGGACCUUAAACCCCUUAAGAUUCCACUAUGCUACAAUAGCUCAAACAAUUUGGAAGGAGUUUUAAAAUCCUAUAUUGUCUAUCGAACCAGGUGAGUUUACUAGUAAGUAAUUAUCAAAUGAGCUAUGGCCUUUAAUUCUAUAAUAGAUUUUAACCUAAAACCAAUUGACACUAUGUGAUAUAAUUAUAUAUAUAUAUAUAUAUAUAUAUAUAUAUAUAAAUUAUGUUAACAACAUGGUAAAUAAAAUUAGGGUAAAUAGGCGUAUUAAGAUAUGGAAUACCGUGAUGUUUCUGAAUCGUGACUAAAAAUUUACAUAUCAUGGAAGAAAGAAGAAAUAGGUGGGAGAGGAAGUAAAGCAAAAGAAAAUUGAAAACAACUCGAACAUUAAAAAUCCCAAACCAGAAGAUCAGGACCAAACAAAUCAUCCUUGAAACCCAAAAACUCAUCAUCAACCAAUAAGUCUUCAUCUUUAUUUCCUAUAAAUUCAAAAUUUUCCAAAAUCAUGAUUUAUUUUAUUUUUCUAGUUUAAAUGUCGAAAACCGUCUUUAAAAUUUAAUUUUAGACAGUUAAGAAUCGCAGUAAAUUGGAAAUCCAAAAUCACCUUAUGCGUAUAUGAAGGAUAAAUAUAACAUUUUGUAAGUUACGUAACUACAAAAUAUUAUUUUAAUGUAAUGAAUAAAAAAGGGAGUUAGAUUUGAGGAAAAAAAUAUUUAAACUUUUUUAUUAAGUUUAAAAUAUAAGUAAAUUCAAAUUUACAGUCAUAUAGUGAAACAGUUCCUCCAGCGGCAUCAUGCAUGUUCCUCCUUAAAGAUAUGUAUAUAUGUAUUCGUAUACAUUAAUUAAUCCAGACAAGUGAUUACUCAUAUAACAAAUUUAAACAAAGAUUUCACAAUAAGAUAUAACACAAUGCAACAAAUGAGUAAAACACCAAAUUGUUCCCUAGAUUUUACAUUACUUUUUAUUUUGACCCUUUACAUAAAAGAAUAUUUUACUUUUAAUUGUCAUACUACUUAUUAAAUCAAAUAUUGUUUUUUAUUUUGCAGGGACUAUUGAUAGUAUCAUACAAGGUGAGUUCCUCUAUUUCUAUAUAUUUUUUUGUUUCUAUCAAAAAAUAGUUUAUGGGGAAAAAUAGUUUACUUUGUUUCUAUCACACGGUUUUAUUCCUCUAUUUAUAUAUGUUAUAAUUAAUAAGUAUGAUGGAACAAGUUUCUUUAUGAAUAAAAAUAUCAAAUAAAUUAUUUAAAAGUUAAAACUGAUUUAUAUUUAAACUAUUUUUUAGACAUUCUUUAAUAUGACCUUUUUAAUUUUUAAUUUCCAAUUUAUAAACAAUUUGAUUUAAUUUUUAACUUUUUAUUUUUCUUUUAUAAAAAUAUUUAUAAAAAAUUGUCCAAAUAUAACUAAUAUUAUUUAUAAACUAUUUUUGUCAAUCACUAUAAUAAUUAUAAACUAUUAUUUAUAAACUAUAAUAAUUUCACAUUAUUAUUAAUUUUUUAUUAUAAUUAGAUCAAUCACUUUGAUUCUUAACUCUUCCAAUAACUCUACAGGUUCUAGGAGAGUAAAUUUUUUUCAUUUUUAUUGACUAUUUAUAUGUUAACUUAACAACUUCCUUUAUUAGUACUAAGAAAACUCAUAUCCACAUUUUUAUUCCAUUAAAAUAAUAUAAUUUUGUAAACAAGAUAUUAAAAAAAAUGUUAAAAUUAUAAAAUUUAAAUUUAUAUAAUUUUUGUAAAAAUAAUAUUAAAUUAAUAUAUAUAUAUAUAUAUAUAUUAUCUAUACCACUAUAUAUAAAGGAUUAUUUUUUUUAACCAUCUUUAGUGUCAUUUUAAAAAAAUAAAACUCAUGUUAGAAAACAUAUAUUAUCGUAAGAAAAGUAACAUAAAUUAAAAAAAAACAUUAGGAAACUAGACGAAAUUCAUGUAAAGAAAAAACAAAAUUCUCAAGAGUAACAUAAGCAUUUACAUUGAGAGUUUAAAUAUAAAAGAAAAAGACAAGAAGACAAAUAAAAGAACAUUCUCUAAUGUGUAGCUCCCAUAAAGAUAGCAUAGAGGAACGAUUGAAUCCCAAACAUCUAAUCAGAUUGGCCUUCGUUUGCAUUCAGCGGUGGUAAUAAAAUCCUAUGAUAUUGAGGCACAUCCAUAACAUCACUUUUUGUUGGGUUAACAUGUUUUGGAGGUCUUAUUAUGGACUUUCACUCCAACUUUAGAAGGACGUCCCAAUCUCCUGAAAGUUUGAACUGGUUCAUUGUCUUCACUUAAUGAUUUUUUUCUUAUCCAUCUUUUUAGUGUAGAACUUAGAAACCAAAUUGACUUCUUUUAAGAAAAUGCCAGCCGAGGUAGAUUCAACUAUAUUCACUACCAAGAUAGGCGACCAUGACUCUUGAGUCUCUUGUUCACCAUCUGAAAGAGAUUCAAAACAAUUUGCAAGGUCAAAUCUUGAGAAAUAGAUUUAGAAGUAACUCGUUUGACAUCAACAAAUUUAAGACUUGUUGCAUUAGUUGCAUAUUUGAGAUGAGAGAUUCCUUCAAAAAGACCAAAAUUUUCAGGAGUCUUUUAUUUGUAGCAAAUAAUUUGAUUUGUGGACAUUCUCCAAAGAGGGCAUAUCAACUAAAAUAUCAUCCUGAGAUUGUGAACCAACCCUUAUAUCAGCAACCACAACAACAUAAGCAUUAUCAACAACAAAUAAUUCUUUUGUAGAUUUCUUAAACUUUUGACCAACAAGAGAUCCAACCUCCACUUGGCCAACAACAGCUUCAACUAAGGGUAUUAAGAUCAAUAACAACUCCCUCAACUUCCACCACCUGUGCCUUAUGAAUAAGUACAUCAUAUAUCUAUACCUCUAUCACAUAAUUUUGUUUCUCUGUGAUACCAAACACUUCCUUGUGAGGGGCAUUAUUAAUUUCUUUGGUCUAGACAGUCACAAGUUUAUACUCUACAACAAGUUUGGAUAAAACAGUAGAUGAUUUGAUUGUGGUGAGGUUAUCAGGAUGUCGUCUACAUUUAGAAAUAUCAUACCCUAUCAUUUUACACGAUGAAAAAAUGGAGACAACUUCUCAAAUUCAAUAUCUGCAAAAAAAAAAAAAGCAAAAUCAGGUCUUUCCACCAAAAUUUGAUUAGGCAAAACAUAUAGCAUAUCAAUAUUUACCAACACUCUAGCAAAACCCCUCUAAAUUUAUUCAUGGUGCAUUCAUCAAGAGAAAGAGGAGUACUAACCCUCUUGCCAUAGAGAAAAUUGUUUUUGGUUGUCAAUAUUCCAUAGGAAGACUGUGGAUUUUGACUCAACAUUGAGGUUUGGUGAGUUUCAUGCAAGAUGACACAAAGUAUGGUUCAAGCAAAGACUAUCAAGAUAUCCAAAUUGAGGUUUCAAUACCUCAUUUCUAGGACUCUUAUAAUGUCUUCAAGGGAAGAAAAAACAAAUUCGUAAAAUCUUUUUCCCAAAUGAAUAGCUGUCCAAGAUCCUAGAGACUUUCAAGCAAGAUCUAACUUUUUCCUCAUGUUCAUAUGACUAAGAGGUUUGUCACCUUUGGAUAGUACUAUUCUUCCAUGAAGGUUAUUUUCACUAUUUUCAAGAUUUGCAAGAUACACCUCUUCAUCAAUCUAAACAAAUAUCAAAUCUCCUUGAUGCAAGAAGAAGACAGCUGUAAAAGAAAGAUAUCACCAACAUUAUUUAAGGCUUGUGCAAAAUUCUUCUUUUGUGCUUGAGUCGUAUAAAAUUGAUUGGCUUGUGAAGAACAACCUUGGUCCUUGAGACACCCAAAAAAAAUUUGAAAACAUGAAGAAUUUGUCCCAAUCUUACAAUACUAGAGAGAAAAACAACCCUAGCUGCUUAGAAGAAAAGCACCAACAUAUGAGGACAAAACCCUAAACUAACUACCAAUAAUCGAACACUCAUGUUCAAGGAUAUAGUUUUUUCAUCACAAUAAUUUUUUUAUCUUUAGUUUCAUCUUUUUAAUUGAUAAUUUUAUUCUUUAGUAAAAGAUGAUUUUAUUCUUUAGUUUGUUCAUAUGAUUUUUUCCCACUUAAAAUAACAUAAAUAUACAUUUUCUUUUAAUUUUUAAAUCAUUCUUUUAGAAAUAUUUUUUUAAAAUUUGAUUACCUAUAAUAAAAAUUAAUAAAGAUAAUUAUUCUCUUUAGUGUACACAAAUUCACUGUUUUAUCCUUUAGUAACAUUUUUUAAAACUAAAAUAACUACUUAUAUAACACAUUACCUAAAAAAUAAUAAACAAUUGUUUACAAAAUUAUAAAAAUUAUUUUUAAUUGGACAAUUUUACCCUUUAUUAAUAAAAAAUAUUUAUUUAUUUAAUAAAAUAAAUAAAUUUAUUUUAAAAUAACUAAAGAACUUCUCUAUUAAAAGAUAAUGGCUAUAUAAUUUUUUUAUCCUAUUUUUAUCGUUUGAGUAGCCAUUUUUAAAGCUAAAUUAACUAUGUAUAUAAGUAACUACCUAUAAAACCAGAAAAAAAUUAUCUAAAAACAUAUAAAAGUUAUUUAUAUUUAUUUUUAAUUGGAAAAUUUCACCUUUUAAUAAAUAAAAAUAAUUUAUUUAUUUAUUUAAUAAAAUAAAUAAUUGAAUCAUUUUUCUUUAUUUAAAAAAAAAAAUAACUUCUUUUUUUAAAAGUAACAGCUAUAUAAUUUUACAAUACUAUUUUUUCAAAUUUAUAUAUACUAAUUUAUAUUAUUUUUUAAUUAACUAUUCAUAAAAAUAAAAAUAAACUAUAAAAAUAAUAAAAUUAUAAAAUUAUCUAUUUGAAUAUAAUCAAGAUGUGAAUACACAUGUGAUAAAUAUAUUACUUAUGUAUUUCUACUACUUUUUAAGUAAAAAAGAGUUAUUUAGUUAUAUUUUAGUACAAAUAUAUUAUUUAAUUAAUUAAUUAAAUAAAAUAUUUUUUAUUUAUUAAAAGAUAAAUUUAUCUAAUUAAAAACGACGUUAAAGAUAGUUAUCAAAAUAUAUAUUCUUCUUAUGAAAUACGUAUUCUUUUUAUUUAAUGAUAUAUAUUCUUUUGAGUAGAAAUAAAUUAUUCAAUUAAUUUUUUUAUUAAAUAAAAAAAAAAUAUAUAUAUAUAUAUUAUUUAUUAAAUAAUAAUUUUUUAAUUAAAACGUAACAUAAAAAAUAAUUAUAAAAAAUGUAUUGGCACUUAUAAUACCAUAAAUGAUAAUAAUAAUAAUUAUUAUUAUUAUUAUAAUAAUAAUAAUAAUAAUAAUAAUAAUAAUAAGUAUAAGUAAAUUUAAAAGUUAAAAGAUUUUAUUAUUAUUAUAUUAAUAAAUAGAAGUUGACAAGUGAUUUUUUUUUUUAUUUCAAGGAAGGUGUGAUUUUUUUUUCCUUCUUUAUUACAACAUGAUGACAUUUGUGAUAUUAAUUCACAGGAUUGUUUUUAACAAUAACUGGACCAAACCAAAAUCUUGAACAUUACCGUGUAUAUCAAUCAGUAUUUAUUACGUUGGGACACUAUGUUGUACCAUACUUCAGAUAUGUUGUUGGCACUAUAUUAUUUAUUGCUCUUUUGACAUACAAGUGGAGAAGAAGACAUUCGUCACAAUACGAAAAUAUUGAAAGUUAUUUAGAGCAAAAUAGUUUGAUGCCUAUUCGAUACACAUACAAGGAAAUUAAGAAGAUGGCUACAGGUUUCAAUGAAAAAUUGGGUGAAGGAGGUUAUGGUUCUGUAUUCAAGGGAAAGUUGUGUAGUGGAUCUUGUGUUGCUAUAAAAAUAUUACGAAAAUCAAAAGGUAAUGGACAAGACUUUAUCAAUGAAGUUGCAACAAUUGGAACAAUACAUCAUCAAAAUGUAGUGCAGUUAAUUGGAUAUUGUGCUGAGGGUUCAAAACAUGCUCUUGUUUAUGAGUUCAUGCCUAAUGGAUCUCUUGACAAAUUUAUAUUUUCCAGAGAAGAGAAUUUGCAUUUAACCUAUGACACAAUAUACAAUAUAGCAAUUGGAAUAGCACAUGGGAUUUCGUAUCUACACCAUGGCUGUGAGAUGCAAAUUUUGCAUUUUGACAUCAAACCCCACAACAUCCUGCUUGAUGAAAAAUUCACCCCAAAAGUCUCUGACUUCGGAUUGGCAAAACUAUAUCCAAUAGAUAAGAGUGUUGUGACUAUGACAGCAGCAAGAGGGACAAUUGGAUACAUGGCUCCAGAAUUGUUUUAUACAAAUAUUGGAAGAAUAUCAGAUAAGUCUGAUGUUUAUAGUUUUGGAAUGCUUCUGAUGGAGAUAGCAAGUAAGAGGAAAAACUUAAACCCCAAUGCAGAGCGUUCAAGCCAACUUUAUUUUCCCUUUUGGAUUUAUGAUCAACUUGACAAAGAGAAAGAUAUAGAAAUGGAAGAUGUCAUAGAGGAAGAGAAGAAAAUUGCAAAAAAAAUGAUGAUAAUUUCACUUUGGUGCAUACAGUUAAAACCAAAUGAUCGUCCUUCCAUUAAUAAAGUAGUCGAAAUGCUUGAAGGAGACAUUGAGAACCUUAAAAUACCUCCAAAACCUUCUCUAUAUCCACAUGAAACAUUGGAAAGAAUUUGCUCUAACCAAACAACAUUGUCUGAGUUCAUUAGUUCUUCAAG
rnacentral:lncRNA from 1 species